AAAAUCCAUAUUGUGGUUCAAAUAGCACUCCUAUAUUCCAAAAGAAACAUUCCACCAGCCUAUCCCUGGCAAAUGGCAACAUCUUGGCAAGGCAUGUUCUCUCCCACCACCUAUUCACAUACAGAAACAAAGGAUGGUAAGGUUAGGAGCAUAAAAUAUGAUAUAUUUAGCGCACUCAGCAAUACCUGGAGACAUAUUUUAGUUCCUCAAGAUAUGUUGCUUGAACAAUGUUGAAAUCCAGUUUUGCAAGUUGGACAAGAAUUGGAUUCUUGUCUGGUCUCUUCUCAUAUUUGUUUAUGAACCGCCUGUUGAAUGAAUUAAAUAAAUGUGUACUCUCCUAAUAGAUUAAACUUUUAGACGAAAUAGUUCAACACUACCUUGCUUCAGCCCGAGGUAUGGACCAGUGCAGUGGAAUCUCCGAGGCAUGAUGCACCAAUGGAUCACAAUGAAUGUCGUCAACAAUUUUAUCUCGAGAUGUUUGAUGGUGAAUUCUCUUGCCAUUUCCAGAGUACUCUCACCUUCUAUUGACAAGAAAGAAGCUUCAUACAGUUGUAGUAAUCCCUUUGUAUCAUUACAUAACCUUGGCUUGAAAUCGCCCUUCUCAUUCUUGAAACAAUCAAAUCUUUCUGCAAUCAGCCAAGCUUUGGCAUGUUAAGCGAAAAAAGUGAUGCAAAAAAUAAAACCUUAAUUUCUACUUAGGAGAGCAAUAAUAAACAAAGAAAUACUAAGAUCUUUUGUGUAGUGGACUAUCAGGGAAAUCUAAUACAUGUAGGAAAUAUACAAUAUACCCCUGAAAAAAUAUUACAUCCGUGGUAGAUUCUAUAAGUGUGCAUUAUGAUUAGGCCACAAGGAAUCUGACAAUAAGAAAUCAUAAAUCAACAGAAUAAAUAAAGGAUUCUAAGUUGUUUUUUGUGCACCUUGAGAGACAUUAAAGCCAUGUUGUCUCAGUAGUCUAAAUUCCAAAGCUGUAGCAUACAAAUCCUUAAUCUUUGGCUCUUUACUUUUGCUAUAUUUUCGGUUUAUGAAAGCCAAUAUUUGCUCAAUUUCAUCCUCAAAAUGGUAAGAUAUUCCCAGCCUGUCCAAGUUAUCAAUUAAUUCCAACUGAUCCAGUGGUUCCAUCGUUUCAUCAAGCAUCAUCUUCACUUGCAUCUUCAUCUCAGAAGCCCUUGUUAUGUAUCUCUCUCCCUACAUUAUGCAUAUCAUUUUUUGUCAGUCCUUACAAUUAAAUAUAGAUAGAAAAAAAGUUCUGCAGAUGAUGAUAAUUACCGUGUAUUCACUAUUUAAGGACUGAAUAUAAUCGAAUUCCCAUAUAGGGGGCUAGUAGUUUCCUGAUCCCCUAAUCACGGUCUGAUUCCAAGACGUAGAGGCAAGAAUUCGAUGUUGUAUAGCAUUAGAAGGACGGCUCGCUGUAGUUGUCCCUAAAGCAAAACAGAUCUCCAUUUUUGGAAGCUCUGUUUUGAACGUGCAAACAGAAAUUGGCCUCAGAAUUUGCAUGUUGAUAAUCUCUCUCUCUCUCACUCUCUCUCUAUAUACACACACACACACACACUAGAGAGAGAGAGAUGAUCUAUCAAACGGGCACAAUGUAACCCUGUGGCGCUUUAGUAUUUUGAAUAAUUCUAAACGAACAUAGCCGACGACAUAGAGGAUGACAUAAAAUGUGUGGGCCUCGGGGUGAAUAAAAAAGUGCCGACCCCCAUGUGUGAGGGCUACGUCAACCUCAAUGUCAUUUGUUCACGAAAUAAUUCUUUCGAUUUAAAAUUACCGCAAGUGUACGGUUUGUAACAAGUAAUAAAGUGGAUUUUUAAAAGUCCGAAUAUCGUCCCUCAGAGAUUGAGUAGUUCAAUUCUAUAUAAUCUAGCCUUAAUCGAAUCUAAUUGAGUGAAAAUAUGAUCUAAAUGCAAAAAGCCCUAAUUUCAAUUAAAAACCCUAAUUUCAACUAAAAACCUAAUUUCAAUUGAAAACCCUAAUUUCGAAAUUUCUCUAAUUAAACGACUUAAACACUCAAGUAAAUGAAAUUAAGCAAGUUUAAAAGCUAAUUUAUUAAAAUGAAUCAAACUAAAGUCACUAGGAUCACGAAUCCCCAAUUGAAGUUAUAAAAACCCUAAUUUCAUAAAAUUAAUGAUUCGAUGAAAAUUUGCCAAUUCAAUGUUCCUAAUUCUAUCCAAUAUACUCUCUCGAUAUAUAUUAGACCUAUUCUUGCACAUCACCAACCUAUAUCUCUAUGGAUGAUGCAAACAUACAAGAAUGCAUGUAGUUUUGUGAACAAUUUAAGAAUUACAUAAAGCAUAGGGGUAUAUCUCUAUCCCCUAUCGGACCCUAUGUUAAUUUACACCUUAUCGAACCUAUUCCACUUCUCUUGAAUGUAAGAAACAAGUCAUCAAUACUCACACAAUCAUUGGCCACUAAUUGCGGAAGAAAAUUAAUACAUGUAAAUCAAUCAAAUUAUCGAACGAAUCUUUAUAUUAAGUUCAUGAAAUAUAGAAUUAAACUAACAAACAACGGUUCAUCGAUCACCUAGUAAUUGAAAACUUAGCCUAGAAGAUUCAUAAUUACAGAAAAAAAAUGAAAUUAAUAAAUAGAAAGAAGAACACCCGUAUCAAAGUUCUUGAAAUCUGAAAUCUUGAAUUAAACCUUGAAAACCCCUUUGAAUCCUUGUGAAAUCGGCUUCAAGUUCGUGUUCCUUGCCUCCAAAAGAGUUGUAUUCUUCUUCUCCUUGGACGUUCUACCCUAAUUUUGAUGAAUUUUGGCUUUUAUAUCCUGUCCUUACGGAGCCCCGAAAGAGUUUCAAUUAAAAACAGGAAGUCAGAUUUUUUUCCUAAAAUAAGGCCAUGCGGCCGCAUGGUGUUAAACCAUGUGACCGCAUGGUUCAAAUUUUCAGCCCAAAAAGAUCCCUGUUAUAUGACGUGCGGCCACAAGGAAUUAUAACCAUGUGGCCGCAUGGUUAUAGAAAAAUUUUCAUCGGACAGCUUUCGGUAAUUUGGUCAUAACUUUCUCUCCCGAUGUUCAAUUGAAAUGAUUCAAAGUGAAUUGGGAAGAAAACUCAAAGAUGUACACGUUUGAUAGAAAUAGGCUUCCUCAAAUUCUGAUGUUUACUAUGCCAAAAAUGGAUCUCAAGUAGAGACUCAAAAUCACGAGCAUAACUUUUUCGCCUGAAAGUUGAUACUUCAUAAUAUUUCGACCAUAUUUCACCUCUUGACUCCUUUCCUCAUCCGAUUGACCUCUAACACUCUUGAAUCUUCAUUCCAUUUCCCGUCUCAUCUAUGGAUUAUUUUCAACUUGGUCCCCGAACUAUCGCUUUGUUCCGUUUUGGUCCUUUUUCGGCUCUUUUCUUCUGAAUUCCAUCUUUUCCAUAGAAACACCUACAUUGCAUGAAUUUAACAAGAUUAAGUCAUAACUCAACUACUUUAUCCAUAUUUAAGUCAUAUUUAAGGACUGAAUAUAAUCAAAUUCCCAUAUAGGGGGCUUGUAGUUUCCUGAUCGCCUAAUCACGGUCUGAUUGCAAGACAUAGAGGCAAGAAUUCGAUGUUGUUUAGCAUUAUAAGGAAGGCUCGCAGUAGUUGCCCCUAAAGCAAAACAGAUCUCCAUUUUUGGAAGCUCUGUUUUGAACGUGCAAACAGAAAUUGGCCUCAGAAUUUGCAUGUUGAUAAUCUCUCUCUCUCUCUCUCUCUCUCUAUAUAUAUAUAUAUAUAUAUAUAUAUAUAUAGAUACACACACACACACACUAUAUAUAUACACACACACACACACACACUCUAGAGAGAGAGAUGAUCUAUCAAACGGGCAAAAUGUAACCCUGUGGCGCUUUAGUAUUUUGAAUAAUUCUAAACGAACAUAGCCGACGAUAUAGAGGAUGACAUAGCACUCACAUAAAAUGCGUGCGCCCCGGGGUGAAUAAAAAAAUGCCGACCCCCAUAUGUGAGGGCUAUGUCAACCUCAAUGUCAUCCUCUAUGUUCAUCUAGCAAGGUUCAUGGAAUAAAGUUGUCGGUUGUGGCGCUAUAGUAUUUUUCACAUGGAAUAAUACGAAGUCACCGUGUUAAGUGUUAAAAUUGGCACCGACAACGGAAAGAAAGUUGAUAUUUGCAGGAAUUUCUCUGCUUGUACAGAGCAGUGCUGCCAGACUUAAAAAACAUGUUGCGACGCUGCUGUGGCAGCAUCUGUUUGGUCUGUUUUUUUUCCUUUUUUUUUUUUUUUCCAACAGAAAUUGCCAAGUGUUUUCUGUAAAAAUUUUGGCAGCAUAUCUGUAUAGCAUGUGAAAUAGGGAAGAUGGAUGAGUAUUUUUUUGGCAAUUCCAUGUGAGUAGUUGGAGGGGUAAGCAAAAUUCUUAAAAGUAAUUCUUUGCCCAUGUGAGUAUUUGGAGGGUAUUGUACUCCCAGCAAAAUUCUUGCAAGUAAUUCCUUCAAAAAUGCACAGUACACGUGAUUGCAUUCUCUUCGAUUUUGAACAUUUUGAAUCAAAAUUCAAUGUACCAGAAUAAACUGUAUAGAUGAGAAUUUGGGGAGUUAAAUUGAUUCUGAGUCCACAUAUCAUUACUUACUUUUCUUUCUAAAAACACAAAUUUCUAAGGAGCUUUGAAUGUCGGAGACCCAACACGUGAGUGAUUCACUUCUCAUUGCUCUUCUUAUUAAUUAAAAAUACAUUUUAAUUCUUUUAUUUAUUUUAUCAUCUAAUUAAAUAGUUUUAAUUAGGAGCUAUUUUGUCAUUCUCAGUUAGGAUUCGUCACUUUUUAAACUCUUUUAAGAGCGUGUUCUUUUCUGUGUUGUUUCUUAUGAUCUAAAUAAAAUUGGAGUUUAAUUUCCCAAUUGAUCAAUCUUAUUUAACGAAAAUCAACGAAAUUCGAUUUGUGUAUAUUUUUUCGCACUGCUUCACAAUCUAGAGUUGGUAGAGUUAGAGACAAUCUUUGGAAGAGAUGCAUAUCAAGUAUAUCAAUUACUAUUUUAUUAUUAUUAUUAUUUUUUUUAAAUUUGUCUGUGUCUUCGUCGUCGAUUUCAGAAAUAUUGACAUAUUGAAUUUUUAGGACAAAUUGCACAGAACAUGCCUAUAAUUUACAAGUUUUGAAUCUGUUAAUGUAUUUGCCAAACUAUUGUAGUGGAUUGUAAUUUUGAUUUCAACGAAUUAAGCACAAACGAAAUUGAACAUGAGAGAAAUCUUCUGUCACUAAUAUAGUGGUGGCAAGUUUUGGGCCUGACUCGAUUUCUCAUGACGACCAUUAUUCUAAAUGUGAACCAUUAUUCUUGUCUAGAUCUUUAGAUGAGCCAUUGUAUAAUUUGCCUAAUCAUUGGAGUGGUAGGAAAAUUUUGACUUUGUUAGAAUUAGGGUGUGACCCGAAUUCUAUUUGAAAGAUAAUUGAAAAUUUUAAUUAAAGUUGACUUAAGAAAAAUUUUAUUUCGAAUGCUAUUUUGAAAUCCUAUUCAAAGUUUGUUAGGUAAAUUCUAUUUGAAAUUCUAUUUGGAAUUCAACUGAAAGUUGAAAUUUGUGUUGAAUUUGAAGAGAUCAAGAUAUAGAUUAGGAAGGACUUCUAGCGCAAUCAUGCUCGCUUGGCGCUUGACUGGAGCUCGAGUGUCCAAAGUAGUGAAGCCAGCGAUUGCCUAAUGCUUGAGUGCCAUAUUCAUCCUACCUAGGCCCAUUUUCGCGUUUUACAAGCAUUUUCAACAUUCUAUUUCUUCUACGAUAUCAAGACUAGGGUUAUGGAUGUCUUCUAUUUGUUUCCUAUUUAUAUUUGGUUAUUCUUUACAAAUUAAUCAGGUUGUUAAACCUCAUUAUAAGUUAGACAAAUUAUAAACAUAAAAUCAUUGUAGUCUUUAUCCAUAUUCUAGUGAAAUAUCAUUUCCUCUACAAAUUAUCUUGUUCUUGGGUUUGUGUUCAAUUACUUCAUAUUGUGCCAUAAAUAUAUUAUUCACUUCUCAUCCAUUAUUACAACAAAUUAUUAUCAGAGCAAUUCGAUAUCUUACAGACUUUGUCGAAAUAAGCAAAAAAGAAAUUGAACAUAACAAGUGUCAUUAAUUUAGGGGUUGAGGGACCAUUUUUUCUCUGUUGCUGCCUUAAGAUUUGGGUUUAGUAGAGGUGGGUUUAAGUGCAAGUUGACGUAGCCAUCGAGUUCACAUUUUUUAUUAUUUUAUUUUUUUGAAUACUUAUUUUACGCAAUAGUAUAAUUGGCGUGGAUGAUUUGAGAUCUUUAUAUAGAUCAUAUUUGGCUAGCCUGAAAGGUACCUUCCAACAAAUUUUGCGGUUGACUGUGUUUACAAGUGUAUUCAACAAAAUAACUAUUUUAUCCUCAACUAUUUUAUUUAUCAAAGCUAAAGAAAUAUCCCUUAUUCACACGAAAUUUGUGGUAUGUAAAAAAUUAUAUAAAUCAUAUACAUUUCAUGCUCAAGUGACAAAGUGACAAGUGUCAUAAUAUUUUAAUAAGUUUAGUGAUAACUCGAAUAACCUUUGAAGUUCAACGACGUCUAAGAAAAACUUGAGAAAAUUUAAUAGUAACUCGCUUAAAGUUGAAAGGCAAUUGAGAAACAUUAAUGUCCAAUAGCAAUAGAAAUUUUUAACUCUAGAUAAGACCCUGUUUGACAUCCAUUAAAAGGAAUAUUUUGAGAAAAAUGUGUUUUGGAAUAAAGAUUUUUUGGAGAAUUAGUAGUUAAAAAGUAGGAAAAAGUUUUAAAUUUGCGUACAGAAUAUUUUAUUGUGAAAAUGUGUGAUUAAAAAUAAGUUAGAAUUAUUAUUUUUAAUAUUUAUUAUUAUUAUUAUUAUUAUUAUUUAUUUAUUUAUUUUUUUUUUUUUUGUAAAAAUGAUUGUCAAACACUUAGUAUGAAGAAGAUGUAUUAAAUGUGAUUAAAAAGAAUUCUACACAUCUAGAUUUAAAAUAUAAGUUGAUACAAGCCUAACUAAUUUAGCUCGAAAAUACAAAGUUAAAUUACGCGAUAAGAAUGUUGGAAUUAAUUGAAUUUGAUUUGGGCUUAAAAUAUUAAAUGUAAUAUUUAAUGAUGUGGGCCAUUACAAUUAAUUUGGGUGAAUUGGAAGUCUCCAAUAUAGGCACAUAUGUUGAUAAGCCCAUUUUAAGUGUUUUUAUAUGGAAAGGAGUCCCACAUCGAAAGUUUACAAGAAAAUAGUCUUGUUUAUAUAGUAGGUUGUGUGAAUAAUAUAUAAUUUAAUAAGUUACCUACCACUUGGCUAACUUUAGCUAGCCAAAGGCUAGCAAACUAGCUAAAGGCUAGUCUCCACUAGAGUGGUGCUUCGCACCACUAGCACCGCUCCCCGGACCCGGACCCGGUCCCUGUCCCGACAUGCGCAGGUCGCACGUACGCAUCGUCGCGAGGAGCUGGGGAGCCUUAUAGUUUUCGGAAAUGGACUCGUGGUUCGAUGACAUGGCAACGCAAGGCUCGGUGAGUUGGCAUUCUAGGUGGCGCACGCGUGGUAGGUCGCGUCCCUUCAUCCUUCGUGGCGGUUAGAUGUACGCGUGGCAUCCGUAUGGCUGUGACUGUUCAGGAAUUGGUGAAUAGGCAUGAUGAAUGGACACUUCACUUCAUGGUUCAAUCUGGGCUGUCAGAUCACGAAACUAGUGCGAUCCAAUGGCUAAGACGAAUCAGACCAAGUGGUGCACCAGUUCCUGAAAUGUCACGCACCUAUUCCAUGGGACACUUCAAUCUCUAUAAAUAGAGAACCCCAGAUUCGUUUUUGACACACCAAAUCAAUUACAAAUUCAAUUGAUUUCUAAAUUCUUCUCUCUCCAUAUUUUGCUAAAAAAAAACUCUUAUACUUUCGUGGUUGUUCCGUUCGAGUACGAUCUUUCAUUGGUUCGACCGACAAGGUUGGUAUUGUGCAGUAUCAACUUUGGAAGGAGCAUUGUAUCUUGGGAGACAGACGUCCAUAAUCCCGUUUGCACUUCAUUGGGGGGCGAAAUCUGUCUUAAGGAGAUUUGUUUUAGCAUACCUCGCUUCAUCUACUUUUCAAUUUUUUUUUCUGCUUAUUUUAUUUGUUCUUUUGAUUGGGUUAGUCGAAUUACUGACAACAAUCUUAAGACAGAUUUUUAUUUUUUCAUUUCUUCUACAUUUCUAUUAUUGAUUAUUUUCUGUAAUUGUGGUUUUACAGAAAAUGGCUAGUACAUCAGAUAAUAAUACUAGCGCUGUGAUUGGUACCGUUGAAAGCAAUACUAAUGCUGUUAUUGCGCCAAAUUCUGGUUCCAAUCAAUUUAUCAUGCCACCAGCUUCACAAUAUGAGAAACCAAAAAAGUUCAAUGGCGCGGAUUUCAAACGUUGGCAACAGAAGAUGCUAUUCUAUUUGACAAUAUUGAACUUUGUAAAAUUUCUGCGUGAAGAAUGUCUUGCACAAACAUCGGAGAAUGCUACUGAUAAAAAUCCUCAGUUAGCUAUUGAAGCGUGGAAACAUGCAGAUUUCUUAUGCCGUAAUUACAUUCUCAAUGGACUAGAUAAAACUUUAUAUAGUGUGUAUUGUAAUUACAAGACGGCUAAAGAACUGUGGGAGUCUGUUGACAAAAAAUACAAAACCGAAGAUACCGGAACGAAGAAAUUCAUUGUCGGCACAUUUCUAGAUUUCAAGAUGACUGAUUCAAAGACAGUUAUGAGUCAGGUUCAAGAGAUACAAGUUCUACUUCACGAUAUUGAAGCUGAAGGUAUGACUUUGAGUGAAUCUUUCCAAAUUGCUGCUAUGAUCGAGAAACUACCUCCACUAUGGAAAGAUUUCAAAAAUUAUCUCAAGCAUAAACGGAAAGAGAUGACGAUGGAGGAUCCAGUUGAUCGACUUCGCAUUGAAGAAGACAACCGGGCUGCAGAAAAGAAGAAUAAUGUCCGUAACAUGGAAGUAAAGGCUAACAUGGUGGAAGACUCGGGGUCUAAGAACAAGAAAAGGAAGCGUUCUGGCUCAUCUAUGGACAAAGAAAAAGUCAACAAUGCAAAACUGUUCAAAGGCAAUUGUUAUACUUGCGGGAAGCCGAGACAUCGGGCUAAAGACUGUCGAAGCAAAAAGAAGGAUACACAGAAAAAGAAACCGCCCCAAGCUAAUAUAACCGAAGUGGAUAAAAUUUCUACGGAUGUUGGAGACAUGAACCUAUCUGCUGUUGUUUCUAAAGUUAAUUUGGUAUCUAAUGCCAAGGAUUGGUGGUUGGACACAGGAGCCACUCAUCACAACUAUGCAGAUAAGGGUCUAUUCGCUGAAUAUAAGACCUUGAAUCAUAAUGAGUGUCUUUACAUGGGAAAUUCUACAACAUCCAAUAUUGAAGGGAUUGGAAAGGUUAUUCUGAAAUUCACAUCAAGGAAGGAACUGACGCUUAAUGAAGUUGUACAUGUCCCAGAUAUCAGAAAGAAUUUGAUUUCAGGAGCUAUUCUUAAUAAGAAAGGAUUUAAAAUGGUGUUUGAAUCUGAUAGAUUUGUACUUACUAAGGGGGGCAUGUAUAUUGGGAAGGGUUAUUUACUUGAUGGUCUAUUUAAGGCCAAUGUUGUUGUAGUGGACAAAAAAUCCACAUAUCUGUAUCCACAAGUUAUCAAUAAAACUAAUGCUUCUAUUUACUUGCUUGAAUCUUCGAAUUUAUGGCAUAGCAGAUUAGGACAUGUAAAUUGUGCUUCCUUAAGAAAACUUGUAGGUUUAGGUCUUAUACCUAAACUUGACUCCGAAGAUAAACAUAAAUGUGAAAUUUGUGUUGAAGCAAAAUUUGCUAAAAAACCUUUUAACACAAUUGAAAGGAGUAGUGAACCGUUGUGUUUAAUACACAACGAUAUUUGUGAUCUAAAAUUUGUUCAGACUCGAGGUGGUAAAAAAUAUUUUAUCACGUUUAUAGAUGAUCACAAUAGAUAUUGCCAAGUUUAUUUAUUAAGUAGCAAAGACGAAGCAUUGAAUGCAUUUGUUACUUACAAAAACGAAGUUGAAAAUCAACUUGGAAAAACAAUUAAGGUAUUAAGAUCCGAUAGAGGUGGUGAAUAUGAUUCGUCUAUGUUUGAUGAAUUAUGUGCUAAGUUUGGUAUUAUUCACCAAACAACAGCCCUGUAUACUCCGCAGCAAAAUGGGAUUGCUGAGAGGAAAAAUAGAACUCUAAAAGAUAUGGUUAAUGCUAUGCUUAUAAGUUCUGGAUUACCACAAAACUUGUGGGGGGAAGCAGUGCUAGCUGCUAACUUUAUUCUGAAUAGAGUUCCCCAUAAGAAAAUUGGUUCGAUACCUUAUGAGUUAUGGAAAGGUAGAAUGCCUUCUUAUAAAUACUUAAAAGUGUGGGAGUGCCUAGCUAAAGUGGCUAUUCCACCUCCCAAAAGGAUUAAGUUAGGCCCUAAAACUAUUGAUUGCAUUUUUAUCGGAUAUGCAAUAAAGAGUAGUGCGUACAGAUUUCUUGUGCAUAAAUCUGAUAUAAGUGACAUUCAUGUCAAUACAAUUUUUGAAUCUCGAGAUGCUGAAUUCUUUGAAGAUAUGUUCCCUACUAAAAAAUAUAUUCGUGAGAAUACUCAAAAGAGAACACGAGAUAAUGCUAUUGAAAACAAUAUAGAACCUGAAUCAAGAAGGAGUAAAAGAGCAAAGGUCGCUAAAUCCUUUGGUCCAGACUUUAUUUCUUUCGUAAUUGAGAAAGAGCCCCAAACAUUUAAAGAAGCUGUGACUAGUCCAGAAUCCGUAUUCUGGAAGGAAGCUAUAAAUAGUGAAAUUGAAUCUAUUAUGAAUAAUAAUACUUGGCAAUUGGUUGAUCUUCCUAAGGGAACUAAACCAAUAGGAUGCAAAUGGAUCUUUAAAAGAAAGUUAAGAUCUGAUGGUUCAAUAGACAAAUACAAGGCUCGACUGGUUGCAAAAGGAUAUCGUCAGAAAGAAGGAAUUGAUUUCUUUGACACAUAUUCUCUAGUAACAAGAAUUACUUCUAUUCGGGUUUUAAUUGCUACUGCAGCCUUGUACAACUUACAAAUACAUCAAAUGGAUGUUAAGAUUGCAUUCCUGAAUGGUGAUUUAAACGAAAAAGUAUAUAUGGAACAGCCAGAAGGUUUCAUAGUGAAAGGACAAGAAAACAAAGUUUGCAAACUAGUUAAGUCCUUAUACGGUUUGAAGCAAGCUCCUAAACAAUGGCACGAAAAAUUUGACAGCGUCAUGAUUAGGAAUGGAUUCAUCAUAAAUGGAUGUGACAAAUGCGUAUAUUCAAAAAAGUUCGAAAAGGCAUACGUACUCGUAUGUUUGUAUGUUGAUGACAUGCUUAUAUUAGGGACUAAUAUAGAAGUCAUCAAUAGAACAAAGAAUAAACUUACCAAUAACUUUGACAUGAAAGAUAUGGGUGAAGCAGACGUGAUUCUAGGAAUAAAGAUAUCUAGAACAUCAAAUGGAAUAGUCUUAUCUCAAACCCAUUAUGUUGAUAAAAUAAUUGAGAGGUUUAAGACUCAUAAUAUUAAAGAGACUAGUAACCCAUUUCUUCCACAUAUAGUUCUUCACAAGAAUAGUGGAAAUGGGAAACAGCAGUUAGAAUAUUUCCAAAUUAUUGGUAGUUUAAUGUACCUGAUGAAUUGUACUAGACCUGAUAUAGCUUACGCGGUAAGUAAGCUGAGUCGUUACACAAGUAACCCAAGUAAUCAACAUUGGGAUGCAUUACUUAGAGUUUUGGGAUACUUGAAACGGAUGAGAGAGUAUUCAUUACAUUAUGGAAAAUAUCCUCUAGUAAUUGAAGGAUAUAGUGAUGCCAAUUGGAUAUCAGAUACAGACGAGUCAAAGUCUACCAGUGGCUAUGUAUUUACUCUCGGUGGUGGCGCUAUAUCAUGGAAAUCUUCUAAGCAAACGUGUAUAGCUCGAUCUACUAUAGAAUCUGAGUUUAUUGCUUUAGACAAAGCAGGAGAAGAAGCAGAAUGGUUAAGAUAUUUUAUAGAAGAUAUUCCUAUAUGGCCAAAGCCUGUGCCGGCUAUCUGUAUUCAUUGUGAUAACCAGGCCACAAUAGCCAGGGCUGAAAAUUUUGUUUAUAAUGGUAAGUCGAGACAUAUACGUCGCAGACAUAACACUGCUCGGCAGUUGCUCUCAAAUGGAACAAUAUCAAUUGAUUUUGUUAAGUCAAAAGAAAACCUAGCAGAUCCGUUCACUAAAGGGUUAUCUAGAGAGCGUAUAGACUACGCAUCGAGGGAAAUGGGUUUAAAGCCUAAAACCCAAUGAGUCAUCUUAGUGGAAACCUAACCUGACAACUGGAGAUCCCAUGGACUAGGUUCAAUAGGAAAACUAAUUAUGAAUGACUCGAUAAGAAGCACUUAGGAGUUUAACUCCUUCCCAUUUCUAUGAUGCAAAAAGUGCUGACUAUGAAGUGUAUUAAGGAUAAGCUUUGCUUUUAAUGAUGACUAUAAAUGGUACAAGUAAUUUCAGUAGGGUACUCUUUAUAGUGCAUCACCUAUGUUAGUGCGAACUUGGCCGGUUCUAUGAGAAUUUACUUAGGCGAAUUCUCUAAAGCACUCGCAGAACCCAAGUAGUUCAGGGUCGAAAUAAUGAACACAGUAGAGAACCAAGUUUGAUAUGAGAGAUAAUGUGUUUAGUCUGUUGUCUGAGCUUGCAAUAACGGCUGACAGUUCAAAAUGUUACAUUCACUGAUUAGCCAAGUGAGUUCGAUAGAUUCUUACUAAAAAAGGUUCAAAGCGAAAGCUACCUAUCUUGAUGCGUUAUCUCUCAAAUAGUACUCUUCUUCCGUCUUCCUUGAUUUGAGUCGACUUCUUCCAUUCAUGUGGGGGAUUGUUGGAAUUAAUUGAAUUUGAUUUGGGUUUAAAAUAUUAAAUGUAAUAUUUAAUGAUGUGGGCCAUUACAAUUAAUUUGGGUGAAUUGGAAAAGUCUCCAAUAUAGGCCUAUAUGUUGAUAAGCCCAUUUUAAGUGUUUUUAUAUGGAAAAGAGUCCCACAUCGAAAGUUUACAAGAAAAUAGUCUUGUUUAUAUAGUAGGUUGUGUGAAUAAUAUAUAAUUUAAUAAGUUACCUACCACUUGGCUAACUUUAGCUAGCCAAAGGCUAGCAAACUAGCCAAAGGCUAGUCUCCACUAGAGUGGUGCUUCGCACCACUAGCACCACUCCACAGACCCGGACCCGGUCCCAGCCAUGCACGUCGCAAAGUACGCAUUGGGCGCUUUAGAGGCGCACUUGGCACUUUGCACGUACGCAUCGUCGCGAGGAGCUAGGGAGCCUAUCAGAUUAUGAAAAUAGUGCGAUCCAAUGGCUAAGACGAAUCAGACCAAGUGGUGCACCAGUUCCUGAAAUGUCACACACCUAUUCCAUGAGACACUUCAAUCUCUAUAAAUAGAGAACCCCAGAUUCGUUUUUGACACACCAAAUCAAUUACAAAUUCAAUUGAUUUCUAAAUUCUUCUCUCUCCAUAUUCUGCUAAAAAAAAAAAAACUCUUAUAUUUUCAUGGUUAUUCCGUUCGAGUAUGAUCUUUCAUUGGUUCGACCGACAAGGUUGGUAUUGUGCAGUAUUGACUUUAGAAGGAGCGUUGUAUCUUGGAAGACAGACAUCCAUAAUCCCGUUUGUACUUCAUUGGGGGGGCGAAAUCUAUCUUAAGGAGAUUUGCUUUAGCGUACCUCGCUUCAUCUACUUUUCAAUUUUUUUUCUGCUUAUUUUAUUUGUUUUUUUGAUUGCGUUAGUCGAAUUACCGACAAAGAAAACUGUGUCAGGGGAUUAAUGCAUGGAGGAGCCAUUCCAAUGGGCAAUUCUGAAAUUUAAGUAAUAAAGCAAAUAAAAUCAAGUUGAAUGAAGAUAGUUCAAAAAUAAAAUCCUUUGAAAAUUCACAAAUUUACAAGAGAAUAUAGUUUCUAAAGAAGUAAAUAUCCAAACGCCCAAUUUUAAUAUUUUAUAUAUAAAGACAACAAAUAUAGGUUCAGAUUGCAGAAAAUAGAAAUAAAAAUUCGAACAAUGCAAAGGAAUAUUAAUCAAUUGCAAAAUGUAAAAAAACAAUAUAAAAAGGUGACAUGUAAGCACUUUAUAUAGCCGAUAAAUCUAUAUGGACAGGGUAACGUAGGCUUUGUCUAGAGGGCGCGUGUGGCGCCAAACCCCUUGUCAAUAGGGGGUGCCUUAUAUAGCCAAGCCCACCACAUCCAAUAUAAUAAUUUAUGAACAACCCAAGUAUCAAUUGAUCAAUAUUGACUAUCUUCAACAUGAAAAAUUUCAAGCCAAUUUAUAUUUGCACUUCAAAAAAAUAGAUUAAAAAAAAAAAAACGUUUUCCUUGUGGUCAGAUUGUGAUAAGGAGAUUAGGAUGAGAAUUCGAAUAGAUUCAGUCGUUAAAUAUUGAAUACGCAGUAAUUGUAUCAUUUACAUAAAAACAUCUUAGUUUUUUCUAGAGAUGGUAGUCGAGUGGGUUUGGGAUAGGGCUUAGACGGGUGGGGCGGUGGGUUGUCCCUUAUAUAUAUAUAUACACACAUACAUUUUCAAAAUUAAUUUUAGUUAUGCUAUUAUUAGAGAAUAAAAUAGAAAUUCAAAAUUUUAAAAUUCAAAGUAAAUAAUGCACAAGCCUUUAUUUUUAUUUAUUUAUUAUUAUUUUUUUAAGGGGGCGAACUCCGGUCUGGCCCCAUUUGAGACGUGGCGGGAUGACUUUUUUUGCCAUCUCUAAUUUUUUUCGUGCAAUCAAAUUUUGAUUAUGCAUAAUGUAGGAACUAGAGAAAGAGAGAGACGCGAUGGGGGCUUCUCAGAUGAAGACUCAAGUGAAGAUGAUGCUUGAUAAAACAAUAGAGCCACUUGAAGUACUGUCACCAACUCAAAUAAGUUGGUAAUGGCAUGCAAGAAGCAAUACAUAAACAGGGCCCAUGUGGCACUGUUUGAGAAGAGUUGUUCAUUAAGUAGGGACAAAAGGUCUGAUCAGACUGCAAGUAGAUUGGAAGUAAUAAUGCUUUCAAUAAUGAAAGCAAAUAAUUGCAUUAUGUUAGCAAAAUAAAUGCUAUCACUCUUUUGACAGGAUCUAGAUAGUCUUCAUUUUGGAUAAAAAAUGAAGUUACAAAAUUUUUUCAAGCAACAUAAAAUUAAUGGGAAUAAUUCAAUACAUUACUACGAAUGUUGUCUAUGCAAUUCCAUAAUUUGAAAUCAUCGUAUAAUUACAUUAUUAUCAAUAUUGCAAAUAUAGCAUCCUCAAUGUACAAAACUGACUAUCAUUCAAUAGUCGAAUAUCCAAUUCAAUUGCAUGGUUCAAAUCGUGGUUGAGGUCUCGAGGAGUCUGGUGUUGAUGUGGAGAAAAAAUGUUGUCGGUCGUCGACGUUGAUGUCGAUGACCUAGGUAGGAAAAAUCAAUUAUAUGGUAAAAAUUCCAAAUCUAGGUAUUGGGGGAGGAAUGAGAUUCAAGGCUUAGAGGAAGUUGGGAGGCAGAAAGUGGAUGAAAAAAAAAAAAGCGUUCAAAUUGUAGAAAAAGUGAAAAAAAAAACUAAAAUUAAAAAAGAAAAUUCCAAAAUUUUCAUGGGCUCAGCAAACCCCAUAUGACCCCACGUAACUCCAACCAUAAAUCAAUCUAAUGUCAUCACUUACUAUAAAAAAACUUACCCAAUUUAUAAUGCGCAACGGCAUGCAAGAAGCAAUACAUAAACAGGGCCCAUGUGGCACUGUUUGAGAAGAGUUGUUAAUUAAGUAGGGACAAAAGGUCUGAUCAGACUGCAAGUAGAUUGGAAGUAAUAAUGCUUUCAAUAAUGCAAGCAAAUAAUUGCAUUAUGUUAGCAAAAUAAAUGCUAUCACUCUUUUGACAGGAUCUAGAUAGUCUUCAUUUUCGAUAAAAAAUGAAGUUACAAAAUUUUUUCAAGCAACAUAAAAUUAAUGGGAAUAAUUCAAUACAUUACUACGAAUGUUGUCUAUGCAAUUCCAUAAUUUGAAAUCAUCGUAUAAUUACAUUAUUAUCAAUAUUGCAAAAAUAGCAUCCUCAAUGUACAAAACUGACUAUCAUUCAAUAGUCGAAUAUCCAAUUCAAUUGCAUGGUUCAAACCGUGGUUGAGGUCUUGAGAAGUCUGGUGUUGAUGUGGAGAAAAUAUGUGGUCGGUCGUCGACGUUGAUGUCGAUGACCUAGGUAGGAAAAAUCAAUUAUAUGGUAAAAAUUCCAAAUCUAGGUAUUGGGGGAGGAAUGAGAUUCAAGGCUUAGAGGAAGUUGGGAGGCAGAAAGUGGAUGAAAAAAAAAAAAGCGUUCAAAUUGUAGAAAAAGUGAAAAAAAAAACUAAAAUUAAAAAAGAAAAUUCCAAAAUUUUCAUGGGCUCAGCAAACCCCAUAUGACCCCACGUAACUCCAACCAUAAAUCAAUCUAAUGUCAUCACUUACUAUAAAAAAACUUACCCAAUUUAUAAUGCGUUAAUUGACUUACACGUAAAACAUUAGGAUCAUGUUUUUUAAGCCGUUUGGGACAAAAAUCUUCAGUGUCUCUUUUUGAGCCCUUUACAAAUCUAUCCACUUCAACAUAUAAAAUAAGUGUUGUACAGUGGAAAAUAAUAUUACACAUCAUUCUUCUUUACUUCUGUAAAUUUUAUCUCGGAUUCAUGAGAAUAUUUCUCGUGGUUGAGGUCUUGAGGAGUCUGGUGUUGAUGUGGAGAAAAAAUGUGGUCGGUCGUCGACGUUGAUGUCGAUGACCUAGGUAGGAAAAAUCAAUUAUAUGGUAAAAAUUCCAAAUCUAGGUAUUGGGGGAGGAAUGAGAUUCAAGGCUUAGAGGAAAUUGGGAGGCAGAAAGUGGAUGAAAAAAAAAAAAAAAAAAAAAGUAAAGAUUAUUACCCCAUGGUUGUCUGCACCGAACCAUGUUUAAUUUAUAUUUUUCUUUUUUUAGCUCGUUUUGUAUUUUUUGUUUUAAAAAAUCACUGCAAAAAUUUAUAUGUGAGAAAGAAAAUAAAAGAAGUAUAAAUGGAUAAAUAUAUAAGUGACCCCUACGAAACAAGAUAAAGCAAAUAGACAAAGAGGGAAACACUAUAUUAUAAUUAAAUGACAUUAUUUGAAUAUGAACAAUUAGAUUUUAUUAAUAAAGAUGAAUUAUGUGUGACAAAUGUUAUUAAUCAUCACAAGGAAAUGAUACUUGUACAAAUGAUCCUUUAAGAGGAUAAGUUUAUUUUUAUUAAAGUAUAUAUAAAAUUAAUUGCAAGAUGGAUGGAAGCCAUCGAAAAUGACCUUUUUACUUUCACACAACAUCAAUAUGUUGAGGGGGCCAACGCAAUGAUAGUAACAUUAGGGACCAUUUCCACACAAGGGCCUUACAUUAAGGACGAUCUAUACCGAUUCCUUGUUAAUUAAUACUCCACCUUUGUGCUCGCUUGAAUUUAAAAAAAAAAAAAAAAAGUUUUAUUGUGGAAAUGCCUCAACGUAUGGAUCUAUUGAUACCCUUACCCUUUUUAAAUUGGUGGAAACCCCCCGUAUGAACUUUGAAGUGCGGAACCCAUUGUCUUUCAUUUUCUCAUAAAUCCCUAUGAAAUGACGAUUUGGGAAAAAAUAGUAGAGAAGACAGUUUGGUAUGUUAAAUUAGAUGUAAUAUGCUAUGAAUAAGGGCAGUAAACAAAAGCACUAUAAUUUCAAAAAUGUGGAGAAACACAACUAUAUGGUUUGUGAUCUAAAAUGAAGGUUAUUAUGCACAUAAAAAUUGCAAAGAUUCAAAUCAACAGGACACGAUGAGUGGGGGCAUGACAAUAUUGCUAGAAUAUAACCCAAAUUUCUAUUGGGAUUAGGAUUGGGUUGGUAUAUUGAUAAAAGGAAAUGGAGUCUUCUUGGUUUGGAAGUUCGAUUGAAAAAGAGAAUGAAAGUUCAUCAAUGGAUGGAAAUUUGAUUGGUAAAGGAACUUUGGAAAAUUGAAGACUUGGUUUUGAAAUUUUGGUGNNNNNNNNNNNNNNNNNNNNNNNNNNNNNNNNNNNNNNNNNNNNNNNNNNNNNNNNNNNNNNNNNNNNNNNNNNNNNNNNNNNNNNNNNNNNNNNNNNNNNNNNNNNNNNNNNNNNNNNNNNNNNNNNNNNNNNNNNNNNNNNNNNNNNNNNNNNNNNNNNNNNNNNNNNNNNNNNNNNNNNNNNNNNNNNNNNNNNNNNNNNNNNNNNNNNNNNNNNNNNNNNNNNNNNNNNNNNNNNNNNNNNNNNNNNNNNNNNNNNNNNNNNNNNNNNNNNNNNNNNNNNNNNNNNNNNNNNNNNNNNNNNNNNNNNNNNNNNNNNNNNNNNNNNNNNNNNNNNNNNNNNNNNNNNNNNNNNNNNNNNNNNNNNNNNNNNNNNNNNNNNNNNNNNNNNNNNNNNNNNNNNNNNNNNNNNNNNNNNNNNNNNNNNNNNNNNNNNNNNNNNNNNNNNNNNNNNNNNNNNNNNNNNNNNNNNNNNNNNNNNNNNNNNNNNNNNNNNNNNNNNNNNNNNNNNNNNNNNNNNNNNNNNNNNNNNNNNNNNNNNNNNNNNNNNNNNNNNNNNNNNNNNNNNNNNNNNNNNNNNNNNNNNNNNNNNNNNNNNNNNNNNNNNNNNNNNNNNNNNNNNNNNNNNNNNNNNNNNNNNNNNNNNNNNNNNNNNNNNNNNNNNNNNNNNNNNNNNNNNNNNNNNNNNNNNNNNNNNNNNNNNNNNNNNNNNNNNNNNNNNNNNNNNNNNNNNNNNNNNNNNNNNNNNNNNNNNNNNNNNNNNNNNNNNNNNNNNNNNNNNNNNNNNNNNNNNNNNNNNNNNNNNNNNNNNNNNNNNNNNNNNNNNNNNNNNNNNNNNNNNNNNNNNNNNNNNNNNNNNNNNNNNNNNNNNNNNNNNNNNNNNNNNNNNNNNNNNNNNNNNNNNNNNNNNNNNNNNNNNNNNNNNNNNNNNNNNNNNNNNNNNNNNNNNNNNNNNNNNNNNNNNNNNNNNNNNNNNNNNNNNNNNNNNNNNNNNNNNNNNNNNNNNNNNNNNNNNNNNNNNNNNNNNNNNNNNNNNNNNNNNNNNNNNNNNNNNNNNNNNNNNNNNNNNNNNNNNNNNNNNNNNNNNNNNNNNNNNNNNNNNNNNNNNNNNNNNNNNNNNNNNNNNNNNNNNNNNNNNNNNNNNNNNNNNNNNNNNNNNNNNNNNNNNNNNNNNNNNNNNNNNNNNNNNNNNNNNNNNNNNNNNNNNNNNNNNNNNNNNNNNNNNNNNNNNNNNNNNNNNNNNNNNNNNNNNNNNNNNNNNNNNNNNNNNNNNNNNNNNNNNNNNNNNNNNNNNNNNNNNNNNNNNNNNNNNNNNNNNNNNNNNNNNNNNNNNNNNNNNNNNNNNNNNNNNNNNNNNNNNNNNNNNNNNNNNNNNNNNNNNNNNNNNNNNNNNNNNNNNNNNNNNNNNNNNNNNNNNNNNNNNNNNNNNNNNNNNNNNNNNNNNNNNNNNNNNNNNNNNNNNNNNNNNNNNNNNNNNNNNNNNNNNNNNNNNNNNNNNNNNNNNNNNNNNNNNNNNNNNNNNNNNNNNNNNNNNNNNNNNNNNNNNNNNNNNNNNNNNNNNNNNNNNNNNNNNNNNNNNNNNNNNNNNNNNNNNNNNNNNNNNNNNNNNNNNNNNNNNNNNNNNNNNNNNNNNNNNNNNNNNNNNNNNNNNNNNNNNNNNNNNNNNNNNNNNNNNNNNNNNNNNNNNNNNNNNNNNNNNNNNNNNNNNNNNNNNNNNNNNNNNNNNNNNNNNNNNNNNNNNNNNNNNNNNNNNNNNNNNNNNNNNNNNNNNNNNNNNNNNNNNNNNNNNNNNNNNNNNNNNNNNNNNNNNNNNNNNNNNNNNNNNNNNNNNNNNNNNNNNNNNNNNNNNNNNNNNNNNNNNNNNNNNNNNNNNNNNNNNNNNNNNNNNNNNNNNNNNNNNNNNNNNNNNNNNNNNNNNNNNNNNNNNNNNNNNNNNNNNNNNNNNNNNNNNNNNNNNNNNNNNNNNNNNNNNNNNNNNNNNNNNNNNNNNNNNNNNNNNNNNNNNNNNNNNNNNNNNNNNNNNNNNNNNNNNNNNNNNNNNNNNNNNNNNNNNNNNNNNNNNNNNNNNNNNNNNNNNNNNNNNNNNNNNNNNNNNNNNNNNNNNNNNNNNNNNNNNNNNNNNNNNNNNNNNNNNNNNNNNNNNNNNNNNNNNNNNNNNNNNNNNNNNNNNNNNNNNNNNNNNNNNNNNNNNNNNNNNNNNNNNNNNNNNNNNNNNNNNNNNNNNNNNNNNNNNNNNNNNNNNNNNNNNNNNNNNNNNNNNNNNNNNNNNNNNNNNNNNNNNNNNNNNNNNNNNNNNNNNNNNNNNNNNNNNNNNNNNNNNNNNNNNNNNNNNNNNNNNNNNNNNNNNNNNNNNNNNNNNNNNNNNNNNNNNNNNNNNNNNNNNNNNNNNNNNNNNNNNNNNNNNNNNNNNNNNNNNNNNNNNNNNNNNNNNNNNNNNNNNNNNNNNNNNNNNNNNNNNNNNNNNNNNNNNNNNNNNNNNNNNNNNNNNNNNNNNNNNNNNNNNNNNNNNNNNNNNNNNNNNNNNNNNNNNNNNNNNNNNNNNNNNNNNNNNNNNNNNNNNNNNNNNNNNNNNNNNNNNNNNNNNNNNNNNNNNNNNNNNNNNNNNNNNNNNNNNNNNNNNNNNNNNNNNNNNNNNNNNNNNNNNNNNNNNNNNNNNNNNNNNNNNNNNNNNNNNNNNNNNNNNNNNNNNNNNNNNNNNNNNNNNNNNNNNNNNNNNNNNNNNNNNNNNNNNNNNNNNNNNNNNNNNNNNNNNNNNNNNNNNNNNNNNNNNNNNNNNNNNNNNNNNNNNNNNNNNNNNNNNNNNNNNNNNNNNNNNNNNNNNNNNNNNNNNNNNNNNNNNNNNNNNNNNNNNNNNNNNNNNNNNNNNNNNNNNNNNNNNNNNNNNNNNNNNNNNNNNNNNNNNNNNNNNNNNNNNNNNNNNNNNNNNNNNNNNNNNNNNNNNNNNNNNNNNNNNNNNNNNNNNNNNNNNNNNNNNNNNNNNNNNNNNNNNNNNNNNNNNNNNNNNNNNNNNNNNNNNNNNNNNNNNNNNNNNNNNNNNNNNNNNNNNNNNNNNNNNNNNNNNNNNNNNNNNNNNNNNNNNNNNNNNNNNNNNNNNNNNNNNNNNNNNNNNNNNNNNNNNNNNNNNNNNNNNNNNNNNNNNNNNNNNNNNNNNNNNNNNNNNNNNNNNNNNNNNNNNNNNNNNNNNNNNNNNNNNNNNNNNNNNNNNNNNNNNNNNNNNNNNNNNNNNNNNNNNNNNNNNNNNNNNNNNNNNNNNNNNNNNNNNNNNNNNNNNNNNNNNNNNNNNNNNNNNNNNNNNNNNNNNNNNNNNNNNNNNNNNNNNNNNNNNNNNNNNNNNNNNNNNNNNNNNNNNNNNNNNNNNNNNNNNNNNNNNNNNNNNNNNNNNNNNNNNNNNNNNNNNNNNNNNNNNNNNNNNNNNNNNNNNNNNNNNNNNNNNNNNNNNNNNNNNNNNNNNNNNNNNNNNNNNNNNNNNNNNNNNNNNNNNNNNNNNNNNNNNNNNNNNNNNNNNNNNNNNNNNNNNNNNNNNNNNNNNNNNNNNNNNNNNNNNNNNNNNNNNNNNNNNNNNNNNNNNNNNNNNNNNNNNNNNNNNNNNNNNNNNNNNNNNNNNNNNNNNNNNNNNNNNNNNNNNNNNNNNNNNNNNNNNNNNNNNNNNNNNNNNNNNNNNNNNNNNNNNNNNNNNNNNNNNNNNNNNNNNNNNNNNNNNNNNNNNNNNNNNNNNNNNNNNNNNNNNNNNNNNNNNNNNNNNNNNNNNNNNNNNNNNNNNNNNNNNNNNNNNNNNNNNNNNNNNNNNNNNNNNNNNNNNNNNNNNNNNNNNNNNNNNNNNNNNNNNNNNNNNNNNNNNNNNNNNNNNNNNNNNNNNNNNNNNNNNNNNNNNNNNNNNNNNNNNNNNNNNNNNNNNNNNNNNNNNNNNNNNNNNNNNNNNNNNNNNNNNNNNNNNNNNNNNNNNNNNNNNNNNNNNNNNNNNNNNNNNNNNNNNNNNNNNNNNNNNNNNNNNNNNNNNNNNNNNNNNNNNNNNNNNNNNNNNNNNNNNNNNNNNNNNNNNNNNNNNNNNNNNNNNNNNNNNNNNNNNNNNNNNNNNNNNNNNNNNNNNNNNNNNNNNNNNNNNNNNNNNNNNNNNNNNNNNNNNNNNNNNNNNNNNNNNNNNNNNNNNNNNNNNNNNNNNNNNNNNNNNNNNNNNNNNNNNNNNNNNNNNNNNNNNNNNNNNNNNNNNNNNNNNNNNNNNNNNNNNNNNNNNNNNNNNNNNNNNNNNNNNNNNNNNNNNNNNNNNNNNNNNNNNNNNNNNNNNNNNNNNNNNNNNNNNNNNNNNNNNNNNNNNNNNNNNNNNNNNNNNNNNNNNNNNNNNNNNNNNNNNNNNNNNNNNNNNNNNNNNNNNNNNNNNNNNNNNNNNNNNNNNNNNNNNNNNNNNNNNNNNNNNNNNNNNNNNNNNNNNNNNNNNNNNNNNNNNNNNNNNNNNNNNNNNNNNNNNNNNNNNNNNNNNNNNNNNNNNNNNNNNNNNNNNNNNNNNNNNNNNNNNNNNNNNNNNNNNNNNNNNNNNNNNNNNNNNNNNNNNNNNNNNNNNNNNNNNNNNNNNNNNNNNNNNNNNNNNNNNNNNNNNNNNNNNNNNNNNNNNNNNNNNNNNNNNNNNNNNNNNNNNNNNNNNNNNNNNNNNNNNNNNNNNNNNNNNNNNNNNNNNNNNNNNNNNNNNNNNNNNNNNNNNNNNNNNNNNNNNNNNNNNNNNNNNNNNNNNNNNNNNNNNNNNNNNNNNNNNNNNNNNNNNNNNNNNNNNNNNNNNNNNNNNNNNNNNNNNNNNNNNNNNNNNNNNNNNNNNNNNNNNNNNNNNNNNNNNNNNNNNNNNNNNNNNNNNNNNNNNNNNNNNNNNNNNNNNNNNNNNNNNNNNNNNNNNNNNNNNNNNNNNNNNNNNNNNNNNNNNNNNNNNNNNNNNNNNNNNNNNNNNNNNNNNNNNNNNNNNNNNNNNNNNNNNNNNNNNNNNNNNNNNNNNNNNNNNNNNNNNNNNNNNNNNNNNNNNNNNNNNNNNNNNNNNNNNNNNNNNNNNNNNNNNNNNNNNNNNNNNNNNNNNNNNNNNNNNNNNNNNNNNNNNNNNNNNNNNNNNNNNNNNNNNNNNNNNNNNNNNNNNNNNNNNNNNNNNNNNNNNNNNNNNNNNNNNNNNNNNNNNNNNNNNNNNNNNNNNNNNNNNNNNNNNNNNNNNNNNNNNNNNNNNNNNNNNNNNNNNNNNNNNNNNNNNNNNNNNNNNNNNNNNNNNNNNNNNNNNNNNNNNNNNNNNNNNNNNNNNNNNNNNNNNNNNNNNNNNNNNNNNNNNNNNNNNNNNNNNNNNNNNNNNNNNNNNNNNNNNNNNNNNNNNNNNNNNNNNNNNNNNNNNNNNNNNNNNNNNNNNNNNNNNNNNNNNNNNNNNNNNNNNNNNNNNNNNNNNNNNNNNNNNNNNNNNNNNNNNNNNNNNNNNNNNNNNNNNNNNNNNNNNNNNNNNNNNNNNNNNNNNNNNNNNNNNNNNNNNNNNNNNNNNNNNNNNNNNNNNNNNNNNNNNNNNNNNNNNNNNNNNNNNNNNNNNNNNNNNNNNNNNNNNNNNNNNNNNNNNNNNNNNNNNNNNNNNNNNNNNNNNNNNNNNNNNNNNNNNNNNNNNNNNNNNNNNNNNNNNNNNNNNNNNNNNNNNNNNNNNNNNNNNNNNNNNNNNNNNNNNNNNNNNNNNNNNNNNNNNNNNNNNNNNNNNNNNNNNNNNNNNNNNNNNNNNNNNNNNNNNNNNNNNNNNNNNNNNNNNNNNNNNNNNNNNNNNNNNNNNNNNNNNNNNNNNNNNNNNNNNNNNNNNNNNNNNNNNNNNNNNNNNNNNNNNNNNNNNNNNNNNNNNNNNNNNNNNNNNNNNNNNNNNNNNNNNNNNNNNNNNNNNNNNNNNNNNNNNNNNNNNNNNNNNNNNNNNNNNNNNNNNNNNNNNNNNNNNNNNNNNNNNNNNNNNNNNNNNNNNNNNNNNNNNNNNNNNNNNNNNNNNNNNNNNNNNNNNNNNNNNNNNNNNNNNNNNNNNNNNNNNNNNNNNNNNNNNNNNNNNNNNNNNNNNNNNNNNNNNNNNNNNNNNNNNNNNNNNNNNNNNNNNNNNNNNNNNNNNNNNNNNNNNNNNNNNNNNNNNNNNNNNNNNNNNNNNNNNNNNNNNNNNNNNNNNNNNNNNNNNNNNNNNNNNNNNNNNNNNNNNNNNNNNNNNNNNNNNNNNNNNNNNNNNNNNNNNNNNNNNNNNNNNNNNNNNNNNNNNNNNNNNNNNNNNNNNNNNNNNNNNNNNNNNNNNNNNNNNNNNNNNNNNNNNNNNNNNNNNNNNNNNNNNNNNNNNNNNNNNNNNNNNNNNNNNNNNNNNNNNNNNNNNNNNNNNNNNNNNNNNNNNNNNNNNNNNNNNNNNNNNNNNNNNNNNNNNNNNNNNNNNNNNNNNNNNNNNNNNNNNNNNNNNNNNNNNNNNNNNNNNNNNNNNNNNNNNNNNNNNNNNNNNNNNNNNNNNNNNNNNNNNNNNNNNNNNNNNNNNNNNNNNNNNNNNNNNNNNNNNNNNNNNNNNNNNNNNNNNNNNNNNNNNNNNNNNNNNNNNNNNNNNNNNNNNNNNNNNNNNNNNNNNNNNNNNNNNNNNNNNNNNNNNNNNNNNNNNNNNNNNNNNNNNNNNNNNNNNNNNNNNNNNNNNNNNNNNNNNNNNNNNNNNNNNNNNNNNNNNNNNNNNNNNNNNNNNNNNNNNNNNNNNNNNNNNNNNNNNNNNNNNNNNNNNNNNNNNNNNNNNNNNNNNNNNNNNNNNNNNNNNNNNNNNNNNNNNNNNNNNNNNNNNNNNNNNNNNNNNNNNNNNNNNNNNNNNNNNNNNNNNNNNNNNNNNNNNNNNNNNNNNNNNNNNNNNNNNNNNNNNNNNNNNNNNNNNNNNNNNNNNNNNNNNNNNNNNNNNNNNNNNNNNNNNNNNNNNNNNNNNNNNNNNNNNNNNNNNNNNNNNNNNNNNNNNNNNNNNNNNNNNNNNNNNNNNNNNNNNNNNNNNNNNNNNNNNNNNNNNNNNNNNNNNNNNNNNNNNNNNNNNNNNNNNNNNNNNNNNNNNNNNNNNNNNNNNNNNNNNNNNNNNNNNNNNNNNNNNNNNNNNNNNNNNNNNNNNNNNNNNNNNNNNNNNNNNNNNNNNNNNNNNNNNNNNNNNNNNNNNNNNNNNNNNNNNNNNNNNNNNNNNNNNNNNNNNNNNNNNNNNNNNNNNNNNNNNNNNNNNNNNNNNNNNNNNNNNNNNNNNNNNNNNNNNNNNNNNNNNNNNNNNNNNNNNNNNNNNNNNNNNNNNNNNNNNNNNNNNNNNNNNNNNNNNNNNNNNNNNNNNNNNNNNNNNNNNNNNNNNNNNNNNNNNNNNNNNNNNNNNNNNNNNNNNNNNNNNNNNNNNNNNNNNNNNNNNNNNNNNNNNNNNNNNNNNNNNNNNNNNNNNNNNNNNNNNNNNNNNNNNNNNNNNNNNNNNNNNNNNNNNNNNNNNNNNNNNNNNNNNNNNNNNNNNNNNNNNNNNNNNNNNNNNNNNNNNNNNNNNNNNNNNNNNNNNNNNNNNNNNNNNNNNNNNNNNNNNNNNNNNNNNNNNNNNNNNNNNNNNNNNNNNNNNNNNNNNNNNNNNNNNNNNNNNNNNNNNNNNNNNNNNNNNNNNNNNNNNNNNNNNNNNNNNNNNNNNNNNNNNNNNNNNNNNNNNNNNNNNNNNNNNNNNNNNNNNNNNNNNNNNNNNNNNNNNNNNNNNNNNNNNNNNNNNNNNNNNNNNNNNNNNNNNNNNNNNNNNNNNNNNNNNNNNNNNNNNNNNNNNNNNNNNNNNNNNNNNNNNNNNNNNNNNNNNNNNNNNNNNNNNNNNNNNNNNNNNNNNNNNNNNNNNNNNNNNNNNNNNNNNNNNNNNNNNNNNNNNNNNNNNNNNNNNNNNNNNNNNNNNNNNNNNNNNNNNNNNNNNNNNNNNNNNNNNNNNNNNNNNNNNNNNNNNNNNNNNNNNNNNNNNNNNNNNNNNNNNNNNNNNNNNNNNNNNNNNNNNNNNNNNNNNNNNNNNNNNNNNNNNNNNNNNNNNNNNNNNNNNNNNNNNNNNNNNNNNNNNNNNNNNNNNNNNNNNNNNNNNNNNNNNNNNNNNNNNNNNNNNNNNNNNNNNNNNNNNNNNNNNNNNNNNNNNNNNNNNNNNNNNNNNNNNNNNNNNNNNNNNNNNNNNNNNNNNNNNNNNNNNNNNNNNNNNNNNNNNNNNNNNNNNNNNNNNNNNNNNNNNNNNNNNNNNNNNNNNNNNNNNNNNNNNNNNNNNNNNNNNNNNNNNNNNNNNNNNNNNNNNNNNNNNNNNNNNNNNNNNNNNNNNNNNNNNNNNNNNNNNNNNNNNNNNNNNNNNNNNNNNNNNNNNNNNNNNNNNNNNNNNNNNNNNNNNNNNNNAAGGAAAGAGGAAAAAAAAAAAAAAAAAAAAAAAGCGUUCAAAUUGUAGAAAAAGUGAAAAAAAAAACUAAAAUUAAAAAUGAAAAUUCCAAAAUUUUCAUGGGCUCAGCAAACCCCAUAUGACCCCACGUAACUCCAACCAUAAAUCAAUCUAAUGUCAUCACUUACUAUAAAAAAACUUACCCAAUUUAUAAUGCAUUAAUUGACUUACACGUAAAACAUUAAGAUCAUGUUUUUUAAGCCGUUUGGGACAAAAAUCUUCAGUGUCUCUUUUUGAGCCCUUUACAAAUCUAUCCACUUCAACAUAUAUGUACAAAUGAUCCAUUAAGAGCAUAAGUUUAUUUCUAUUAAAGUAUAUAUACUAUUAAUUGCAAGAUGGAUGGGAACCAUUGAAAAUGACCUUUUUUUUUUUUUUACACAACAUCAAUACGUUGAGGGGGUUAAUGCAACGAUUGUAACAUUAGGGACCAUUUCCACACAAGGGCCUUACAUUAAGGACGAUCUAUACCGAUUCCUUGUUAAUUAAUACUCCACCUUUGUGCUCGCUUGAAUUUAAAAAAAAAAAAAAAAAAGUUUUAUUGUGGAAAUGCCUCAACGUAUGGAUCAAUUGCCAAAUACCCUUACCUUUUUAAAUUGGUGGAAACCCCCUGUAUGAACUUUGAAGUGCGGAACCCAUUUUUUUCAUUUUCUCAUAAAUCCCUAUGAAAUGACGAUUUGGGAAAAAAAUAGUAGAGAAGAUGGUUUGGUAUGUUAAAUUAGAUGUAAUAUGCUAUGAAUAAGGUCAGUGAACAAAAGUACUAUAAGUUCAAAAAUGUGGAGAAACACAACUAUAUGGUUUGUGAUCUGAAAUGAAGGUUAUUAUGCACAUAAAAAUUGCAAAGAUUCAAUCAACAACACACGAUGAGUGGGGGCAUGACGAUAUUGCUAGAAUAUGACCGAAAUUUCUAUUGGGAUUAGGAUUGGGUUGGUAUAUUGAUAAAAGGAAAUGGAGUCUUCUUGGUUUGGAAGUUCGAUUGAAAAAGAUGACUAAAGUUCAUCAAUGAUUGAAAUUUUGAUUGGUAAAAGAAUUUUGAAAAAUUGAAGACUUGGUUUUGAAAUUUUGGUGGAUGAAAAAUCGUCGCAAUUUCACUAACUGGCAGCUAACUUUGGUGUUCAAGAAUUAGAGGUGAAAAUUGGAGCAGAGAGAUGCUGCAUUACUCGCUUAGCGUCACCUGGCACUAGAGUGAUAGUGUUAUUCGGACAGGAAUCCUUUUUUGAUUCUGACUACUUUCUUGAGUUGUAUUUCAUCCAAAAUACUAGUAAUGGAUCCUAUAUAUAUAUAUAUUCCAUGUGAUAUAGGCUCUUAAAAGGAUAAAUUAACAAUAAAAUCAUAGUUAUAUAGAUUAAAAACUUGUGAUGGUUAUUUAAAUUUAGAUUGAGAGUAUCAAAUCUCGUAAAGCAAUUUUAGUUUCUUGAUAUAUUAAAAUUACUCUCUUCUUUCAUAUAAAUCUUGUGUUCUUAUGUGAUCCAUUAUUUUUCAUAUUGCUCUUAUUUUCUCGUCUUUAUUAUUUGGCCGCUUUACCUUUAGAAUUCCAUAUGAUUCAUCAAGAACUAUGUAUUGAAAAUAGAAGAUACGAGUCAGCUGGAAGAAGAAGUUUAGCUGAAGCAUUGACAUAAUCAGCAAGAAAUUGGCCAGGUUGGAUUAAUGACAGGACAAAUGACGAAGCAACAAUAGAAGAAUGAUCUUGAAGAGGAUUAGUUAGAUUUUGUUAUUGUACAGCAAAAGAAAAAUCUAGAAGAAUAAUUAGCUAUUUUUUUGUGUAAGUUAGUUAAGGAAGAUUCCUUCAUUUUGUAUAUAUAUAGGGGCUCUAUUUUACAUAACACACGGUGAAUUGAAUACAAUUUCAUUCUUCUCCGAGUUCAUCAAUAUCAGAAUUUUUAUCUUUUAAAAUCUAACAUGGUAUCAAAGUUAGAAAUGGAGGAAUCCAAUUCAGGAAACACAAAUCCCACCCCAAAUACAAAAACCAGCUCAAGCCAAAUCCAAAACCAAACUGGAGAAGGGAACUUAGGUGUCCUUUCUCUUGAUCCAACUCAUCCCAGCGGCCCUUAUUAUAUAGGUAGCAAUGAUGGAAGUACUGUCAUGCUGGUCACCCAUGCCUUGUGCUCUAGCAAUUAUUAUUCCUGGGCUUGAUCAAUGAGAAGAGCAUUGAGAAUAAAAAAUAAGCUGGGGUUCAUAGAUGGUAGUCUUUGUGAACGAAAAGAUCUAAAUAAUCCAUUGAUGGAACAUUAGUUAAGGUGCAAUGACAUUGUCAUAACGUGGUUGCAGAAUGCCAUGGCAAUUGAUAUCAAGAGUAGCACCAUGAAACAGCUCACCUUUUCUGGCUUGACCUUGAACAGCGCUUCUCCUAGCUAAACGCUCCACGCAUCUUUGAAGUAAAGAAGGAUAUCACAACCUAGAUGCAAAAUCAAGACUCGAUGAGUGUUUACUUCUCAAAACUCUCUUAGAUGAACUGUUGAAUUAUGAAAGUAUUCCCAAUUGUACGUGUGAAGAUCUAAAAACUGUUGUUUAAAAUCAAUAAAGGGAAUGGGUUAUGAAAUUCUUGAUGGGGCUAAAUGAUUCUUACAAAGAGAUUAAGGCCUAGAUCUUAUUGAUUAAGCCAUUUUCCAGCCUGAAUGAGGUAUAUUCAUUAAUCCAGCAAGAGGAUAAGAGGUGGGAGAUAUCUAAUCUAGUUUCUAUUAAAUCUGACUCCAUGAUUUUUUUAAGCGAAAGGGAUUCUAGAGAAGGAGAAAACCAACAUUUUUCAUCACUGAAGGGGGACAAAUAUUAUUGCACUCAUUGCAGGGUUGUAGGCCAUUCCAUUGAACGAUGCUUCAAGGCAAAUCCAAGUAGGCUAAUAUGCUCUUACUGUAAGACGCUGGGACACGAAGUGAACAAAUGUUUUAAACUCCAUGGAUUUCCACCACGCCACAAGUUGAAUAGCAGAGGAAAGCAUGAGGCCAACGUGGUCUCUACCAGCAUGAUAGACAAUCAAGAAGUGGUAAAGGACAAGGGUAAAAUAUCCUUAAGUCAAGAUCAAUACUCUUAGCUGAUGGCACUACUCAAACUAGCAACAGGCACUCAUCACUCCACCCUUUCAUCAAACAACGUCCAAACACUUGCUAGUCCUUUCUCAUCUGAUGAUUUCACUCGCAAAAUGUCUAGUAUGUCUCUAUGCUUAACUGCCUUUCAUCGUAGGCAGGGAAAUAUUUAUAAAAUUCCAUGGAUUCUUGACACAGGAGCAACAUAUCACAUGAUCUGCUCCACCACUCGUUUUACAUCUAUUCAAGCUAAUGUGUGCUUUUUUGUGGUCCUACCAAACGGAGAAAACAUCCUUGUCACUCAUGUAGGAACUGUCAAAAUCUCAGAAGCAAUUACCUUACAUAAUGUCCUUUGUAUUCCAGUUUCACUUUCAAUUUAAUUUGAAUAAAGAAGCUUCUCAAUCUCUAAAUGGCUAUCUUGUCUUCUUCUCUAAUCACUAUUAUAUCCAGGACCUUUCGACUUGGAGAAUGACUGGAAUGGGUGAAGUGAAAAAUGGAUUGUAUCAUAUGGUGAGAAAAGAAGUCUCUCAUUCAGCUUUAUUGAAUGCUUGCAAACAGUUCAAGCGUCUGUCCUCUUUUUUCCCAUCUGCCACCAAUAAUCACAAAGAAUUUGAUCUAUGGCGUUACAGAUUAGGGCACUCUUCAUAUUUUGAAUUUAGUUCUAAUGGGAACAUCCACAUACCUGCUUCUUCUAGCAUAAAUCAUUGCUUCAUUUGUCCUCUAGCAAAACAACAUAGACUGCCUUUUAAUGUAAGCCAUCACAUAAUAAUAAUAAUAAUAAUAAUAAUAAUAAUAAUAAUAAUAAUAAUAAUAAUAAUAAUAAUAAUAAUAAUGCUUUGAACUAAUACAUUGUGACAUAUGGGGGCCUUGUGAUGAAUUCAGCAGAGAGGGUUCUAAGUAUUUUCUAUCUAUUGUUGGCAAUUUAAGUAGAUACACAUGGAUCUAUAUGUUAAGACUCAAAUCCAAUGCCAUCGCUGCUUUACAAAACUAUUAUGCCAUGAUAGAAACUCAAUUUGAAGCUAAGAUUAAAAUCAUUUGAACAGAUAAUUGAUGUGAAUUUAACAUGACUGAAUUUUACUUAAAGAAGAGGAUAAUGCACCAAAGAAUAUGUGUUGAAACCCUAGAACAAAAUGCCAUUGUGGAAAGAAAGCACCAACAUAUCUUAAAUGUAGCAAGAGCCUUGAAAUUCAAAAGUGGUCUGCCUUUGAAAUAUUGGAAUGACUUCGUGUUGUCGGCUGUAUACCUCAUAAACAAAACACCAUCUCCCCUCUUGAACCACAAAAGCCCUUUUGAGAUACUGUUUCAAACCAAACCAAACUACAGUCACUUAAAAGUGUUUGGGUGCCUAGCUUUUGCCACCACUCUUAUCAAUGGUAGGACAAGUUUGAUCCUAGGUCAAGGAGAUGUGCGUUCAUUAGUUAUCCUUUUGGUAUGAAGGGAUACAGAUUACUUGCUUUAAAGAUAAUGAAAGUUUUCACUUCAAUGAGGAUAAUGUUACCUUCCAUGAGGACAUUUUUCCUUUUAAAGAAAUUGAUCUCAAUAGCAACACCUCCAUGACUGACUUUGAUCACCUUAGUUUCACACAAAAUCUUAACGUUUCUAAUGACCCUGCUAUCACCCCACUUGUUAGUACUAAUAAUGAAAAUACUAAACAUAACAUUUCAAAUAGUCCAGCUCAUAUAGAAUCCUCUAAUUUUCAAGUGAACACCAGUCAUGACAUAUCACAGUCUCCUACUAACACUUUGGUAUCAAAUCCCCUUGCUAUCACUCAUUUACCUCACAGGUCUUAUCGUAAUUCAAAGGACUCCUCAUCACUUGCAAGAUUUCAUAUGUCAACAAGUAUCUUCACCUCUUCCAUUCCAGAAGCUCAACAAGGAAAAGGGAGUGAAUAUUACAGGUAGUCCCUAUCCUCUGUCCGUCACCGCACUUUUGCAGUUUCAAUAACAAACCACUUUGAGCCUAAAACCUAUCAAGAAGCCAUAACUUCACUUGAGUGGUGUGAUGCCAUGAAAGCUGAGAUCAAGGCUUUAGAACUUAAUGAUACUUAGGUCUUCACCAAUUAACCACCUGAUAAAGAGGCCAUAUGUUAUAAGUGGGUAUAUAUGGUUAAAUUCAAUGCCAAUGGUAGUGUUGAAAGAUUCAAGGCACGCUUAGUGGCAAAGGGAUACACUCCAUAAGAAGGACUUGACUAUCAUGAAACAUUCACCUCUGUAGCUAAAUUGGUCACCAUCAGAACAUUACUGGCAAUAUUAGUUAUUAAGGGGUGGAAUUUGUGUCAAUUUGAUGUAAAUAACGCUCUUCUACAUGGUGACUUGGAUGAAGUCGUUUACAUGCAACUGCCUCUGGUUAUCCCAAUGUAAGUGGUAAUAAAGUUUGCAAAUUACGCAAGAGUUUGUAUGGAUUGAAGCAAGCCUCGCAUCAAUGGUACUUAAAACUUUCCAAUUUCAUUAUUAAGGACGAAUACACUCAAUCAAGAUGAGGUUAUAGCUUAUUUACUAAGUCUAUUGAUGGUUCUUUCACAGCUAUUAUAGUUUAUGUGGAUGAUAUAAGAAUGACAGGAAAUUGUAUUGAUACCAUCAAUAAGCUUAAAGCUUCUCUCAAUGACAAGUUCAAAAUUAAAGACUUGGGCAAGUUGAAAUAUUUUCUAGGCAUCAAAGUCAUAAGGUUUGAACGCGGCAUUCACAUAUGGCAAAGGAAGUAUGCUUUGGAUAUCUUGGUAGUUCAAGCACUAUAGGAUCAACCCCUACUAGGAUUCCCCUUGAUUAGAAUCUGAAGCUCAGUAAGGAUGAGGUAGAAUUAAUUGUAGACCAAUCAAUUUUACAAAAGGCUAUUUUACUUGACAAUCACUAGGCCUGAUCUUGCAUACUCAGUUCAGUUGUUGAGUCAGUGUAUGAGCUGUCCCAGGGUGCCACAUUUACAUGCUACACAUAAAGUAUUGUUGUACAUCAAAAGAACACCUAGACAAGGGUUAUUUUACCCUGCAAAAUCAAGGCUUCAGCUAGAGGCCUAUUGCGAUUUUGAUUGGGGAGCAUGCCUAGACACUAGGAGGUUAGUAUCAGGUCAUUGUGUUUUCAUUGGGAUAGCCUUAAUAUCAUGAAAAUCGAAGAAACAACAUGUGGUGUCUCGGUCUUUCGCUGAAGCAAAAUACCGAACAAUGGCAAACCUGUGUUGUGAAUUGACUUGGCUUAGGUAUUUGUUUAAGGAUCUAUAGAUUGAACACCCUCAAGCUGCAAUCCUAAAUUGUGAUAAUCAAGCUGCAAUCCAUAUAGCUACAAAUUCGAUAUUUCAUGAAAGAACUAAACACAUUGAGCUCGACUGUCAUAUGGUUCGUGAUAAGAUACAAGACGGAAUCAUCAUCAUCCAACAUGUUCACAGUGCGUCACAAAUUGUUGACAUUCUAACCCAAGGCUCUAAAUUCCCAAAGUUUUUAUUCUUGCUUGUCCAAGAUGGGAGUAAUGGAUAUUUACUCUCCAUCUUGCGAGGGGCUAUUGAAAAUAGAAUAUGUGAGUCAACUGGCACCAACUCAAAUAAGUUGGUAAUGGCAGGCAAGAAGCAAGAGUUAUGUUAUAUGUACAAAGUUGGUUGACAAAGUAAUAUCUAUACCAAUCAUUUCAAAAACAGAUUUUCAAAUCAUUGAAAAUCAAUGACUUGAAUUCUGCCAACACUUAUUUGUCAACCAAAUUUGUCAACACACUUUGUACAUAGCAUAAUACAAGAAGCAAUACACAAAUAGGGACGAUGUUUGAGAAGAAUUGUUCAUCAAGAAGGGACAAAAGGUUUGAUAAGGCUGCAAGUAGAUUUGAAGUAAUAAUGCCUUCAAUAAUGCAAGCAAAUAAUUGCUUUCAUUCUAGGAUCCACAUAUUCUUCAUUUUGGAUCAAAAAUUAAGUUACAAAAAAUUUUCAAGCAACAUAACAUUAACAAAAAUAAUUCAAUACAUUACUACAAAUGUUGUCUAUGCAUUUCCAUAAUUUGAAAUCAUCGUAUAAUUGCAUGUUAUCAAUAUUGUAAAUAGAGCAUCCUCAAUGUACAAAACUGACUAUCAUUCAAUAGUCGAAUAUCCACUUCAAUUGCAUGGUUCAAACCGUGGUUGAGGUCUUGAGGAGUAUGGUGUUGACGUGGAGAAAAAAUGUGAUCGGUCGUCAGCAUCGAUGUGGAUGAUCUAGGUAGGAAAAUGCAAUUAUAUGGUAAAAAUGAAAAAUCUAGGUAUUGGGGGAAGAAUGAGAUUCAAGGCUUAAAAGUAGUUGGGAGGCAGAAAGUGGAUUGAAAAAAAAAAAAAAAAACUGUCCAAAUAGUAGAAAAGUGGAAAAAAAAAACUAAAAUUAAAAAUGAAAAUUCCAAAAUUUUCGUGGGCUUAGCUAAUCCCAUAUGACCCCAUGUAACUCCAACCAUAAAUCAAUCUAAUGUCAUCACUUACUAUCAAAAUACUUACCCAAUUCGUAAUGCGUUAAUUGACUUGUUAUAUGUAAAACAUUAAGAUCACGUGUUUAAAGCUGUUUGGGACAAAAAUCUUCAGUGUCUCUUUUUGAGCCCUUUAUAAAUAUGUCCACUUGAACAUAUAAAAUAAGUGUUGUACCGUGGAAAAAAAUAUUACACAUCAUUCUUCUUUACUUCUGUAAAUUUUAUCUGUAAUUCACGAGAAUAUUUCGAAUGAUUGAUAUAUUUCAAGAGUAUUUUAGAAAUAUCUCUCUAGAUGUAUUGUACAACAAAAUCUUAGUAUCUUGUGGCUAGGCAUGUGCACACAACAAUAAUUCCCAAACAAAGAAAAGUGAAAAAAAUUGAUCAAUUAAUAAAGUUUAAUUUAUAUUUUUCUCUUUUAGCUGUUUUGCAUUUUGUGUUUUCACUCCAUGGAUGAGAUUUUUUUCAAUAAAAGUAUCACUGCAAAAAUUUAUGUGAGAAAAAAGAGAGUAUAAAUCGAUAAAUAUAUAAGUGACCCCAAAGAAACAACAUAAAGCAUAUAGACAAAGAUGGAAUACCAUAUUAUAAUUAAAUGACAUUAUUUGAAUAUGAACAAUUUGAUUUUAUUAAUAAAGAUGAAUUAUGUGUGACUAGUGUUAUUAAUCAUCACAGGGAAAUGAUACUUGUAAAAAUGACCCUUUAAGAGGAUAAGUUUAUUUUUAUUAAAGUAUAUAUAAAAUUAAUUGCAAGAUGGAUGGAAGCCAUUGAAAAUUACCUUUUUACUUUCACACAACAUCAAUAUGUUGAGGCGGUCAACGCAACAAUAGUAACAUUAGGGACCAUUUCCACACAAGGGUAUUACAUUAAGGACCAUCUAUACCAAUUUUCUUGUUAAUUAGUGCUCCACCUUUGUGUUCGCUUGAAUUUAAAAAUAAAAAAAAAGGUUUAUUGUGGGAAUACCCUCAACAUAUGGAUCUAUUGUCAAAUACCUUUACCUGUUUAAAUUGGUGGAAUCCCCGUAUGAACUUAAAGUGCGGAACCCAUUUUCUUUCAUUUUCUCAUAAAUCCCUGUGAAAUGACGAUUUGAGGGAAAAAAAAAUAGUAGAGACGACAAUUUGAUAUGUUAUAUUAGAUGCAAUAUGUUAUGAAUAAGGGCAGUGAACAAAAGCACUAUAAUUUCAAAAACGUGGAGAAACACAACUAUAUGGUUUGUGGUCUGAAAUGAAGGUUAUUAUGCACAUAAAAAUUGCAAAGAUUCAAAUCAACAGGACACGAUGAGUGGGGGCAUGACAAUAUUGCUAGAAUAUAACCCAAAUUUCUAUUGGGAUUAGGAUUGGAUUGGUAAAUUGAUAAAAGGAACAAGAGUCUUCUUGGAUUGGAAGUUUGAUUGAAAAGGAGGAUUAAAGUUCAUCAAUGAUUGAAACUUGAUUGGUAAAAGAACUUUGGAAAAUUGAAGACUUGGUUUUGAAAUUUUGGUGGAGAAAAAAUCGUCGCAAUUUUUCUAAUUGGCAGCUAACUUUGGUGUUCAAGCGUCAGAGGUGAAAAACGGAGCAAAGAGUUGCUGCCCACCUAGCGUUGCCUGGCACUGGAGUGACACUGUUAUUCAGACGGGAAUUCUUUUUUGAUUCUGACUACUUUUUUGAGUCGUAUUUCAUCCAUAAUACUUGUAAUGGAUUCUCUCUCUCUCUCUCUCUCUCUCUCUAUAUAUAUAUAUAUAUAUAUAUAUGCAUUCCUUGUGGUAUAGGCUCUUAAAAGGAUAAAUUAACAAUAAAAUCAUAGUUAUAUAGUUAUUAAAAACUUGAGAGAGUUAUUUAAAUUUAGAUUGAGAGUAUCAAAUCUCGUAAAACAAUUUUAGUUUCUUGAUAUAUUUAAAUUCUUCUCCUCUUUCAUAUAAAUCUUGGUGUUUUUGUGUGAUCCAUUAUUUUUCAUAUUGCUCUUAUUUUCUCGUCUUUAUUAUUUGGCCCGAUUUAUCUUUACAAUUCCAUAUGAUUCAUCAAGAACUAUACAAGUUGAGUUUUGAUGAGAAAAUACUGAUACAUGCUUGAACGGAAAAAUAAAAUUAUACGAAAAUAUAUAUUGUCUAUUGCCUGCUGUUGAAUUUUCUGAACAAUCUUUUUCUUGUUGGAACCAGAAUCUAAAACUAUGGUUUCUAUAAUCCUCUUGGUCGCAUUGUUAAUUUGGGACAUCUUCAUCUCUGCUACUCUGGGACGUGGAGUCGAGCCAGUCGGCGACCCAUUACCACUGUUAUGUCCAACCGGAAAACUGCUGACAAAUCGUGUAAUUAUGCAUCGGGUGUGCAUGUCCAUUUUUUGGUUCAUUGGUUCAAAAAUCUCCCUCGAAGUUGUAUCUUCACGAUUCGUCUGCUUCUUGGUGGAACUCUUUCGUGGUUGGCAAUUCACUGUUUCUAUAACAGCUUGUUUACAGCUCCUACUGUAGUGAAUACUCGACGGAACUGUAGAUCUAAGAAUAGAAAGGUGAAGGUAAACACUUCAGAAGAUCUUUUAAUAGAGAUUCGUAGGUACAAAGUGAUUUGUCAAAGCAACAUUUCAGUGGAUAUUUUGUCAUAAAUACGAAUUUGGAGAGAACGGUAUUGUUGGGAGUCGAACUGCUGAUCACUUUGAUUUAAAUUGUGCUUCCACAGUUUUAACUAAAAGCGUGUUUUGUAAAGUGACACUUUACUAAUGGAAGGAGCUAACUGGAUUGUGACACGUGCUGAUCUCUUGGCCGUUGGAUCUGAUUCUAGAUCAUUCUAUGUAUUUAACCCUAAAUGGUUUAGGUGGCUGUAGGUUUUUCAUUCUACUCUAUUCGGCUUCUCGAGUUCAAGGGUUUUUCAGUCGCCUCUCUUUCUCUCUCGAUGAAUCUCUCAUUUUGGCUCUAUUCUUGAGUGAUUUUCAAAACUCUUUCUUGAGUUAAUCCAUAAUAUGUUAUAGAUCUCUAACCUAGUGAACUGUCGUGUUGAGUUUAUGGAAACCUGAGUGGUUUCAUGUGAUGUGCAGUCGGGUUUGAUGAAAUCUUGGUGAUUUCUUGUGUUUCCCGUGUGAAAUAGCCUACAUAUUGUUUAAUGACUUGUGAAGUCAUGUGAUUCUUGGAUGGCAGUUCCUGUGACUUAAGUGUCUGAGUGAUCUGCUCGUGGUUUCUUCAUGAAUCGUGGUCUGCCUUGGUGAAUCUUUAUGAGAUAAGUCUUUGUGACUUGUAUACUGUAAUAUUCUGAAAUAUUGUAUACUUACUGCCUGAUUUUGAGGGCCUUAUAGUGCAACCGAGCUGAAUCCAUUGAUAGUGGAUGCUCAACAGGGGAUUAGGCACUUGUGCUGAACCUCUAGGGCUUCGGCCGAAAAAAAUCAUCAUGUUCAUUAUUUUUGUACUUUUAUUUCCUGCAUUUCUUGGUUCGAUUUCUAUGAAUGUUGGUUAAUCUUGAGUGUCUCGACAUUUCAGUGCUAUCAGAGCUUCUUGGAAUAUUGAGGACACCUGAUUCUUGAAGGAACCGGAUUCUUGAAACCUGCUCCAAAUUGCAGUGAGCACUGGCUGCAGGAAUCUGAGUUUUUCGAACUCAUUUGGUGAGAUCUUUCCUAUAUUACUCUGCUGGUAAUAUUUACUGUAGAAUUUCCUCAACAUUUCCCUCGCCUUACCUUGCAUUAUAAAACCUACUGUGCUUGGUCUUUGUCCUAAGGCUCUUGAAGUCAUAGAAAUCUGAGAUAACAACGCAGUAAGGUGUGCAAUUGGAAGGUCCUGCUGGAGAAAUUCAGUUUUGAAAUACAUAGGAAUUGUGAACUUUGUUUGAUAUUCCUGCUUCUUUACUGAGUGCUAUGUGUUCAUUGCUUGAGUAAACCAGUUGAAGUGUUUAUUGAUUGGAUAAAAGUGCAUAAGUGCAUUGUCAAACUUACCCCUGAUCCCUUAAUCAGUCUGCAGUCCCCACAUUGUAUAUCCCUGUGUGUUCUUGAGAUCAAACUUGUGUGCUGUGUAUUAACUUGGUGUUUUUGCAAUGGCGGCCACUGCUAAGUUUGAAAUGAGCAUGUUUGAUGGAAGGGGGGAUUUUAGUAUGUGGAUUCAGAAAAUGAAAGCUAUUUUGAUGCAACAAAGGUGUGCUAGAGCCCUAAAUAAUUCUUGGCUUGUUGAGUUACCUCCUGGUAGAAGAACUGAGUUAGAAGAAACUGCUUGGAGUAGCAUUUUCUUAUACCUUUCAGACAAUGUGAUCAGAACCAUAGGAGAAACUAAAACUGCUUCUGAAUUAUGGAACAAAUUGAAAGCACGAUAUGAACCAAGAACUGUUCCAAACAAAUGUUUUUUGCUAAAACAAUUAUUUUCUUCCAAAAUGGAUCCAUCUGUUGACUUAGAAGAAAACUUGAAUAGGUUUACAAAGUUGACCCAGGAUCUAGCCAACUGUGAUGAAAAAUUAUCACAAGAUCAGUUAGCUGUGGUCUUGUUGAACUCCAUUAGUGAUAGGCAUAGAGAUCUAAAGAAUGCCUUGGAAUAUGGUAGAGAAAAUCUUACCACAGACAUCAUAACAAAUGCCUUAAGAAAUAGGGUUCUUGAAUUAAAAUCAGAUUCUAUUAACCAAUAAAGCGGAGAAAAUCUUUUGUUAAAGGGCAAGAAUGUUGGUACAUCUAAUUUUCAUUCAAAGUUUCAAAAUAACCCUAGAAAAAUGAAAUUUGACAAAAUGAAAUCUAAAUAUAAGGCAAAGGGAAAGAAAUGUUACUACUGUGGUAAGUUGGGUCACUUUGCUAAAGACUGUUAUAAAAAGCAAAAUGAUUUGAAAGAAAAGAAGAUAAGUGAAGGUAACAAUGUUAUAUCCUAUGAUAAACAAAAUGUGAACUAUGGCCUGGUUCUUGUAAAUGUUGAAAGGAACCUAAAUUAAGAAUGGAUUCUUGACUCAGGUUGCUCUUUCCACAUGUGCCCUAACAAAAACUAUUUUUUGGAUCUUGAACAGACUAAAGGGUAUUGGAACAAUAAAACUACUUCUGGAAAAUGGCAUAAUUUUACUUUUAAAGGGUAUCAAAUUUGUUCCUGAAUUAGAAAGAAACUUAGUGUCUCUAGGAAUGUUGGAUGACAUAGAGUUUGACAUAAAAUUGGGUCAAGGACAGAUAAAAAUCUUUAGGGAUAGUGAUUUAAUUAUUUCUAUCCCAAAGAGACAUGGUUUAUACUUUCUAAAUGCAAAAGCCUUACUUGGAUUUUCAGCAAUAGUUUUAGAUGAUAAAAAUAAUCUUACAAAAUUGUGGCAUUGUAGACUUGGUCACAUUGGGUUGAAAGAGUUAAAGGCUUUACAUAAUAAAGGUGUAUUUGGAAAACUAAACAUUGGUGACUUGUCUAAUUGUGAACAAUGUUUGGUAGGGAAAUAAGUUAAGUUACCUUUUCCCGUGAGUACUCAUAAAUCAAAGCAAAUUCUAGAAUAUUUACAUGCUGAUUUGCGGGGUCCUUCAUCUACCCCUACAUUGUCUGGUUAUAAAUAUUACUUGUUGAUUGUUGAUGAUUUUUCAAGGAAAAUUUGGGUUUUUCUAUUAAAAACCAAAGAUGAAACUUUUACUAUUUUCAAAGAUUGGAAAACUCAAAUUGAAAAUCAAACUGACUUGAAAAUCAAAACUUUAAGAACAGACAAUGGUCUAGAAUUUUGCAACUGAGUUUGAAAUUUCUGUAAAGAACAUGGCAUUUUAAGACACAAAAAUGUAACCUACACAUCCCAACAAAAUGGCAUUGCAGAAAGGAUGAAUAAGACUAUAUUAAAUAAGGUUAGAUGCAUGCUUUUAAGUUCAGGCCUGCCUAAAUUAUUUUGGGGUAAGGCUGUAAAAACUGCUGCAUGUUUGAUUAAUCGAAGUCCUACAAGUGCUUUAAACUAUGAUGUGCCUGAAUCUGCGUGGACACAAAAGCCUGUUACUUAUUCUUACUUGAAAACAUUUGGAUGUGUUGCAUUUGCUCAUCAAAACAUAGGGAAACUUGAACCUAGAUCUGUAAAGUGUGUGUUUUUGGGCUAUGCUGAAAAUGUUAAAGGAUAUAGGCUGUGGGUUUAUGGGGAAAAGGGUUAUAGAGUAAUAAUAAGGAGGGAUGUGGUCUUUAAUGAAUCAUGUAUGCCAUGUUUGGAAGGGAAGAAAGGGAACAUAACUGAAAAUGAUGUCCAAAUUGAGAUGAAGCCUAUUAAAAUUGAUGAUAUCAGUUCUGCCCCUCUAGAAACUGAAUGUGCAGAGGUUGACCAGAAUGAGAAUGAGCCUGAUUUGACUGAAUCUAAUCAAGGUGAUGACUUAAUUCCACCCCUAGAUGAGUACCAGCUCACUAGAGAUAGGGAUAAAAGGUAAAUUAGACCACCUGCUAGGUUUAAUAGUGAUGACUUUGUGUCUUUGUUCACUUACCAAGAAGAAAUUGAAUUUGAACCUAGUUCCUAUCAUGAAGCCUUGAAAUCUAAAGAUUCUAAGCGGUGAUUGAGUGCUAUGGAAGAAGAAAUGUCUUAUACAAGAAUGAAUCUUGGGAAUUGGUUGACAAACCAAAGGAUAAGAAACUAGUUGAUUGCAAGUGGAUUUAUAAAAUAAAGGAAGGGGAAGGUGGCACUAAUAAUAUUAGAUACAAAGCUAGACUAGUUGCCAAGAGUUUCACACAAAAGGAGGGUGUGGACUAUGAUGAGAUUUUUUCCCCCGUGGUCAAAUAUACAACUAUAAGAUGUAUUCUUGAUUUAGCUGUGCAAUUUAAAUGGAAACUUGAUCAACUGGAUGUAAAAACUGCUUUUCUUUAUGGUGAAUUGGAUGAAAUUAUCUAGAUAAAUCAGCCUUUAGGAUUUAUAAAAGGAAAUCUUGAAAAAACUGUGUGUUUGCUGAAAAAAUCUUUAUAUGGCCUAAAACAAGUUCCAAGACAAUGGUAUAAAAGAUUUGAUUCAUUUGUCUUGAAACUUGGGUUUUGUAUAAGCAAUUAUGAUACAUGUCUUUAUUGUAAAGGAAGUGGUGGUAAAGAUUCUUUGUAUCUUGUGCUUUAUGUUGAUGAUAUGCUUCUUGCUAGUGCUAAUAAAGCCGAAAUUGAUGAUAUCAAACACAAACUAAAAUCAGAAUUUGAUAUGAAGGAUCUUGGUUCUGCUAGGAAGAUACUUGGCAUGCAUAUUAAAAGAGAUGAAAAAUCUGAUUGCUUGAUUUUAUGUCAAGAAGAAUAUGUGAAUAAGAUCCUUAAGAAGUUUAAUAUGUUUGAUUGUAAGCCUGUGACUUUACCCCUUGCUACUCACUUUAUUCUAACAUCUGAUUCAUGCCCUAAAACUGAAGAUGAACUUGAAAGAAUGUCUAAAAUACCUUAUGCCAAUGCUAUUGGUUCAGUCAUGUACUUAAUGAUUUGCACCAGACCUGAUUUGGCAUUUAGUAUUAGUGAUUUGAAUAGAUUCAUGGGGAAUCCUGGUGAAACACAUUGGGAAGCCUUAAAAUGGUUAAUGAGAUACUUAAAAGGUUCAUCCAACCUAGGUUUGAUGUUUAAAAUGAAUAAAGAGGGGGUAAUUCUAAAAGGUUAUAUAGAUUCUGAUUUUGCUGGAAAUAGAGACAAUAGGAAAUCCACUUCAUCUUAUUUUUACACUUUGUGUGGCAUUGUGAUAAGCUGGAAAUCUCAGUUGUAGAAAAUUGUUGCUCUAUCUUCCACCGAGGCUGAAUAUAUUGCAGCCACUGAUGCCAUCAAAGAAGGCAUCUGGCUUCAUGGUUUGCUAAAUGAACUUGGUUUUGUAGAUACUAAUCCAAUUCUGUUUUCUGAUAAUCAAAGUGCAAUCCAUUUGAGUAAAAAUCCAAUGUUCCACAGUAGAACAAAACACAUUGAUAUUAAAUACCAUUUUAUAAAGGAUAUUAUUUCAAAAGGGUUGCUGAAAAUAAAUAAGAUUUGUACCUUGAACAGCCCCUCAAACAUGGGAACUAAAGUAAUACCUUUAAACAAAUUCGAAAAUUGUUUGAAGAUAUUAUCUAAUGAUUCUUCAUAUUGAAUGUACAGGUACACCGAGCAUAUGAAACUAUAAAUGCUAGUUAAGCUCAUGGCUGCACUAUAUGCCUUAAAAUUAUGGAAGCAAGGUGGAGAUUGUUGGGAGUUGAACUGCUGAUCACUUUGAUUUAAAUUGUGCUUCCACAAUUUUAACUAAAAGCGUGUUUUGUAAAGUGACACUUUACUAAUGGAAGGAGUUAACUGGAUUGUGACACGUGCUGAUCUCUUGGCUGUUGGAUCUGAUUCUAGAUCAUUUAUGUAUUUAACCCUAAAUGGUUUGGGUGGCUGUUGAUUUUUCAUUCUACUCCAUUCGGCUUCUCGAGUUCAAGGGUUUUUGAGUCGCCUCUCUUUCUCUCUCGAUGAAUCUCUCAUUUUGGCUCUAUUCUUGACUGAUUUUCAGAACUCUUUCUUGAGUUAAUCCAUAAUAUGUUAUAGAUCUCUAACCUGGUGAACUGCCGUGUUGAGUUUAUGGAAACCUGAGUGGUUUCAUGUGAUGUGCAGUCGGGUUUGAUGAAAUCUUGGUGAUUUCUUGUGUUUCCCGUGUGAAAUAGCCUACAUAUUGUUUAAUGACUUGUGAAGUCAUGUGAUUCUUGGAUGGCAGUUCCUGUGACUUAAGUGUCUGAGUGAUCUGCUCAUGGUUUCUUCAUGAACCGUGGUCUGCCUUGGUGAAUCUUUAUGAGAUAAGUCUUUGUGACUUGUAUAUUGUAAUAUUCUGAAAUAUUGUAUACUUACUGCCUAAUUUUGAGGGCCUUAUAGUGAAACCGAGCUGAAUCCAUUGAUAGUGGAUUCUCAACAAGGGAUUAGGCACUUGUGCUGAACCUCUGGGGCUUCGGCCGAAAAAAUCAUCAUGUUCAUUAUUUUUGUACUUUUAUUUCCUGCAUUUCUUGGUUCGGUUUCUAUGAAUGUUGGUUAAUCUUGAGUGUCUCGACAUUUCAGGUAUUCUGGAUGUAAUAUCUUCAGUUACAACGAUUUGGGAGGGUAUUGAAAGAGAGAACUAUCGAUAUAAUUUAGGGUUUCGAUUAUGAGUGAUAGACCAUGAUUUGGGAGCGGAUGAACGGGGACGAAGGGAUGAGGUAAGAGAGAAAUCUGAUUUGGGAAGAAAUGAUAUAGAGUUACUUGUACAUGAAUUUGGGAUUUGAUAAAAUUCAUCAUGAUUUAAUUGUUGAUAAAGUAAGACCCGCUAAUUAAUUGCAUGAUAACAAGGCGUACAACACCAACCAGGUAUAUCUCAAAUGCAUGUUUCAUUGAUGCAUCUUCUUCUGUCAAUGUCAAAAAUGAGUGGAAUAUUGUAAAUGUCACCAAAGAUUCUUCUGCAGAUUAAAAGGGCCAAAAAGUUUCAUUCCAAAAUAGAACUUCUGACAUUGGAUUCCACAAACAUUAGCUCGUCUAUAUUAGGAGUGAUAGAAGCUCGCUCUGAUAUCAACUGAUGUAGGCAAACGCAUAAAAAAUAAUGAAACGAACACACUAUUGAAGUUUUUUUAUUCUAAUUUUUGUUGAUUCCCAAAAUUACCAGAAAUAUGGGUAUCAAAUAGCGAGAUUAAAAGAUUUGACGGCUCCAAAAUCUAUAAUAUUUAUUACAAAAUAACUAAUUUUCAUGAUAGCUUUCAACCCUUAUUUAAAGAAAUAACUAAAAUCUAUGUAGUUAUUAAAAUGUAAAAGAUAAUGACAAAAAUUUAAAACCCUAAUAUUCAGAAUUAAUUAGAAAUAAACGAAAUUAAAAUUGAAUUUAUUUAAUAAAAUAAAUAAUAAAAAACUCAAUUUUCUUCAAACGGGUUCAAAUAAUAAUGCUAAGAUGCGAUCUUUAGUUUCAUGAUUUUGAAUACCAUGCCCAUCCCCAUACUGGUACAUGUAUUGUGCCAUUCUCGCAAGAUUCAUUGUAAUUUCAAUAAAAGUUUUUGAGAAUGGACAAAUUGUUUCUUGAACUUGGUUCAUUUUUUUCCACGUCUCACGUAUCAAAGAUAUAAUGUGUUCACGUGCCUCGUCUUCAGAAGCCCCAGUUUCGUUCAUGUAACAUUGUAUUGUUUUAGGAACAUCACCUCUUUUCAUUUCAUCCUGAGAGAGAAAACGAAAUAAACUGUCAGUUGAAAGGGUUAAUUUUGAAUUGCUAAUGAUUUCAUAAACAAGAAUGAACUUGAAAACAUGAAAUGAAAUUUUAGUCUAUAUGCGAACCACUGAUGUUGCUAUAUCAUCUGAAAGACGUAAAAUCGUUGCCGACCAACGGAUUAAAUUGGGAUAAUCAAGUAAGUACUGAACAGCUUCCUUCUCUAUAGGACUGGUAACAGUGAAAAACGCAUGGGAUAGUAUGACAUGAGUUGAUAUUGAAAUCCAUGCAAUGUUCAUAUACUCUUCCAUUGUUGGUUUGUAUCAAUUGAAGUACCACCUUGCCUCUUGUAAGUAUGCUUUGCAUAAAUCUGUCCACUGCCAAAUUUGACAAGAUUACUGUAUAUGGAUUAUGGAAACUGAUAUAAGGACUAUGUAUUAGAGACUUUCUGAAGCAAAAGUGAUACCGCUUUCCUUAAAUAUGGAAUUAUUAUAAACCCUUUUUCUUUAAGAAUGUCGUAAGCCAUUUCAUUGACGAAAUUAUUGAGGGCUAGAUAGCAAAUUUGCAUGUAAUCUGGAAGUUGAUGGAUUGAAUUGACAUCCCAUCUGUGGAGUUCCAAACAAAUAAUAAUUAUAGGAGUUAGAACAGUGAGAAGGAAAAAAAUAAAAUAAAAUAAAAUCAAUAUAUAUCACAUAUGGGAAAAUUUUACUAUAAACUACCAAUCUAAUUUUCCAAAAUUUGGUCCUCAACUUUAAAGAAAAAGCAAGUUUAUACCUUACAUUUUAUUAUUGUUUCGCAACUGGUCGACCACUGAUGAAAACCAUAGUUUUCAUUAAAUUGUCGUGUGACCCUCAAAAAAACAUGCAUCGCUUUGAAUUUCAACGUACCAAUCCAAGUUAGAAAACAAACCUAAUUUCAUGAAGUUGAUUAUGCAAGGACCACAUUUUGAUUAAUUUAAAAUAGAUUUGAACUGUUUCUUGAGAUAUAAUUUUGCAACUAUAAAUAAAAUUAAUAACCAGCUUGUCCAUUUUUAAAGAUUGAAUAAGUCAAUCAUUCAAUUUCCCCUAUCAUAUAAACCUUUUAAUAUACAAAGUACUUCCGUAUACAAACUUUGAGCGUAUCCUUUAACAAAGGGACUUCGUUUUUAAUUUUUACUUUUUUAUUUGGGUGGGGGUUCUGAAAUGAGGAAUAAGGAUGUUUCUAACCUUUCGAUGAUUCUUGUAAAAACUUCAAGCUCUUCUAAUGUACCAUAGACGUCAUAUAUAUCAUAAAUGGUUGUUACUAAAGCAUUGACCUUCAUCAAUAUCUUCCUACAAAAUUCAUAUUGAGGUUCAAAUAUCACCCCAGUAGUCCAAAAGAAACAUUCCACCAGCCUAUCCCUCGCAAAUGACAACUUUUCGGCAAGGCAAGUUCCCUUCCGCCACCUAUUCAUAGAAAACGCAGGGAAAGAAAUAAAAAUAAAAUUCCUUUGUUACUUCUAAACAUCAAAAUUCAAUAUAUUUGGCCCAUAUAUUUAAAAUGAGAAAAAAGAGAUAGAAAUGUGCACAAAUGUAUUAGUGUAGGAAUUAAUACACAUUUUCACCAACCGUAAUAAAAGUUAAUAGUGGUAAAGUGAAAGGCAAAUUUGUUGAGGAGAGACUAUUUCCCUACAUCAAAUUCCUUAUUGAGUUGUCUCUGAUUGAAGACAACUUGUGAUGUCAAUUUAUCUUUGAGUGAAUACAGCAGCUUAUCAAUAAAUACCUAGAGACACGUUUUAGUUCCUGCUGAUAUUUUGCUUGAACAAUGUUGAAAUCCAAUUUUGCAAGCUCAAGCAGAACCUGAUUCAUGUCUGGCCUGUCCUUGUAUAUGUUUAUGAACCAUCUAGCCUCUGCCCGCGGUAUGGUCCAGUGCGAUGGAAGCUCCAAGCCAUGGUACACCAAUCGAGAAUGGAACUGAUCAAUACUAGUUUGAUCAUUAUGGUGUUUCAUAGUGAAUUAUGUACCCAUUUCUAGGGUACUUUCACCUUCCAUUGAAAGGAAUGAAGUUUCAUAAAGUUGUAACAAUCCCUCUAUAUCAUCACAAAGCCUCGACUUGAACUCACCCUUCUCAUUCUUGAAACGAUCAAAUAUCUCUGUGCUCAACAGGACAUGUAUAAGACGUGUAAGCACUGUUAAGAAAAUGCUUAACACCUAUGGCCCAAUGAUUGAACCUAAUCGCUGAGCCCAAGCUUAUGACCCGGUUUGCCCCCAUUCUGUGCAAACUCGUGUUUCUCAAAAAAUGCGGUUAUAUUCAUUUUUAAUUGGACGAAGCAGAUUGUGCCAAGUGGAGUCAGCUGAACCGUUAGAUGAAUCUGGCUUUUCAUUAUACUAAACCUAGACUUUUCAUUUGCGUCUGUUCGAGAGUCUUCUAGGGUUUGUUCUUCGUGCUUGCUCUCUGUAAUUUUUCUUCUCUCUAAAAACCCCUGGUUUUUGGUUGCAAUCUCUGAGUUGUUUUAGAUGCUCUUGGUGAGAUCUAGCUUGGUGUAUUUGUGUUGAGAUUGUGUCUGUUCUUUGGUGAACUGUAAGGCACGAUUACUUCGUGUAAUCUGUCGUUCGUGUCUGUGAGAGAAAAAUAUGGUUUGAGGGCUGAUCUUUGGUAGAUCUGAAGUUUGUAAACUUGUAUUGAUACUUUAUUGUUGGUUUCUAGUGGAUUAGAGCAUUAACCACUUCGGUAGAAGCUCAACGUGGUGACGUAGCCUAUUCUUGGGUGAUCAUCCGGGCCUACAGGUGAAAAAUCAUCGUGUUCUUUUAAUUUCUGUGAUUUUACUUCUAGUAUUGGGACUGUUAAUACCAACAAUGGUAUCAGAGAGUCAUCGAUCUGAUAUAUAAUCCGGUUCUUGGCUCACUAGUGCUCUUCUUGAUGGUUAAAAACCAUUACCUUUGUGGUACUACUUCUGUGAGCGUUCGACUCACUGUUUUCUACUGGAAAGUAAAAUAGUUCUGGCAUUCACUAUUUUACACUAUUGGCCUGAGACGAUUCUGGUAACGAGUUUUUUAAACCCUAAACCUAAUUUUUCGAUCCUUCAGAUAACUCUACUGUUUUUGGUUGAAGGCCCACCUGGGCCUACCUUUGUCUAGGGUUUCAUACGAGAACCCUAGAAUCUUAGGGGACUGGGUUUAACGGCCUCUUCAAGAUUAGAUGUUAAAUUUGUUGACUGAAAAUAAUUUUUUAUGGUUUAUUGGUUAUCUGAUUUACCUGCUCACUGCGUUGUAUAUUCUGUGCACUUGUGUGAGAGUCAUCUGCACACUAAUACUUUGUGUAUACAUUGGUGCAUAUAAAUUUUUUUUACACUGCAUAUCACAAUCUGCUUUUGUCAAACAAGUCUGUUAAAAAAAAUUUCAAAAAUAAUGACAAGUACUAAAGUUGAUAUAGAAAUUUGGAAUGGAAAAGGAGAUUUUACUAUUUGGAGUCAAAAGAUGAAGGCACUUUUGAUGCAACAUAAGUGUGUGAAAGCACUGGAUGAGUCUUGGGAAGAAGAAGUCAUAGAAAGAAAAAGAAAUGAACAAAGUGAUACUGCAUGGAGUUUGAUUUUCCUGCAUUUGUCUGAUAGUGUCAUUAGAGAAGUAGGAAAGACUGAGACUGCUGAAGGAAUUUGGACUAAACUUGAAUCACUUUAUAAAACAAAAUCACUCCCCAAUAAAUGUUAUCUUUGGAAACAAUUCUUUAGUUUCAAAUUUGAUCCACAUCUUGAUCUUGAAGCAAAUCUUGCCAGAUUUAACAAAUUAACUCAAGAUCUCACAAACAGUAGUGAAACACUUUCUGAUGAACAACAGGCAGUAGCCUUAUUAUCUGCUUUACCUGAGAAAUAUAAAGAUUUAAGAAAUGCUCUUGAAUAUGGAAGAACCUCCAUUACUGUGGAGAUUAUUGUUACUUCUUUAAGAAAUAAAGAACUGGAGUUUCAAAGUGAAUCCAAAUCUUCCUCUGUUGGUUUUGGUUUCAAUGUCAGAGGAAAUAAUCAAUUCAAAAGAAACAACAAUAACUUUUCAAAUAAAAAUUUUGGAAAAACAAAAGAAUACAAUGGAAAUUUUCAUAAAGGUAAAGCCAAAUUCAAUUAUAAUAAUAGUAAGGCAAAAGGAAAGAAAUGCUACUUUUGUGGAAAGAUGGGUCACUUUAUAAAAGACUGCAUGAAAAAGAUUGAUGAAUUGAAAAAAUCAAUAAAAUUGAAGGUGGAGCUGCAAUUGCUUAUGAGGAAGCUGCAGGCUCAAAUGGACAAGUCUAUAUGACUAGUCAAUCUAUGGUCAAGGAUGAAUGGAUCCUUGAUUCAGGGUGUACAUUUCACAUGACACCCUGAAAAGAAUACUUUACUGAUUUUCUUGAAAUUAAUGGGGGUCAAGUGAUAUUGGGAAAUGACUUUACCUGCAAAAUUAAAGAUAUUGGCAAAGUUAUUUUAAAACUAGAAAAUGGAAAUGUAUUGACUCUAAACAAGAUCAGAUACAUUCCCAAUCUAAAGAGAAAUCUGAUCUUUUUAGGUGUACUAGAUGAUGAAGGUUUUGAAACAACCAUAAACGAAGGUUUUUUGAAUUUACAAAAGAACUUUAUAAAGAUUGCUUGUGUUGAAAAAUCCAAUGAGAUCUAUGUUUUAAAAACCUUGCCAAUAAUCAGUCAACCAAUUUCUGCAGUAGUAUCUCAGCCUGAUAAAUUUGAAAUAUGGCACAAAAGGUUAGGACAUAUGAGUGAUAAGAAUUUACACAUCCUUAAAAAACAAGGUCUCUUAGGAAAUGAAAAAAUUGAAAGAGUGUUUUUUUGUGAACACUGCAUUUAUGGAAAACAAAGGAAACUCCCCUGUGGCACAGGUGUCCAUAAAUCUAAGUCUAUACUUGAAUAUCUGCAUGCUGGUCUGUGGGGACCAGCUACUGUGAAUACCUACUCUGGUUUCAAAUAUUAUUUACCGAUUGUUGAUGAUUUUUCAAGAAAGACAUGGGUUACUCUUUCGAAAAAUAAAUCUAUACCUUUCAAAACUUCAUAACAUGAAAAAUCUUAAUUGAAAAUCAAGUGAAUAAAAAGGUUAAAGCUCUUAGAACUGACAAUGGUCUUGAAUUCUGCAAUGAGGAAUUUGAUAAUUUCUGUAAUAACAAUGAAAUUUUAAGGCAUAGGACUGUUACCUAUACCCCACAACAAAAUGGUCUAGCAGUAAGGAUGAAUAAAACCCUAUUAGAAAGAGUUAGGUGCAUGCUAAUUAAUGCAGGUCUUCCAAAACUAUUAUGGGGGGGGGGGAAGCUGUUAAAAUUGCAUCAUAUUUAAUAAACAAAUGCCCCACAAAAUCUUUGAAUUAUGAAACACCUGACCAUGUUUGGAGUGGUCAUCCAGUUGAUUAUUCCAAACUAAAAGUUUUUGGUUGUGCAGCAUAUGUACACCAAAAUGAGGGUAAACUUGAACCCAGAUCUAUUAAAGGCAUUUUUUUGGGAUAUGAGGAAGGUGCAAAAGGUUAUAGAAUCUGGGUUAAGGGUCAAGGAGGUUAUAGGGUCAUAAUAAGUGGGAAUGUCAUUUUUAAUGAAACAGACAUGCCUUGUACUAAAGAAAAAGUCCAUGCAGACCCUCAAAUUAAUGAAAAUGAUUUAUAUCUUAAAUCUGAUAUCUCUCUAGCUAUCUCAGAUCUAGAAAUUAAUGAUCAGAUUGAGGUGGAGCCUACUCAUGAACAGGAAAUAAUCCUUGAACCUAAAUCUGAACAUGAAACUCAACCUGAACUUGUUCCACCAAUAAAUUCUUUAGAGGACUAUCAACUUACCAGAGAUAGAGAAAGAAGGGAGAUAAGACCACCUACUAGAUAUAAUGAAUUAGACCUUGUCACUGCCCUAAACAUUCAGUUUUUUUUAGGCAAUGAACCUAAUUCAUACGAAGAGGCCAUUGGGGGAAAAAAUUCAAAUUCCUGGCUUGCAGCAAUGAAAGAUGAAAUGCUUUCACUUGAAAAAAAAAAGACUUGGGUCUUAGUUACCAAACCUAAAGGAGGGAAGGUCAUUGACUGUAAAUGGAUUUAUAAAAUCAAAGAAGGUGACACAAAAGAAGAAAAUGUUAGAUUCAAGGCUAGACUAGUUGCAAAGGGCUUUAACCAAAGAGAAGGAAUUGACUAUAAUGAAAUUUUCUCUCCUGUAGUCAAAUACACUUCUAUAAGAAUUCUUCUCUGCAUUGUUUCACAAUUUGAUUUUGAACUAGAACAGUUAGAUGUAAAAACUGCAUUUUUUCAUCAUAACUUAGAAGAAAAAAUUUACAUGACCCAACUAAAAGAUUUUGAACAAAAGGGAAAGGAAAACUGGGUGUGCCUUUUGCAAAAAUCACUCUAUGGGCUGAAGCAGGCCCCUAGACAGUGGUAUAUCAGGUUUGAUACUUUCAUAAAAGGUCUUGAUUUUAAUAGAAGUGAAUAUGAUCCUUGCUUCUAUUAUAAAGGUGGUGGAGGUCCUGAUUCUUAUUAUCUCUUGCUUUAUGUUGAUGAUAUGUUACUUGUUGGGUGUGAUGUAACUGAAAUAAAUAAUAUUAAGUAAAAGUUAAAACAAGAGUUUGAAAUGAAAGACCUAGGAUCAGCUAAAAGAAUCUUAGGAAUGGAAAUUAGGAGAAAUAGAAGUGACUACACACUAUUUCUAACUCUAAAGACAUAUAUUUCCAAAAUUCUACAUAAAUUUGCUAUGGAUAAGGCAAAAGAAGUUACCUUACCACUUGGUAGUCAUUUAAAAUUUUCUACUAAAGAUUGUCCUAAAAUUGAAACAAAAAGAAAUUGAAUGGAUAAAAUCCCUUAUGCAAAUGCUGCAGGUUCAGUAAUGUACAUUAUGGUUUGCACAAGGCUUGAUCUUGCUUUUGCUAUUAGUGUAUUAAGUAGAUAUAUGAGUAAUCCUGGUGAACAACACUGGGAAGGCAUGAAAUGGCUACUUGGAUAUGUUAAGGGAACUUCAAACUUAGGAUUAAUGUUUGGAAAAAAGAAAACUGGGAUUAAACUAAAAGGAUUUGUAGAUUCUGAUUUUGUUGGUAAUUGUGAUAAUAGGAAAUCAACACCUGCAUAUGUGUUUAUCUUAAAUGACACUUGCAUAAGUUGGAAAUCACAACUGCAAAAGAUAGUAGCCCUGUCAUCUACAGAGGCUAAAUAUAUUGCAGCCACAAAUGCAGUAAAGGAAGGUAUUUGGUUGAAAAAUCUGUUGGAUGAAAUUGGCUUUACUGGUAAUGAUGCUUUAAUACAUUUUGAUAGCCAAUCUGCUAUACAUCUUAGUAGAAAUCCAGUUUUUCAUGAUGAAACAAAACACCUAGAUGUCAAAUUUCAUUUUAUAAGAGACAUUAUAAAAAAAGAAAAUUAAAAAAAUUGAAAAGAUUUCACUAAGUGUAAUCCAGUAGAUAUGGGAACAAAAAUACUUCCUGUAUAUAAAUUUAGGGAUUGUUUAAAUCUCCUAAAUGUUAUUACUAAUUGAAAUUUCUUUUGCUGGUACAUAGAGCAUAUGAUAUCGAAGGAGAGUUAACUUCUAGUCCACAAUGAAACCUAAAGGUGUCAAGCAAGGUGGAGAUUGUUAAGAAAAUACUUAACACCUAUGGCCCAAUGAUUGAACCCAAUAGCUGAGCCCAAGCUUAUGACCCGGUAUGCCCCCAUUCUGUGCAAACUCGUGUUUCUCCAAAAAUGCGAUUCUAUUCAUUUCUAAUUGGACGAAGCAGAUUGUGCCAAGUGGAGUCGGCUGAACCGUUGGAUGAAUCUGGCUUUUCAUUAUACUAACCCUAGACUUUUCAUUUGUGUCUGUUCGAGAGUCUUCUAGGGUUUGUUCUUCGUGUUUACUCUCUGUAAUUUUUCUUCUCUCUAAAAACCCCUGGUUUUUUGUUGCAAUCUCUGAGUUGUUUUAGAUGCUCUUGGUAAGAUCUAGCUUCGUGUAUUUGUGUUGAGAUUGUAUCUAUUCUUUGGUGAACUGUAAGGCAUGAUUACUUGGUAUAAUCUGCCGUUCGUGUCUGUGAGAGAAAAAUAUGGUCUGAGGGCUGAUCUUUGGUAGAUCUGAAGUUUGUAAACUUGUAUUGACACUCUAUUGUUGGUUUCUAGUGGAUUAGAGCAUUAACCACUUCGGUGGAAGAUCAACGUGGUGACGUAGCCCAUUCUUGGGUGAACAUCCGGUCCUACGGGCGAAAAAUCAUCGUGUUCUUUUAAUUUCUGUGAUUUUACUUCGAGUAUUGGGACUGUUAAUACCAACAAGCACGAAAAAUGAAUGAAAAUGAACAGAAGAAACUGAUUUGCACCUUCAGAAACUUUAAAGCCAUGUUGUCUUAGUAGUCUGAAUUCCAAAGCCGUAGCAUAUAAAUCCUUAAUCUUUGACUGUUGAUCAUUUUCGCUAUAUUUUUUGUUAAUGACUGACAAGAUUUGGUUAAUUUCAUUCUCAAAAUGGUAGGAUAUCCCCAGCCUUUGCAAAUUGUCAAUCAAUUCCAACUGAUCCAGUGGCUUUACUGUUUUAUCAUGUAUCAUCUUCACUUGCAUUUUCAGCUCAGAAGACCGAGUCGCGUAUCUCUCUCCCUACAUCAUGCACAAACAAAAUCUGAUUGCAGGAAAAAAGGAAGAAUUUAUUUUUUAUUUAUUAUGUAAAUGAUGAAAAUUACCGUGUAUUCAAUAUCUAACGACUGAAUAUAUUCGAAGUCCCAUACUGGGGGUUUGUAGUUUCCUGAUCGCCUAAUCACAAUCUGACUGCAAGGCCGCAUAUUGGUUAAAAAACUAUGCUGAUUAGCUUGAGCAGCACUUGUACAUAAAGCAAAACAGUGUUUUGGAAUCUGUUUUUUUGAAGUGCGAAUAUAAAUUGGCUUGAAAAUGUUCAGGUUGAAGAUACUCAUUGAUCUUUGAGACUUGUCUAAGUUGUUCAUAAAAUAUUAUAUUUGGUAUGGUGGGCAUGGCUUAUUUAUAUUGACUUACUUAAUUAUCUGGAACUCAAAUAGUAAUUAGAUAAGUUCAUCAAGUAUUGGCACCAACUCAAAUAAAGUAGCCAUAAAAAUAGCACCCGUUUGACCUCCAUUUUUCCAAAUUAAAAUGGAUGAAUAUAUAUAUAUAUAUAUAUAUUGAGAAAUGUGUGAUUAAAAAAUAAGAAAAAGUUUUGAAUUUGCGUGUACUAUUAUUUUAUUGAAAAAUGUGUGGCUGAAAUAAUGUCAAAACACUGUUGAAAAAUACAUUUUUCCAAAAGAAUGGGACUCAACAAGGCUUAUAUAUUGCUUAAAUUUUCAUAAUUUGAAAUCAUCGUAUAAUUACAUCAUUAUCAAUAUUACUAAUAUAGCAUCCUCAAUAUACACAACUGAGUAGAAUAUCCAAUUCAAUUGCAUGGUUCAAACUAUGGAUGUGGCCUUUAGGAGUAUGAAGUUGAUGUGGAGAAAAAUGUGGUUGGUCGCCAGCGUCGAUGCGGAAUGGAAAAGAAUGUGAUUUGAGACUUGAGAGACAAAUUGGGAGGCGGUAAGUGGAUGAAAAAUGUCAUCACUUACUAUCAAAAUGCUUACAUAAUUAGUGUUGUGUUAAUUGACUUGUUAUAGGUAGAGCUCCAAGAUCGCGUUCAUCCACUAAUAUUUACUUUGAUUAAAUUCUUUUAGACUUUUUACAUUUUUUAAGAAUUUAUGUUUAACUAAAACUCUAAUAUUCAUAAAAUAUUUUCUUCAACUAAAGCUAAAACAAAAAUGAAAGAGACACCAUUAGAGUAAAUAUAUGAAGACAUAGCAAUAUAUGAAGAAGAAUUUGAAAAAGUAAUCAUUGUCUUUUUAUUGUGGGUUCGAUGAAUUUAGUAUGUGAAUGAUUUUUUAUUUGUGUUUAGGUUAUCUAAUAACUUGUCUUUUGAAUUCAAGUGGUAUAAAUAAGAAAUUUCAUUCUGAAUUAUUUGAGUUUUUUAUUGGAAUUAUCUUUUCUUUUCUUGAUUUUCUUGAAUUGAAAAUAUUGAUGGCUGUAUUUUUGGUAGAAUUAUCAAAACAAGAAUUUGAGCUUUUUGUUGGGAUUAUCUUUAUUUUUUUCUUGAUUUUCUUGAAUUCAAACAACUGUGGCUAAUUUGCUGGGAUCUUCAAAGAAACUUGAUAGUGUGGAUAUAUAAUUUUUAAAUGAAUGGAAUGUGGUGUGGAUGAAAAUGAUAUUUUUAAAAAUUUUAAAAUUUAAUAGGAAUGAAUAUAGAGUGAGAUAGAUAUAUAACAAUGGUGGAUGCAAAACAGCUCCCUUUGUUCUUGAUUCCCCCACAGUCAAUAAAAGCUAUUGGAUUUGACCCAAAAUUUUUAAUUAUAUUAUGGUUUAGGGGUAGAAUGAGAUACACAAAGAGAGUUCGAGAAAGAAAAAGAGAUUAUCUGGUUAUGAACAAUAUGAUUUUAUUAAUAAUGAUGAAUUAUGUAUGACGAAUGUUAUUAAUCGUCGCAAGAAAAUGAUACGAUACAAAGAAGUAUGAGACUAAAGAAAUUUGCACAAAUGCUCCAUUAAGGGCAUAAGUUUAUUUUUAUUAAAGUAGAUAUACUUUUAACUAUCGGAAUGGAUAGAAACAAUAGGAAACGGCCCCCCCUUUUUUUGCAUGCAAAAUCAAUAUGUUGAGGGGGUAAUGCCAUAAUUGUAACAUUAGGGACCAUUUAUGCCAAUUCCUUGUUAAUAAAUACUCUACUUUUGGGGUCCUUUGAAGGAAGAAAAAAAAAUAAAAAAAAAUCUACCUAUCUCCCUUAAAGAUAGACUUGAUUUUCUUUUUUGUCUGUCCCAAAUUACUAGCUACUUGAUGAAAGUAAAGAUAUAUUUUAAUUUUCUAAUAUGUCAUAUUUAAUGUAUCUUGUUAUCAAUAAAUAUAAAACAAAUACUAUUUAAACUAUUAUUUAAUGUAGGAGUAUAUAUAGAAAAAUGUAACAAAAUUUAUAUUUUCAAUUAUAUUAAUAACAUUUUCUUAGUAUGUGUUAAAAUAUAGAGAAGUUUAUUUUUAUGGGACGGAUGUAGUAAAUAAGAUGCACUGUGAAACAAGAAACCAUGAUGCUUAACAAUGACAAUCCGCAGUUACUUAAUAGCCUCCAAGCAUUAAAUAAUCAUAAGUCAUUAAAUGAAAAAUUGGUUUCUUAACUUGAACAAUGGAACUGGACAAAUUGAUAAAAACUUAAUGAAGUUGGUAAAGAUAAUUUAAUACGUGAAUUGCUUAGUCCCCAUUUGGGAUAGAUUGUUUUGGUGGAUAUAAUAGUGGGGGGGGGGGGGGGGACCUANNNNNNNNNNNNNNNNNNNNNNNNNNGGGGGGCUUACUAUUAGAUUAAUAUGUUUGGUUGAUACGCUGAAGCAAUCCACAAGUCGAAAGUUCAAGAAUAGAAUGCAAUAUUUUUAGUAAUUGAUUUCAAAAUAAUGGUAAUCAAUUCACUAUAUGAUACAGAUAAUGAAUAUUUAAACAUGAGUAUAAACACAUCUCUGAAUACAUUAAGGAUCUAAUGAAAUUCAAUCUCCAUUAGCAGAAAACAGCUUAAAACUUGGAAUAUUUGGUUUUAUCAUAGUUAAUGGAACCUGAUUCAAAAUAAAAAUAAAAAGAUUCACAUGGUUAAGCAAAAAUGAAGCCACAAAUAAACAUGUUAAACAUGAACUUAAACGUCUAUUGAAAUUACUUAAUUUUGAUUGUAAAUAACUUAGUUAUUUCUACUUGGGGACAACAAAGAAAUAAAUUACCUUGAAACUUAUUUACUUUUAUGUUUACUUUUGAAGAAUUUUAUCUAAGCAAAGCUUAUAUUCAGAUUUUAGGGAUCAAUAUUUUCUCAUCCACUUACAAACAAGGCACUCGAUAAUAUUUGUAUAUUGGAUUCCCAGUACACAAAUUCAGAAGGGUAAAUUGUCUCUGAGCCUUCGAUCAGGAUAUCGUUGAUGUCUAGUGGAUAGACUGAUAGAGUGUUUAAGAUCGAGUCAAUCUGUUGCUGUAUUUCUGCUUUUAUUGUUGCCACAGACCUCAAAGUCAUGUCAUAGCCUAUGAAUGGUGUUAGUAGGAUGCCGACGCUAGAAGAGAAAUAGCAGGACAAGUAAGCACAUGGUUAGAGCCAUGACCAAUGAGAAAUGCCACUGAAAAUUUAUUUUCUGUGGGUUUCCGCCUCAUCCAUAUGUUGCAAUUCAUCCACCGAAACUUCGAAAUUCACUUCAUUGGGAGGAUUGGAGAAGCCUGUUGGCAAUAAACAUAUAUUCUAGCAUCCAAAACCUAAAUUUAAGAAUUGAUUAAUAUAUAGUCAUUAUUUUGAUAAUCAAAUACAAAAGCAUUGAAAUUAAGAAUUAUUGAAGAUUCCAAAAUUUCUUGGGAUUGAAAAGUUUCAUUCGAUCCUUCUUGCUCUUAGACUAAGGGCUUGUCUUCAAUUGAUAGAUGAAUUUUAAGCAUCCUUUUAAGUUCAGUUAUCCUCAAUUGAGAUUUUAAUGAAAUCCAUUAAAAUUUAGGUGUUCCAAAUUGAAAUUCAAUGAAAUCUUUUAAAGUUUAGGUAUCUUCAAUAAUUAGUGUAUUUAUAAAAUUUUAAAAGAUUUUAAGUCGAUUUCAUACUUAAAAAUAUAUAUAACCAAAUAUUUUGAAAUUUCACCGUAUUUGAUGAAAUUCUUACUGAAUUUGUGGAAAUCCACUCAGAUCCACAAAAUUCAUUAAAAUUUAUAAUCUUUUAAAAUAUAUCAAAAUCUUAGUUGAGGACAUCCCUGUAAAUGGACGAUGUCUAUGUCAACCUUUUUUUUUUUUUUUACAUAUAUUUUCACUAUGUUUAUUGGCUAGAUUAUUUGUUAGGGCGAAUGAUAUAGGUGACUUCGGUAUAAUUAAUUGAUUUCUAUUCAUAUUUUAAUUAUUUAUUUUGAAUAUUUGUUUUGUAAAUUGUGGCAUGAUUGAUUUAUUUUCUUUAUUGAGAAUAAGAGUUGAGUCACAUGAUAUUUGAUUGUAUGUUAGAUCGAAAGAUUGCAUGUUGAACACAUAAUCUUACUAUUCAUAAAUUUGUAGCUUAGCUUUAUUGCCACAGAGAUAAUUUAGUAGUUGCUAAUUUAGUAGUUGCUAACCUGCAGACAAGAAGCAAAAUAAAUGGGACAGUACACAUUGAUUGAGAAUUAUUAAUCAUUUAAAUAACACAUAAUCUUACUAUUCAUAAAUUUGUAGCUUAGCUUUAUUGCCACAAAGAUAAUUUAGUAGUUGCUAACCUGCAGACAAGAAGCAAAAUAAAUAGGACAGUACACAUGGAUUGAGAAUUAUUAAUCAUUUAAAUAAUACACUUAAAUAAUUACAUUAUGAUUCAUUCAUCAUUUUUUAUAAAUAAUCCAUUGUGAUUAGCUAGAAGAGUAGGAUGUAGUCAAAAGAGUAAUGUUUUUCGUUACCAUUGGAAAAAUAGUCUUCAUAUUAAGCUAUGUAUGGUGCACCAGAUUAGGCCAUAUAAAGAAUUUAGUGUAAAAUUAUAAUGAUACUACUAGGUAAAUGAUAUUAUGGUUGAUUAAGGUGAAUACUAAUCUUUAAUUUUUCAUUCAAAAAAUGGUCAUUUGCGCUAUCAACCAUAUAAUAUAGUACCGAGGUUGGAGGUAAGUUUAGGCCACAUAAAAAGAGCGAUGAAAUGAUGGUUCAAAGAUUAUUACCAUUCUUUAUCCCCCAUAAUACCCUUUACCCAGUAAUAUUCAUUAUAAUUUAUACUAAUAUUUUAUUCUGUUUACUCCGGUGCACCUAACAUGACCAUAAUAUUCCAUAAGGUUUCGUAUUUAUGCUAUGGUUAUGCAUUGUUAUCCACAAUUAUUUUUUAUGAAAGUUAAUAAUAUAUUGGAUUGUUUUCCAAUUGUUGAUCCUACUCGGUAUUGAUUAUGAUUCAACAAGUUAGUUGAUCUUGUGUUAUAUUGCUGUGUCAUAGAUUAAAAUGCCCAGUGAAGAAAGAAACCAGGAUGCUUCACAAUGAUAGGGGAAAAAUAUUGUUUUCUCAGCUGGCACUCGACAAACUGAUAACAAAGCCUUCAUUCGGAAUUUUUUUUUAAAUCUUUUAUAAUUGUCAAAUCUCAUUUUCAACCAUACAUAUCAGUUGACCUACAAUUAGUAUCUACUCAUUCACUACUAUUUCCUGUCUAUUUAUAAAUUAAACACUUUAUAAAUUCUUCCAAAAUGAACAAGUUGAAAAAGUUACACUAGUUGAUCAAUGGUCGAGUUGAUUAAGUUACAUAAGAAUCAGUUGGCAGUGAUAAUAAAAUACAUGAAUUGCUUAGGCCCAUCUGGGACAGAUUGUUGUGGAUCCAAUUAAAAAUGAAAACAGAAAAAAUUACUAUUUGAGUAAGAUACUUGGUUAAUAAUACACAUAAAAACGACUAUUAUUAUAAUCAAACUGGAAAGUUCAAGAAUAGAAGGUUAUGUUUAUUAUAUUUGAGUAUCAAAAUAAUCAUAAUUGGGAUCAUGACCUUUUUAUCAAAAUAAGUGAACUUUUUUACUUAAGGUUUUUUGUCAAAUGAAAACGAGAACCGAAUGAUGUUUAUCAAAGAAAAGAGCAAGAGGGACUGACUAGAGGGCUGUCAACCAACUCAUAAGAAUAAACAUAACUUUGUUCAAAAUCUUGGUAAACUUUUCCGUUGAUCUUUUCAAUUUUGUGUAUCAUCUGAAGAAUAAACAACACCAAGAGUAGGAAUAUUGCCACAAAUUUUGAAAAGAAUAAAGGGGAAGGAGAAAGAAAAAAAAUAAAAAAGCUCUAACAACCAUAGUCCAAAAAACAAUUUUAGCAAAGUUCUUCUCAAUGGAGAUUAAAGAAAAAAUUUAGUGAUUUGCUUCCAAAGCAUCAGAACCAUUUUGAAGGUUUGAUAUCGAUUAUGUGAACUGUUCGACAAAUAAGGAAGAAAAUGAAGUUAUUAUUCUUCAGCAGCGGCACUUGCAGCACUCAGGUCUACUAACAAAUAGAGAACUUGAACCAAAAAAAAAAUAAUAAUAAUAAUAAUAAUAAUAAGGCAAAUAAAUAUAUAAACAGUAAAUAUCAAAUUUCUCUAAGUUAUAUACACUUUCUUCAUUUAGAUUUCAUGACUCAUAUAUCCAUCAGUUACCUGUUGGAAAAAUUCCAACGUAUGGGGACACACACACACAUAUAUUAAAAUGUGUUGUGCUAGUUUAAAGCUUAGUCAAUAAAGUAAUCCGUUAAAGUCAAUUUCUGGACUAACGGGGAUUAAAUGUCAUGGAAAUGAAGUGUAGAGACCAGAAAAUGUUAUUUUAAAUUAAUGAGGGGCCAAUUUGAAAUAACUGCUUAAUAUAGUUAUUUAUUCUGGGUCAUGGUCCCAAUUGUAAGUGAUUUUUCAUAUCUCUCUGCAUCCCCAUAAUAGAGAAAAAAAUUCCAAGCAAUUACGUAACAAUUGGAAGAUCUUAACCCAUUCAUCCAUUCGGAAUAUUAACAACUGUGGAUCAAGGUACGCUUCCGCAUUUUUUAAUGUUCUCUUUGAUUUCAACAUGUAGGACCAUUUAUGUAAUUUUGUGAAAGGAUUUGAUAAAAUUUUGGUUUCUUUCAAUUCAUACAAGUGGUAUUAGAGCACUCAAUUGUUAAAUCUUUGAGAAAUUGAAAGAAUAAAUGCUAUAACAAUUCUAUAUUGUGGAUUAUUUUUGAUCUUUUAUCAUAUGAUUAUGUGAAAUUUAGUUCUUACAGUAUUUUAAGAGUUUUCAAACUUUACAAAUUUGAAUUUGUUUUUGUUGAAUUUGAAAAUUGUUCGACAUAUUAUUCAUGGUUAUUUUUUUUCAAAACUUGGAUUAAAAUUUUGAGAAUUUCAAUUUAUGGUUUUUCGAAUUUCGUAAAAAACAAUUUUGAUUAGCCGUUGCCGGCACUGCAGCGAUGUUACAUUUUGCAAUAGCACUGGUCGCUAGGGAAGGAGAAAGAGAAAGAUUGGGUUGGAUUUUUUGGGAUGGGGGCCUGAGGUGAAAUCUUGGUAAUCUCAUCCCUUGCUUGAAAUAAAGAUUAGGGUUAGUUAAUUUUUUAAAAUAUAAUUUUACAUUUCAGUCUCUAAAGUUUGAAAUCCAUACAAGCUGGACCUUUAAAAUUCUAGGUUUAAUAAUUCAGUCUAUAAAGAUUGAAAAUUAUUUAAUUUGGGCCAUUAAAGUUCUGAAAUUUGUAAUUAAAGCCCUCAAUGUUUAUAAUUAAUUAAAAUUGGCCCCCAAAAUUUUUUUUUCCAAAUUUUGGCCCCUAAAAUUUUGAAUUAUUAGGUCCCUAAAGUCUCAAAAGACAUCUAAUGAUGCAAAAUUAGUGAUUCUCUUUCUCAAAUUUUGGUAUUAAGGACUCUUUUAAGAUGUAUAGUUGAGAUUUAAUUAUGUGGGACAAUCAAAUUCAAAUAUUUUGAUAAAUCAUUCAUGAUAAAUUAAGGUUAUCUAGCAUUUUAAAUAAACUAACUGAAACAAUAUGUCACCAAAGUGACCUUUUUGUGUAAAUUGGUUAGCUUGGGAUGUUUAGAUAUUGUGUGUGUGUUUGUUCAUACGGGUAUUAGUCGGCCCAUAGAAAGGUUAAUAUUUGGCCGAAUUACAUAUAUACUUGUGGUAGUGAAUGUGUAGCAAUUAUAAGGUUUCCAUAAAUCAGUCCAAAGAUGGGUUUAUUAUUUGAUAAGAGUUAUUGUCAAUAUCUAAUCACUAUGCCAAGAAUACCACUUGUUAAUAUUAUUGUCCAAAGACUUGAUCACUACACCGAGAUGGAGCAUACCAUUAUUUGAAUUUAUUGUUCAUUAAAUGUGGAUAUGAGCAUGAUUAUUUGUUUAUUUUUGUUCUUUGUGCAGCUAAUUCAUCUGCAACUAUUAUAUUUGCCAAUGUUAAUUCGAUUUAAAAAUUUCAAGGAUUGAAAAGAGAACAUAUUGAUUGCUCUUAGCUGCAUGGAUCUUGAAUUUGCACUUCGGAUUGAGGAACCCACACUUUUUAUGGAAGAAAGUUCACCUGAUGAAAAGAGGAAUUUUGAGAAGUGGGAUCGCUAAAAUUGCAUGAGUCUAAUGAUCAUUAAGCGCGGCAUUAUGAAAGCCUUUAGAGGUGUAGUAUCUAAAGGGGUAACAAAUGUCAAGGGGUUCCUCGCAGAAAUUGAGAAACAUUUUGCGAAAAAUGAUAAGGCCGAAACUUGCAUGCUUUUGUAAAACUUGAUUUCGAUGAAGUAUAAAGGCAAGGAAAACAUGAAGGAGUACAUUAUGGGGAUGUCUCACAUUGCUUUUAAGCUUGAGCUAUAUGAUGACUUACUGGUACAUUUGGUAUUGAUCUCGCUUCCUGCACAGUUCAGUCAAUUUAAGGUCAAUUAUAACUGUUAGAAAGAGAAAGAGUCUAUAAAUAAGCUCAUUUCAUAUUAUGCACAAGAGGAAGAAAGGUUGAAGCAAGAAAGAACUGAAAGCGCUCACUUGAUAAGUACUUCUAAGGAUAAGGGUAAGAAAAUAAAGAAAGAAUAUGAAUCUAUUCCUACGGGUCUAGCACAAAAGAAAUGGAAGGAACAUGAAUGAACUUGUUUCUUUUACAAUAAGACUGGAAAUUUGAAGAAAGAUUAUACCAAAUAUCACGCAUGGCGUGCAAAGGAAAGUACAACUCUUACUUUGGUCUGUUCUGAAAAUAAUUUUGCUCUAGUAUCCAGAAACACUUGGUGGAUAGAUUCUGGUGCUACUACUCACAUAAGUGUUUCUAUGUAGGGCUGUUAGAGCUACCGAAAGCCAAGUAAUGGUGAAAGAUACAUCUAUGUGGAUGAUGACAAAUCGAUUGAAGCUGAUGUAAUAGGCACUUUUAGGUUAUAAUUAGGAACUGGUUAUUAUUCGUAUUUGAAAGACACUUUUGUUGUACAGUCUUUUAGAUAGAAUUUGAUUUUCUUUUGUUUGUUGGACAAAUCUGGAUACUGUUGUUCAUUUGGAAACAUUCAGUUUAGUCUUUCAUUAAAUUCUUAUGUUAUUGGUAAUGAUUUGUUAUCUGCAUAUGAUAACCUAUAUUUGCUUGAUAUUAUUGUAUCAUAUAAUGAGAUCUUGCAUGUGGAAUCAAGUGAUACUAAACGCAAAUUAAAUAAAGAGAAUUCAGCAAAAUUAUGACACAAGCGCUUAGGUCACAUCUUAAAAGCUAGAGUUGAACGACUUGUAUCAGAUGAUAUUUUGUUUUUCCUUGACUUCACGGAUUUUAAUUAUAUAUUGACUGUAUCACGGGAAACCAGAUCAAAACAAGGUGAUUAGGUGCUAAUAGAACUUCGAAUGUCUUAGAAUUGAUACACACAGAUAUUUGUGGACCAUUUCCUACGACUUCUUGGAAUGGUCAACAAUAUUUUAUAUCAUUCAUAGAUGAUUACUCACGAUAUUGGUACCUAUAUCUCAUCCAUGAAAAGUCUGAGUUGUUGGACGUGUUCAAGCUUUAAAAAUUGAGGUUGAGAAUCAACUCAAUAAAAGAAUAAAGAGCAUUAGGUCUAACCUUGGUGGUGAGUACUAGGCAUACAUGACAGUUCAAAUGAACAAUGUCUAUGUCCAUUUGCUAAACGACUAGAGGAAUGUGGAAUCACCAUGCCAGGAUCGCCUAGAUGAAUGGUAUAGCUGAAAGAUGAAACAGGACUCUUAAGGAUAUGGUAAGGAGUAUGAUUAAUCAUUCCACCUUACCAAAAUCACUCUAAGAAGAGGCAUUAAAGAUCGCAACUCAUAUUCUGAACAGAGUGCCAACUAAGGUUGCUGUUAAAAUACUUUAUGAACUUUUGACAGGCAGAAAGCCUAAUCUAAAGCAUUUUCAUAUUUGGUGAUGUCCAACAAAGGCUAGACAUUAUAGGUCACAUAAAAAAAAAUUAGACUCUAAAAUAGUUUGUAGCUAUUUUAUUAGUUAUUUUGAGUGAUCUAGGGGCUAUAAAUUUUAUGAUCCCACACUUAAGUCAAUUUUUGAAAUGGGACUACAAUACUUUUUGAGGAUGUUGAGUUUGGGAGGAAAAAUAAAGUUAGAGACAUUGUCUUUGAGGAAGAAGUUGAGGAAUGAUUGGUUUCAAUUCGUACUAUUAUUUUUGACAAUUUACAUGUUUCUAUACCUAUCAUUGAUUAAGAAGUAUAUCCAGAACCCCAAAAAAACAAUGUUGAAGAACCUCCCAUCCAAAAUGAGGUAAUUAUUUCAAAAGUACAAACUCAACAACCUCAAAAACUAAUACCAUUAAGGAGAUCCACGUGAGAAAGGAAAAGUGCUAUUUCGAAUGAUUUUAGAGUAUUUCCCCAUGAACAUGAGAAAAAUAAUGGAAUGGUGAAAGAUAAUCCAAUCAAUUUCCAUCAGGCCAUGUAGGGUUCCAACUCUUAAAAGUGGAUUGAUACCAUGAAUGAGGAGUAAAAGUCUAUGGAAGACAAUAAAGUUUACCUGAAUGUGUGAAGCCCAUUGGUUGCAAAUGGAUUUUUAAAACCAAUGGAGACUAGAAAGAUAAUGAGGAAAGAUAUAAGGCUCGUCUUGUGGCUAAAGGCUUUAUCGAAAACGAAGGCAUCAACUUCAAAAAGAAUUUCUCUCCAGUUUCAACGAAAGACUAUUUUAGGACAAUUAUGACACUUGUCACUGAAUCUUGCAAAAAAUCUCCUAGGUGGUCACCGAACUUCAAUACGUCCUUAAAUAGUCACUAAACUUUUUCGAAGUCCCCCACAAGUGGUUACCGAACUUCAAAACGUCUCUGAAUGGUCACUAAACUUCGCAAAAAAUCCCUAGGAGGUCACUAAACUAGUAAUGUAUGGGGUCCCAAUUUGCAACAUUGAGUGACCUCUCUAGAGGACUUCGUUAAAGUUCAGUGAUCAUUUAGAGACGUUUUGAAGUUCAGUAACCUCCUGGGGGACUUCGGCAAAGUUCAGUGACUAUUUAAAGACGUAUUGAAAUUUGGUGACCUUCUAGGAGAUUUUUGCAAAGUUCAGUAACCAUCGGGGGGAUUUCCUCCACAUAUCAACAUAUAACCAUACAUAUUACAAGUAGCACUAAAAGGUUCGAUUAUGUAUAUGUGAUAAAUAUUGUUGAGCGGAAGAUGAUGACCACCAAGGCUUGAACUGGGCUUAGUUUUUUUCCCAGUCAACACCACAAGCAAAACAACCAUAAACCCCCUUCACAGCCUCUCCCAUUUACGGUUGCUAUAGUUACCCACUUAGAGAACCACAAAGGGGAAUGAAAUCACGAUGAGAACAACCACAGAGAUAGUAAAAUGAGUGAACAAAAUCGAGGUAGAGAGAUCACAAAAAAGGCGGCUAGUUUUUCUCACACAAAGAAAGACCGCGACAAGGGAAAUAUAACCAAAGCAAUGUAACAAUUAAGGUAAGUAGAGAUAGGGUAUGGUAAUGGGUCAAAAGGAGACCUAACACAUAGUUAAAUGGACUGCUAAGUGCGUUACGCUUUAUUUAGCCGUCCAGGUAAGUGAGAUGGGCCAUGAGUGGCACUAAUUUAAAUUAGGCUGCUUCUAAUGGCCCAAAAUACUUUUGGGGUUGGAUCAUUUCAUUUGAGGAAUUGGUAUAACGUUCAGUCAUUUGGACUGAAAAAAUAAAUCGAGAUCACGUCGUUUGACAACAAUUUGCCUACGAAAUAUAAGGAAAUUGUGAUACCAUCUAGUUAGACAUAUGUAUUAGUUAACCUUCAUUUUAUCACUUAAUUAAUUACCAAAAAUUCACAUUUGAGCAUAAGAUUGUUGGAAAACAAGUUCAAUUAUCUUAGCAUUCUUAGUUGCCUCCACAAUCUAACAAAAAAGGUACUUUAACAAUUGACAACUUUUUAUUAUAGGGAACAUUCAUUGAUCAAGCAAUGACGGUGCUAGAAUAAAGGACUUAAAUUUACCUAGAAAUAGUAAUGUCUAAUGGACAAUUUUCUAGUUACUCCAUUUCAAUUAUUAUCAGACACAAAACGGUAUUUUACAAAAGAAGAAAAGAACCUACGGUUGGCCGACUAAUAGUCUAACUGUCUAAUUGAAAAGUCGAGUGAUACCAAUAUUAACCAAGAUUCUAAAAAACACAAUCAUAAACUGAAAAUAAAGUGCAGGAAAUAAAAAUGAACGUAAGGAUUUUUUCGGCCAAAGCUCCAAAGGUUUGGCGAUCACUUCUAACCCCUAUUGAGCAUCCAUUAAAAUGGAUAAAGCUCGAUUGCACUAUAAAACCCCAAAAUUUGGCACCAAAAAUUACAAGAAUGUUCCAGUAGUUACAAGAAAUAAAGUUACCAAGACUUAUCUUUAAAAUGAAGCACAAAUCAAGCCUCACUCCACUAAGGAAUCAAGAAACCCGGAUCACACAGGUCACAAAAACAAACUGCCUUCUUCGAACCGCAGAAGAAUGAGUGCUGAUACACAGUGUAUCACUUUCUACCGAGAGACUAUACACAAAAUCACAAAGAUUUCACAGAAAUUUGAACUUCCAACAUGAAUCACGCAAAUUCGUACACCAUACCAAAAAAACCAGUAUAUUAACACAAGUAGAUGGAGUAGAACUUUAUCAUCCCUCAAGUAUACACAUGAGAAUCACUCAAAAUUGGCUUGAAUAUGUGAAGAAAAGGGAUUUCAUACACAGAGAAGAAGAGAGAUGAAGAGGCGAAACCAAACCCUAGAGAAAAUCUCUCAAAUUUGAAAAUGUAAGAAUAAAGUCUCUCUCUCCAAUCUAAAAAAUCAUGUUCCUAGUAGAGAGUCACAAGAUUUCAUGAUUGGAAGUCUCUAGAAUCUGAUCGGAUGGUCGUCAUGAUGCUUCUCUAUUUCCACCAAAAUCAGAAUCUGUACAACGCUUUAAAAUUACCCUCCCUUUGUCCAUUUUAAAAAUCAAACCCAAGUUGUAUGAACCCUUUAAAUAUCUCAAUAAGCACUACAAGGCUUCCCAAUGAGUUUCACCAGGAUUUCCCAUAAAUCUACUCAAAACAAUAAUACUAAAAGCCAAAUCAGGUUUGGUACAAAUCAUUAAGUACAUGACUGAACCAAUUGCAUUAGCAUAAGGUAUUUUAGACAUUCUUUCAAGUUCAUCUUCACUUUUUGGACACGAAUCAGAUGUUAAAAUAAAGUGAUUGGCAAGGGAUAAAGUCACAGGUUUACAAUCAAACAUAUUAAACUUCUUAAGAAUCUUAUUCACAUACUCUUCUUGGCAUAAAAACAAGCAAUCAGAUUUUUCAUCUCUUAUAUAAUAUGCAUGUCAAGUAUUUUCUUAGCGGAACCAAGAUCCUUCAUAUCAAAUUCUGAUUUUAAUUUGUGUUUGAUAUCAUCAAUUUCAGAUUUAUUGGCACUAGCAAAGAGCAUAUCAUCAACAUAAAGCACAAGAUACAAAGAAUCUUUACCUCCAUUUCCUUUACAAAAAAGACAUAUAUCGUAAUUGCUUCUACUAAACCCAAACAUCAAGACAAAUGAAUCGAAUCUUUUAUAUCAUUGUCUCGGAGAUUGUUUUAGGCCGUACAAAGAUUUUUUCAACAAACACAUUGUUUUCUCAGGAUUUCUUUUAAUAAAUCCUAAAGGCUAUUUCACGUAGAUCACUUCAUCCAAUUCACCAUAUAAAAAUGCAGUUUUUACAUCUAGUUGAUCAAGUUUCCACUUAAAUUGUACAAUCAAAGCAAGAAUACAUCUUAUAGUUGUAUAUUUAAUGACGGGGGAAAAAAUCUCAUUGUAGUCCACACCCUCUUUUUGUGUGAAAUCCUUGGAAACAAGCCUAACAUUGUAUCUAACAUUGUUAGUGCCACCUUCCCCUUCCUUUAUCUCAUAAUCCAGUUGCAAUCAACUAGCUUCUUAUCCUUAGGUCUAUCAACCAAUUCCCAAGUUUUAUUUUUGUAUAGGGAAGACAUCUCUUCUUCCAUAGCACUCAACCACCGCUUAGAAUCUUUAUAUUUUAAGGCUUCACAAUAAGAACUAGGUUAAGUUUCAGAUUCAUCUUGAUAAGUGAACAAAGACACAAAUUCACCACUAUUAAACCUGGCUGGUGGUCUAAUUUAUCUCCUAGCCCUGUCUCUAGUGAGAUGGUAUUCAUCUAGAAGUGUGUUAUCAUCAUUAUACUGCUCAGGUUCAGCCAAAUCAAGCUCGUUUUCAGUCUGAUCAGCCUCAUUAGUUGCUAUUUUUAAGGGGACAGAACUCGUAUUAUCAAUUUUAAUAGUCUCCACCUAAAUUUGGACAUCAUUUUCAGUUAAAUUUCCCUCUUUCCCUUCCAAACAUGGCAUACAUGACUCAUUAAAGAUCACAUCCCUUCUUAUAAUAAACCUGUAACCUUUUCCCCAUAAACCCAAAGCCUAUAUCCUUUAAUAUUUUCAACAUAACCCAAAAACACACAUUUAAGGGAUCUAGGUUCAAGUUUCCCUAUGUUUUGAUGACCAUAUACAACACAACCAAAUAUUUUCAAGUAAGAAUAGUUCACUGGCUUUUGUGUCCACACAGAUUUAGGCAAAUUAAAAUUUAAAGCAUUUGUAAGACUUCUAUUAAUCAAAUAUGCAUUAGUUUUAACAGCUUCACCUCCAAAAAAAUUUGGGUAAAUCAGAACUCAAAAACAUACACCUAACUUUAUUCAACAAAGUCCUAUUCAUUCUUUUUGCAAUGCCAUUUGUUGGGGUGUGUAGGUCACAGUCCAAUGUCUUAAAAAAAUGCCAUUCAACUUGCGAAAAUUAUUAAACUCGUAAUUGCAAGAUUCUAGACCAUUGUCGGUUCUCAAAGUUUUGAUUUUCAAAUCAGUUUGAUUUUCAAUUUGGGUUUUCCAAUCUUUAAAUGUGGCAAGUGUUUCAUCUUUAGUUAUCAAAAGAAAUACCCAAAUUUUUCUAUAGAAAUCAUCAAUUAUAAGCAAGUAAUACUUGUAACCAGACAAUGUAGGGGUGGAUGCAUGGCCUCGCAAAUCAGCAUGUAAGUAUUCUAGAAUUCGCUUUGAUUUAUGAGUACUAGUGGGAAAAUGUAACUUAACUUGCUUUCCAGUCAAACAUUGUUCACAUUUAGACAAAUCACCAAAAUUUGAUUUUCCAAAUACACCUUUGUUUUGUAAAGUCUUUAAACCUUUUUCACCAAUGUGACCAAGUCUACAAUGCCACAAUUUUGUAUGAUUAAAGUUAUCAUCUAAAACUGUAGCUAAAAGGCCCAACAAAGGUUUUGCAUUUAAAAAGUAUAAAUCAUGUCUCUUUGGGAUAGAAGUGAUCAAAUCACUACCCGUAAAGAUUUUUAUGUGUCCUUGACCUAAUUUUAUGUCAAACUCUAUGUCAUCCAACAUUCCUAGAGACACAAGGUUUCUUUCUAAUUCAGGAACAAAUUUGGCAUCUUUUAACAAUAAAAUUCUGCCAUUUUCUAAGAGCAAUUUUAUGGUUCCAAUACCUUUCACUUUGCAGGUUAUGUUGUUUUCCAUGAUAACUUGGUCCCCUUUAGUUUGUUCAAAGUCCAAAAAAUAGUUUUUAUUAGGGCACAUGUGGAAAGAGCAACCUGAAUCAAGAAUCCAUUCUUGAUUUAGGUUUCUUUCAACAUUUACAAGAACCAAGCCGUUAUCAAAUUUUUGCUUAUCAUAGGACAAAACAGCAUUACCCUCAUUUAACUUCUUUCCUUUCAAAUCAUUUUGCUUUUUGUAGUAAUCUUUUGCAAAGUGACCCAACUUACCACAAUAAUAACAUUUCUUUCCCUUUCCCUUUGUUUUAGAUUUCAUUUUGUCAUUGUUUCUUCUCUUAGGAUCAUUUUGAAAUUUUGAAUGAAAAUUAGAUUUACCAGCAUUUUUGUCUUUUAUCAAAAGAUUUUCUCCACUUUGUUGGUUGAUAAAAUCUGAUUUUAAUUCAAGAACCCUAUUUCUUAAGGCAUUUAUAAUGAUAUAUGCGGUAAGCUUGUCUCUACCAUAUUAUAAGACAUUCUUUAGGUCUUUAUGUCUAUCACUAAUGGAGUUUAACAAGACCACAGCCAGCCGAUCUUCUAAUAAUUUCUCAUCACAGUUGGCAAGGCCCUGGGUCAAUUUGGUAAAUCUGUCCAAGUUCUCAUCUAAGCCAACAGAAGGAUCUAUUUUGAAAGAAAAGAAUUGUUUUAGCAAAAAACAUUUGUUUGGAACAGUUUUUGGCUCAUAUUGGGCUUUCAAUUUAGUCCACAAUUCUUCAGGAGUUUUAGUUUCACCUAUAGACCUGAUCACAUUGUCUGAAAGGUACAAGAAAAUAGUACUCCAUACUAUUUCUUCCAACUCAGUUCUUUUUGUAGCAAACAUUUCAGUAGGCCAAAAAUUAUCUAAGGCUUUAGCACAUUUGAUUUGCAUUAAGAUAGCCCUCAUUUUCUGGCUCCACAUAUUAAAGUCCGCCCCCAUCAUACAUGCUCACUUCAAACUUAGCAGUAGCCAUGACAAGAUUCACCAAGACAGUUCACAAACACAAGUUUGAAUUCAAAAACACACAGGGAUACACAAUAAGAGUACUAUAGACAGAACAUGGGAUUUGGUGUCAGUGACCAAUGCAGUUAUAUUAUUUUCACAAAAUGGUAAACACUUAACACUAAGUAUAGAAGGCAGAAUCACAAAGAAUAGAGAUGACAAUCCUAUGCAUCAACUAACUUCUCCGACAAGACCUUCUAAUUGCACUUCUGCUAGUGUUGUUAUCUCAGAUUCCCAAGAGUUCUUGAGUCUUUGGACAAAGACCAGCCAUAGUAGGUUUUGUUAGUGCAAGGUAAAUCAAGGGAAAAAUUAGAAGACCCUACUGUAAAGAUUAAUUGCAGAAUGUAGGAAAGAUCUCACCAAUGAGUUUGAUAAAACUCAAUUUCCACCAGCUAAUGUUUACUGCAGGUUUCAAGAAUCUGGUUUAAUCAAGAAAUCACAAAGCUCCAGUAGUCCAGAUUGCUCUGAUACCACUGAAAAGUCGAGAGAUAUCAAUAUUAACCAAGAUUCCAAAAAACACAAUCAUAAGCUGAAAAUAAAAUGCAAGAAAUAAAGAUGAAAACAAGGAUUUUUUUGGCCGAAGCCCUAGAGGUUUGGCAACCACUUAUAACGCCUAAUCCUCUGUCGAGCAUCCAUUAAAAUGGAUAAAGCUCGGUUGCACUAUAAAGCCCCAAAAUCAGGCACCAAAAAUUACAAAAAUGUUCCAGCAAUUACAAGAAAUAAAGUCACCAAGACUUAUAUUUAAAAUGAAGCACAAAUCAAGCCUCACUCCACGAAGGAAUCAAGAAACCCGGAUCACAAAGGUCACAAAAACAAACUGCCCUCUUCGAACCACAGAAGAAUGAGGGCUAAUACAUAGUGUAUCACUUUCUACCGAGAGACUAUAUACAAAAUCACAAAGAUUUCACAAAAAUUUGAACUUCCAACAUGAAUCACACAGAUUUGUACACCAUACCAAAAAACCCAGUAUAUUAACACAAGGAAAUGGAGUAGAACUUCAUCAUCCCUCAAGUAUACACCUGAGAAUCACUCAAAAUUGGCUUGAAUAUGUGAAGAAGAGGGAUUUCAUACACAGAGAAGAAGAGAGAUGAAGAGACGACCCCAAACCCUAGAGAAAAUCUCUCAAGUCUGAAAAUGUAAGAAUAAAGUCUCUCUCUCCAAUCUGAAAAAUCACGUUCCUAGUAGAGAGUCACAAGAUUUCAUAAUUGGAAGUCUCUAGAAUGUGAUCGGAUGGUCAUCAUGAUGCCAGGUGUCGAAAUCUUGUUAAUUGGCACAAUUAAUAGAGUUGUCAUUUUGAGAACAUGUUUUUCUCCACAGAAUUUUGGAAGCACACUUGACAAAAUAAAAAUCGACAGUUUGAAUUCUCAACACUAACUUUACGAGGAAGCGUUCAAAUAAUUUUGUUAAUCUUGAUUCAACAAAGAGAAAGUUCUUCCUUUCAUAACGGUGGUUUCAGAGAAAUUCAAAAUUUCCGUAAUGGGAUAAAAACUCUUUCGGUCACCAAACUUUAAUAUGUUCUUCAGUCAUCGUACUUAUUUUAGCAUAAAUGGUCAUUGAACUUAUAAAGUUGUUCCAAUUAAGUCACUGGCUAUGAAUCCAUUAGUUAAAUUUAACACAUUUGGGGAUGUGCCUACAAAUUCGAUCUCGCUACAUUGAUAUUAAAUUUGACAGUUUUUUUAUGGUGUGUGAAGUGGCACACUUUUUUACCCUUGAUUUCAACAACACUUAAAAUAAUUCAUGGCACAUAUUUUUAUGUCUUAUAAAAUGUCAACCUUAAUGUAUACACAGAAUGUACUAAUAGCAUUUUCCCUACAAAUUAUUGUAAGAAUUAUGUGACAAAAGAAAUGACAAUAAACUCAAGUCAAAUUAAUAUCCACUUCAAUAAUAAGUGUCUGAGUUUAAACAUUUAAACGAGUGCUAUAAAAUCAAAAUCACAUGUGAUGCAAAACAUAAUUGUAAUGUUGUGUUGCUCAUUGGACUGUUUUCAUCCAAAAUAGACACAAAAUUCCUUGAAAAAUUACUUCUUUAAAUCCUAGUCUAAUGAGCGAAACACAAUGGCUUUGCCCCCGACGUACGGUCCAUUUUAGUCAAAUUUCAUCGGUUAGGGUUUCGAAAAUGAUUUUUUUCAUGUUUUUUAAAUGAUUUUGUUAAUUUUAAUUAAAUUAGGAUUUUAAUUGCAUUUAGGAUUAUAUUAUCUUUAAUUCUUAUCAUUAUCUGAAGUAAGUCAUUAUCUAGAGGUUUAGUUAUUAUCCAUAUUUUAAUUAUUGCUUUAAAUAUAAGUUGGAAGCCUUCAUGGUCUUAAUUGAAUUUAAUUAUAAUAAAGAGCUUUGAGAAGUUUCUGAAAAUUAUUCCAUCUUUCUUAACAUUCGUGAGCGAAUCAACAAGUUUGAAUUUUUUGCGAGUUUUUGUUCUUCCCUAUAAGCUUCCGCUAUGUCAACAUGUCAAACACUAGCUUAUUAAUGCCAUCUCAUAAUUCUUAUAACUACUGUCAAUGACAUAAACAACAGCACCUAAACAAAACCGUAAACUUUAGUAAUUGAUAUGGAAGGAUUGUCUUAACUGAAAUAUCUUUGUAAAUUUGCCGACAAUCUAUGCUAAAAGGGAGUUACUAAAAUGUCACAUUUUGAGAGUUUGAUGACCAGAAAAGUUUGUUAACCUGUUCAGAAAUUAUAUAUAUAUAUAUAAAUGAUGAAUACUAACUUCACAUAUCAAUGUUACAUACUAGUCAUUCUCAUCCAAGACACAUGAGAGCGUAGUUGAGAUUGAAGACCAAGAGUUGAGGCAUCACAUGGAAUUGACCCAUAAUCUCCAUUGCCUCCUCCUCCUCGUCCUUCCAAUUGUCUCCCAUGUCUCUCCCCUCUCGAUAUCGCUUUUUUGUGACAUUAUUUUGUAUUUAAGAUCUGUUUGCCAAGUUAAAUGGUUAAUCUCCUUUUACAAGAUAAAUAAAGUUAUAAAAUUUGAGAAAUUGUCGCAAAUGGUCACUAACCUUAGUCUACCUUGUGGAUAUGGUUUAUAAUAUGUUUCUUGGCACAAACGUCACUGACCAAUGUGUUUUAGUGCUAUUUUGGUCCUUUUUAUGAAAAAGACCAAAAUGCUCUUAAAUUUUUAUUAGAAAAAAUUGCAGUUGGGUUCCUAAACUUUGCAAAAAGGUGCAAAUGGCUACUUUACCGUAUCUUUUUAUAAAAUAAAUUGAAGGAAACUAACAAGAUCAUUUUUGUUCCGAUUUAAAACUUUAUUGAUCAAAUUGAUUAUAUGCGUGAACAUUUUUUAUUUUUUAUGUUUUUGUGUAUAUUUUACAAAACUAUUAUGAACUAAUUAAAGUUUAAACUUGUGCUUAAUUAACUAUAGCACGUUAAAGAAAAUUAUUGGUUGUAUUAUUAAGUAAUUACGCUGUUUUAGAAUUUAAACUUUUAUUUUAUAUUUAUAACAAAAAGAUAAUAGAAAACAAUAUUUUAUCACGAAGACAAAUCUGUGAGUAUUAAGCAGGUAGAUGCUCUCAAAAUAAAGCAGUCGGCUUGGAUACAACAGUUGGGUGAUUAUAAAAAAUAGACUUGUGUUAUAUCACCAAAUUACAAGGUAGUGAACUACAUGUUCAAAUAAAUGAAUUUCGUAUCUUAACAUUUAAUCUAGCCAAUGAUUAAAUGUUAUUUAUUGUCAUGUGUACAAGUUAAUUAACAUCAAUAUUGUUACACAGAAUUAUUCUUUCAAAUUAGGCGAACCUGUUUUUAGCAAUUGUUAGACUUUAUUUAUUAUUUUUGUUGAAGGGUCAAAUAACUGGAGUCAUGGUUAUAUUGUUUGCUAUUUAUUUGGCAUUAUUAUAUAUGUUAGUGGGGUUAGUGCAAUUAGUGGGAAGUAUCUUGUAUAUUUUAUCUAUAUCUAUAUUAAAGAGUGUCAAAUUGAUGAGAAAGGUUCGAUGAAUUAAUUAUUUUUGCGAGGGUAGGGUUUGUAUUUAAAAGUCCAUUGGUUCCUCGAAUUCAGUAUAUAUUAAGAGGUGUAUAUUAAAAGGUCUGAAUUCGCUCCAAUCAUCACAAUUAUUUUUGUAACAAACAUGGAUUACAUGAUAUGUUUGGCCACGACAUCAUAGUUAAUAUACAGUGCAACUUGCAAGUGUGAAAACAACAUUCCUACCACAAAUGAAUUUCGAACUCUAGUUGAGGGGAAUGGGCUCAAAUAGUAAAGCUAAAAUGCGAUCUUUUGUUUCAUGAUUUUGAAUUCCAUGUCCAUCUCCAUACUGGUACAUGUAUUGUACCAUUCGAGCAAGAUUCACUGCAAUUUCAAUGAAUGUUUGUGAGAAUGGACAAUUUGCAUCUCGACCUUUGUUAAUCUUUUUCCAGGUCUCGCAUAUCAAAAACCUUAUGUGUUUGCGUAACUCAUCUUCGGAAGCACCAGUUUCGUUCAUGUAACAUUGUAUUGAUUUAGGAACAUCGCCUCUUUCCAAUUCAUCCUGAAUUAAUAAAGCAUAAAAAACACCUUUAGUUGAAAGGGUUAAUUUCGAAUUCCUAUUGUCUCAUUGAUUUCAUUAACCAAAAAUGUUGUAAACAUGAAAUGAAAUGGCUUGCUGCAUACAUACCGAUGAUGUUGCUAAAUCAUCUGCAAGCCUUAAAAUCGUAGCCGACCAGCGAACUAUAUCAGGAUAUUUCUCUAAGCACUGAAUGGCUUCUUUCUCUAUCGGAUUGGUAACAGAGAAAAAAGAAUGUGACAAUAUUACAUGAGCUGAUAUUGAAAUCAAUGCAUUUUCCAUAUGCUCUUCCAUUGUUGGGGUGUAUCCAGUGAAGCACCAUUUUGCCUCUUGUAAGUAUGCUUUGCAUAAAUCUGUCCACUGUGACAUUGAUUUGACAUGCUUAUUGUAAAUAUCUUAGAUCGGAAAAUUUUAAGGAUAUUUAAAACAUAUAGAGAAAUUUCUGUUGGUUGUAGUAAAGGAUAAAAUAUGAGAUCACUUAGUAUAGAAACAGUACUCAUUAUAAGGGCUCGUGCAAUUGUGCUACUCCUCUUAACUUCAUUAAUAUUUUAAGAUAGAAGUCUAUGACCCAGAAGGCGUAUCAUACAAGAUUUGACAAUAAAAUGAACAAAAUUUUCUUUUUCUUCUUUAAUAUUAUUUGAUGUUAUCUAGUGCGCGUUUGACCCACAGAAUUUUGAAAGAAUGUGUGAUUAAAAAAUAAGAAAACGUUUUGGAUUUAUGUGUAAUAUUAUUUUAUUGAAAAAUAUGUAGUUGAAAUGAUGUUAAAUUACUUUUAGGAAUAUAUAUAUAUAAUUUUUUUUUUUUGAAAGAAUGCGAUUCAAACAGACCUGAUAUUCAUCAUAAUACACAUGCUAAUAAGGAUAUAUUCUUGAAGGAAACUAAUAGUACCACUUUUCUUAAAUAUGGAAUAAUUACGAUCCCUUUUUCUCUGAGAACAUCGUAAGCCAUUUCAUUGAUGAAGUUGUUGAGUGCUAGAUAGAAAAUUUGCAUGUAAUCUGGAAGUUGCUCAAUUGCACUGACAUCCCAUCUGUAAAGUUCCAAGAAGAAAUAAUUGUAAGAGCUACAAAGAGAAAGGAGGCUUGGAAAGAAACAUUAGGAGGACGUUGCUAACCUUUCAAUGAUGUAUGUAAAAAGUUCCAUUUCUUCAAACAUACCAUACACAUCAUAUAUAUCAUCCAUAAUUGUAAUAAAAACAUUUACUUUGGUUGCAUCUAUUCGUGAAAAUCCAUAUUGUGGUUCAAAUAGCACUCCUAUAUUUCAAAAGAAACAUUCCACGAGCCUAUCCCUGGCAAAUGGCAACAUCUUGGCAAGGCAUGUUCUCUUCCACCACCUAUUCAUAUACAGAAACCAAGGAUGGUAAGGUUAGGAGCUUAAAAUACGAUAUAUUUAGCGCACUCGGCAAUACCUGGAGACAUAUUUUAGUUCCUCAAGAUAUGUUGCUUGAACAAUGUUGAAAUCCAGUUUUGCAAGUUGGAGAAGAAUUGGAUUCUUGUCUGGUCUCUUCUCAUAUUUGUUUAUGAACCGCCGUUGAAUGAAUUAAAUAAAUGUGUACUCUCCUAAUAGAUUAAAUUUUUAGACGAAAUAGUUCAACACUACCCUGCUUCAGCCCGAGGUAUGGUCCAGUGCAGUGGAAUCUCCAAGGCAUGGUGCACCAAUGGAUCACAAUGAAUGUCGUCAACACUUUUAUCCUCGAGAUGUUUGAUAGUGAAUUCUCUUGCCAUUUCCAGAGUACUCUCACCUUCUAUUGACAAGAAAGAAGCUUCAUACAGUUGUAGUAAUCCCUUUGUAUCAUUACAUAACCUUGGCUUGAAAUCACCCUUCUCAUUCUUUAAACAAUCAAAUCUUUCUGCAAUCAGCCAAGCUUUGGCAUGUUAAGCGAAAAAAGUGAUGCAAAAAAUAAAACCUUAAUUUCUACUUAGGAGAGCAAUAAUAAACAAAGAAAUACUGAGAUCUUUUGUGUAGUGGACUAUCAGGGAAAUCUAAUACAUGUAGGAAAUAUACAAUAUACCCCUGAAAAAAUAUUACAUCCGUGCUCGAUUCUAUAAGUGUGCAUUAUGAUUAGGCUACAAGGAAUCUGACAAUAAGAAAUCAUAAAUCAACAGAAUAGAUAAAGGAUUCUAAGUUGUUUUUUGUGCACCUUGAGAGACAUUAAAGCCAUGUUGUCUUAGUAGUCUAAAUUCCAAAGCUGUAGCAUACAAAUCCUUAAUCUUUGGCUCUUUACUUUUGCUAUAUUUUCGGUUUAUAAAAGCCAAUAUUUGCUCAAUUUCAUCCUCAAAAUGGUAAGAUAUUCCCAGCCUCUCCAAGUUAUCAAUUAAUUCCAACUGAUCCAGUGGUUCCAUCGUUUCAUCAAGCAUCAUCUUCACUUGCAUCUUCAUCUCAGAAGCCCUUGUUUUGUAUCUCUCUUCCUACAUUAUGCAUAUCAUUUUUUGUCAGUCCUUAUAAUAAAUAUAUAUAGAAAAAAAUUCUACAGAUGACGAUAAUUACCGUGUAUUCACUAUUUAAGGACUGAAUAUAAUCGAAUUCCCAUAUAGGGGGCUUGUAUUUUCCUGAUCGCCUAAUCACGGUCUGAUUGUAAGACGUAGAGGCAAGAAUUCGAUAUUGUUUAGCAUUAGAAGCAAGGCUAUCAGUAGUUGUACCCAAAGCAAAACGGAUCUCCAUUUUUGGAAGCUCCGUUUUGAACGAGCAAACAGAAAUUGGCCUCAGAAUUUGCAUGUUGAUAACCUCUCUCUCUCUUUCUCCCUCUCUCUCUAUAUAUAUAUAUGUAGAGAGAGAGAGAGAUGAUCUAUCAAACGGACAAAAUGUAACCCUGUGGCGCUUUAGUAUUUUUCACAUGGAAUAAUACGAAGUUACCGUGUUAAGUGUUAAAAUUGGCACCGAUUUGCAGUACGGACAGGAGACCAAACAGGGGAGAUGGAUGAGUAUUUUUUUUGGCAAUACUUUACUCACAUAGGCCCUCCCCAUGUGAGUAAUUUGCUGUGCACGAAGCAAAAUGCACAUUACACGUGAUUGCAUUCUCUUCGAUUUUCAACAUUUUUGAACCAAAAAUCAAUGUACUUAUCAAACACAAAUCAUUACUUACUGUAUAGAUAAGAAUUUGGCGAGUUAGAUUGAUUCUGAGUCCACAUAUCAUUACUUACUUUUCUUUCUAAAAACACAAAUUUCUAACCAGCUUCGAAUGACGGAGACCCAACACGUGAGUGAUCCACUUCUCAUUGCUCUCCUUAUUAAACCAAAUAAAUAGAUGGAGAUACAUUUUUAAUUCGUUUAUUUAUUUUUAUCAUUCAAUUGAAUACUUCUAAUUAGGAGCUAUUUUGUCAUUCUUAGUUAGGAUUCGUCACUUUUUAAACUCUUUUAAUAGCGUGUUGUUUUCUUUGUUGUUUCUUAUGAUCUAUAUAAUAUUGGAGUUUUUCCCAAUUGAUCAAUCUAUUUAGACAAAAUCAAUGAAAUUCGAUUUGUGUAUAUUCGUUCUCACUGCUUCACAAUCUAGAGUUGGUAGAGUUAGAGACAAUCUUUGGAAGAGAUGCAUAUCAAGUAUAUCAAUUAUUAUUAUUAUUAUUAUUAUUAUUAUUAUUAUUAUUAUUAUUAUUAUUAUUUUAAGUUUCUCUGUAUUGUCUUCGUCGAUUUCGGUUACUAAUAAUGACUAAAUAUUGACAUAUUGAAUUUUUAGGACAAAUUGCACAGAACAUGCCUAUAAAUUACAAGUUUUGGAUCUGUUAAUGUAUUUGCCUAACUAUUGUAGUGGAUUGUAAAUUUGAUUUCCACGACUUAAGUACAAACGAAAUUGAACAUGAGAGAAAUCUUCUGUCAUUAAUAUAGUGGUGGCAAGUUUUGGGCCUGACUCGAUUUCUCAUGACGACCAUUAUUCUAAAUGUGAACCAUUAUUCUUGUCUAGAUCUUUAGAUGAGCCAUUGUAUAAUUUGCCUAAUCAUUGGAGUGGUAGGAAAAUUUUGACUUUGUUAGAAUUAAGGUGUGACCCGAAUUCUAUUUGAAAGAUAAUUGAAAAUUUUAAUUAAAGUUGACUUAAGGAAAAUUUUAUUUCAAAUGCUAUUUUGAAAUCCUAUUCGAAGUUUGUUAGGUAAAUUCUAGUUUAAAUUCUAUUUGGAAGUCAACUGAAAGUUGAAAUUUGUGUUGAAUUUGAAGAGAUCAAGAUAUAGAUUAGGAAGGACUUCUGGUGCAAUCAUGCUCGCUUGGCGCUUGACUGGAGCUCGAGUGUCCAAAGUAGUGAAGCCAGCGAUCGCCUAAUGCUUGAGUGCCAUAUUCAUCCUACCUAGGCCCAUUUUCGCGUUUUACAAGCAUUUUCAACAUUCUAUUUCUUCUACGAUAUCAAGACUAGGGUUAUGGAUGUCUUCUAUUUGUUUCCUAUUUAUAUUUGGCUAUUCUUUACAAAUUAAUCAGGUUGUUAAACCUCAUUAUAAGUUAGACAAAUUAUAAACACAAAAUCAUUGUAUUCUUUAUCCAUAUUCUAGUGAAAUAUCAUUUCCUCUACAAAUUAUCUUGUUCUUGGGUUUGUGUUCAAUUACUUCAUAUUGUGCCAUAAAUAUAUUAUUCGUUUCUCGUCCAUUAUUACAACGAAUUGUUAUCAGAGCAAUUCGAUAUCUUACAGACUUUGUCGAAAUAAGCAAAAAAGAUAUUGAACAUAACAAGUGUCAUUAAUUUAGGGGUUGAGUGACCAAUUUUUCUCUGUUGCUGCCUUAAGAUUUGGGUUUAGUAGAGGUGGUUUAAGUGCAAGUUGACGUAGCCAUAGAGUUCACAUUUUUUAUUAUUUUAUUUUUUUGAAUACUUAUUUUACGCAACUGUAUAAUUGGCGUGGAUAAUUUGAGAUCUUUAUAUGGAUCAUAUUUGGCUAGCCUGAAAGGUACCUUCCAACAAAUUUUGCGGUUGACUGUGUUUACAAGUUUAUUCAACAAAAUAACUAUUUUAUCCUCAACUAUUUUAUUUAUCAAAGCUAAAGAAAUAUCCCUUAUUCACACGAAAUUUGUUGUAUGUAAAAAAUUAUAUAUAUCAUAUACAUUUCAUCAAAGUGACAAGUGUCAUAAUAUUUUAAUAAGUUUAGUGAUAACUCGAAUAACCUUUGAAGUUCAACGAUGCCUAAGAAAAAAUUGAGAAAAUUUAAUAGUAACUCGCUUGAAGUUGAAAGGCAAUUGAGAAACAUUAAUGUUCACUAGCAAUAGAAAUUUUGAACUCUAUAUAAGACCCUGUUUGACAUCCAUUAAAAGGAAUUUUUUGAGAAAAAUGUGUUUUGGAAUAAAGAUUUUUUGGAGAAUUAGUAGUUAAAAAGUAGAAAAAAGUUUUAAAUUUGCGUACAAAAUAUUUUAUUGUGAAAAUGUGUGAUUAAAAAUGAGUUGUUAUUAUUAUUAUUAUCAUCAUCAUCAUCAUCAUUAUUAUUAUUAUUAUUAUUAUUAUUAUUAUUAUUAUUAUUAUUAUUAUUAUUUUAUUUUUGUAAAAAUGAUUGUCAAACACUUAGUAUGAAGAAGAUGUAUUAAAUGUGAUAAAAAAGAAUUCUACACAUCCGGAGAUAAGUAGAUACAAGCCUAACUAAUUUUGCUAGAAAAUACAAAGUUAAAUUACGCGAUAAGAAAACUGUGUCCGGGGAUUAAUGCAUGGAGGAGCCAUUCCAAUGGGCAAUUCUGAAAUUUAAGUAAUAAAGCAAAUAAAAUCAAGUUGAAUGAAGAUAGUUCGAAAAUAAAAUCCAUUGAAAAUUCACAAAUUUACAAGAGAAUAUAGUUUCUAAAGAAGUAAAUAUCCAAACGCCGAAUUUUAAUAUUUUAUAUAUAAAGACAACAAAAUAUAGAUUCAGAUUGCAGAAAAUAGAAAUAAAAAUUCGAACAAUGUAAAGGAAUAUUAAUCAAUUGCAAACUGUAAAAAAACAAUAAAAAAAGGCGACAUGUAAGCACUUUAAAUAGCGGAUAAAUCUAAAUGGACAAGGUAACGUAGGCUUUGUCUGUCUAGAGGGCGCGCGUGGCGCCAAACCCCUUGCCAAUAGGGGACGCCUUCUAUAGCCAAGCCCACCACAUCCAAUAUAAUAUUUUAUGAACAACCCAAGUAUCAAUUGAUCAAUAUUGACUAUCUUCAACAUGAAAAAUUUCAAGCCAAUUUAUAUUUGAACUUCAAAAAAAUAAAUUAAAAAAAAAUCGUUUUCCUUGUGGUCAGAUUGUGAUAAGGAGAUUAGGAUGAGAAUUCAAAUAUAUUCAGUCGUUAAAUAUUGAAUACGCAGUAAUUGUAUCAUUUACAUGAAAACAUCUUAGUUUUUUCUAGAGAUGGUAGUGGAGUGGGUUCGGAAUAGGGCUUAGACGGGUGGAGUGGUGGCUUGUCCCUUAUAUAUAUAUAUGUGUGUGUGUGUGUGUGUGUACAUUUUCAAAAUUAAUUCGAGUUAUGCUAUUAUUAGAAAAUAAAAUAAAAAUUCAAAAUUUUUAAAUCCAAAGUAAAUAAUGCUCAAACCAUAUAUAUAUAUUUUUUUUUAAGGGGGCGAACUCCGGUUUGGCCCCAUUCGAGACGUGGCGGGAUGAAUUUUUUUGUCAUCUCUAAUUUUUUUCGUGCAAUCAAAUUUUGAUUUUGCAUAAUGUAGGAACUAGAGAAAGAGAGAGACGCGAUGGGGGCUUCUCAAAUGAAGAUUCAAGUGAAGAUGAUGCUUGAUAAAACAGUAGAGCCACUUGAAGUACUAGCACCAACUCAAAUAAGUUGGUAAUGGCAUGCAAGAAGCAAUACAUAAACAGGGCCCAUGUGGCACUGUUUGAGAAGAGUUGUUCAUUAAGUAGGGACAAAAGGUCUGAUUAGACUGCAAGUAGAUUGGAAGUAAUAAUGCUUUCAAUAAUGCAAGCAAAUAAUUGCAUUAUGUUUGCAAAAUAAAUGCUAUCACUCUUUUGACAGGAUCUAGGUAUUCUUCAUUUUGGAUCAAAAAUUAAGUUAUAAAAAAUUUUGAAGCAACAUAAAAUUAAUGAGAAUAAUUCAAUACAUUACUACGAAUGUUGUCUAUGCAUUUCCAUAAUUUGAAAUCAUCGUAUAAUUACAUUAUUAUCAAUAUUGCAAAUAUAACAUCCUCAAUGUACAAAACUGACUAUCAUUCAAUAGUCGAAUAUCCAAUUCAAUUGCAUGGUUCAAACCGUGGUUGAGGUCUUGAGGAGUCUGAUGUUGAUGUGGAGAAAAAAUGUGGUCGGUCAUCGACGUUGAUGUCGAUGACCUAGGUAGGAAAAUGCAACUAUAUGGUAAAAAUGACAAAUCUAGGUAUUGGGGGAAGAAUGAGAUUCAAGGCUUAAAAGAAGUUGGGAGGCAGAAAGUGGAUGAAAAAAAAAAAAGUGUUCAAACUUCAAAUAGUAGAAAAGUGAAAAAAAACUAAAAUUUAAAAGGAAAAUUCCAAAAUUUUCGUGGGCUCAGCAAACCCCAUAUGACCCCACGUAACUCCAAUCAUAAAUCAAUCUAAUGUCAUCACUUACCCAAUUCGUAAUUCAUUGAUUGACUUAUAUGUAAAACAUUAAGAUCACGUUUUUAAAGCUGUUUGGGACAAAAAUCUUCAGUGUCUCUUUUUGAGCCCUUAACAAAUAUGUCCACUUCAACAUAUAAAAUAAGUGUUGUACCUUGGAAAAAAAAAUACUACACAUCAUUCUUCUUUACUUCUAAAAAUUUUAUCUAUAAUUCAUGAGAAUAUUUUGAAUGAUUGAUAUAUUUCACGAGUAUUUUAGAAAUAUCACUCUAGAGGUAUUGUACCAAAAAAUCUUAGUAUCUUGUGGCUAGGCAUGUGCACACAACAAUAAUUCCUAAACAAAGAAAAAUGAAAAAGUUUAUCAAUUAAUAAAGAUUAUUACCCCAUGGUUGUCUGCACCAAACCAUGUUUAAUUUAUAUUUUUCUUUUUAGCUCGUUUUACAUUUUGUUUUUUCACUGCAUGGAUGAGAUUUUUUUCAAUAAAAGUAUCACUGCAAAAAUUUAUAUGUGAGAAAAAAAAUAAAAGAAGUAUAAAUCGAUAAAUAUAUAAGUGACCCCUAUGAAACAAGAUAAAGCAGGGAAACACUAUAUUAUAAUUAAAUGACAUUAUUUGAAUAUGAACAAUUAGAUUUUAUUAAUAAAGAUGAAUUAUGUGUGACAAAUGUUAUUAAUCAUCACAAGGAAAUGAUACUUGUACAAAUGAUCCUUUAAGAGCGUAAGUUUAUUUCUAUUAAAGUAUAUAUACUAUUAAUUGCAAGAUGGAUGGAAACAGGUUUUUUUUUUUUUUUUUUUUUUUUUUUUUUGUUGGAAACCAUUGAAAAUGACCUCUAUUUUUUUUAUUUUACGUAACAUCAAUAUGUUGAGGGGGUCAAUGCAACGAUUGUAGUAUUAGGGACCAUUUCCACACAAGGGCCUUACAUUAAGGACCAUCUAUACCAAUUUCCUUGUUAAUUAAUACUCCACCUUUGUGUUCGCUUGAAUAAAAAAAAAGUUUUAUUGUGGAAAUGCCUCAACGUAUGGAUCUAUUGAUACCCUUACCCUUUUUAAAUUGGUGGAAACCCCCCGUAUGAACUUUGAAGUGCGGAACCCAUUGUCUUUCAUUUUCUCAUAAAUCCCUAUGAAAUGACGAUUUGGGAAAAAAUAGUAGAGAAGACAGCUUGGUAUGUCAAAUUAGAUGUAAUAUAAAUGUGGAGAAACACAACUAUAUGGUUUGUGAUCUGAAAUGAAGGUUAUUAUGCACAUAAAAAUUGCAAAGAUUCAAUCAACAACACACGAUGAGUGGAGGCAUGACGAUAUUGCUAGAAUAUGACCCAAAUUUCUAUUGGGAUUAGGAUUGGGUUGGUAAAUUGAUAAAAGGAAAUGGAGUCUUCUUGGUUUGGAAGUUCGAUUGAAAAAGAGGAUUAAAGUUCAUCAAUGAUUGAAAUUUUGAUUGGUAAAAGAAUUUUGGAAAAUUGAAGACUUGAUUUUGAAAUUUUGGUGGAUAAAAAAUCGUCACAAUUUCGCUAACUGGCAGCUAACUUUGGUGUUCAAGCAUUAGAGGUGAAAAUCGGAGUAGAGAGAUGCCGCGUUGCCCGCUUAGUGUCGCCUGGCACUGGAGUGACAAUGUUAUUCGGACAGGAAUAUAUAUAUAUAUAUAUUCCACGUGAUAUAGGCUCUUAAAAGGAUAAAUUAACAAUAAAAUCAUAGUUAUAUAGAUUAAAAACUUGAGAUGGUUAUUUAAAUUUAGAUUGAGUGUAUCAAAUCUCGUAAGGCAAUUUUAGUUUCUUGAUAUAUUUAAAUUCUUCUUUUCUUUCAUAUAAAUCUUGUGUUCUUAUGUGAUCCAUUAUUUUUCAUAUUGCUCUUAUUUUCUCGUCUUUAUUAUUUGGCCGAUUUAUCUUUACAAUUCCAUACGAUUCAUCAAGAACUAUGUGUUGAAAAUAGAAGAUGCGAGUCAGCUUGAAGAAGAAGUUUAGCUGAAGCAUUGUCAUAAUCAGAAAGAAAUAGGCCAGGUUGGAUUAAUGACAGAACAGAUGACAAAGCAACAACAGAAGAAUGAUCUAGAAGAGGAUUAGUUAUAUUUUGUUAUUGUACAGCAGAAGAAAAAUCUAGAAGAAUAAUUACCUAUUUUUUUGUGUAAGUUAGUUAGAAAGGAUUCCUUCAUUUUGUAAGGGGCCCUAUUGUACAUAACACAUGGUGAAUUGAAUACAAUUUCAUUCUUCUCCUAGUUCAUCAAUAUCAGAAUUUUUAUCUUUUAAAAUCUAACAUGGUAUUAGAGUUAGAAAUGGAGGAAUCCAAUUCAGAAAACACAAAUCCCACCCCAAAUACAAACACUAGUCCAAGCCAAAUCCAAAACCAAACUAGAGGAGGGAACUCAGGUGUCCUUUCUCUUGACCCAACUCAUCCUAGCAACCCUUAUUAUAUAGGUAGCAAUGAUGGAACUACUGUCAUGCUGGCACCCAUGCCUUGUGCUCUAGUAAUUAUUAUUCCUAGGCUCGAUCAAUGAGAAGAGUAUUGAGAAUAAAAAAUAAGCUAGGGUUCAUAGAUGGUAGUCUUUGUGAACGAAAAAAUCUAAAUAAUCCAUUAAUGGAACAUUGGUUAAGGUGCAAUGACAUUGUCAUAACGUGGUUGUAGAAUGCCAUGGCAAUUGAUAUUAAGAGUGGCAUCAUGAAACAACUUACCUUUUUUGGCUUGACCUUGAACAACGCUUCUCCCAGCAAAAUGCUCCAUGCAUCUUUGAAGUAAAGAAGGAUAUCAUAACCUUGAUGCAAAAUCAAGACUCGGUGAGUGUUUACUUCUCAAAACUCUCUUAGAUGAACUGCUGAAUUAUGAAAGUAUUCCCAAUUGCACAUGUGGAGAUCUAAAAAUUGUCGUUCAAAAUCAAUAAAGGGAUUGGGUUAUGAAAUUCUUGAUGGGGCUAAAUGAUUCUUACAAAGAGAUUAAGGUCCAGAUCUUAUUGAUUAAGCCAUUUUCUAGCCUGAAUGAGGUAUAUUCAUUGAUCCAGCAAGAGGAUAAGAGGCGGGAGAUAUCUAAUCUAGUUCCUAUUAAUUCUGACUCCAUGGUUUUUCUGAGCAAAAGGGGUUCUAGAGAAGGAGGAAACCAACAUUUUUCAUCACAGAAGGGGGACAAAUAUUAUUGCACUCAUUGCAAGGUUGUAGGCCAUUCCCUUGAAAGAUGCUUCAAAGCAAAUCCAAGCAGGCCAAUCUGCUCUUUACUAUAAGACGCCAAGACAUGAAGUGAACAAAUGUUUUAAACUCUAUGGAUUCCCACCAGGCCACAAGUUGAACGGCAGAGGAAAGCAUGCUGCCAACGUGGUCUCUACCGGCAUGAUACACAAUCAAGAAGUGGUAAAGGACAAGGGCAAAAUAUCCUUAAGUCAAGAGCAAUACUCUUAGUUGAUGGCACUACUCAAACCAGCAACAGGCACUCAUCACUCCACCCUUUCAUCAAACUGUUAGGCAAUUUGUUGUCAAACGACCUCCUCGGGCGAUGAUGUAACCUCGGUUUUAUUAUCAAUGGCCUUGGCCAUAUGAUUGACUAGUAUAUCGACACAAUUAUCGAGACAACACAAUCCACAUUUUUAUGGACCGUUCGAAGCAACCUAUUUUAGAUAGUGUUGCUCACGAUUCGCCCCAUUUCCUUGGAAGGCUAUAUUAUUAUUUUUGAAUCCCACUUUAAUUGAGUGGAGCCUUGUUUUGGUCCACAAUUUAACCCUAACCUAACUUACCUAUUUUGGACAUUUAAUUCGCACAUAAUCUUACCUUCCUCUCGGCCUCCAUGGUGUGUGCCUAUUUUUCCCUUCUCUUUGUGAGACUCUCUUCUCGACUUCUUGCUUUACUUCACUGUGACCUUUGUGGUUAAUUCUUUGUGGGCACAUCAUUGGACUUUACUUUCCAACCUAUAGCAACCGGAGUGGGGCAGCAGUGGUUGUGGUUCUUGGAGUUGUCUCAACCUUUGUGGUGUCGAUGAAUUGGUAAACUGAGCCCAGUUUUGUACUUAGGGUUCGGUGGAAAUCAACUCUACAUCUAGUAUCAAAGCCGGAGUAACCUUUCCCGGCCAGAAAAUCACCAAAAAUCGACGGUGGAGUCGCGAUUUUGGUGUAAAACCGAACCUGCAAUCCCCUUUUCCGGCCAAUCCAGUUACUUUCCCGCGAAACCGAUCCCAUAUUCGAAACCAGCAGGCUGAGGCGCCCCUUCGUGUGUGGAGCGUGGCAGCGGCAGUAACCGACGACGGCGGGGCGUAGGACUCCGACAGCCACGCGUGGCGGUGAUUCCGGGUGAACUUCCUUCGAGCAGUUUGCUCAUUUUAAUCCCUUGAACGCACUGACACUGUUUAUUUUCUAUUUUAGGUUACACAGAAAAAGUUGGACAAUUUUGCCCCCGGUGGAUCGACAGUUGAAAUUGCAUAUAUCUACUGAAUUACUUUAGGCCAAGAUUGUGGCCCUAAAGCAGUAGAUUUGCAUCUCUCUCGAUUAUAUGGACUCAAACAUGUUCGCUCUGGUAAAUUGGCUUAACCCGUUAAUUUUUUCAACAUUAGCGCGUCACCGUGUGGGGAUGACAAUAGGUUGGGGGUUGUCAUUGCUUGGCAACCAUUGCUUGUACUAGAAUUAGGGUUAUAUGCUCUUGAUUGAUCUUUUUGAUUGAGUAUUUGAUUUUUGGUGAAAAUCAAUUUUGUAAUUCUUAGUAAUCUAAUUACUGUGGGAUUAGUUAUCUGCUAGACGUAUUUUUUGCUACAUUAUUAUUUCUGCUGCUUACUUAUUCCGUUAGAAAUACCGUGACCUUACCUGUUCGAACAUUUCCUUGAUCUAAGACCGCGAGUCUUACGAAACUCUGGGAAUCUAGAACGGUGUAUAUUGUCUGUGACCCUAGGACUACUUUGUGUGGUUUGAUUGUGGUUUGUGCAUUUUUGACUAUUGUGUAAAGAUGACAACUCACAGUUUUGAUCUGAGAAUUUUUAAUGGAAAGGGUGACUUUGCUAUUUGGCAACAAAAAAUGAAGGGUAUUUUAGUCUAACAAAAAGGUUUCAAAAGCCAUUGAAGGCAAUUUUUCAACUGAUUUUUCACAAGAACAAAGAGAAGAAGCCAAUGAGUUUGCUUAUACCUCAAUUAUUUUACACUUGUCUAACGCCAUUUUAAGAAAGGUGGGUAAAUUGAAAACCACUAAAGAGCUUUGGAAGAAAUUAGAAGACUUGUAUUUGCUUAAGUCUACACCGAAUAAACUUUACCUGCUUGAACUUUUUUCAGUUUCAAAAUGGAUUCUUCAAAAGAUCUUGAUGACAAUCUAGACGUGUCUAACAAAUUGGUGUAAGACAUAGUUAAUUGUGAUGAGACUGUGUCCGAAACUUAUAAGGCUAUAAUUUUGCUCAAUACAAUUCCUGAUUCCUAUAAGGAAGUUAAGAAUGCUAUUAAGUAUGGUAGAGACAUGUUAACACCUGAAAUUGUCAUAGAUUCCCUUAGAAAUAAAGAAAUGGAAAUUAGGGCUAAAAAACAUGAUAAGAGGAAUGGUGAGGUACAUAUGAUGCAGGGUAGAACUCAAUUUAGGCAAAAUAGUCAUGAGGGAUAUCAAACUAGUGGCGAGUCAAGUGGGAAUGGAUGGAAAAAGAAGAGCAAAAGUAGGUCUAGAUCAAAAUCUAGGACUAAGGCGAGAAAAUGCUAAGGUUGUGGAAACACAGGGCAUUUUAUAGAAGAUUGUCAUAAAGAGAAGGUUAAGCUAAAGGCUAAGGAGGGAGAUGAGGUAAAUGUGUUAGCAUCUAAUUCUGAUAUAAAUGGUGGUGAGGUCUAUAUGAUUACAAGUCCAGUUGCAUACACUGCUGAAUUAAAUCUAACUGUUAAUUCCCGCAUCCAUGAGUGGAUACUUGAUUUUGGUACAUCUUUUCAUGUGACGUCUGAAAAGAAUUGGUUUUAUAAGUUGCAUGAAUCUAACGUUGGACAUGUUGUACUGUGUGAUAACUUUGCCUAUACUAUUGCUGGAAUUGGUGACAUAAACGUAAAAUUUGACACUGAUUUUGUGUAUACGUUAAAGGAUGCUAGAUAUAUUCCUGAAUUAUCUAGGAAUCUGAUUUCAGUAGGGAGACUUGAGAAGGAUGACUUUACUGGUAAAAUUGAAAAUGGUAUGCUAAAAAUGAUCAAGGGUGCUUUAGUUUCCAUUAAGAGAAUUAAGAAAAACGAUAUAUACAUUACUGCGGGGGAAGUGAUUAAAGUGUGAAUUCCUCUAUCUCCUCUAUAAAGAUUGAUCACACACACACAUGGCAUAAUAGACUUGCUCACGUAGGGUUCAAGGGACUUAAGCUACUUAAUGAAAAGGGUGCUUUUGGUAAUGACUGUGUGUUAAAUUUGCCAUUUUGUGAUCAUUGUGUGCUUGGUAAGCAUCACAAAACUUCUUUCUCCAUGAGUGUUAAUAGAGCUAACGGCAUGCUCGAAUAUAUGCACUCUGAUCUAUGGGGUCCUACUAGUAACCCCACAUCGGGUGGUAAUAGGUAUUUCCUGUCUAUUAUUGAUGACUACACUAGAAAAGUGUGGGUCUAUCUUUUGAAGGAUAAAUCUGAGACCUUCAAUAGUUUUAAUAAUUGGAAGAGACAAGUGGAAAACCAAAAUGGUAAGAAAAUCAAAUUUUUAAGGACAGAUAACGGCCUAGAAUUCUGCAAUAAAGAAUUUGAUAGUAUGUGUAAAGAGAGCGGCAUAACUAGACAUAAGACCAUUCCCUACACCCCUCAACAAAAUGGGGUAGCAGAAAGGAUGAAUAGAACCAUAGUUGAUAAAGUACAUUGCAUGAUAAUUAGUUCAGGUGUUCCCAAGUCAUUUUGGGGUGAGGCUGUUAUGACCGCUUGCUAUUUGAUUAAUCUGACUCCUUCUGUUGUAUUGAAUGGUAACACUCCGCAUGAGAGAUGGUCGGGUAAACUGAGUGAUUACUCGAUACUUAGAACUUUUGGCUGUACAGCUUUUUCUCAUCAAAGUGAGGGUAAGCUGGAACCUAGAGCUAGAAAGUGUGUUUUUCUAGGAUACCCCGAGGGUGUUAAGGGUUAUAGGUUAGGGAUAGAAGCCAAAAAGGGGUUAAAAUCAUCAUAAGUAGAGAUGUCACGUUUAACGAAAAUGAGAUGUCAUUUAUUAAAGGGAAAACUGAACCUGAGAGUGAAGUAGAAUCAGGUGAAGAGAGAGACCAGUUUAAGGUGGAGUUAGGAAAACUCGGUCCACCUGCCCUUACAGUUUCAAAUGAGGUGGAGACUCAAACCUAGGAACCCGAAGUGGGGAAUAGUAACGAAAUAGUGACAAAAGAACACUAUGAGGAAGAAAAUCAUUUAGCUAACUAUAACUUAGUUAGGGAUAGAGAGAGGAGACAGACGAGAGAACCAAGAAGGUUUGGUUUUGAAUCUGAAUUAGCUUUUGCCCAGGCUAGUUAUGAAGAACUAGUUGAUAAAGAGCCAAAGACCUUUGAAGAAGCAAUAGGUAGUGAUCAAUCUAAUGAAUGGCUUAAGACAAUGAAAGAAGAGAUGAGUUCUCUAGAAAAGAAUCAUACUUGGGAGUUAGUACCUAGGCCUAAGAAUAAAUCAAUUGUUGAUUGCAAAUGGGUUUUUAAGGUUAAGGAAAGAACUAGCAACUUGGAACCCCUAAGGUUUAAAGCUAGGUUGGUGGCUAAAGGCUACACACAGAAGGAGGGCGUUGAUUAUAAUGAAAUUUUCUCACCAGUUGUUAAGUACACCACUAUUAGGGUCAUGCUCGCAUUAGUUACACAUUUUGACUGGGAACUUAAACAACUUGAUGUAAAAACUGCUUUCUUACAUGGUGAGCUUGAUGAACAAUUUUUCAUGAAUCAACCUAAAGGUUUUAAGGAUAAGUCAAAACCUGAUUAUGUGUGUUUUCUGAGAAGAUCCUUGUAUGGGUUAAAACAAUCUUCUAGACAGUGGUACAAGAGGUUUGAUUCCUUUGUACUCACUAUAGGGUUCCAAAGAAGUAAAUUUGAUCACUUCCUGUAUUUUCAACAUAAUGAGACUGAUGAUAAUCAUCUGUUUUUGUUGCUUUAUGUGGACGACAUGCUUUUGAUUGGAUCAUCCUCUAAGUGGAUAAAUAACAUAAAAGCAAAACUAAGUGGUGAAUUUGACAUGAAAGACCUAGGUAAGGCUAAGAGAAUCUUAGGUAUUGAAAUCGAAAGAGAUAGGUCAAAUUCUGUUUUGUUUUUGCAUCAGUCUCCAUAUAUAUCCAAAGUACUGAAGAAAUUUAAUAUGAGUGACUGCAAACCUAUCACGUUGCCUCUUGCUAAUCAUUUUGUUUUAUCGAAGGAACAAUCUCCUUGCAAUGAGCGUGAAAUUGAAUACAUGAGCAGAGUACCUUACUCUAAUGUGAUUGGUUCCAUAAUGUAUUUGAUGGUUUACACUAGACCUGAUUUAGGUUUCGCUGUUAGUACUCUCAGUAGAUAUGUGGCUAAUCCAGGCCCUGACUAUUGGGAAGCGCUAAAGUGGCUGUUAAAGUACUUGAAGGGUACUAGUAACGUAGGCUUAAAGUUUAGUGCUAAUAAAGAAGGUAUAAAAUUAAAGGGUUUUGUAGAUGCUGACUAUGCGGGAGAUAGGGAUGGUAGGAAAUCUACUUCAUCUUACGUGUUUGCCUUAUCUAAUUCAUGUGUAAGUUGAAAAUCACAGUUACAACAUAUUGUUGCACUAUCCACUGCAGAAUCAGAAUAUAUUGCUACUACUGAAGCUAUUAAAGAAGUUCUAUAGCUUAGAGGUCUACUUCAUGAACUGUGUGUCUUAAAUGAUUAUGUGAUAGUGUAUUCUGAUAGUCAGUCAUCUAUACAUUUAUGUAAGAAUCCUGUUUUUCACGAGUGCACUAAACACAUUGAUGUUAGACUCCACUUCAUUAGAGAUAUAGUAUCUCAAGAGGUGGUAAGACUUGAGAAAGUCCAUACCCACUACAACCCAUCUGAUAUGGGGACGAAGGUACUACCACUGGCAAAGUUUAGGAGUUGCAAGGAACUUCUAAACAUUGGUACAGGUAAAUGAUUUCCAAUUUUAUUGGUUUUCUAUUAGAGGUGUCACUAAUGGGAGACAAUUUUCUUUUACAGGUCCUUUGACACCAAGGUGGAGGUUGUUAGGCAAUUUGUUGUCAAACGACCUCCCCGGGCGAUGAUGUAACCUUGAUUUUAUUAUCAAUCGGCUUUGGCCAUAUGAUUGACUAGUACAUCGACACAAUUAUCGAGACAACACAAUCCACAUUUUUAUGGACCGUUCAAAGCAACCUAUUUUAAAUAGUGUUGCUCACGGUUCGCCCCAUUUCCUUGGAAGGCUGUAUUAUUAUUUUUGAAGCGCAUUUUAAUUGAGUCGAGCCUUGUUUUGGUCCACAAUUUAACCCUAACCUAACUUACCUAUUUUGGACAUUUACUUCGCAUAUAAUCCCACCUUCCUCUCGGCCUCCAUGGUGUGUGCCGAUUUUUCCCUUCUAUUUGUGAGACUCUCUUCUCGGCUUCUUGCUUUACUUCACUGUGACCUUUGUGGUUAAUUCUUUGUGGACACAUCAUUGGACUUCACUUUCCAACCUAUAGCAACCGGAUUGGGGUGGUGGCGGUGGUGGUUCUUGGAAUUGUCUCAACCUUUGUGGUGUCAAUGAAUUGGUAAACUGAGCCCGAUUUUGUAGUUGGAGUUCGGUGGAAAUCAACCCUACACAAACAACGUCCAAACACUUGCUAGUCCUUCCUCAUCUGAUGAUUUCACUCGUAAAAUGUCUGGUAUGUCUCUAUGCUUAACUGUAUUUCAUCGUAGGUAGGGAAAUAUUUAUGAAAUUCCAUAGAUUCUUGACACAGGAGCAACAGAUCACAUGAUCUGCUCCACUAUUCUUUUUACAUCUAUUCAAGCUAAUGUGUGCUAUUUUGUGGUCUUACUAAACGGAGAAAACUUCCCUGUCACUCAUGUAGGAACUGUCAAAAUCUCAGAAGUAAUUACCUUACAUAAUAUCCUAAGCAUUCCUAGUUUUCACUUUUAAUUUAAUUUCAGUAAAGAAGCUUCUCAAUCUCUAAACUGCUGUCUUGUCUUCUUCUCUAAUCACUGUUAUAUUCAGGACCUUUCGACUUGGAAAAAAACUGGAAUGGGUGAAGUGAAAGAUGGAUUGUAUCAUAUGGUACGAAAGGAAGUCUCCCAUUCAGCUUUAUUGAAUGCUUGCAAACAAUUCAAGCGUUUGCCCUCUUUUUUCCCGUCUGCCACCAAUAAUCACAAAGAAUCCGAUCUAUGGCAUUACAGAUUGGGGCACUCUUCAUAUUCUGAAUUUAGAUCUGAUGGGAACAUCCACAUACCUACUUCUUCUAGCAUAUAUCAUUGCGUCAUUUGUCCUCUAGCAAAACAACAUAGACUGCCUUUUAAUGUAAGCCAUCACAAAAUAAAAAAAUGCUUUGAACUAAUACAUUGUGACAUAUGGGGGCCUUGUAAUGAAUUCAGCAGAGAUGGUUCUAAGUAUUUUCUAUCUAUUGUUGAUGAUUUUAGCAGAUGCACAUGGAUCUAUAUGUUAAGACUCAAAUCCGAUGAUAUCGUUGCUUUACAAAACUUUUAUGCCAUGAUAGAAAGUCAAUUUGAAGCUAUGAUUAAAAUCGUCCGAAUAGAUAAUUGAGGUGAAUUUAACAUGACUGAAUUUUACUUAAAGAAGGGGAUAAUGCACCAAAGAACAUGUGUUGAAACCCCUGAACAAAAUGCCAUUGUGGAAAGAAAGCACCAACACAUCUUAAACGUAGCAAGAGCUUUGAAAUUCCAAAGUGUUUGAAAUAUAGGAAUGAUUUCAUGUUGACGGCUGUAUACCUCAUAAACAAAACACCAUCUCCCCACCUGAACAACAAAAGCCCUUUUGAGAUACUAUUUCAAACCAAACCAAACCACAGUCACUUAAAAGUUUUUGGGUGCCUAGCUUUUGCCACCACUCUUAUCAAUGGUAGGCACAAGUUUGAUCCUAGGUCAAGGAGAUGUGUGUUCAUUGGUUAUCCUUUUGGUACUAAGGGAUACAGAUUACUUGAUUUAAAGAUAAUGAAAAUUUUCACUUCAAGGAAUGUUACCUUCCAUGAGGACAUUUUUCCAUUUAAAGAAAUUGAUCUCAAUAGCAAUACCUCCAUGACUAACUUUGAUCACCUUAGUUUCACACAAAAUCUUAACGUUUCUAAUGACCCUGCUAUCAUCCCACUUGUUAGUACUAAUAAUGAAAAUACUAAACAUAACAUUUCAAAUAGUCCGACUCAUAUAGAAUCCCCUAAUUUUCAUGUGAACACCAGUCAUGACAUAUCACAGUCUCCUGCUGACACUUUGGAAUCAAAUCCCCUUGCUAUCACUCAUUUACCUCACAGAUCUAACAGAAUUUGAAGGACUCCUCAUCACUUGCAAGAUUUCAUAUGUCAACAAGUAUCUUCACCUCUUCCAUUCUAGAAACUCAACAAGGAAAAGGAAGUGAAUGUUACAGGUAGUCCCUAUCCUCUUAGUAAUAGUCUUUCCUAUGAUAAAUUAUCUAUCCGUCACCACACUUUUGCAGUUUCAAUAACAAACCACUUUGAGCCUAAAACCUAUCAAGAAGCCAUAAAUUCACCUGAGUGGUGUGAUGCCAUGAAAGCUGAGAUCAAGGCUUUAGAACUUAAUGAUACUUAGGUCUUAACCAAUCUACCACCUGAUAAAGAGGCCAUAGGUUGUAAGUGGGUAUAUAUGGUUAAAUUCAAUGCCAAUGGUAGUGUUGAAAGAUUCAAGGCUCGCUUAGUGGCAAAGGGGUACACUCAACAAGAGGGACUUGACUAUCAUGAAACAUUUCCCCCUGUGGCUAAAUUGGUCACCAUCUGAACUUUACUGGCAAUAGUAGCAAUUAAGGGGUGGAAUUUGUGUCAAUUUGAUGUAAAUAACGCUCUUCUACAUGGUGACUUGGAUGAAGACGUUUACAUGCAACUGCCCCUUGGUUAUCCCAAUGUAAGUGGUAAUAAAGUUUGCAAAUUAUGCAAGAGUUUGUAUGGAUUGAAGCAAGCCUCGCGUCAAUGGUACUCUAAACUUUCCAAUUUCAUUAUUAAGCAAGGAUACACUCAAUCAAGAUGAGAUUAUAGCUUAUUUACUAAGUCUAUUGAUGGUUCUUUCACAGCUAUUAUAGUUUAUGUGGAUGAUAUAAUAAUGGCAGGAAAUUGUAUUGAUACCAUCAAUAAGCUUAAAGCUUCUCUCAAUGACAAGUAAAAAAUUAACGACUUGGGCAAGUUGAAAUAUUUUCUAGGCAUCAAAGUCCCAAGGUCUGAAUGCAGCAUUCACAUAUGUCAAAGGAAAUAUGCUUUGGAUAUCUUGCCAGAUUCAGGCACUAUAGGAUCAGCCCCUACUAGGAUUCCCCUUGAUUAGAAUCUGAAGCUUAGUAAGGAUGAGGUAGAAUUAAUUGUAGACCAAUCAAUUUACAGAAGGCUAUUGUACUUGAUAAUCACUAGGCCUGAUCUUGCAUAAUCAAUUAAGUUGUUAAGUCAGUUUAUGAGCUGUCCCAGGGUGCUACAUUUACAUGCUGCACAUAAAGUAUUGCGGUACAUCAAAAGGGUACCUGGACAAGGGUUAUUUUACCCUACAAAAUCAAGGCUUCAACUAGAGGGCUAUUGCAAUUUUGAGUGGGGAGCAUGCCUAGACACUAGGAGGUCAGUAUUAAGUUAUUGUGUUUUCAUUGGGACAACCUUAAUAUCAUGAAAAUUGAAGAAACAACAUGUGGUGUCUCGAUCUUCCACUAAAGCAGAAUACUGAACAAUGGCAAACCUGUGUUGUGAAUUGACUUGGCUUAGGCAUUUGUUUAAGGAACUAUAGAUUGCACACCCUCAAGCUGCAGUCCUAAAUUGUGAUAAUCGAGCUGCAAUCCAUAUAGCUACAAAUUUGGUAUUUCACGAAAGAACCAAACACAUUGAGCUCGACUGCCAUUUGGUUCAUGACAAGAUAUAAGACGGAAUCAUCAUCACCCAACAUGUUCACAGUGCGUCACAAAUUGCUGACAUUCUAACCAAGGCUCUAACUUUCCAAUGUUUUUAUUCUUGCUUGUCCAAGAUGGGAGUAAUGGAUAUUUACUCUCCAUCUUGCGAGGGGCUAUUGAAAAUAGAAUAUUUGAGUCAACUGUCACUAACUCAAAUAAGUUGGUAAUGGCAGGCAAGAAGCAAGAGUUAUGUUAUAUGUACAAAGUUGGUUGACAAAGUAAUAUCUACUUCAAUCAUUUGAAAAAUAGAUUUUUAAAUCAUUGAAAAUCAAUGACGUGAAUUCUGCCAACACUUAUUUGUCAACCAAAUUUGUCUACACUCUUUGUACAUAGCAUAAUACAAGAAGCAAGACACAAAUAGGGUCGAUGUUUGAGAAGAAUUGUUCAUUAAGUAGGGAUAAAAGGUCUGAUAAGGCUGCAAGUAGAUUUGAAGUAAUAAUGUCUUCAAUAAUGCAAGCGGAUAAUUGCAUUAUGUUUGCAAAAUAAAUGCUAUCAUUCUAGGAUCCACAUAUUCUUCAUUUUGGAUCAAAAAUUAAGUUCCAAAAAAUUUUCAAGCAACAUAACAUUAACAAAGAUAAUUAAAUACACUACUACAAAUGUUGUCUAUGCAUUUCCAUAAUUUGAAAUCACUGUAUAAUUGCAUUGUUAUCAAUAUUGCAAAUAUAGCAUCCUCAAUGUACAAAACUGACUAUCAUUCAAUAGUCGAAUAUCCAAUUCAGUUGCAUGGUCCAAAUCGUGGUUGAGGUCUUGAGGAGUAUGGUGUUGACAUGGAGAAAAAAUGUGGUUGGUCGUCAGCAUCGAUGUGGAUGAUCUAGGUAGGAAAAUGCAAUUAUAUGGUAAAAAUGGCAAAUCUAGGCAUUGGGGGAAGAAUGAGAUUUAAGGCUUAAAAGAAGUUGGGAGGCAGAAAGUGGAUAAAAAAAUAAAAAAAUAAAAAAAAACCGUUCAAAUGGUAGAAAAGUGAAAAAAAAAAACUAAAAUUAAAAAAGAAAAUUCCAAAAUUUUCGUGGGCUGAGCAAACCCCAUAUGACCCCAUGUGACUCCAAUUCGUAAUGCGUUAAUUGACUUGUUAUACGAAAAACAUUAGAUCACGUUUUUUAAGUUGUUUGGGACAAAAAUCUUCAGCGUCUCUUUUUGAGCCCUUUAUAAAUAUGUCCACUUCAACAUAUAAAAUAAGUGUUGUACCAUGGAAAAAAAUAUUAUACAUCAUUCUUCUUUACUUCUGUAAGUUUUAUCUGUAAUUCAUGAGAAUAUUUCGAAUGAUCGAUAUAUUUCAAGAGUAUUUUAGAAAUAUCUCUCUAGAUGUAUUGUACAACAAAAAUCUUAGUAUCUUGUGGCUAGGCAUGUGCACACAACAAUAAUUCCCAAACAAAGAGAAAUGAAAAAAGUUGAUCAAUUAAUAAAGUUUAAUUUAUAUUUUUCUUUUUUAGCUGUUUUGCAUUUUGUGUUUUCACUCCAUGGAUGAGAUUUUUUCAAUAAAAGUAUCACUGCAAAAAUUUAUAUGUGAGAAAAAAGAAGUAUAAAUCGAUAAAUAUAUAAGUGACCCCAACGAAACAAGAUAAAGCAUAUAGACAAAGAAGGAACACCGUAUUAUAAUUAAAUGACAUUAUUUGAAUAUGAACAAUUUGAUUUUAUUAAUAAAGAUGAAUUAUGUGUGACAAAUGUUAUUAAUCAUUACGAGGAAAUGAUACUUGUACAAAUGAUCCUUUAAGAGGAUAAGUUUAUUUUUAUUAAAGUAUAUAUACAAUUAAUUGCAAGAUGGAUGGAAGCCAUCGAAAAUGACCUUUUUAUUUUCACACAACAUCAAUAUGUUGAGGGGGUCAACGCAACGAUCGUAACAUUAGGGACCAUUUCCACACAAGGGCCUUACAUUAAGGACCAUCUAUACCAAUUUCCUUGUUAAUUAAUGCUCCACCUUUGUGUUCGCUUGAAUUUAAAAAAAAAAGUUUUAUUGGCACAAUUCCCUCAACGAAUGGAUCUAUUGCCAAAUAUUCUUACCUUUUUAAAUUGGUGGAAACCCCCGUAUGAACUUUGAAGUGAGGAAUCCAUUUUCUUUCAUUUUCUCAUAAAUCCUUGUGAAAUGACGAUUUGAGGAAAAAAAUAGUAGAGCCGACAAUUUGGUAUGUUAAAUUAGAUGUAAUAUGCUAUGAAUAAGGGCAGUGAACAAAAGUACUAUAAUUUCAAAAAUGUGGAGAAACACAAGUAUAUGGUUUGUGAUCUGAAAUAAAGGUAUAUUAUGCACAUAAAACUUGCAAAGAUUCCAGUCAACAACACAGAUGAGUGGAGGCAUGACGAUAUUGCUAGAAUAUGACCCAAAUUUCUAUUGGGAUUAGGAUAGGGUUGGUAAAUUGAUAAAAGGAAUAAGAGUCUUCUUGGUUUGGAAGUUCGAUUGAAAAAGAGAAUGAAAGUUCAUCAAUGGAUGGAAAUUUGAUUGGUAAAGGAACUUUGGAAAAUUGAAGACUUGGUUUUGAAAUUUUGGUGCAUAAAAAAUCGUCGCAAUUUCGCUAACUGACAGCUAACUUUGGUGUUCAAGCGUUAGAGGUGAAAAAUGGAGCAGAGUUGCUGCCUGCCUAGCGUCGCCUAGAACUGAAGUGACAGUGUUAUUCGGAUGGGAAACCUUUUUCGAUCCUAACUACUUUAUUGAGUCGUAUUUGUUGGAAAAUAAGCGGUUGGAGAAGAAAUAACAACAAAAUUAUAGAAACAAAAUGAAUAGAAACCACGAAAUACGUCAAGAAUGAAUUUGAGACUUGAACACGGGAUCAUUAUCCUCAAACUAUAUUUGCUCCCUCUCAGGAUUGAAUGAGAUACUUAAGGGUUGGGUUUUGGCAAACAGUUUGUAGGAUUAUAUUAAGCUUUGUAAAGGUUUUAACACCAAAGCACAAAUGCAAUCCUCCAAAACUUUAAGAACACAAAGGAAGAUCUUGAAUAUGAAUGUAAAUCAAUAGUGUGAUUCAAUAUGAAAUGAUAUAUGGAUCUCAAGAUAUUUUCAAUGAUUCUAAUAAUGUUUGUAUUGAUCAGUCAUCACCUAUUUAUAGGUCUCAAUCAAUGCAUCAUGAAAUGGUGCAAAAACAAGAUGAAAAGUGGCAACUUUUAGUCCAAAACGGCUCCCAAGUUUUAAAUUGAAAAAUUAGUCAACGACUAUUUUUUAAUACUAUGCGUACGCAUCGUAUAAACCGUGCGUACGCAUAGUAGAAGCAAAAUUUAAUUCUGAUUUUUGCUAAAAUACAUCUCGUGUACGCACAAAAUUACGCAUAGGCAAAAAAUCAAAUUUUGCAUUUUUCAAUUUCUUUUAAUUCUACCAAUUCCACAAUUGAGCCCAACAAUAAGUCAAUUAUCAUUCCAUUGAUUUUGAACAAAUUUUCAACAGUAUUUCAUCGAAAAUACUUGUAAUGGAUUCUCUCUCUCUAUAUAUAUAUAUAUUCCUCGUGGUAUAGGCUCUUAAAAGGAUAAAUUAACAAUAAAAUCAUAGUUAUUUAAAUUUAGAUUGAGAGUAUCAAAUCUUGUAAAACAAUUUUAGCUUCUUGAUAUAUUUAAAUUCUUCAACUCUUUCAUAUAAAUCUUGUAUUCUUGUGUGAUCCAUUAUUUUUCAUAUUGCUCUAAUUUUCUCAUCUUUAUUAUUUGGCCCAAUUUAUCUUUACAAUUCCAUAUGAUUCAUCAAGAGCUAUACAAAUUGAGUUUUGAUGAGAAAAAAUACUGAUACAUGCUUGAACGGAAAAAUAAAAUUAUUCGAAAAUAUAUUGUCCAUUGCAUGCUGUUGAAUUUUCUGAAAAAUCUUUUUCUUGUUGGAACCAGAAUCUAAAACUAUGGUUUCUAUAAUCCUCUUGGCCGCAUUGUUAAUUUGGGGCAUCUUCAUCUCUGUUACUCUGGGACGUAUAGUCGGGCCAGUUGGCGACCCAUUACGACUGUUAUGUCCAACUGGCAAACUGCUAAUAGAUCGCGUAAUUAUGCGUCAGGUGUGCAUGUCCAUUUUUUGGUUCUUUGGUUCAAAAAUCUCCGUCGAAGUUGUAUCUUCACGAUUCGUCUGCUGCUUGGAGGAACUCUUUCGUGGUUGGCAAUUCGCUGUUUCUAUAACAGCUUGUUUACAGCUCCUGCUAUAGUGAAUAGUCGACGGAGCUGUAGAUCUAAGAAUAGGAAGGUGAAGGUAAACACUUCAGAAGAUCUUUUUAUAGAGAUUCAUAGGCACAAAAUGAUUUGUCAAGGCAAGAUUUCAGUGGAUAUUUUGUCAUAAAUACGAAUUUGGAGAUAACAGUAUUCUGGAUGUAAUAUCUUCAGUUACAACGAUUUGGGAGGGUAUUGAAAGAGAGAAUUAUCGAUAUAAUUUAGGGUUUUUAUUAUGAGCAAUAGAUCAUGAUUUGGGAGCGGAUGAAUGGAGACGAAGGGACGAGGUACGAGAGAAAUCUGAUUUGGGAAAGAAUUGAUAUAGAGUAAAUUAUAGAUGAAUUUUGGAUUUGAUAAACUUCAUGAUGAUUUAAUUGUUGAUAAAGUAAGACCUGCUAAAUAAUUGCAUGAUAACAAGGAGUACAACACCAACCAGGUAUAUCUCAAGUGCAUGUUUCAUUGAUGCAUCUUCUUCUAUCAAUGUCAAAAAUGAGUGGAAUAUUGUAAAUGUCAUCAAAGAUUCUUCUGCAGAUUAAAAGGGCCAAAAAGUUUCAUUCCAAGAUAGAACUUCUGACAUUGGAUUCCAUGAACAUUAGCUCAUCUUUAUUAGGAGUGAUAGAAGCUCGCUCUAAUACCAACUGAUGUAGGAAAAAGCAUAAAAAUAAUGAAACGAACAUGCUAUCGAAGUUUUUUUAUUCUAAUUUUUGUUGAUUCCCAAAAUUACCAGAAAUAUAGGUAUCAAAUAGCAAGAUUAAACGAUUCGACAGCUCCAAAAUCUAUAAUAUUUAUUACAAAAUAACUAAUUAUCAUAAUAGCUUACAACCCUUAUUUAAAGAAAUAACUAAAAUCUAGAUAAUUACUAAAAUCUAGAUAGUUAUUAAAUGUAAAAGAUAAUGACAAAAAGUAAAAACCCUUCAGAAUUAAUAAGAAAUAAACGAAAUUAAAAUUGAAUUUAUUUAAUAAAAUAAAUAAUAAAAAACUCAAUUUUCUUCAAAUGGGUUCAAAUAAUAAUGCCAAGAUGCGAUCUUUAGUUUCAUGAUUUUGAAUGCCAUGUCCAUUGACGCCGGGUAGGAUAGUGAUUAUCCUAUUGUCUUGUUGUAGCAGAUGAUUCACAAGAAAAGAACGACAGAAAACGCCCAAAAAAAACCAAAGAAAAUACUCUGAAUUCAAUUCAACAUUAUUAAUAAUGCAGAAUGAUUAAAAUUAACCCACAAGCCGACUUAAAUAGCUGCGAAAUACGAAAUUAUGGGGAAAUUACCAAAAAUGGCAAAAUCCCGAAAUUAUACCAAAAUAAAAUAUUAAGUAAAAGAAGUAAGUUACCAAAAAUUUGGCUCAAUUCGAGUUUUCUAACAUAUGGAAAAAAGGAAACGAAAUAUUACCAUAAAUAGUAAAAAAUAACUUAAAAUUGAAUUUUGGAAAGGAAAACAGUGGAUUUUGGGCUUGAAAUUGAUGUUUAUCGAGCACGGCUGGGUGGCCACGACGUGUGCGCCGAAGAGAGCUUUCCAGAUUGGGGUCAUAAUAGCGAUUCCGAUAACCGUAGUCAAAGUUAUGGUCAAAUUACCAAAAACGCGUCAAAUUUCCCCAAUUAAGGAAAUAAUGGCGAUUCACUUUCCAUCUUUGCAUCGAUCCGCCAUCUCAUAGUAUCUCAGUGCCAUCAUCAUGCUAUCUGACGAAUCAGCAUCACUUGACUCGGAUCCUCCUGCAUCAGUCGCCCUGGGUUGGAAAGAACUCGCCCUCGAGUUCACAUUAACUUCAUCGGACUUCACAAAACAAGGGAUUAGGUGUUUUACAUUGAAGACGUCAGAGGUCUUCAAAUAGCUAGGGAGGCGCAACCUGUAAGCAUUAUCAUUGAUCUUCUGCAGCACUUCACAAGGUCCAAUCUUCUGCUCCUUUAGCUUAUUGUAUUCCCCAGCUGGAAAACAAUUAUUAGUUAAUACUGCCCAAACAAAAUCACCAACAUCAAACAACACCAGGCGUUGAUGACUAUUUGCCCAAACUUUGUACUUAGUAUUACUAUCCUGUAUGGACAGCUUCACAUGCUCAUGGAUACCUUGAAGAUGUUUAGCCAUCUCAUCAGCUUUGUUAUUGAAGUGACCCACACGUGGAAUUGGAGCCAAAUCAAGUACUCCAGAUGGGUUCUGACCAUAGACAAUUUCAAAAGGACUCAGCCGGUGGUUCUAUUCCUUAACCGGUUAUAAGCAAACUCUUCUUGAGGUAAUGCCAAAUCCCACAGCUUCGGUUUAGUCCCGGCUAAGCUUCUCAAAAUAUUUCCCAAACUUCGAUUUACCACCUCAGUCUGACCAUCUGUUUGGGGGUGGUAUGCUCUGCUAAAAUUCAAUUUCGUUCCAAGUUUCUCCCACAAACUCCUCCAAAAAUGACUCAUAAACUUAGUGUCACGGUCAGAAGUAAUUGACUGUGGAACACCAUGUAAAUGCACAAUCUCUCUAAAAUAAAGAUGAACAAUCCGAGUAGCAUCCAUUGUCUUCCAGCAAGCCACAAAAUGAGCCAUCUUUGAGAAUCUGUCAACCACCACAAGAAUGGAAUCCAUCACCCGUUGUGUAUGAGGUAAGCCCAAGAUAAAAUCUAUACUGACAUCAAACCAAGGAGCUUUAGGUACGGGUAAUGGUGUGUACGAUCCAGCAUUAGUAAGAGCCCUUUUAGACCGCUGACAUACAUAACAUCGCUCCACAUAAUGCGCCACAUCACUGCUCAACUUGGGCCAGUAAUAAUCAGAAGAGACCAAUACCAAUGUCUUGUCUCGCCCAAAAUGUCCUUCGUUAUGAAGUUAACUAAUAAUCUGCUACCUUAGUGAACAAUCCGGAAUGCAUAACUGCAAUCCACGAAAUAGGUAACCAUUAUGUAAAAUAAAAUCAUGUCGGUGAUUAUCAAUUACCUCCCGAAUUAUCUUCCCAAAUGAAGGAUCUGCAGCAUACAUAUCAGGAAAUGCCUCAAAUCCGACAAUCUUGGUGCUCAUGGUGAGGAGUAAUGUGCGACGGCUCAAUGCAUCUGUUACUCGAUUCAAACUCCCUGCUUGAUGCCUGAGUGUGAAAGUAAACUCCUGUAAGUAGGCUACCCACUUUGCAUGUCGCCAACUUAGCUUGUGCUGACCAUUAAUGUACUUCAAAGCCUCAUGAUUAGUAAAAAGAAUGAACUCCCUCUGUACCAGGUAAUGGUGCCAAUGCUUCAGAGUCUGAACUAUGGCAUAGAACUCCAGGUCAUAAGUGGAAUAAUUUUUCUUCGAUCCCAAUAGCUUCUCACUAAAAAAGGCUACUGGACGUCCCUCCUGACUUAGAACACCACCAAUACCAACUCCAGACGCAUCACAGUUUACCUCUAACACCUUUUCAAAAUUCGAAAGUACCAAGACUGGGGCCUCCGUCAUCUUCUGCUUAACCAACUGAAAGCUAGCCUCUAUCUCCUCAGUCCACUGAAAAUCACGCCCUUUAAGGCACUCUGUGAUAGGAGCAAUCAAGGUACUGAAGUUUCUGAUGAAUCGACAAUAGAAGGAUGCCAAUCCAUGGAAACUUUUGACAUCGUACAAAGUUUUUGGUUUCGGCCAAUUCAAAACUACCUCAAUUUUGGAUUGAUCUACAUGAACACCAUCAGUAGACACAACAAAACCCAAAAAAGUUACAGAAGUUGUGAAGAAAGAACACUUAUUCUGAUUGAUGAAUAAGCGCUCCGUCCUCAUUACAUCAAAGACAGCACGAAGAUGAUUAAAAUGUGACUCCCAUGUCAGACUAUAAAUAAGUAUGUCAUCAAAAUAAACUACCACAAACUUUCCCAUGAAAGGCCGUAAAACCUGAUGCAUAAACCUCAUAAAAGUGCUGGGUGCGUUGGAUAGUCCAAAGGGCAUGACCAUCCACUCGUACAACCCAUGUUGUGUCUUGAACGCAGUCUUCCACUCAUCUCUAGGCCUGAUUCUGAUAUAGUGGUAUCCAAUUUUAAGGUCCAUUUUUGAGAAGACCUUAGAAUCGGAUAGUUGAUCCAACAUGUCGUCCAGACGGGGAAUUGGAAACCUGUACUUCACUGUAAUCCUGUUAAUUGCCCUGCUAUCAACACACAUACGCCAUUACCCAUCUUUCUUCGGCACUAGUAGAGCAGGAACUGCACAAGGACUCAUACUCUCACGAAUGUAGCCCCUUUCCAAUAAUUCUACCACCUGUCGCUGCAACUCUUCAGCUUCCUUGGGACUGAGGCGAUAUUCUGGUCGGUUUGGUAGACUCGACCCUGGAAUGAGGUCAAUAUGAUGUUGAAUGUCCCUCAUAGGUGGUAGUCCUGGAGGAAGAUCCUCCGGCAUCAAGUCAGAAAACUCCAUCAGUAGUUGCUGCGCUUCUGCUGGAAAUUCUGAAUCCACAUUCGUUGUACUAUUUUCAUGAGGCAUUAAAGCAUAAACUAUAUUUUCACGCCCAACCUCAACCAAGAACCUAGACAUAGAAAGUAGAUUGGGGUUAUUAACUACCAGGACAGGGAUGUUUCCUUCCCUACGAGGCACCAAAACAAUUCUCUUCCCUUUGAUGCUAAGAGAAUUAGUAUUCUUCCGCCCAUCAUGGAUAACACUGCGAUCAUACUACCAAGGUCGUCCCAACAAAACAUGAAACGCAUCCAUUGAUACCACAUCACACCAAGCAUUAUCAAAAUAUUUUUUUCCAAUCGAGAAAGACACUAAGCAUUGUUUUUCUACCGUUACCUCACUGCCUUUAUUCAACUAAGACAACUUGUAUGGUUUGGGAUGACGAUCCAUCUUUAGUUGCAGUUUCUUGAUAGCCUCCUCAGACACUAUAUUCUCACAACUGCCACUAUCAAUUAUCAACUACAGACUUUAUCAGUAACUGUGCAGGUUGUGUGGAAAACGUUGGUCCUCAACCAAUCAUCCCCUGAGUCGUCCUUGGGAGUCGGCAGGCUCUUUCAAACGACCAGGGUCUCCUGACUAUCUCCAUAUAGCACGUCCUCAUCUUCACCCUCAUCAUACACGGGUUCCCCAACUUCCUCGAACUCCUCUAUCAUAUCCUCCUCAAUCAGAAGAUUUUUAUUCUUCUGACUUGCAGGCUUCCUGCAAUCAGUCGCCCUAUGCCCCUGUUCACCACACCUAAAGCACGUAAUACUUGAGCUGGAACUAUUUCGCUGUGGCUGAUAAGCAAGACGAGAUUCUUGAGGGCGAACUGGCUAACUUCCUUCACCUCUGACUACUGGCCUCCUACUCUGCUGUUUCUCUACUGUAAGUACUCGCUGAUAUGCCUCAGAAAUUGUCCACAAUGAAUGAAGGCUGAGAACAUCCUGCAAGGGCUGCCUUAAUCCCCCCAAAUACCGUGCUACCAUCUGCUCCUUUGUCUCAGAUAAAUUAUUCUGAGCCACCAACUGAUAGAAUUCUUCAGUAUAAUCAUUGACUGAUCUUGCGCCUUGCCUUAGUGAAUGAAGCCUCUGAAACAAGGUUUGAGUAUAGCCAAAAGGAAGGAAGUGCCCUUUCAUCUUCUUCUUCAUCUUCUCCCAGUUAGUAAUUUUGGAUUUUCCCUAUCGCUUCCGCGAACACUUCAAUUGUUCCCACCAUGCAGAUGCCCUACCUUUGAGUUUGAUGGCGACCAAUUUCACUUUGACACGAUCUGGAACCUCCUUAUAUUCAAAAAUCCGCUCCACUUCAUUCAGCCAAUCAAUAAAUCCUUCAGCCUGCAACGUACCAGAAAACUCGGGCAGAUCCACUCUGAAACCGAGAUCCACAUGACGAUCCUCCCAUCUACGAUGCUCCCAAACUCGAGCAUGAUGGUGAUACGGGUUUUCGAAACUGGUAUCGAAAUCGUGACCUUCCACAUCAUGAUUACUGAACUCAUACUCCACCAAACAUUGGGUUAACUUCGAAACUUGUCUCUACAAAUCUUCAAUCAUCACAUCCUGAAUAUUACGAACACGGAGCGGGACUUCCUCAAUUGGAACCUGUCCUCGACGACCACAACCACGUCCACCAACCAUUAUAACUGAUGGAAUUUAUCUCCCAAGAAGAUGCUGACGCUCUGAUACCAACUGACGCCGGGUAGGAUAGUGAUUAUCCUAUUGGCUUGUUGUAGCAGAUGAUUCGCAAGAAAAGAACGACAGAAAAUGCCCAAAAAAACCAGAGAAAAUACUCUGAAUUCAAUUCAAUAUUAGUAAUAAUGCAGAAUGAUCAAAAUUAACCCACAAGCCGAGUUAAAUAGCUGCGAAAUACGAAAUUAUGGGGAAAUUACCAAAAAUGGAAAAAUCCCGAAAUUAUACCAAAAUAAAAUAUUAAGUAAAAGAAGUAAGUUGCCAAAAAUUUGGCUCAAUUCAAGUUUUUUUAACAUAUGGAAAAAAGGAAACGAAAUAUUACCAUAAAUAGUAAAAAAUAACUUAAAAUUGAAUUUUCGAAAGGAAAACAGUGGAUUUUGGGCUUGAAAUUGACGUUCACCGAGCACAACUGGGUGGCCAUGACGUGCGCGCCAAAGAGAGCUUUCCGGAUUGGGGUCAUAAUAGCGAUUCCAAUAACCGUAGCCAAAGUUAUGACCAAAUUACCAAAGACGCGUCAAAUUCCCCCAAUUAAGGAAAUAAUGGCGAUUCACUUUCCAUCUUUGCGACGAUCCGCCAUCUCAUGGUAUCUCAGCGCCAUCAUCGUGCUAUCUGACAAAUCAACAUCACUCGACUCGGAUCCUCCUGCAUCAUCCAUCCCCAUACUGGUACAUGUAUUGUGCCAUUCUCGCAAGAUUCACUGCAAUUUCAAUAAAAAAAAAUUUGAGAAUGGACAAACUGUUUCUUGAACUUGGUUCAUUUUUUUCCACGUCUCAUGUAUCAAAGAUCUAAUGUGUUCACGUGCCUCAUCUUCAGAAGCCCCAGUUUCGUUCAUGUAACAUUGUAUUGUUUUAGGAACAUCACCUCUUUUCAUUUCGUCCUGAGAGAGAAAACGAAAGAAACUGUUAGUUGAAAGGGUUAAUUUUGAAUUGCUAAUGAUUUCUUAAACAAAAAUGAACUUGAAAACAUGAAAUGAAAUUUUAGUCUAUAUGCGCACCAUUGAUGUUGCUAAAUCAUCUGAAAGACGUAAAAUCGUUGCCGACCAACGGAUUAUAUUAGGAUAAUCAAGUAAGUACUGAACAGCUUCCUUUUCUAUAGGACUGGUAACAGCGAAAAACGCAUGGGAUAGUAUGACAUGAGUUGAUAUGGAAAUCCAUGCAGUGUUCAUAUACUCUUCCAUUGUUGGUUUGUAUCCAUUGAAGUACCACCUUGCUUCUUGUAAGUAUGCUUUGCAUAAAUCUUUCCACUCCCAAAUUUGACAAGAUUACUGUAUACGGAUUAAAUAUGGAAGCUGAUACAAGGAUUAUGUAUUGGACUUUUUGAAGCAAAAGUAAUACCGCUUUUCUUAAAUAUGGAAUAAUUAUAAGCCCUUUUUCUUUAAGAAUGUCGUAAGCCAUUUCGUUGAUGAAGUUAUUGAGUGCUAAAUAGCAAAUUUGCAUGUAAUCUGGAAGUUGAUGGAUUGAACUGACAUCCCAUCUGUAGAGUUCCAAACAAAUAAUAAUUAUAGGAGUUAGAACGGUGAGAAGGGGAAAAAAAUCAAUAUAUAUCACACAUGGGUAAACUUUAAUAUAAACUACCAAUCUAAUUUUCCAAAAUUUGGUCCUCAACUUUUAAAGAAAAGAAAGUUCGCACCUUACAUUUUAUUAUUGUUUCGCAACUGGUCGCCCACUAAUGAAAACCAUAAUUUUCAUAAAUUAUCGUGUGGCCCUCAUAAAAACAUGCAUCGCUUUAAAUAUCAACGUACCAAUCCAAGUUAGAAAACAAAACCUAAUUUCAUGAAGUUGAUUAUGCAAGGACCACAUUUUGAUUAAUUUAAAAUAGAUUUGAACUGUUUCUUGAGAUAUAAUCUUGCAACUAUAUAUAAAAUUAAUAACCAGCUUGUCCAUUUUUAAAGAUUGAAUAAGUCAAUCAUUCAAUUUUCCCUAUCAUAUAAACCUUUUAAUAUACAAAGUACUUCCGUAUUCACAAACUUUGAGUGUGUCCUUUAACAAAGGGACUUCGUUUUUAAUUUUUACUUUUUUAUUUGGGUGGGGGUUCUGAAAUGAGGAAUAACGAUGUUUCUAACCUUUCAAUGAUUCUUGUAAAAACUUCAAGCUCUUCUAAUGUACCAUAGACGUCAUAUAUAUCAUCAAUGGUUGUUACUAAAGCAUUGACCUUCGGCAAUAUCUUCCUACAAAAUUCAUAUUGAGGUUCAAAUAUCACCCCAGUAGUCCAAAAGAAACAUUCCACCAGCCUAUCCCUCGCAAAUGACAACUUUUCGGCAAGGCAAGUUCCCUUCCGCCACCUAUUCAUAGAAAACGCAGGGAAAGAAAUAAAAAUAAAAUUCCUUUGUUACUUCUAAACAUCAAAAUUCAAUAUAUUUGGCCCAUGUAUUUAAAAUGAGAAAAUAGAGAUAGAAAUGUGCACAAAUGUAUUAGUGUUGGAAUUAAUACACAUUUUCUCCAACCGUAAUAAAAGUAAAUAGUGCUAAAGUGAAAGGCAAAUUUGUUGAGGAGAGACUAUUUCCCUCCAUCAAAUUCCUUAUUGAGUUGUCUCUGAUUGAAGACAACUUGUGAUGUCGAUUUAUCUUUGAGUGAAUACAGCAUCUUAUCAAUAAAUACCUAGAGACAUAUUUUGCUUGAACAAUGUUGAAAUCCAAUUUAGCAAGCUCAAGCAGAAUCUGAUUCAUGUCUGGCCUGUCCUUGUAUAUGUUUAUGAACCAUCUAGCCUCUGCCCGCAGUAUGGUCCAGUGCAAUGGAAGCUCCAAGCCAUGGUGCACCAAUCGAGAAUGGCACUGAUCAAUACUAGUUUGAUCAUUAAGGUUUUUCAUAGAGAAUUCUGUAGCCAUUUCUAGGGUACUUUCAGCUUCCAUUGAAAGGAAUGAAGUUUCAUAUAGUUGUAACAAUCCCUCUGUAUCAUCCCAAAGCCUCGACUUGAACUCACCCUUCUCAUUCUUGAAACGAUCAAAUAUCUCUGUGUUCAACAGGACAUGUAUAAGACGCGUAAGCACAAAAAAUGAAUGAAAAUGAACAGAAGAAACUGAUUUGCACCUUCAGAAACUUUAAAGCCAUGUUGUCUUAGUAGUCUGAAUUCCAAAGCCGUAGCAUAUAAAUCCUCAAUCUUUGACUGUUGAUCAUUUUUGCUAUAUUUUUUGUUAAUGACUGACAAGAUUUGCUUAAUUUCAUUCUCAAAAUGGUAGGAUAUCCCCAGCCUUUGCAAAUUGUCAAUCAAUUCCAACUGAUCCAGUGGCUCUACUGUUUUAUCAAGCAUCAUCUUCACUUGCAUUUUCAGCUCAGAAGACCGUGUAGCGUAUCUCUCUCCCUAGAUCAUGCACGAACAAAAUCUGAUUGCAAGAAAAAAGGAAGAAUUUAUUUUUUAUGUAAAUGAUGAAAAUUACCGCGUAUUCAAUAUCUAAAGACCGAAUAUAUUCGAAGUCCCAUACUGGGGGUUUGUAGUUUCCUGAUCGCCUAAUCACAAUCUGACUGCAAGGCCGCAUCUUGGUUAUAAAACUAUGCUGAUUAGCAUUAGCAGCAGUACUUGUAAAUAAAGCAAAACAGUGUUUUGGAAUCUGUUUUUUUGAAGUGCAUAAAUUGGCUUGAAAAUGUUCAGGUUGAAGAUAGUCAUUGAUCUUUGAGACUUGUCUAAGUAGUUCAUAAAAUAUUAUAUUUGGUAUGGUGGGCAUGGCUUAUUUAUAUUGACUUACUUAAUUAUCUGGAACUCAAAUAGUAAUUAGAUGAGUUCAUCAAGUAUUGGCACCAACUCAAAUAAAGUAGCCAUAAAAAUAGCACCCGUUUGACCUCCAUUUUUCCAAAUUAAAAUGGAUGAAUAUAUAUAUAUAUAUAUAUAUAGAAGAUUAUGAAUUAUUUUAUUGAAAAAUAUUUGGUUGAAAUGAUGUCAAAUCACUGUUGAAAAAUGUAUUUUUUUAAAAAUAAUAUGGCUCAAACAAGCCCUUAAUAUGGGUCAAAUGGGGCUAAGUUGGUAAUAGCAGGCAAGUAGUAAUUAAGUAGGGACAAAAGGUCUGAUAAGGCUGCACGUAGAUUGGAAGUAAUAAUGCUUUCAAUAAUGCAAGCAAAUAAUUGCAUUAUGUUUGAAAAAUUAAUGACACGAUCUGUCCCGAAUCAUCAUAGUGGAUCCGAAACGUGACGUGCACCGAUGAUAGAUGCUGACUAGAUGUUAAAUCUAUCACCAAGACUGACUAUGAGUUAUUUCAAAAAAUGUAACAAAAUCAAAUGCUUAUGUAAAACAUAAUGCGAUGGGUCCAAAUUUUUUACUUUGUCCUUCAUCAAUAUGAAUUAUAACACUCAACAUGUCGUGUGGCUCUCAUUUUGAAAUCAUUAUGCUCUUCCAAUUCAAAUGAAUCAAUUGCUACCUGUAGGAAAAAUUACGAAAAAAUAUAUGAGUUGAUAGCUCAGUGGGUGGAGAAGUUCUAAAAUAAAUAUACUUUUUCAAUUUUACAUUUCUAUCGAAAAUCAAAUUCAUAUCAUUUGAUAAUUCAUAAGAUAACAUCAUGUAAUUAUAGCCAAGAAGUGAAAUAUUCACAUAAGAUUAUAAAAUAUCAUCUUAAAAUCAUGACAUAGACAUCAGCUGAUAACCAUGCUAUAAUCUCAUCACAUCAAAGAUGCUGAAAAAUUUACAAAAAAUGCACCCUCUGACUGAAAUAUGUAAUCCGCCCCUCAGGCUAAAAACUUUCGCUACGGGCCUUUGGCUACUCUGUGAACGAAAGUCGGUCUCAAAGACCUCUCAUAAUCAAUUCUAGAAUAUGGCCAAGGCCCCUCAGUGAACUAUAUGUACACGGUCGAGACCCCUUCAUCCCCCAUCCAAGACCCCUCGGUAUAGUAUAGAACACAACCAAGGCCCCUCAGUGAACUUAAAGAAAUAUAUAAUCACGGGUACUUUUCUGAUCGAUAUCAAAAUUAUAUCUCAUAUUCCAAUUCACAAUGUAACGUAUACAAUCUUUGAAAUCCCACAUGUAUCAUAAUAAAAGAUAUUUCCAUAAUAACCAUGUAAUUCGAACACAUAAUUGCAUAUAAUUGCUAAUACUUUAACAAUAAACGUAAUUUAUAAAUACUUUAAAAAUAUUUAUAUUUUUCCACUUACAGAACUAUGUUCGCAAAAUUAACUCGGUUUGUAAGCUAUCCCGAUGUCAAUAUCGGCGCCAGAAAUAUGAUAUAAUUUUUAAAUCAACAAUUAAUUAUUUUAAGAAAUUUCAAUAAUUAAAUAGGUAAUGCCCAAAUUUAAUCAUUUCACAUUUAAGCGAUUUACGCGGUCUCUUUAAUCACUAAAACAAUUUUUCUUUUAUCUUACUCAAUUUCAUAGUUUAUUACACUUAACCCCUUGAAAAAAAAAUUGAAUUUAAUCUAACAACUAUAAAAUCAAACAUAACUUGACAAUAAGUAACUUUUUACUUACCUUUCAAAAUUGAAGAAUUCAAGUCUAAUAACGUAGAUCACUUAUUUUCUAACAACAUAGACGAACUUUCAUAUUUUUUUUUCUUCUUUUUUCCUUUCUCUUUUCUCUUCCUUUUCUCUCUAGUUCGUUUUCUCUCUCUGUGUGUGUCUUUUUGUGUAAUGGAUUUGGAUUACACAUAUAUAUAAAUACAAUGGGAAUGGAUUUGUUUUGGGCAUAACCGCCUACAGUUUCCUUUUUAUGUUUUUUUUUUUCCCUUUUUUUUAGAAGUAUUAAAUUAAGGCAUUUCAAAUUUCACCCCAUAACUAUAAUUACAAUACAAGUCCCCAACCUUUAUAUAAUUUAACAUUUAGUCAUCUUAUUUACCAUACUAGAAGCUAAAUCCCAAAAUUUAUUUUUAUAUCAUUUCGCUCCCUCUUAAGUACUAGCAAUUUCAAAUUUAAACCCCAUGAAAAUCAGUCCUCCAACUUAAAUCCUUAUUUGGCUUUAACUUUGACUAUAUAAUAUAUUGAUUUUGACUGUAAUUGAGUGAGGUGUAACAAUUAAUGCUAUCAAUUUAAUUAAGUUACAAAAAAUUUUCAAGCAACAUAACAUUAAUGAAAAUAAUUCUCUUUCUCUGUGUGUGUAUAUAUAUGCUCUUGUUUGAGCCCCAUUUUGGGAGGAAGAAUGAAUUUUUGAAUAAUGUAUUGAUGAGAAAUGUGAGAUUAAAAACUAAGAAAAAUUUUUGAAUUUGCAUGUACUAUUAUUUUAUUGAAAAAUGUGUGGUUGAAAUAAUGUCAAAAUACUAUUGAAAAUAUUUAAAAUACUAUUGAAAAAUAUAUUUUUUUUCAAAAGAAUGGGACUCAAACAAGGCUUAUAUAUUGCUUAAACAUUUUCAUAAUUUGAAAUCAUGGUAUAAUUACAUCAUUAUCAAUAUUACUAAUAUAGCAUCCUCAAUAUACACAAUUGAGUAGAAUAUCCAAUUCAAUUGCAUGAUUCAAACUAUGGAUGUGGCCUUUAGGAGUAUGGAGUUGAUGUAGAGAAAAAUGUGGUUGGUCUCCAGCAUCGAUGCGGAAGACUCGAGUAGGAAAAGGCAGUUAUUUGGUAAAAAUAGUAAACCUAGCUAUUUGGAAAAGAAUGUGAUUCGAGACUUGAGAGACAAAUUGGGAGGCGGUAAGUGGAUGAAAAAUGUCAUCACUUACUAUCAAAAUGCUUACAUAAUUAGUGUUGUGUUAAUUGACUUGUUAUAGGUAGAGCUCUAAGAUCGCCUUCAUCCACUAAUAUUUACUUCGAUUAAAUUCUUUUAGACUUUUUACAUUUUUUAAGAAUUUAUGUUUAAAUAAAACCCUAAUAUUCAUAAAAUAUUUUCUUCAACUAAAGCUAAAACAAAAAUGAAAGAGACACCAUUAGAGUAAAUAUAUAAAGACAUAGCAACAUAUGAAGAAGAAUUUGAAAAAAGUAAUCAUUGUCCUUUUAUUGUGGGUUUGAUGAAUUUAGUAUGUGAAUGAUUUUUUAUUUGUGUUUAGGUUAUCUGAUAACUUGUCUUUUAAAUUCAAGUGGUAUAAAUAAGAAAUUUCAUUCAGAACUAUUUGAGUUUUUUAUUGGAAUUAUCUUUUCUUUUCUUGAUUUUCUUGAAUUGAAAAUAUUGAUGGCCAUAUUUUUUGGUAGAAUUAUCAAAACAAGAAUUUGAGCUUUUUGUUGGGAUUAUCUUUAUUUUUUUCUUGAUUUUCUUGAAUUCUGUUUCGCGUGGGUUAGUCGCUAACAAUUAAAAAGGGAUCAUACAAUUGUGUAAGGGACAAACCUCUUGAGACAAAGUCUCAAAAAGCUGUGUUUUUAUUGGCGAUGACUUUACAAUUGGAAAAUGAAAACAGAAUGCCUCCAAGGGGCGCAAACACACGAGUUAUUGAAGGAAGUGUUUUAAAUCUAAACUAAGAAAUUUAAAAUUACAUAUUUUGUGUUUGAGAGUGUUUGAUUCGAGGGUCUUUUGCUCUAUGUCUUUUCUUCCUUUUAUACUCCCUGGAUGAUCUCUUCGUGAUCAACCGCUUAAAAACUGCUUGAUCGCUCUAUAACUGUCCACUUUCCUUGUAGUGGCCAACUUGUCAUGGAACUGCCUUCUCUAACUGCUGCCAUUACUUUUUGUCGUUCAAUCGUCUUCAAUUGAAUUCCUUGAAUCGUGGAACAUUUUAGGGCUACUCAAUAAUUGAUUCAUUAACCGCAUCUUUGGGUAACCAUAACAUCUUACGUUUGCUAAGAUCCUGGGCGGCUCGAAGGUUUGGGUGAGAACAGGGGCACAGUUCUGGGCGACUGCAUGGCAAUCCAUUCGUUCAAAUCUUGGGCGAUGGUAUUACCGCGUUCAUGGGCUUCCCUAUUUGGGCCUUUAUCCUGCAUUGCCUGAUUGAGUCAUUCUUUGGGCUAUUUGAUUUUUGGGGAUCUUCCAAUUGGGCUUCAUUCCUUGGGCUAUUCGACUUGGGCUGAACUUUUUGUGUGUCAACAAUUACCCGCCAAUACGGCAGAAUUAAUACCAAUUAUUAAUUUUUGCCAUAUUCACUUUGUGUUUCCCAGCAACAUUCGAAAUUCCCAAGAAUUUCAAUCAUUGUUUUCUUCCAUAGCUUGAAAAGAUGCGACGUUUGCAAACCCUUAUAACCCCCAAAUACGUCAUUUCAUUGCACCACUAAAUCACUCCUCAUUUUUUCGCGCUUCUCUCUCGCAAUAUUACUGUUCAUCUCCUUGCUUUUCUGCUACGUAACUCUGAAAAACUCCAUUUCGUCCCUAAUGGCCACUUCACAAUCCCAGUCUGGUGACUCCUUCAGCUUCGAAGACUUUCAGAAACUCCUCACUCGGCCAUAUAUAACUUCAAACUUUCUUGCACCAGCCAAUGUCGAACUCAAAGAGUUCUAUCUAGGUCCUUCAUUCAACAACGUCGAGGCCAUCGAACAAGCGGUGGUCGGUCAGCUAUUCCUUUGUACUCAAGGCCCUCCGUUUUUAAACUCUUUAUCGCUGGGGCCACUUCGUGAAAGAGGUAUUCGUACUUGGCCUAAAUCUGAUGUCGUUUUCCGUAGGUGGCACGCUUACCUUGUGGACCAUGGUCCUACUAAGGCAAUUUUUGAUAAUGCUAGGAUUUCUGAUUUGUUAGAAAUCUCUCUUCGACACCCUAUUUUUGAUUCAGGACUUUUUCCAAUCGCUUUAAGUUUUUGGUCUUCUGAGUAUAAUACUUUUGUUUUCCCUCUUGGCCCCAUGUUCAUUACCUUAAGGAAUGUUGGGGCCCUAGUAAAUCUGUCACCUUUGGGCGAUACCAUUUUCCCUGGUAUUUUGAUUUCUGGUGUCGUCCCAAAAUUUAAAAGAAAACUCACCCAGUCUUUUUCAAACCUGCAAACCUGUCAUAACCACUCAAGCGCUGAGCCUUCCCAUGCUGAGCGUGUGGCCUUUCUUCUGAUUUGGCUUUGUAAAAACGUUUUGUGUGUGCCAAGCAUAAAGCCCUCCAUGAGUUAUUUACCCAUAGUGCACAAAUUGGCGCGUUGUAGGCCUCUGAAUUUGUGUUCUUUCUUUUUAGCUGCCCUCUAUAGAGGCAUGGCGCUUCUCUUCAAUCCCAAUUGAAGAAUGGUGCAUCUCCCAUUUCCAUUUUCUUCUUCAAAAGACCAAUUUGCUGCCAUUGUUUGGCAUUUUGACAAUUAAUCCAACACCUUCGUUUUUCAUGUAAAUGGAUCAUCUGAUCCACCCAUUUUGCCAUCCUUCUUGAUGUCACCUUUGGUAUGAGAGAUAUGGGAAAUAUUCUUUGACCAGCAGCAAAGUUCUUCCCAUCGUCUCCGUUCCUACAAAGAGUUCAAUGAUGGAAGACAAUUUUUGGGGUGCUUGCAGGCCACCUUGCUUGCUGAGAGUGCUUCUCAGCCUCCUUGCCCGUCGUUGUAGCGAUGCAUUUAGGAAGGCAAUGUGAGGGCGCUUCAUCUUCCUUUCUGCUUGCUGAGAGUGCUUCUCGGCCUCUCUGCUUGCCUUUGCAGUAGUGCGAUCAGGAUGGCGAUCAAUGCCAGUACACCCUCUUACUCGACGAUCGACUGGGAGAUUAGUUUUCUCUUAAUUGUAGUUUAUAGAGCAUUUAGCAUCUUGUAUUUCGCAGCUUUUGUAAUGAACAUUUGAUAAUAAAGGAAUUUAUUUGAACGUAUUUCGCUCUGGCCCUUUUUACUCUACGAUCGUUCAAUGCGAUUUGGUUACGCUUUUAUUUGUUCACUUUCCCAUAAGGAAGGAACAUACUUUUUCAAAUAUUUGCCAUUAAUGAACCUCAUGUGCUUGGUGCCUUCUAAAUCUUCCAAAUGAUAGACUCCAUUAGGCAAUACAUUAUUCACUUUAUAUGGUCCUUCCCAAUUGGGAGACUAUUUGCCAUACAUUGGAUCUUUGCUAUCCAAAGGGAGUACUGUUUUCCAAACCAAUUCGCCCAGGAUGAAUGACUUGGCUAUAACUUUUUUAUUAUAAAAUUUAGCCAUUCUUCAUUGUUGAACUUGCAAUCUAUCUAGGAAAUCUAACUUUAAUUCGUCCAACUCUAAUAAGUUUUGAACUAGUGAUUCGGUAUACUCAUCAUCACUUAACUUAUGUUGCAAACACACUCUGAUCGAUUGCACGUUGAUUUCCAUAGGCAAAACGGCCUCCUGUCCAUAAGUAAGUUGGAAAGGAGUAAUUUUGGUACUUGACCGAGGCGACGUCCUAUAAGCCCAUAAGGCCUUGUUCAGACAUUCAUGCCAAUUUCUGGCAUUUUCAUCUAUCAUUUUCCUUAUGAUAUUUUUUAAAAUCUUAUUACAAGAUUCUGCUUGCCCGUUGGAUUGAGCGUAAUAUGGUGUGGAGUUUACUAAUUUAACUCCAAACUCGCUCAAGAAUUUAUUCACUUGAUCCCCUUUUAAAGAUGUCCCGUGAUCUACCAUCAAAGUUUGUGGAAUUCCAAAUUUAUAAAUGAUGUGAUCACGGAUAAAUUUUAUGACAUUCUUCUGGGUGAUCUCCUUUAAAGGUACCGCCUCUACCCACUUAGUAAAAUAAUCGGUUGCAACUAUAACAAAAGUAUGUUGCUUAGACGAUGGGGGAUAAAUCUUCCCUAUCAGGUCUAUCGCCCAAUCCUUGAACGGCCAAGGUUUAAUAAUAGGUGCCAUUUCUCAUGCUGGCGCCCUUUGUAUUGGACCAUGCUUUUGGCAUGCUAAACAACUCUUUGCAUACUGAACGCAUAAUUCCCCCAUCUUUGGCAAAAAAAUAUCCACUCCUAAUAAUCAACCAUCUCAUCCUUUGGCCAGCUUGAUGAGCUCCACAUAUCUCCUCGUCCACUUCAGCCAUGAUCGUCCUGGCUUCUUGCAAACUUACACAUUUUAGCAGUAUACCAUUAGAGCGUUUCUUGAACAACUCUUCAUCUAUCAGUGCAUAGUUUAACAAACGCAACUUCAUUUUUCUACUAUCUUUUUUGUUAGGUUCUUUAAGGAACUCCUUAAUCUCUACCCUCCAAUCCAUUGCAUCUCCAUCUUGUAUGCAAUGAAGUUCAAUCCUUCUCACCCUUCUUUGGGUCACGGGCAAUAUUGUUCCAUACUCACAAGUAGACUUCCAAUUAAAAACCUUUGAGUACCCUGAGGCCAUCUGGGCCAACUCAUUUGCCACGUCAUUGUAUAUCCUAUUAACGCAUUGAAGUUCUACUUGGUCGAAUUCUUCUAAUAACUCUUGGGCGAUUUCAUAUUGACUCAUGAUGGAAUCACUUUGACAUUUAAAAUCACCAAUAAGUUGGUGAAUUACCAAUUGAGAAUCGCCUCUAAUGUUUACAUUUUUUACCCCCAUAUCUAUCAUUAGUUCUAGGCCCACGAUUAAGACUUCAUAUUCGGCUUGAUUGUUGGUGCACAUCCUAUCCAAAGUGAAUGCGAACUUGUAGCAAAUCCCUAAAUGAUUUAUCAAUGCUACUCCUACUCCUACACCUUUAGAGAUUUUUGACCCAUUGAAAUACAACACCAAAGGUUUUAGCUCGAACGAAUUGAUUUCUAAUUCAAUUUCUUCAAGCAUGUCAAGGCAUGGAUGAUCGGCUAGGAAGUUAGCCAAAGCCUAAUUUUUGACUGCCUUUUGGGGUAUUAUUGUAUUUCGAAUUCUGAUAAAGCUAACGUCCAAAGGCCUACCCUUUGGUGUAAAAUAGGGCGAGAGAACAUAUACUUAAUCAAAUUUACUCUAGAAAUCAAAUAAACGGUUACGGGCCGUAAAUAAACCCUUAAUUUUGUACGUGUGAAAUACAAUGCAAGACAUAAUUUUUCGAUAGCAGAGUAAUUACAUUCACAUUUUGUUAACCGUCUACUCAAAUAGUAAAUCUCUCUCUCUUCACCAAAUUGGUCUUCUUGUUACAUUCACAUUUUGUUAACCGUCUACUCAAAUAGUAAAUCUCUCUCUCUUCACCAAAUUGGUCUUCUUGCGCGACCAUUCCAGCUAUUGAUUCUUUUUCAGUUGAUACAUAUACUUUCAUGGGCCGUCCUUGGAUUGGUGACACCAACACUGGUGGACUUGAUUAAUAUGUCUUCAGGCUUUCAAAAGCUUUUUGAUGUUCUUCUUUCCAGACGAAUUCGUCCUGAUUUUUUAGCUUUAAAAGUGGCGAAAAGACUUUAGUUCGCCCUACGCAGUUAGAAAUAAAGCGUCUUAAAAAGUUUACUUGGCCUAGAAAUUUUUGUAAUUCUUUUUUGUUGCUAGGUGGUUUGGCCUCUAGAAUGACCUUCGCUUUAUUUUUAUCAAGUUCAAUCCCUCUUUUAUGUACCAAGAAACCAAGAAAAUUUCCUGCAUUAACACCAAAUGCACAUUUCAAGGGAUUCAACUUUAACUUAUAUUGCUUCAUUCGCUCAAAUGAACAUCUUAACUGUUCAAAAUGGUCCUCUUCUUUAAUGGAUUUGACCACUAUAUCAUCUACAUACACUUCAACAAACUUGCCUAUCAUAUCAUGAAAAAUUAAAUUCAUUGCCCUUUGAUAAGUUGCUCUUACAUUUUUCAGGCCGAAAGGCAUGACUACCCAUUCAAAACAUCCUAGAGACCCAGGGCAUCUAAAGGCAAUUUUGUGUAUGUCUUCCUCAGCUAUAUAAAUUUGAUUGUAUCCUGAAUACCCAUCCAUGAAAGAAUAUAUGACGUGUCCGACGGUUGAGUCUACUAAAGAAUCUACCGUGGGCAUUGGAUACUCAUCUUUGGGUGUAGCUAUGUUUAAAUUCCUAAAGUCUAUGCACACCCUUAGUUUACCAUUCUUUUUUAGUACUGGCACAAUAUUGGACAACCAUUCGACAUACCUGGCUGUUCUAAUAAAGCCUACUUUUAAUAAUCGCUCUAUCUCUUUCUUAAUCUCAGGGAGUACAUUAGGAGCAAAACGUCUGGGAGGUUGCCUAUGAGGUUUAAAAUUAGGCUUAGUUGGUAAUCUAUAUUCUACCAAGUCUCUAUCUAAACCAGGCAUUUGUUCAUAUUUCCAAGCAAAACAAUCUUUAUACUCCUUUAACAAAGCGAUUAAUUUAUCACUAACCUCUUGAUCGAGCAUCUGGCUGAUGAAUAUUGGACGAUCUUCUCCUUCAUUGCCAAUAUUUACUUUAAUCAGAGGGUCUUGUGAUUGAGCAUAUCUAGGCUUGAUGAUCUACAUUACUUCAUCGUCCAGCUCCUUUAUAAGCACUUCCUCUUCUAAACAAUCCACCUUGUUGACUUCUUGGCCAAUACUUUGUUCCAAUUCGAAUACUGCUAAUUUGUCUUUCAACGCUUUCAGGGCUGCAUCUUCUUUCGUCUUGUCCUUGCAUUCUUUAUUGAAAACCAUUAAUUUGGCUUUGAAGGCCUGAAUAUCAGCCAUUUACUCUUGUUGCUUUGAACUCAUUCAGGACUCCUUGAUUAUUCUUUUGCCAAUUACUGGCUCUUCUAAGGCCACUAUAUUUGGCCUCAUUUGAUUGGACAUUUCAGUGAGUGCGUCCACUGAAAAUGGCUCUUCACUCUGCGCGACAAUCUGAGUUUCUUCCCCAUCUUGGACUAGCCUGACAGGUCCAUAGUUUCCUUCGUACAUGAACCUUCCCACUGAGUUUGCUUCUGCAACAAAAGGCCUAUGAUCGGCCUACACCACCUCUGCUUUACCCUUGUUAUUCCAAAAAAACCAAGCAUUGAUGGAGCGAUGAGGGUAUACAGCGACUUCCAUGUAUCCAAUCUCUUUCUAGUAAUAUAUUGUAACUAGUAGGACCAUCUAUUACAAAGAAGACUGUGUUCCUAGUAGUUGUACCUAUAGUUAUGUCCAAUGGCAUAACUCCCUUAGCUGCAGUUGCUCCUCCAUUGAAACUUGUAAGGAUGACUUCUGUUGGAAUCAUAUCCCCUUCUGUCUUUGCAAACUUUCUCAUCAUCCUAGAUGGAAUGGUGUUUAUAGCUACUCCAUUAUCGACAAGCACUUUUGCCACUGGUAUGCUAUUAACUAGAGCUUUAACGUACAACAACCUCAAGUGUUUAGUCAAUUUCAUGGCUGACUGUUUAAAAAUAACCUUUUUGGCAGCCUCUAUUUCUACUUCCUGCCUGUCCUCUGUCGAGUUAUCCUUUUGUGAUAAGUCAACGUGCAGCAUAUCACACUGAGCCUCUGUCUCCCGAAUUUCCUUUUUACUGUUUUUUGAUGCUUCAUCUUCAGUUACCUAACCUGUGGGAGGAGGCAUUAUUCUUGGAGGUGAUCCAUACUUUUCAGAGCGAGGCACUCUCUUCUUCCUUUUAGGGGUCCCGUACAGCACGUAAAAAUCGAAAGAACGCUCAGAUGGUUCUCCUAAUAAAUCUACUUCACGAACUCCCUCUUAAUGUAGUUGCUUCAAUAGAGUAUUGUACGAUACUCCUCUCCUUCUUCUUUCUGCUUCUAGGUCGAUUUUCUCUUCAAUGUCUAUCAUACCAUCAUCUUCCUCACCAAUGUAGGCCUCUCUAGAAGUCUGGCCUUCUUUAUAUUCCAGCAUGCAUGCUUCUCCUUCGUUAUCUUCUCUUUCUUCUUCUUCUUUCUCUUUAUUCUUGAACUCAUUGGCUAGUAAAUAGUUAUUAGCCACAACAGGAGGUAACGUAACGAACUGAAUAGUAAGGGGCUAAUCUGGAUCUUCUCCAUCCCUUCUAUCUUGCUCAAACUUCGAUCUCCCAGAAGAAGUUUCUGGCAACUCUUUCAUUGAUUCAUCUGUACCAGUCUCUUCACUAUCUUUAAGAACAUUGUGAUUGGCUACCUCAAGUAGUUUAGGCGCCUUAGGACGUGGCACUUCCUGUUGUUGCCUCAUCAUUCGUCCAUAUUUCGUUGGAAACGCCUUUGUUGGGUUCUAGUCAUCUCGUUGAAGGGUAUCACCUUUCCUGCAUUAUACUGGAAUGAAUGCCAUACAUUUGGUCGACGAGGUUGCGGCCUGAAUGUUUUCCCAUUAUUUACUGGCCUGAACUGUCUCUCAAAAGGCGGUCCCUUAUAGAACGAUGUACCUCGCCCUCUACCAGGCUGAGCGUUUGGGAAGAAAGUAAGGCGACGGGGAUGCUACCAUAUCCCUGUUUUCUUCGUAUUCCUACUCACUUCUCUUUUACAUCUUGCACACAAGACGUCUUCAUCCAUUUUUGGCUUCUUCCCUUUAAUACACUCAAAGACACUGGGAUGUGGUCCAGGGUCUUCUUCUCCAUCAUCUAUAACCAUUUUGAAUUUUUGCAACUUGUUUUUGAAACCAGAUGUUACCAUAUUCACUCCAAGUGGCUGUGGAAAGGGAUUUUCAUCCACUGCCAUCUUCUUCUUAUCAUCGAACGUAAUUCGUCCUGAUUCAAUGGUAUCUUGUAACACAUGGCGAAAAACCAAGCAAUUGUUAGUCAAAUGUGACCAUGCAUUAUGCCACUUACAAUAUUUUUUACCCUUAAUUUGUUCAGGGUUUGGCAAUUUAUGCUUAUCGCUCAGCUUUAUCUGCUUAUCCUUAUAUAAUUUAUCAAAUAUAAGGUUAGCUUUGGUUAUAUCGAACGAGAACGUUCUAGCUUUUACGUUUUCAUCUUUCAUAGGCUCAUCCUUGCCCGAUGGUCUAGGCUUAGCCAUUAUAGGACAAGUAUAUGUGUCUCCUUUGACUAAUUCGGCCAAACACAUUUCGGUCUGAUCGUAUGACUCGUUAUUGACAGUAUGAACAUCAAAAUUUGGGUCUCUAUAAUAAGUCCCCUUGCUAGAAUUUUUUAUCUGCUCUUCUUCUCUUAUCAAUCGUUCAUACCUAAUCACGUUCGCGCUCAAUUGGAAAAGGUCAGGAAAUUCCUCAUUUUGGAAUUUCUUUUUCAAAUUAAAGCUCAAACAACCUUGAGCGAUUUUGACAAACUCUUUUUCGGGCAGAGGUACAAAACAUUUACUUCUUGUUGUCUUGAACCUUUGGAGGAAACCUUCUGCCCAUUCAUUUGGCAUUUGACGUAGGUUCGCCCAAUCGGCCAAAGUAACUUCAGACUCAAUCUUAUAAAAUUGAGCGUGGAAUAAUUGUUCCAAUUAUUGCCAUAUUUGAACAGAGUUCACUGGCAAACUGAUGAACCAGGAGAAAGUUACUCCUGUUAAUGAACUAGGGAAAAGCCUCAUUUUAUGAUAAUCAAUUACGUCACCACUUUGCAGUGUGAAUCGUCCUAUGUGUUCUAGAGUAGACACCUCCCUUAAACUAGUAAAUAGUGAGAAUUCUGGCACUUUAUACCCUCCAGGCCAUGGAUAUGCUUGGUCUAUCCAAUCAGGAUAUGGCUUUGUGUAAGUCGGCGUAAUGACAAGACGUACCCCAAAAGCCAUCUGGUCCUGUACGAUUUCCAUAAUCUGAUUCCUCAACAUGACGUUGGGGUCAUAUAGAAUCCCUACAGGUUGGUUGAUCGGUUGAUUUGCUUGAGGCCUGAUAUUUGGUCCUUGAUUAGGAAUAAAGUUACCAUGAUUUGGGCCAUUGUUACCAUUAGCCUGAACAUUUAUUCCCUCAUUAACACGUGGGGUAUUCUGCCCGUUAUUUAGGACAUUAUCUCUUACAUUUGGAUUACCCCCCAAGUUAGGCGUACCACUACCAUUAUUCUGAUUUGGAAUUACACCAUCCCCUUGGUUUGAAGUAGAGGGACCGAAAUGUGGUUCUACCCCUUGACUUGGAUUUAGGACUGGGGGAUUAUGUCCCACAAUUGUCCUAGUUUGAAAGUGGUUUGCAAGAGGCAUAACUCGUUGACAAAUUUGGCCUACUAACUUAUUCAUUAUUUCGUUCAAAGUACUCAGUUGUUUGGCCAUGUUGUCAUAAUGUGCAUUCCCAUUCUGGGUAAAUCUUUUCAUAUUAUGAAUAUUUCGAAGACUUACCUGUUCAACGACAUCUUGUGUGAGUUCUCCAAGUAGUGCACGCAUAGUUCGAGGACUCAACUCUGCCAUUGAUUCGUAACGACUGUUACUGCUGUGAUUCUGUCCAUCUAUUCAUGGAGAGCUAUGCUUCUCCUCAUAUCGCUCGAUCACAGGCUGGACUCCUCCCUGACUUGUUGCUUCCUUAUCGGAUCUUUGAGGCAUAUUGUUUCACCUUUUGUAUCUACAACACCAAACACCACUGUCCCACCGGGCGUGCCAAAUUGUUUCACGCGGGUUAGUCACUAACAAUUAAAAAGGGAUCAGACGAUUGUGUAAGAGAUAAACCUCUUGAGACAAAUUCUCAAAAAUGGGUGUUUUUAUUGGCGAUGACUUUACAAUUGGAAAAUGAAAAUAGAAUGCCUCCAAGGGGCGCAAGCACACGAGUUACUGAAAAGAAGUGUUUUAAAUCUAAACUAAGAAAUUUAAAGUUACAUAUUCUCUGUUUGAGAGUGUUUGAUUCAGGGGUCUUUUGCUCUAUGCAUUUUCUUCCUUUUAUACUCCCUGAAUGAUCUCUUCGUGAUCAACUGCUUAAAAACUGUUUGAUCGCUCUAUAACUACCCACUUUCCUCGUAGUGGCUAACUUGUCAUGGAACUGCCUUCUCUAACUGCUGCCAUUACUUUUUGUAGUUCAACCGUCUUUAAUUAAAUUCCUUGAAUCGUGGAACGUGAUAGGGCUACUCAAUAACUGCUUCAUUAACCGCACCUUUGGGUAACCAUAACAUCUUACGUUUGCUAAGAUCCUGGGCGAUUCGAAGGUUUGGGCGAGAACAGGAGCACAGUUCUGGGCGACUGCAUGGCCAUCCAUUCGCUCAAAUCUUGGGCAACUUGUAACCUUGGGCGAUGGUAUUACCGCGUACAUGGGCUUCCCUAUUUGGGCCUUUAUCCUGUAUUGUUUGAUUGGGUCGUUCUUUGGGCUAUUUGAUUUUUGGGGAUCUUCCAAUGGGCUUCAUUCUUUAGGCUAUUCGACUUGGGCUGAACUUUUUGUGUGUCAACAAAUUCAAACAAUUGUGGCUAAUUUGCUGGGAUCUUCAAAGAAACUUGAUAGUGUGGAUAUAUAAUUUUUAAAUGAAUGGAAUGUGAUGUGGAUGAAAAUGAUAUUUUUUAAAAAUUUUAAAAUUUAAUAGGAAUGAAUAUAGAGUGAGAUAGAUAUAUAACAAUGGUGGAUGCAAAUAACAACUCCCUUUGUUCUUGAUUCCCCCAUAGUCAAUAAAAGCUAUUGGGUUUGACCUAAAUCUUUUAAUUAUAUUAUGGUUUAGGGGUAGAAUGAGAUACAAAAAGAGAGUCCGAGAAAGAAAAAGAGAUUAUCUGGUUAUGAACAAUAUGAUUUUAUUUAUAAUGAUGAAUUAUGUAUGACGAAUGUUAUUAAUCGUCGCAAGAAAAUGAUACGAUACAAAGAAGUAUGAGACUUAAGAAAUUUGCACAAAUGAUCCUUUAAGGGCAUAAGUUUAUUUUUAUUAAAGUAGAUAUACUUUUAACUAUCGGAAUGGAUAGAAACAAUAGGAAACGGCCCCCCUUUUUUACGAGCAAAAUCAAUAUGUUGAGGGGGUCAAUGCCAUAAUUGUAACAUUAGGGACCAUUUGUGUCAAUUCCUUGUUAAUAAAUAUUCCGCUUUUCGGGUCCUUUGAAAAAAAAAAAAAAAAAACUACCUAUCUCCCUUAAAGAUAGACUUCAUUUUCUUUUUCGUCAGUCCCAAAUUACUAGCUACUUUCCUUGCUGAAAGUGAAGAUAUAUUUUAAUUUUCUAAUAUGCCAUAUUUUAUGUAUCUUGUUAUCAAUAAAUAUAAAACAAAUACUAUUUAAACUAUUAUUUAAUAUAGGAGUAUAUAUAGAAAAAUGUAACAAAAUUUAUAUUUUCAAUUAUAUUAAUUACAUUUUCUUAAUAUGUGUUAAAAUAUAGAGAAGUUUAUUUUUAUGGGACGGAUGUAGUAAAUAAGAUGCACUGUGAAACAAGAAACCAUGAUGCUUGACAAUGACAAUCUGCAGUUACUUAAUAGCCUCCAAACAUUAAAUAAUCAUAAAUCAUUAAAUGAAAAAUUGGUUUCUUAACUUGAAUAAUGGAACUGGACAUAUUGAUAAAAACUUAAUGAAGUUGAUAUACAUACUCAAGAAACAGUCCAGUUGGUAAAGAUAAUUUAAUACUUGAAUUGCUUAGUCCCCAUUUGGGAUAGAUUGUUUUGGUGGAAAUAAUAGAAGGGGAAAAAAAAAAACUUACUAUUAGAUUAAUAUGUUUGUUUGGCACUCUGAAGCAAUCCACAAGUCGAAAGUUCAAGAAUAGAAUGCAAUAUUUUUAGUAAUUGAUUUCAAAAUAAUGGUAAUCAAUUCACUAUAUGAUACAGAUAAUGAAUAUUUAAACAUGAGUAUAAACACAUCUCUGAAUACAUUAAGGAUCCAAUGAAAUUCAAUCUCCAUUAGUAGAAAACAGCUUAAAACUUGGAAUAUUUGGUUUUAUCAAAGUUAAUGGAACCUGAUUCAAAAUAAAAUAAAAUAAAAAUAAAAAUAAAAAGAUUCACAUGGUUAAGCAAAAAUGAAGCCACAAAUAAACAUGUUAAACAUGGACUUAAACUUUAUUGAAAUUACUUAAUUUUGAUUGUAAAUAACUUAAUUAUUUCUACUUGGGGACAACAAAGAAAUAAAUUACCUUGAAACUUAUUUACUUUUAUGUUUACUUUUGAAGAAUUUUAUAGAAGCAAAACUUAUAUUCAGAUUUUAGGGAUCCAUAUUUUCUCAUCCACUUACAAACCAGGCACUCGAUAAUGUUUGUAUAUUGGAUUCCCAGUAUACAAAUUCAGAAGGGUAAAUUGUUUCUGAGCCUUCAAUCAGGAUAUCAUUGAUGUCUAGUGGAUAGACUGAUAAAGUGUUUAAGAUCGAGUCAAUCUGUUGUUGUAUUUAUGCUUUUAUUGUUGCCACAGACCUCAAAGUCAUGUCAUAGCCUAUGAAUGGUGUUAGUAGGAUGCCGACGCUAGAAGAGAAAUAGCAGGACAGGCAAGCACAUGGUUGGAGCCAUGGACCAAUGAGAAAUACCACUGAAAAUUUAUUGUCUGUGGGUUUCCGCCUCAUCCAUAUGUUGCAAUUCAUCCACCAAAACUUCGAAAUUCACUUCAUCGGGAGGAUUGGAGAAGCCUACUACUUCAUGGGGAGAGACUCUGUUGGCAAUAAACAUAUAUUCUAGCAUCCAAAACCUAAUAUUUAAGAAUUGAUUAAUAUAUAGUCAUUAUUUUGAUAAUCAAAUACAAAAAGCAUUGAAAUUAAGAAUUAUUGAAGAUUUCAGAAUUUCUUGUGAUUGAAAAGUUUCAUUCGAUCCUUCUUGCUCUUAGACUAGGGGUUUGUCUUCAAUUGAGAGAUGAAUUUUAAACAUAUUUUUAAGUUCAGGUAUGCUCAAUUGAGAUUUUAAUGAAAUUCAUUAAAAUUUAGGUGUUCCAAAUUGAAAUUUUAAUGAAAUUCAAUGAAAUCUUUUAAAGUUUAGGUAUCUUCAAUAAUUAGUGUAUUUAUAAAAUUUUAAAAGAUUUUAAGUUGAUUUCAUACUUAAAAAUAUAUAUAACCAAAUAUUUUGAAAUUUCACCGUAUUUGAUGAAAUUCUUAUUGAAUUUAUGGAAAUCCAUUUAGAUCCACAAAAUUCAUUAAAAUUUAUAAUCUUUUAAAAUACAUCAAAAUCUUAGUUGAGGACAUCCCUGUAAAUGGACGAUGUCUAUGUCAACUUUUUUUUUUUUUAUAUAUAUUUUCACUAUGUUUAUUGGCUAGAUUAUUUGUUAGGGCGAAUGAUAUAGGUGACUUCAGUAUAAUUAAUUGAUUUCUAUUCAUAUUUUAAUUAUUUAUUUUGAAUAUUUGUUUUGUAAAUUGUGGUAUGAUUGAUUUAUUUUCUUUAUUGAGAAUAAGAGUUGAAUCACAUAAUAUUUGAUUGUAUGUUAGAUCGAAAGAUUGCAUGUUGAACACAUAAUCUUACUAUUCAUAAAUUUGUAGCUUAGCUUCAUUGCCACAAAGAUAAUUUAGUGGUUGCUAACCUGCAGACAAGAAGCAAAAUAAAUGGGACAGUACAUAUUGAUUGAGAAUUAUUAAUCAUUUAAAUAACACAUAAUCUUACUAUUCAUAAAUUUGUAGUUUAGCUUUAUUGCCACAAAGAUAAUUUAGUAGUUGCUAACCUGCAGACAACAAGAAGCAAAAUAAAUAGGACAGUACACAUGGAUUGAGAAUUAUUAAUCAUUUAAACAAUACACUUAAAUAAUUGCAUUAUGAUUCAUUCGUCAUUUUUUUAUAAAUAAUCCAAUGUGAUUAGCUAGAAGAGUAGGAUGUAGUCAAAAGAGUAAUGUUUUUCGAUACCAUUGGAAAAAUAUUGUCUUCACAUUAAGCUAUGUAUGGUGCACCAGAUUAGGCCAUAUAAAGAAUUUAGUGUAAAAUUAUAAUGAUACUACUAGGUAAAUGAUAUUAUGGUUGAUUAAGGUGAAUACUAAUCUUUAAUUUUUCAUUCAAAAAAUGGUCAUUUGCAUUAUCAACCGUAUAAUAUAGUACCGAGGUUGGAGGUAACUUUAGGCCACAUAAAAAGAGAGAUGAAAUGAUGGUUCAAAGAUUAUUAUCAUUCUUUAUCCCCCAUAAUACCCUUGACCCAGUAAUAUUCAUUAUCAUUUAUACUAAUAUUUUAUUUUGUUUACUCCGGUGCACCUAACAUGACCAUAAUAUUCCAUAAGGCUUUGUAUAUAUGCUAUGGUUAUGCAUUGUUAUCUACAGUUAUUUUUUUUUAUGAAAGUUAAUAAUAUAUUGGAUUGUUUUCCAAUUGUUGAUCCUACUCGGUAUUGAUUAUGAUUCAACAAGUCAGUUGAUCUUGUGUUAUAUUGCUGCGUCAUAGAUUAAAAUGCCCAGUGAAGAAAGAAACCAGGAUGCUUCACAAUGAUAGGGGAAAAAUAUUGUUUUCUCAGCUGGCACUCGACAAACUGAUAACAAAGCCUCCAUUCGGAAUUUUUUUUAAAAUCAUUUAUAAUGGUCAAACUUCAUUUUCAACCAUACAUAUCAAUUGACCUACAAUUAUUAUCUACUCAUUCACUACAAAUUCCUCUCUAUUUAAAAAUUAAACAGUUUAUAAAUUCUUCCAAAAUGAACAAGUUGAAAAAGUUACCCUAGUUGAUAAAUGGUCGAGUUGAUUAAGUUACACAAGAAUCAGUUGGCAGUGAUAAUAAAAUACAUGAAUUGCUUAGGCCCCUCUGGGACAGAUUGUUGUGGAUCCAAAAAAGAAAGAAAAAAUACUAUUUGAGUAAGAUACAUGGUUAAUAAUAUACAUAAAAACUACUAUUAAAAUAAUCAAACUGGAAAGUUCAAGAAUAGAAGUUUAUGUUUAUUAUAUUUGAGUAUCAAAAUAAUCAUAAUCGGGAUCAUGACCUUUUUAUCAAAAUAAGUGAACUUUUUUACUUAAGGUUUUUCGUCAAAUGAAAACGAGAACCGAAUGAUAUUUAUCAAAGAAAAGAGCGAGAGGGACUGACUAGACGGCCGUCGAUCAACUCAUAAGAAUAAACAUAACUUUGUUCAAAAUCUUGGUAAACUUUUCCAUUGAUCUUUUCAAUUUUGUGUAUCAUCUGAAGAAUAAACAACACCAACAACAGGAAUGCCACAAAUUUUGAAAAGAAUAAAGGCGAAGGAGAAAGAAAAAAUAAAAAAGCUAAAGAAAAAAUAAAAAAGCUCUAACAACCAUAGUCCAAAAAACGAUUUCAUCAAAGUUCUUCUCGAUGGAGCUUAAAGCAAAAAUUUAGUGAUUUGCUUCCAAAGCAUCAGAACCAUUUUGAAUGUUUGAUAUCGGUUAUGUGAACUAUUCGAUAAAUAAGGAAGAAAAUGAAGUUAUUAUUCUUCAGCAGCGGCACUUGCAGCACUCAGGUCUACUGACAAAUAGAGAACUUGAACCAAAAAAAAAAAAAAAAAAAAGGCAAAUAAAAAUAUAAACAGUAAAUAUCAAAUUUCUCUAAGUUAUAUACACUUUCUUCAUGUAGAUUUCAUGACUCAUAUAUCCAUCAGUUACCUGUUGGAAAAAUUCCAACGUAUGGGGACACACACACACAUAUUAAAAUGUGUUGUGCUAGUAUAAAGCUUAGUCAAUAAAGUCAUCCGUUAAAGUCAAUUUUUAGACUAACGGGUAUUAAAUGUCAUGGAAAUGAAGUGUGGAGACUAAAAAAUGUUAUUUUAAAUUAAUGAGGGGCCAAUUUGAAAUAACACAAAAUUAAUAACUGCUUAAUAGUUAUUUAUUCUGGGGUCAUGGUCCCAAUUGUACGUGAUUUUUCAUAUCUCUCUACAUCCCCAUCAAUAGAGAAAAAAAUUCCAAGCAAUUACGUAACAAUUGGAAGAUCUUCACCCAUUAAGAAUAUUAACAACAGUGGAUCAAGGUAUGCUUCCGCAUUUUUUAAUGUUCCCUUUGAUUUCAACAUGUAGGAUCAUUUAUGUAAUUUUGUGAAAGGAUUUGAUAAAAUUUUGGUUUCUUUCAAUUCAUACAAGUGGUAUUAGAGCACUCCAUUUUGAAUCUUUGAGAAAUUGCAAGAAUAAAUGCUAUAACAAUUCUAUAUUGUGGGUUAUUUUUGAUCUUUUAUCAUAUGAUUAUGUGAAAUUUAGUUCUUACAGUAUUUUAAGAGUUUUCAAAUUUGACAAAUUCGAAUUUAUUUUUGUUGGAUUUGAAAAUUGUUCAGCAUAUUAUUCAUGGUUAUUUUUUUCAAAACUUGGAUUAAAAUUUUGAAAAUUUCAAAUUUUUAUUUUUCAGAUUUCAUAAAAAAGAAUUUUGAUUAGCCGCUAUCGGCAUUGCAGCAGUAGCGCUGAUAGCUAGGGAAGGAGAAAGAGAAAGAUUCGGUUGGAUUUUUUGGGAUGGGGGCCUGAGGUGUAAUUUUGGUAAUCUCAUGCCCUUGCUUGAAAUAAAGAUUAGGGUUAGCUAAUUUUUUAAAAUAUAAUUUUACGUUUCAGUCUCUAAAGUUUGAAAUCCAUCCAAGCUGGACCUUUAAAGUUCUAGGUUCAAUAAUUCAAUCCAUAAAGUUUGAAAAUUAUUUAAUUUGGGCCAUCAAAGUUCUGGAAUUUGUAAUUAAAGCCCUCAAUGUUUAUAAUUAAUUAAAAUUGGCCCCCAAAUUUUUAAUUUUUUUUCAAAUUUUGACCCCUAAAAUUUUGAAUUAUUAACCCUUAGGUCCCUAAAGUUUCAAAAGACAUCUAAUGAUGCAAAAUUAGUGAUUCUCUUUCUCAAAUUUGGUAUUAAGGACUCUUAUAAGAUGUAUAGUUGAGAUUUAAUUAUGUGGGACAAUCAAAUUUAAAUAAUUUGAUAAAUCAUUCAUGAUAAAGUAAGGUUAACUAGCAUUUUAAAUAAACUAAUUGAAACAAUAUGUCACCAAAGUGACCUUUUUGUGUAAAUUGGUUAGUUUGGGAUGUUUAGAUAUUGUGUGUGUGUUUGUUCAUACGGGUGUUAGUCGGCCCAAAGGAAGGUUAAUAUUUGGCUGAAUUACAUACACACUUAUGGUAGUGAAUGUGUAACAAUUAUAAGGUUUCCAUGUGAAUAAUAAAUCAGCCCAAAGAUGGGUUUAUUAUUUGAUAAGAGUUGUUGUCAAUAUCUGAUCACUACACCAAGAAUACCACUUGCAAUUAAUAUUACUGUCCAAAGACUUGAUCACUACACCGAGAUGGAGCAUACCAUUAUUUGAAUUUAUUGUUCAUCAAAUGUGGAUAUGAGCAUGAUUAUUUGUUUAUUUUUGUUCUUUGUGCAACUAAUUCAUCUGCUACUACUAUAUCUGCCAAUGUUAAUUCAAAUUACAAAUUUCAAGGAUUGAAAUGAGAACAUAUUGAUUGCUCUUAGCUGCAUGGAUUUGACUUUGGACUUCGGAUUGAGGAACCCACACUUCUUAUGGAAGAAAGUUCACCUGAUGAAAAGAGGAACUUUGAGAAGUGGGAUCGUUAAAAUUGCAUGAGUCUAAUGAUCAUUAAGCGUGGCUUUAUGAAAACCUUUAGAGGUGCAGUAUCCAAAGGGAUAACAAAUGUCAAGGAGUUCCUCGCAGAAAUUGAGAAGCAUUUUGCGAAAAAUGAUAAGGCUGAAACUAGCAUGCUUUUGUAAAGCUUGAUUUCAAUGAAGUAUAAAGGCAAGGAAAACAUAAAGGAGUACAUUAUGGGGAUGUCUCACAUUGCUUUUAAGCUUAAAGGGCUAAAGCUUGAGCUAUAUGAUGACUUACUGGUACAUUUGGUAUUGAUAUCGCUUCCUACAUAGUUCAGUCAAUUUAAGGUCAAUUAUAGCUGUUAGAAAGAGAAAGAGUCUAUAAAUGAGCUCAUUUCAUAUUGUGCGCAAGAGGAAGAAAGGUUGAAGCAAGAAAGAAUUGAAUGCGCUCAUUUGACAAGCACUUCUAAGGAUAAGGGCAAGAAAAUAAAGAAAGAGUAUGAAUCUAUUCCUACGGGUCCAGCACAAAAGAAACAAAAGGAACAUAAAUGAGCUUGUUUCUUUUGUAAUAAGACUAGACAUAUAAAGAAAGAUUAUCCAAAUAUCAUGCAUGGCGUGCAAAGGAAAGUACAACUCUCACAUUGGUCUGUUCUGAAAAUAAUUUUGCUCUAGUACCUAGAAACACUUGGUGGAUAGAUUCUAAUGCUACUAUUCACAUAAGUACUUCUAUGUCGGGCUGUCAGAGUUAUCGAAAGCCAAGUGAUGGUGAAAGAUACAUCUAUGUGGAUGAUGGCGAAUCCGUUGAAGCUAAUGUAAUAGGCACAUUUAGGUUAUAAUUAGGAACUGGUUAUUAUUCGUAUUUGAAAGACACUUUUGUUGUACAGUCUUUUAGACAGAACUUGAUUUUCAUUUGUUUGUUGGACAGAUCUAGAUACUGCUGUUCAUUUAGAACCAUUCAGUUUAGCCUUUCAUUAAAUUCUUAUGCUAUUGGUAAUGGUUUGUUAUUUGCAUAUGAUAACCUAUAUUUGCUCGAUAUUAUUGUAUCAUAUAAUGAGAUCUUGCAUGUGGAAUCAAGUGAUACUAAACGCAAAUUAAAUAAAGAGAAUUCAGCAAAAUUAUGACACAAGUGCUUAGGUCACAUCUCAAAAGCUACAGUUGAACGACUUGUAUCAGAUGGUAUUUUGUUUUUCCUUGACUUCACGGAUUUUAAUGUAUGUAUUAAUUGUAUCAUGGGAAACCAGAUCAAAACAAGGAGAUUAGGGGCUAAUAGAACUUCAAAUGUCUUAGAACUGAUACACACAGAUAUUUGUGGACCAUUUCUUACGACUUCUUGGAAUGGUCAACAAUAUUUAUAUCAUUCAUAGACGAUUACUCAUGUUAUUGGUACCUAUAUCUCAUCCAUGAAAAGUCUGAGUUGUUGGACGUGUUCAAGCUUUUAAAACCGAGGUUGAGAAUCAACUCAAUAAAAGGUUAAAGAGCAUUAGGUCUAACCUUGGUGGUGAGUACUAGGCAGACAUGACUGUUGAAAUUAACAAUGUCUAUGACCAUUUGCUAAACACCUAGAGGAAUGUGGAAUCACCAUGCCAGGAUCGCCUAGAUGAAUGGUGUAGCUGAAAGAUGAAAUAGGACUCUUAAGGAUAUGGUAAGGAGUAUGAUUCGUCAUUCUACCUUACCGAAGUCACUCUGAGAAGAGACAUUAAAGAUCGCAACUUAUAUUCUAAACAGAGUGCCAACUAAGGCUGCUGUUAAAACAUCUUAUAAACUUUUGACAUGAAGAAAGCCUAAUCUAAAGCAUUUUCGUAUUUGGUGAUGUCUCGCUAAGGCUAGACAUUAUAGGUCACAUAAAAAAAAAAUAAAAAAUUAGACUCCAAAAUAGUGAGUAGCUAUUUAAUUGGUUAUUUUGAGUGCUCUAGGGGCUAUAAAUUUUAUGAUCCCACACUUAAGUCAAUUUUUGAAACGGGACUGCAAUACAUUUUGAGGAUGUUGAGUUUGGGAGGAGAAAUAAAGUUAAAGGCAUUGUCUUUGAGGAAGAAGUUGAGGAAUGAUUUGUUUCAAUUCGUACUAUUAUUUUUGACAAUGUACAUGUUUCUAUACCUAUCAUUAAUUAAGAAGUAUAUCUAGAGCCCCAAAAAAACAACGUUGAAGAACCUCCCACCCAAAAUGAGGUAAUUAUUUCAAAAGUACAAACUCAACAAUCUCAAAAACUAAUACCAUUAAGAAGAUCCACGUGAGAAAGGAAAAGUGCUAUUUCGAAUGAUUUUAUAGUAUUUCUCCAAGAACAUGAGAAAAAUAAUGGAAUGGUGAAAUAUGAUCCAAUCAAUUUCCAUUAGGCAAUGUAGGGUUACAACUCUCAAAAGUGGAUUGAUACCAUGAAUGAGAAGUAUAAGUCUAUGAAACACAAUAAAGUUUGGGAUCUUGUCCCAUUACCUGAAGGUGUGAAGUCCAUUGGUUGCAAAUGGAUUUUUAAAACCAAUGGGGAUUAGAAAGAUAAUGUGGAAAGAUAUAAGGCUCGUCUUGUGGCUAAAGGCUUUACCGAAAAGGAAGGCGUCGACUUCAAAAAGAAUUUCUCUCUAGUUUCAACGAAAGACUAUUUCAGGACAAUUAUGGCACUUGUUGCACACUUUGACCUUGAGUUACAUCAAAUGGAUGUUAAGACUGCAUAUCUCAAUAGCAACAUUGUUGAGACGAUCUAUAUGGUGCAACCAAAAAAAUUUGUGUCAGGAGACUCGAAGAAUAUGAUUUGCGAAUUAAAGAAAUCCAUCUAUGGACGUAUACAAGCUUCUCAUCAAUGGUACCACAAAUUUCAUCAAGUAAUUAUCUCAUUUAGUUUUGAAAUGAAUGCCGUUAAUGAUUGUGUGUAUCACAAGUACAAUGGGAGUAAGCAUAUUUUCCUGGUUUUUUAUAUCGAUGAUGUACUGCUUGCCACUAAUGAUAUAAGCAUGUUGCACAAAAUCAAGAGACUUUUAUCAAGGAAUUUUGAGAUAAAAGAUCUUAGUGAUGCCUAUUUUGUAUUAGGGAUUCAGAUACAUUGGGAUUACUCUCGAGGUAUUCUUAGAUUGUCACGAAAGAGCUAUAUGGAUAAAGUACUUGAAAGGUUUGGCAUGCAAGACUGUAAAGUAGGUAACGCCCUUGUCGCUAAGGGAGACAAAUUUAGUCUCAAACAAUGCCCUCAAAAUGACCUUGAAGUUUAGAAAAUGCAAACGAUUUCCUAUGCAUCGGCUAUUGGGAGUCUAAUGUAUGCUCAAGUUUGCACACGUCCAGACAUAACAUUCAUUUUUGAAAUGUUAGGCAGAUAUUUAAACAACCCUAGGAUGGAUCAUUGGAAGGCAACCAAAAUGGUUAUGAUGUAUUUAAAGAGAACAAAGGAUUACAUGUUCACAUAUAGCAAAUUCAAUUAGUUAAAUAUCACUGGGUACCCGGAUUCUGAUUUUGCUAGAUGCCAAGGCAGUAGGAGAUUCAUACCAGGUUAUAUCUAUCAACUAGCUGGAGGAGCUAUUUCUUAAAAGAGUGCCAAGCAGACACUCAUAGCUUUUUCUACCAUGGUAGUAGAGUUUGUAGUGUGCUUUUGGGCAUCUAACCAUGGAAUAUGGCUGCGAAAUUUUGUCACUGAGCUGUGCAUUCUGAAUGGCAUAAAAAGAUCGGUGAAGUUAUAUUGUAUUUCUUGAGGAUAACAUGUUUUAGUGGGAGUUUGUAUUCUCAUUUAUGUUUAGUUUUAUGGACAUAUUUGUGUAUUUUGAUGUUUUUCUAUAUAGAAAUGAAGUAUUUAGUUCAUUCCACUCUAUUAUUAUGUUCAUUAUUGAUCUCACUUAAGAAAUAAGGUUGGACUAGUUGAAAAUAGACAUGUUCGGGUCACAUAAUAUGUAGUUUCCAUGCUAGACUCCCAUGAUUGAUCUAUGUCAUUUGGUUGUAUGGGUGUACGUGACCAUUGAUGGAUUUAAUCACACUAAAUGAGAAGAAAAUCGAUUUGAUCCUACAUUAAUAUAACCGAUGGAUGAAAUUGUUUGGAAAUACCCUUAAUAAUGAUAGCAGAAUUUUGAGCUCAUAAAUUUGAGCACAUUUGUAAUAUUACAUGUAUGGUUCAAUGAGAGAUUGUUGGAAAAAUUUCCAACGUAUGAGGCCAAACAUGUAUGUAUAUAUAUAGUAAAAUAUGUGGUGCUAUUUUAAAGCUUAUUCAGUAAAGUGAUCCGUUAAAGUCAAUUUUUGGACUAACGUGUAUUAAAUGUCAUGGGAAUAGAGUAUAGAGAUCGAAUGAUGUUAUUUUAAAUUAAUGAGGGCCCAAUUUGAAAUAAAAUAAAAUUAAUAAUUGCUUAAUGUAGUUAUUUAUCAUGGGGUCAUGGUCCCCAAUUGUAUGUGAUUUUUCAUAUCUCUCUGCAUCUCCAUCAACAGAGAAGAAAAUUCCUAGAAAUUACGUAACAAUUGGAGGAUCUUAACCCAUUCAGAAUACUAACAACUAUGGAUCAAGGUACGUUUCCGCUUUUUUAAUAUUCUCUUUGAUUUCAACAUGGAGUAUUUAUGUGAUUUUGUGAAAGGAUUUGAUAGAAUUUUGGUUCCAUUCAAUUCCUACAUUACCUUUCUAGUUAUCUUGGUGAACAUGGCUAGAAUAUAUGUUAUAGUGGACUAGAAGUGUGUCAUUGCAUCAUAACUCUGCAACAAAUGAUAAAAAGCAUAAAGUGAUUGGUGUAAAACAAUGUCAAAGGUAUAAUGAAGAUGGAUAUUAAAGUUUUUCUUCCGCACAUCCAUCUGUCUUAUCUCAGAAAAUGCUAGGGCGGCCUAAUACAUAGAUAUGAAUUCCCAAUAUACCCCUAUCAUAAAGUCGAUCCGCUGUUCAAGAGCUAAGUAAAUAAUAUAAUUAGGCUUCACAUAGUCAAUAUAUCCCUAUGAUUAAAGGUUGAUAAGCAAUUCAAGAGAUAAGUAAACAAUAUAAUUAGACUCUACAGAGUCCAACAAUUACUAUAUUUAUCCUAUAAGAGUAGCAAAAAUGGACAACAUCCAAUUCUCACUUGCAAAGAUUCAUAUGUUAAUAUAGACAGAAGCAUGUAUACUUACCCUGGAAAUGAAACAAUUGUCACCAUCACUAUUAUUAGAGGGUACAAAUCUGUCAUAAGUCUCGUAAAAAAAUCUCGUCAACUGGUCCAAGAAGGUCUACUCCAGGCUUCAGUUCAACUUUGGGGUUGUUUGUCUCCGUUUCUACUGAAACAAAGGCAAUAUAUUUUCCUUUUGGUGCAACAUUGUGUGCGUAAGAGCAAUAGACCAUAUACCUUUUGUAAAUAAACAAUUAUGUCUUUGAGGAUAUCUUGACUAAUUAUCUGAAAAUGAUCUCUUUUGUGGUCCAAAUGAAAAAUAUCUGCUCAAAUAUUAGAAAUAUUCAUCACGGUAGCAAUACAUAAUAACUUGCUACAAAUGUCUUGAGACAGACAGGCAUAGGAGGUCCACGUGAUGACACUGCAGAACACAAAUAAAUGCCCUUACUCUGGAUCAUCUUCAUCAAUUUAAAAUUUCUGCUUCACGCAUUUUAGUUUUUUUUUUUUAUUGUUUCUAUAGGUUUUUUAUGUACACUCCCCUCACAUGAGGGGAGGGGCCCAUGCCCAAUUAAUGCGCGAGUCCUAUCCCUUGUGAGGGGGCUGUACACAAAGCUAUAAAGCUCAGUGUACAUGUAGCACCCUCCAAUGAAUAUUAUUUUGUAUACAUCUUCACAAACAUGUAUCUAUGCUACUGUACAAAGAGCGUGGCCAUAGUAUAUGUAAGAAUUUUAAAAUGCACAUAUGAUAUAUACAUUCUUCAUAAUAAAAAGGGAAGAAAUGAUAUAUAAGGUAAUAAAAUGUGCACAUUAUUUAUCAUCAACCAAGCCUCAUCUAGUAUGCACAUAUCAGAAGGAAAUCCCCCCAAUGGUCACUGAAUCUUGCAAAAAAUCCCCUAGGUGGUCACCGAACUUCAAUACGUCACUAAAUAGUCACUAAACUUUUCCGAAGUCCCCCCAAGUGGUUACCGAACUUCAAAACGUCCCUGAAUGGUCACUAAACUUUGCAAAAAGUCCCUAGGAGGUCACUAAACUAGUAAUGUAUGGGGUCCCAAUUUACAACGUUGAGUGACCUCUCUGGAGGACUUCAUCAAAGUUCAGUGACAAUUUAAAGACGUUUUGAAGUUCAGUGACCUCUUGGGGGGAUUUCGAUAAAGUUCAGUGACUAUUUAGGGACGUGUUGAAGUUUGGUGACCUUCUAGGAGAUUUUCUGCAAAGUUCAGUGACCAUUAGGGGGAUUUCCUCCACAUAUCAACAUAUAACCGUACAUAUUACAAGUAGCACUAAAAGGUUCGGUUAUGUAUAUGUCUAACACUAAGACAAAAACUGGUAAAUAUUGUUGAGCGGAAGAUGAUGACCACCAAGGCUUGAACUGGGCUUAAUUUUUUCUGAAUCAAUUCUACAAGCAAAACAACCAUAAACUUCCUUCACAGCCUCUCCCACUUACAAUUGCUACAAUUACCCACUUAGAGAACCACAAAGGGGAAUGAAAUCACAAUGAGAACAACCACAGAGGUAGCAAAAUGAGUGAACAGAAUCGAGGCAGAGAGAUCACAAAAGAGACAGCUGGUUUUUCUUGCACAAAGAGAGAACGCGAAAAGGGAAAUAUAACCAAAACAAUGGGACAAUUAAGGUAAGUAGGGAUAGGGUAUGGUAAUGGGUCAAAAGGAGACCUAACACAUAGUUAAAUGGAUCGCUAAGUGUGUUACCCUAUAUUUAGCCAUCCAGGCAAGUGAGAUGGGCCAUGAGUGGCACUAAUUUAAAUUAGGCUGCUUCUAAUGGCCCAAAAAAAUGUUGGGGUUUGGUCAUUUCGUUUGAGGCAUCGGUAUAACGUUCAAUCAUUUGGUCAAUGUUGACUGAAAAAAUAAACUGAGAUCACAUGUUGUUUGACAAAAAUUAAGAAAUAUAAAGAAAUUGUGAUACCAUCUAGUUAGACAUAUGUACCAGUUAACCUUCAUUUUAUCACUUAACAAAUUACCAAAAAUUCACAUUUUAGCAUAAGAUUGUUGGAAAACAAGUUCAAUUAUCUUUGCAUUCUUAGUUGCCUCCACAAUCUAACAAAAAAGGCACUUUAACAAUUGACAACUUUUUAUUAUAGGGAACAUUCAUUGAUCAAGCAAUGACAGUCCUAGAAUAAAGGACUUAAAUUUACUUGGAAAUAGUAAUGUCUAAUGGACUAUUUUCUGGUUACUCCAUUUCAAUUAUUAUCAGACACAAAACGUUAUUUUACAAAAGAAGAAAAAGAAUAUACGGUUGGCCGACUAAUAGUCUAAGUGUCUAAUUGGAAAGUCAAGAGAUACCAAUAUUAACCAAGAUUCUAAAAAAUACAAUCAUAAACUGAAAAUAAAGUACAAGAAAUAAAAAUGAACACAAGGAUUUUUUAGGCCGAAGCCCCAAAGAUUCAGCAACCACUUCUAACUCCGAAUCCCCUAUUGAGCAUCCAUUAAAAUGGAUAAAGCUCGGUUGCACUAUAAAGCCCCAAAAUCAGGCACCAAAAAUUACAAGAAUGUUCUAGCAAUUACAAGAAAUAAAGUCACUAAGACUUAUCUAUAAAAUGAAGCACAAAUCAAGCCUCACUCCACUAAGGAAUCAAGAAACCCGGAUCAAACAGGUCAGAAAAACAAACUGCAUUCUUCAAACCACAAAAGAAUGAGUGCUAAUACACAGUUUAUCACUUUCUACCGAGAGACUAUACACAUAAUCACAAAGAUUUCACAAAAAAUUGAACUUCAAACAUGAAUCUCGCAGAUUCAUACACCAUACUGAAAAACCCAGUAUAUUAACACAAGUAAAUGGAGUAGAACUUCAUCAUCCCUCAAGUAUACACCUGAGAAUCACUCAAAAUUGGCUUGAAUAUGUGAAGAAGAGGGAUUUCAUCCAUAGAGAAGAAGAGAGAUGAAGAGGCGACCCCAAACCCUAGAGAAAAUCUCUCAAAUCUGAACAUGUAAGAAUAAAGUCUCUCUCUCCAAUCUGAAAAAUCACGUUCCUAGUAGAGAAUCACAAGAUUUCAUAAUUGGAAGUCUCUAGAAUCUGAUAAGAUGAUCAUCAUGAUGCCAGGUGUCGAAAUCUUGUUAAUUGCCACAACUAAUAGAGUUGUCAUUUUGAAAACACGUUUUUCUCCAAAGAUUUUUGGAAGCAUACUUGUCAAAAUAAAAAUCAGCAGUUUGAAUUCUCAACAAUCUCCACCUUACUUCCAAAAUUUAAGCCUAUAGUGCAACCAGGAGCUUCACCAACAUUCUAUUGUACCUGUACAAUCAAUGAAAAGAAUCUCAGUGAAAAGAAUCAAUAGAUAACAUCUUUAAACAAUUUUGAAACCAUUUUAAAGGUAUCACCUUAGUUCCCAUAUCGGAUGGAUUAUAUAAAGUAUGUAUUUUAUUAAUUUUUAGCAAACUUUUAGAAAUAAUAUCCCUUAUAAAAUGGUAUUUUACAUCAACAUGUUUUGUUCUAUCAUGAAACAUGGGAUUCUUACUCAAAUGGAUUGCAUUUUGAUUGUCAGAAUAUAGUGUUGGAUUAGUAUCUACAAAACCAAGUUCAUUCAACAAACCAUGAAGCCUUAUACCUUCUUUAAUGCCAUCAGUGACAGCAAUAUAUUCAGCCUCGGUGGAAGAUAAAGCAACAAUUUUUUGUAACUAAGAUUUUCAACUUAUCACAUUACCACACAAAGUGUAAAAAUAAGAUGAAGUUGAUUUUCUAUUGUCUCUAUUUCCACCAAAAUCAGAAUCUGUAUAACCCUUUAAAAUUACCCCCUCUUUGUCAUUUUAAACAUCAAACCCAAGUUGUAUGAACCCUUUAAAUAUCUCAAUAACCACUUCAAGGCUUCCCAAUGAGUUUUACCAGGAUUUCUCAUAAAUCUACUCAAAACACUAUUACUAGAAGUCAAAUCAGGUCUGGUACAAAUUAUUAAGUACAUGACUGAACCAAUAGCAUUAACAUAAGGUAUUUUAGACAUUCUCUCAAGUUCAUCUUCAGUUUUUGGACACGAAUCAGAUGUUAAAAUAAAGUGAUUGGCAAGGGGUAAAGUCAGAGGUUUACAAUCAAACAUAUUAAAUUUCUUAAGGAUCUUAUUCACAUACUCUUCUUGAUAUAUAAAAACAAGCAAUCAUAUUUUUCAUCUCUUAUAAUAUGCAUGCCAGGUAUUUUCUUAGCGGAACCAAGAUCCUUCAUAUCAGAUUCUGAAUUUAAUUUGUGUUUGAUAUCAUCAAUUUCGGAUUUAUUGACACUAUGCAUAUCAUCAACGUAAAGCACAAGAUAAAAAGAAUCUUUACCUUCAUUUCUUUUACAAUAAAGACAUGUAUCAUAAUUGCUUCUACUAAACCCAAGCUUCAAGAUAAAUGAAUCGAAUCUUUUAUACCAUUGUCUUGGAGCUUGUUUUAGGUCAUACAAAGAUUUUUUCAACAAGCACACUAUUUUUUCAUGAUUUCCUUUAAUAAAUCCUAAAGGUUGUUUCAUGUAGAUCACUUCAUCCAAUUCACCAUAUAAAAAUGUAAUUUUUGUAUCUAGUUGAUCAAGUUUCCACUUAAAUUGCACAACCAAAGCAAGAAUACAUCUUAUAGUUGUAUAUUUAACAACAGGGGAAAAAUCUCAUCAUAGUCCACACCCUCUUUUUGUGUGAAACCCUUUACAACAAGCCUAGCUUUGUAUCUAACAUUGUUAGUGCCACCUUCCCCUUCCUUUAUCUUAUAAAUCCACUUGCAAUCAACUAGCUUCUUAUCCUUAGGUCUAUCAACCAAUUUCCAAGUUUUAUUUUUGUAUAGAGAAGACAUCUCUUCUUCCAUAGCACUCAACCACCGCUUAGAAUCUUUAGAUUUUAAGGCUUCAUGAUAAAAACUAGGUUCAGUUUCAAAUUCAUCUUGAUAAGUGAACAAAGACACAAAGUUAUCACUAUUAAACCUAGCUGGUGGUCUAAUUUGUCUCCUAUCCCUGUCUCUAGUGAACUGGUAUUCAUCUAGAGGUGUGUUAUCAUCAUUAUACUACUCAGGUUCAGCCAAAUCAGGCUUGUUUUCACUCUGAUCAGCCUCAUAAGUUGCUAUUUCUAAGGGGACAAAAUUGAUAAUUUCGAUUUUAAUAGACUCCACCUCAACUUAGAUAUCAUUUUCAGUCAAAUUUCCCUCUUUCCCUUCCAAACAUGACAUACAUGACUCAUUAAAACCACAUCCCUUCUUAUAAUAACCUUGUAACCUUUUUCCCCAUAAACUCAAAGCCUAUAUCCUUUAACAUUUUUAGCAUAACCUAAAAACACACAUUUAAGGUAUCUAGGUUCAAGUUUUCCUAUGUUUUGAUGAGCAUAUGUAGCACAACCAAAUGUUUUCAAAUAAGAAUAGUUCACAGGCUUUUGUGUCCACACAGAUUCAAGCACAUCAAAAUUUAAAGCAAUUUUAAGACUUCUAUUAAUCAAAUAUGCAGCAGUUUUAACAGCUUCACCCCAAAAUAAUUUGGGCAAAUCGAAACUCAAAAGCAUGCAUCUAACUUUAUUCAACAAAGUCCUAUUCAUUCUUUCUGCAAUGCCAUUUUGCUGGGGUGUGUAGGUCACAGUUCUAUGUCUUAAAAUGCCAUUCAACUUGCAAAAUUCAUUAUACUGAUAAUCGCAAAAUUCUAGACCAGUGUCGGUUCUCAAAGUUUUGAUUUUCAAAUAAGUUUGAUUUUCAAUUUGGGUUUUCCAAUAUUUAAAUGUGGCAAAUGUUUCAUCUUUAGUUUUCAAAAGAAAUACCCAAAUUUUUCUAGAGAUAUAAUCAAUUAUAAACAAGUAAUACUUGUAACCAGACAAUGUAGGGAUGGAUGCAGGGCCCCACAAAUCAGAAUGUAAGUAUUCUGGAAUUCACUUUGAUUUAUGAGUACUAGCGGGAAAAGGUAACUUGCUUUCCAAUCAAACAUUGUUUACAUUUAGACAAAUCACCAAUAUUUGAUUUUCCAAAUACACCUUUAUUUUGUAAAGCCUUUAAACCUUUUUCACCAAUGUGACAAAGUCUACAAUGCCGCAAUUUUGCAAGAUUAAAGUUAUCAUCUAAAACUGCUGCUGAAAGGCCCAACAAAGGUUUUGCAUUUAAAAACUAUAAAUCAUGUCUCUUUGGAAUAGAAGUGAUCAAAUCACUACCCCUAAAGAUUAUAUGUCCUUGACUCAAUUUUAUGUCAAACUCUAUGUCAUCCAACAUUCCUAGAGACACAAGAUUUUUUUCUAAUUUAGGAACAAUCAUCUUUUAACAAUAAAAUUUUGUCAUUUUCAAAGAGCAAUUUUAUGGUUCCAAUACCUUUCACUUUACAGGUCAUGUUGUUUUCCAUAAUAACUUGGUCCCCUUUAGUUUGUUCAAAGUCCAAAAAUAGUUUUUAUUAGGGUACAUGUAGAAAGAGCAACUUGAAUCAAGAAUCCAUUCUUGAUUUAGGUUCCUUUCAACAUUUACAAGAAUCAGGCUGUUAUCAAAUUUUUGCUUAUCAUAGGACAAAAUAGCAUUAUCCUCGUUUAACUUCAUUCCUUUCAAAUCAUUUUGCUUUUUGUAGCAAUCUUUUGCAAAGUGACCCAACUUACCACAAUAAUAACAUUUCUUUCCCUUUGCCUUAGUUUUGGAUUUCAUUUUGUCAUUGUUUCUUCUCUUAGGGUCAGUUUGAAAUUUUGAAAGAAAAUUAGAUUUACCAACAUUUUUGCCUUUUAUCAAAAGAUUUUUUCCACUUUGUUGGUUGAUAAAAUCUGAUUUUAAUUCAGGAACCAUAUUUCUUAAGGAAUUUAUAAUGAUAUAUGUGGUAAGCUUGUCUUUACCAUAUUCUAAGGCAUUCUUUAGGUCUUUAUGCCUAUCACUAAUGGAGUUUAACAAGACCAUAGCCAGCUGAUCUUCUAAUAAUUUCUCAUCACAGUUGGCAAGGUCUUGGGUCAAUUUUGUAAAUCUGUCCAAGUUCUCAUCUAAGUCAACAGAAGGAUCCAUUUUGAAAGAAAAGAUUUGUUUUAGCAAAAAAAUUUGUUUGGAAUAGUUUUUGGCUCAUAUUGGGUUUUCAAUUUAGUCCACAAUUCUUCAACAGUUUUAAUUUCACCUAUAGACCUAAUCACAUUGUCUGAAAGGUACAAGAAAAUAGUAGUCCAUGCUAUUUCUUCUAACUCAGUUCUUUUUGUAGCAAACAUUUCAGUAGGCCAAGAAUUAUCUAAGGCUUUAGCAUAUUUCAUUUGCAUCAAGAUAACCAUCAUUUUCUGGCUCCACAUGUCCCCUGUCCCAUCAUACAUGCUCACUUCAAGCUUAGCAGUAGCCAUGACAAGAUUCACCAAGAUAGUUCACAUAACACAAGUUCAAAUUCAAGAACACACAGGGAUAAACAAUAAGAGUACUGGGUAGAAUAGGGGAUUUGGGGUCAGUGACCAAUGCACUUAUAUUAUUUUCACAAAAUAGUAAACACUUAACACUAAGUAUAGAAAGCAAAUUCCCAAAGAACAGAGAUGACAAUCCUAUGUCUCAACUAACUUCCCUAGCAAGACCUUCCAAUUGCACUCCUACUAGUGUUGUUAUCUUAGAUUCCCAAGACUUCUUGAGUCUUUGGACAAAGACCGGCCAUAGUAGGUUUUGUUAGUGAAAGGUAAAUCAAGGAAAAAAUUAGGAGACCCUACUGUAAAGAUUAAUUACAGAAUGAAGGAAAGAUCUCACCAAUGAGUUUGAUAAAACUCAAUUUCCACCAGCCAAUGUUUACUGCAGGUUUCAGGAAUCAGGUUUAAUCAAGAAAUCACAAAGCUCCAGUAGUCCAGGUUGCUCUAAUACCAUUGAACAGUUGAGAGAAACCAAUAUUAGCCAAGAUUCCAAAAACACUAUCAUAAAUUGAAAGUAAAGUGCAGGAAAUAAAAAUGAACACAAGAAUUUUUUCGACCGAAGCCCUAGAGGUUCGGCGACCACUUCUAAUGCCUAAUCCCUUGUUGAGCAUCUAUUAAAAUGGAUAAAUCUCGGUUGCACUAUAAAGCCCCAAAAUCAGGCACAAAAAAUUACAAGAAUGUUCCAGCAAUUACAAGAAAUAAAGUCACCAAGACUUAUCUUUAAAAUGAAGCACAAAUCAAGCCUCACUCCACUAAGGAAUCAAGAUACCCGGAUCACACAGGUCACAAAAACAAACUGCCCUCUUCGAACCAUAGACGAAUGAGUGCUAAUACACAGUGUAUCACUUUCUACUGAGAGACUAUACACAAAAUCACAAAGAUUUCAUAGAAAUUUUAACUUCCAACAUGAAUCUUGCAGAUUCAUACACCAUACCAAAAAACCCAGUGUAUUAACACAAGUAAAUGGAGUAGAACUUCAUCAUCCCUCAAGUAUACACCUGAGAAUCACUCAAAAUUGGCUUGAAUAUGUGAAGAAGAGGGAUUUCAUACACAAAGAAGAAGAGAGAUGAAGAGGCGACCCCAAACCCUAGAGAAAAUCUCUCAAAUCUGAAAAUGUAAGAAUAAAGUCUCUCUCUCCAAUCUGAAAAAUCAUGUUCCCAGUAGAGAGUCACAAGAUAUCAUAAUUGGAAGUCUCUAGAAUCUGAUCGGAUGGUCAUCAUGAUGCCAGGUGUCGAAAUCUUGCUAAUUGCCACAAGUAAUAGAUUGAAAACAAGUUUUCCCCACAGAUUUUUGGAAGCGCACUUGACAAAAUAAAAAUCAGCAGUUUGAAUUCUCGACACUAACUUUACGUGGAAGUGUUCAAAUAAUUUUGUUAAUCUUGAUUCAACAAAGAGAAAUUUCUUCCUUUCAUAACGGUGGUCUCAGAGAAAUUCAAAAUUUCCUUAAUGGGAUAAAAACUCUUUUGGUCACCAAACUUUAAUAUGUACUUCAGUCAUCGUAAUUAUUUUAGCAUAAAUGGUCAGUGAACUUAUAAAGUUGUUCCAAUUAAGUCACUGGCUAUGAAUCCACUAGUUAAAUAUAACACAUUUGGGGAUGUGCCUACAAAUUCGAUCUCGCUACAGUGAUAUUAAAUUUGACAGUUUUUUUUACAAUGUGUGAAGUGGCACACUUUUUUACCCUUGAUUUCAACAACACUUAAAAUAAUUCGUGGCACAUAUUUUUACGUCUUAUAAAAUGUCAACCUUAAUGUAUACAUAGAAUGUACUAAUAGCAUUUUCCCUACAAAUUAUUGCAAGAAUUAUGUGACAAAAGAAAUGACAAUAAACUCAAGUCAAAUUAAUGUCCACUUCAAUAAUAAGUGUCUGAGUUUAAACAUUUAAAUGAGUGCUAUGGAAUCAAAAUCACAUGUGAUGCAAUACAUAUUUGUAAUGUUGUUUUGCUCAUUGGACUGUUUUCAUCCGAAAUAGACACAAAAUUCCUUGAAAAAUUACUUCUUUAAAUCCUAGUCUAAUGAGCGAAACACAACGGCUUUGCCCCCGAUGUACGGUCCAUUUUAGUCAAAUUUCAUCGUUUAGGGUUUCGAAAAUGAUUUUCACGUUUUUUAAAUGAUUUUGUUAAUUUUAAUUAAAUUAGGAGUUUAAUUCCAUUUAGGAUUAUAUUAUCUUUAAUUCUUAUCAUUAUCUGAAGUAAGUCGUUAUCUAGAAGUUUAGUUAUUAUCCAUAUUUUAAUUAUUGCUUUAAAUAUAAGUUGGAAUCCUUAAUGGUCUUAAUUGAAUUUAAUUAUAAUAAAGAGAUUUGAGAAGUUUCUCAAAAUUAUUCCAUCUUUCUUGGCAUUUGUGAGCGAAUCAACAAGUUUAAAUAUUUGCGAGUUUUUGUUCUUCCCUAUAAGCUUCCGCUACGUCAACAUGUCAAACACUAGCUUAUUAAUGCCAUCUCAUAAUUCUUAUAACUACCGUCAAUGACAUAAACAACAACACCUAAACAAAACCGUAAACUUUAGUAAUUGAUAUGGAAGGAUUGUCUUAACUGAAAUAUCUUUGUAAGUUUGCCGACAAUCUGUGCUAAAAGGGAGUUACAAAAAUGUCACAUUUUGAGAGUUUGAUGACCAGAAAAGUUUGUUAACCCGUUCAGAAAUUAUAUAAAUAUAAAAAUGAUGAAUACUAACUUCACGUAUCAAUGUUACAUAUUAGUCAUUCUCAUCCAAGGCACAUGAGAGCGUAGUUGAGAUUGAAGACCAAGAGUUGAGGCAUCACAUGGAAUUGACCCAUAAUCUCCAUUGCCUCCUCCUCCUCAUCCUUCCAAUUGUCUCCCAUGUCUAUCCCCUCUCUAUUUCUUGAUAUCGCUUUUUUGUGACAUUAUUUUGUAUUUAAGAUCUGUUUGCCAAGCUAAAUGGUUAAUCUCCUUUUACAAGAUAAAUAAAGUUAUAAAAUUUGAGAAAUUGUCGCAAAUGGUCAGUAACUAUAAUCUACCGUGUGGAAAUGGUUUAUAACAUGUUUCUUGGCACAAGCGUCACCAACCAAUGUGUUUUAGUGCUAUUUUGGUCCUUUUUAUGAAAAAGACCAAAAUGCUCUUAAAUUUUUGUUAGAAAAAAUUGCAGUUGGGUUCCUAAACUUUGCAAAAAGGUGCAAAUGGCUACUUUACCGUAUCUUCUUAUAAAAUAAAUUGAAGGAAACUAACAAGAUCAUUUUUGUUCCGAUUUAAAACUUUAUUGAUCAAAUUGAUUAUAUGCGUGAACAUUUUUUAUUUUUUAUUUUUUUGUGUAUAUUUUACAAAACUAUUAUGAACUAAUUUAAGUUUAAACUUGUACUUAAUUAACUAUAGCAUGUUAAAGAAAAUUAUUCGUUGUAUUAUUUAGUAAUUACGCUGUUUUAGAAUUUAAACUUUUAUUUAAUAUUUAUAACAAAAAGAUAAUAGAAAACACCUUUUUAUCACGAAGACAAAUCCGUGAGUAUUAAGCGGGUAGAUGCUCUCAAAAUAAAGCAGUAGGCUUGGAUACAACGGUUGGGUGAUUAUAAAAAAUAGACUUGUGUUAUAUCACCAAAUUACAAGGUAGUGAACUACAUGUUCAAAUAAAUGAAUUUCGUAUCUUAACAUUUAAUCUAGCCAAUGAUUAAAUGUUAUUUAUUGUCAUGUGUACAAGUUAAUUAACAUCAAUAUUGUUACACAUAAUUAUUCUUUCAAAUUAGGCGAACCUGUUUUUAGCAAUUUUUAGACUUUAUUUAUUAUUUUUGUUGAAGGGUCAAAUAACUGGAGUCAUGGUUAUAUUGUUUGCUAUUUAUUUGGCAUUAUUACAUAAAUUAGUGGGUUAGUGCAAUUAGUGGAAAUUAUCUUAUAUAUUUUAUCUAUAUCUAUAUUUAAAGACAAUUAAUUAUUUUUGACAGGGUAGGGUUUGUAUUUGAAAGUCCAUUGGUUCCUCGAAUUCAGUAUAUAUUAAGAGGUGUAUAUUAAAAGGUCUGAAUUCGCAAUUUUUUCGUAACAAACAUGGAUUACAAGUUAUGUUUGGCCACGACAUCAUAAUUAAUAUACAGAGUGCAACUUGCAAGUGUGGAAACAACAUUCCUACCACAAAUGAAUUUCGAACUCUACUUGAGGGGAAUGGGCUCAAAUAGUAAAGCUAAAAUGCGAUCUUUAGUUUCAUGAUUUUGAAUUCCAUGUCCAUCUCCAUACUGGUACAUGUAUUGUGCCAUUCGAGCAAGAUUCACUACAAUUUCAAUGAAUGUUUGUGAGAAUGGACAAUUUGCACCUCGACCUUUGUUAAUCUUUUUCCAGGUCUCGCAUAUCAAAAACCUUAUGUGUUUGCGGGACUCAUCUUCAGAAGCACCAGUUUCGUUCAUGUAACAUUGUAUUGAUUUAGGAACAUCAUUCAUCCUGAAUUAAUAAAGCAUAAAAAACACCUUUAGUUGAAAGGGUUAAUUUCGAAUUCCUAUUGUCUCAUUGAUUUCAUUAACCAAAUAUGUUUAAACAUGAAAUGAAAUGGCUUGCUGCAUACAUACCGAUGAUGUUGCUAAAUCAUCUGCAAGCCUUAAAAUCGUAGCCGACCAACGAACUGUAUCAGGAUAUUUCUCUAAGCACUGAAUGGCUUCUUUCUCUAUUGGAUUGAUAACAGAGAAAAAAGUAUGUGACAAUAUUACAUGAGCUGAUAUUGAAAUCAAUGCAUUUUCCAUAUACUCUUCCAUUGUUGGGGUGUAUCCAGUCAAGCACCAUUUUGCCUCUUGUAAGUAUGCUUUGCAUAAAUCUGUCCACUGUGACAUUGAUUUGACAUGCUUAUUGUAAGUAUCUUAGAUCGGAAAAUUUUAAGGAUAUUUAAAACAUAUAGAGAAAUUUCUGUUGGUUGUAGUAAAGGAUAAAAUAUGAGAUCCCUUUGUAUAGAAACAAUACUCAAUAUAAGGGCUCGUGCAAUUGUGCUACUCCUCUUAACUUUGUUAAUAUUUUAAGAUAGAAGUCUAUGACCUAGAAGGCGUAUCAUACAAGAUUUGACAAUAAAAUGAACAAGAUUUUCUUUUUCUUCUUUAAUAUUAUUUGAUGUUAUCUAGUGCGUGUUUGAGCCACAAAAUUUUGAAAGAAUGUGUGGUUAAAAAAUAAGAAAACGUUUUAGAUUUAUGUGUAAUAUUAUUUUAUUGAAAAAUAUGUAGUUGAAAUGAUGUUAAAUUACUUUUAGGAAUAUAUAUAUAAAUUUUUUUUUUUGAAAGAAUGCGAUUCAAACAGACCUGAUAUUCAUCAUAAUACACAUGCUAAUAAGGAUAUAUUCUUGAAGGAAACUAAUAGUACCACUUUUCUUAAAUAUGGAAUAAUUACGAUCCCUUUUUCUCUGAGAACAUCGUAAGCCAUUUCAUUGAUGAAGUUGUUGAGUGCUAGAUAGAAAAUUUGCAUGUAAUCUGGAAGUUGCUCAAUUGCACUGACAUCCCAUCUGUAAAGUUCCAAGAAGAAAUAAUUGUAAGAGCUACAAAGAGAAAGGAGGCUUGGAAAGAAACAUUAGGAGGACGUUGCUAACCUUUCAAUGAUGUAUGUAAAAAGUUCCAGUUCUUCAAACGUUCCAUACACAUCAUAUAUAUCAUCCAUAAUUGUAAUAAAAACAUUUACUUUGGUUGCAUCUAUUCGUGAAAAUCCAUAUUGUGGUUCAAAUAGCACUCCUAUAUUCCAAAAGAAACAUUCCACCAGCCUAUCCCUGGCAAAUGGCAACAUCUUGGCAAGGCAUGUUCUCUCCCACCACCUAUUCACAUACAGAAACAAAGGAUGGUAAGGUUAGGAGCAUAAAGUAUGAUAUAUUUAGCACAUUCGGCAAUACCUGGAGACAUAUUUUAGUUCCUCAAGAUAUGUUGCUUGAACAAUGUUGAAAUCCAGUUUUGCAAGUUGGACAAGAAUUGGAUUCUUGUCUGGUCUAUUCUCAUAUUUUUUAAUGAACCGCCUGUUGAAUGAAUUAAAUAAAUGUGUACUCUCCUAAUAGAUUAAACUUUUAGACGAAAUAGUUCAACACUACCUUACUUCAGCCCGAGGUAUGGUCCAGUGCAGUGGAAUCUCCAAGGCAUGGUGCACCAAUGGAUCACAAUGAAUGCCGUCAACACUUUUAUCUUCGAGAUGUUUGAUAAUGAAUUCUCUUGCCAUUUCCAGAGUACUCUCACCUUCUAUUGACAAGAAAGAAGCUUCAUACAGUUGUAGUAAUCCCUUUGUAUCAUUACAUAACCUUGGCUUGAAAUCGCCCUUCUCAUUCUUUAAACAAUCAAAUCUUUCUACAAUCAGCCAAGCUUUGGCAUGUUAAGCGAAAAAAGUAUGCAAAAAAUAAAACCUUAAUUUCUACUUAGGAGAGCAAUAAUAAACAAAGAAAUACUAAGAUCUUUUGUGUAGUGGAUUAUCAGGGAAAUCUAAUACAUGUAGGAAAUAUACAAUAUACCCCUGAAAAAAUAUUACAUCUGUGCUCGAUUCUAUAAGUGUGCAUUAUGAGUAGGCUUCAAGGAAUCUGACAAUAAGAAAUCAUAAAUCAACAGAAUAAAUAAAGGAUUCUAAGUUGUUUUUUGCGCACCUUGAGAGACAUUAAAGCCAUGUUGUCUUAGUAGUCUAAAUUCCAAAGCUGUAGCAUACAAAUCCUUAAUCUUUGGCUCUUUGCUUUUGCUAUAUUUUCGGUUUAUGAAAGCCAAUAUUUGCUCAACUUCAUCCUCAAAAUGGUAAGAUAUUCCCAGCCUCUCCAAGUUAUCAAUUAAUUCCAACUGAUCCAGUGGUUCCAUCGUUUCAUCAAGCAUCAUCUUCACUUGCAUCUUCAUCUCAGAAGCCCUUGUUUUGUAUCUCUCUUCCUACAUUAUGCAUAUCAUUUUUUGUCAGUCCUUAUAAUAAAUAUAUAUAGAAAAAAAUUCUACAGAUGACGAUAAUUACCGUGUAUUCACUAUUUAAGGACUGAAUAUAAUCGAAUUCCCAUAUAUAGGGGGCUUGUAUUUUCCUGAUCGCCUAAUCACGGUCUGAUUGUAAGACGUAGAGGCAAGAAUUCGAUAUUGUUUAGCAUUAGAAGCAAGGCUAUCAGUAGUUGUACCCAAAGCAAAACAGAUCUCCAUUUUUGGAAGCUCCGUUUUGAACGAGCAAACAGAAAUUGGCCUCAGAAUUUGCAUGUUGAUAACCUCUCUCUCUCUCUCUCUCUCUCUCUCUCUCUCUCUAUAUAUAUAUAUAUAUAUAGAGAGAGAGAGAGAGAGAGAGAGAGAUGAUCUAUCAAACGGACAAAAUGUAACCCUGUGGCGCUUUAGUAUUUUUCACAUGGAAUAAUACGAAGUUACCGUGUUAAGUGUUAAAAUUGGCACCGAUUUGCAGUACGGACAGGAGACCAAACAGGGGAGAUGGAUGAGUAUUUUUUUUGGCAAUACUCUACUCACAUAGGCCCUCCCCAUGUGAGUAAUUUGCUGUGCACGAAGCAAAAUGCACAUUUCACGUGAUUGCAUUCUCUUCGAUUUUCAACAUUUUUGAACCGAAAAUCAAUGUACUUAUCAAACACAAAUCAUUACUUACUGUAUAGAUAAGAAUUUGGCGAGUUAGAUUGAUUCUGAGUCCACAUAUCAUUACUUACUUUUCUUUCUAAAAACACAAAUUUCUAACCAGCUUUGAAUGACGGAGACCCAACACGUGAGUGAUUCACUUCUCAUUGCUCUCCUAUGAAACAAGAUAAAGCAGGGAAACACUAUAUUAUAAUUGAAUGACAUUAUUUGAAUAUGAACAAUUAGAUUUUAUUAAUAAAGAUGAAUUAUGUGUGACAAAUGUUAUUAAUCAUCACAAGGAAAUGAUACUUGUACAAAUGAUCCUUUAAGAGCAUAAGUUUAUUUCUAUUAAAGUAUAUAUACUAUUAAUUGCAAGAUGGAUGGAAACCAUUGAAAAUGACCUCUAUUUUAUUUUUUUUACGUAACAUCAAUAUGUUGAGGGGGUCAAUGCAACGAUUGUAGUAUUAGGGACCAUUUCCACACAAGGGCCUUACAUUAAGGACCAUCUAUAUCAAUUUCCUUGUUAAUUAAUACUCCACCUUUGUGUUCGCUUGAAUAAAAAAAAAAAAAAAAGUUUUAUUGUGGAAAUGCUUCAACGUAUGGAUCUAUUGAUACCCUUACCUUUUUAAAUUGGUGGAAACCCCCCGUAUGAACUUUGAAGUGCGGAACCCAUUGUCUUUCAUUUUCUCAUAAAUCCCUAUGAAAUGACGAUUUGGGAAAAAAUAGUAGAGAAGACAGUUUGGUAUGUUAAAUUAGAUGUAAUAUAAAUGUGGAGAAACCCAACUAUAUGGUUUGUGAUCUGAAAUGAAGGUUAUUAUGCACAUAAAAACUGCAAAGAUUCAAUCAACAACACACGAUGAGUGGAGGCAUGACGAUAUUGCUAGAAUAUGACCCAAAUUUCUAUUGGGAUUAGGAUUGGGUUGGUAAAUUGAUAAAAGGAGUCUUCUUAGUUUGGAAGUUCGAUUGAAAAAGAGGAUUAAAGUUCAUCAAUGAUUGAAAUUUUGAUUGGUAAAAGAAUUUUGUAAAAUUGAAGACUUGAUUUUGAAAUUUUGGUGGAUAAAAAAUCGUCACAAUUUCGCUAACUGGCAGCUAACUUUGGUGUUCAAGCAUUAGAGGUGAAAAUCGGAGUAGAGAGAUGUUGCGUUGCCUGCUUAGCGUCGCCUGGCACUGGAGUGACAAUGUUAUUCGGACAGGAAUCAUUUUUUUAUUUUGACUACUUUCUUGAGUCGUAUAUCAUCCAACAUACUAGUAAUGGAUUCUAUAUAUAAAUAAAUAAAUAAAUAAAUAAAUAAAUAAAUAUAUAUAUAUAUAUUCCACGUGAUAUAGGCUCUUAAAAGGAUAAAUUAACAAUAAAAUCAUAGUUAUAUAGAUUAAAAACUUGAGAUGGUUAUUUAAAUUUAGAUUGAGUGUAUCAAAUCUCGUAAGGCAAUUUUAGUUUCUUGAUAUAUUUAAAUUCUUCUCUUCUUUCAUAUAAAUCUUGUGUUCUUAUGUGAUCCAUUAUUUUUCAUAUUGCUCUUAUUUUCUCGUCUUUAUUAUUUGCCCGAUUUAUCUUUACAAUUCCAUACGAUUCAUCAAGAACUAUGUAUUGAAAAUAGAAGAUGCGAGUCAGCUGGAAGAAGAAGUUUAGCUGAAGCAUUGUCAUAAUCAGCAAGAAAUAGGCCAGGUUGGAUUAAUGACAGGACAGAUGACAAAGCAACAACAGAAGAAUGAUCUAGAAGAGGAUUAGUUAGAUUUUGUUAUUGUACAGCAAAAGAAAAAUCUAGAAGAAUAAUUACCUAUUUUUUUGUGUAAGUUAGUUAGAAAAGAUUCCUUCAUUUUGGAAGGGGCCCUAUUGUACAUAACACAUGGUGAAUUGAAUACAAUUUCAUUCUUCUCCUUGUUCAUCAAUAUCAGAAAUUUUAUCUUUUAAAAUCUAACAUGGUAUCAGAGUUAGAAAUGGAGGAAUCCAAUUCAGAAAACACAAAUCCCACCCCAAAAACAAACACUAGUCCAAGCCAAAUCCAAAACCAAACUAGAGGAGGGAACUCAGGUGUCCUUUCUCUUGAUCCAACUCAUCCUAGCGACCCUUAUUAUAUAGGUAGCAAUGAUGGAAGUACUGUCAUGCUGGUCACCCAUGCCUUGUGCUCUAGUAAUUAUUAUUCCUAGGCUCGAUCAAUGAGAAGAGUAUUGAAAAUAAAAAAUAAGCUGGGGUUCAUAGAUGGUAGUCUUUGUGAACGAAAAAAUCUAAAUAAUCCAUUAAUGGAACAUUGGUUAAGGUGCAAUGACAUUGUCAUAAUGUGGUUACAGAAUGCCAUGGCAAUUGAUAUUGAGAGUGGUCUCAUGAAACAGCUUACCUUUUCUGGCUUGACCUUGAACAACGCUUCUCCCAGCAAAAUGCUCCAUGCAUCCUUGAAGUAAAGAAGGAUAUCACAACCUUGAUAGAAAAUCAAGACUCGGUGAGUGUUUACUUCUCAAGACUCAAAACUCUCUUAGAUGAACUGUUGAAUUAUGAAAGUAUUCCCAAUUGCACAUGUGGAGAUCUAAAAAUUGUCAUUCAAAAUCAAUAAAGGGAUUGGGUUAUGAAAUUCUUGAUGGGGCUAAAUGAUUCUUACAAAGAGAUUAAGGUCCAGAUCUUAUUGAUUAAGCCAUUUUCCAGCCUGAAUGAGGUAUAUUCAUUGAUCCAGCAAGAGGAUAAGAGGCAGGAGAUAUCUAAUCUAGUUCCUAUUAAUUCUGAUUCAUGAUUUUUCUGAGCAAAAGGGGUUCUAGAGAAGGAGGAAACCAACAUUUUUCAUCACAGAAGGGGGACAAAUAUUAUUGCACUCAUUGCAAAGUUGUAGGCCAUUCCCUUGAAUGAUGCUUCAAAGCAAAUCCAAGCAGGCCAAUCUGCUCUUUACUAUAAGACGCCAAGACACGAAGUGAACAAAUGUUUUAAACUCCAUGGAUUCCCACCAGGCUACAAGUUGAACGGCAGAGGAAAGCAUGCUGCCAACGUGGUCUCUACCGGCAUGAUACACAAUCAAGAAGUGGUAAAGGAUGAGGGCAAAAUAUCCUUAAGUCCAGAGCAAUACUCUUAGUUGAUGGCACUACUCAAACCAGCAACAGGCACUCAUCACUCCACCCUUUCAUCAAACUGUUAGGCAAUUUGUUGUCAAACGACCUCCUCGGGCGAUGAUGUAACCUCGGUUUUAUUAUCAAUCGGCCUUGGCCAUAUGAUUGACUAGUACAUCGACAUAAUUAUCGAGACAACACAAUCCACAUUUUUAUGGACCGUUCGAAGCAACCUAUUUUAAAUAGUGUUGCUCACGGUUCGCCCCAUUUCCUUGGAAGGCUAUAUUAUUAUUUUUGAAGCCCACUUUAAUUAAGUCGAGCCUUGUUUUGGUCCACAAUUUAACCCUAACCUAACUUACCUAUUUUGGACAUUUACUUGGCAUAUAAUCUCACCUUCCUCUCGGCCUCCAUGUUGUGUGCCUAUUUUUCCCUUCUCUUUGUGAGACUCUCGUCUCGACUUCUUGCUUUACUUCACUGUGACCUUUGUGGUUAAUUCUUUGUGGGCACAUCAUUGGACUUUACUUUCCAACCUAUAGCAACCGGAGUGGGGCAGCAGUGGUGGUGGUUCUUGGAGUUGUCUCAACCUUUGUGGUGUCGAUGAAUUGGUAAACUGAGCCCAGUUUUGAACUUGGAGUUCGGUGGAAAUCAACUCUACAUCUGGUAUCAAAGCCGGAGUAACCUUUCCAGCCAAAAAAUCACCAAAAAUCGACGGCCAAUCCAGUCACUUUCCAGCGAAACCGAUCCCACAUUCAGAACCAGCAGGCUGAGGCGCCCCUUCGUGUGUGGCGCGUGGCGGCGACAGUGACCGACGACGGCGGUGCAUGGGACUCCGGCAGCCGCGCGUGGCGGUGAUUCCGGGCGAACUUCCUUCGAGCAGUUUGCUCAUUUAAUCCCCUGAACGUAUUGACACUGUUUAUUUUCUGUUUCAAGUUACACAGGAAAAAGUUGGACAAUUUUGCCCUCGGUGGAUUGACGGUUGAAAUUGCAUAUAUCUACUAAAUUACUUUAGGCCAAGAUUGCGGCCCUAAAGCAAUGGAUUCGCAUCUCUCUCGAUUAUACGGACUCAAAGACGUUCACUCUAGUAAAUUGGCUUAACCCGUUAAUUUUUUCAACAUUAAUGCGUCACCGUGUGGGGAUGACAAUAGGUUGGGGUUGUCAUUGCUUGGCAACCAUUGCUUGUACUAGAAUUAGGGUUACAUGCUCUUGAUUGAUCUUUUUGAUUGAGUAUUUAUUUUUUCGGUGAAAAUCAGUUUUGUAAUUCUAAGUAAUCUAAUUACUGUGGGACUAGUUAUCUGCUAGACGUAUUUUUUGCUGCAUUGUUAUUUUCGCUGCUUACUUAUUCCGUUAGAAAUACCGUGACCUUGCCUGUUUGAACAUUCCCUUGAUCUAAGACCGCGAGUCUUACGAAAUUCUGGGAAUCUAGAACGGUGUAUAUUGUCUGUGACCCUAGGACUACUUUGUGUGGUUUGAUUGUGGUUUGUGCAUUUUUGACUAUUGUGUGAAGAUGACAACUCAUAGUUUUGAUUUGAGAAUUUUUAAUGGAAAGGGUGACUUUGCUAUUUGGCAACAAAAAAUUAAGGGUAUUUUAGUCCAACAAAAGGUUUCAAAAGCCAUUGAAGGCAAUUUUUCAACUGAUUUUUCACAAGAACAAAGAGAAGAAGCCGAUGAGCUUGCUUAUACCUCAAUUAUUUUACACUUGUCUGAUGCCAUUUUAAGAAAGGUGGGUAAAUUGAAAACCACUAAAGAGCUUUGGAAGAAAUUAGAAGACUUGUAUUUGCUUAAGUCUACACUGAAUAAACUUUACCUGCUUGAACGUUUUUUCAGUUUCAAAAUGGAUUCUUCAAAAGAUCUUGAUGACAAUCUAGACGUGUUUAACAAAUUGGUGCAAGACAUAGUUAAUUGUGAUGAGACUGUGUCCGAAACUUAUAAGGCUAUAAUUUUGCUCAAUGCAAUCCCUGAUUCCUAUAAGGAAGUUAAGAACGCCAUUAAGUAUGGUAGAGACACGUUAACACCUGAAAUUGUCAUAGAUUCCCUUAGAAGUAAAGAAAUGGAAAUUAGGGCUAAAAAACAUGAUAAGAGGAACGGUGAGGUACAUAUGAUGCGGGGUAGAACUCAAUUUAGGCAAAAUAGUCAUGAGGGAUAUCAAACUAGUGGCGAGUCAAGUGGUAAUGGAUGGAAAAAGAAGAGCAAAAGUAGGUCUAGAUCAAAAUCUAGGACUAAGGCGAGAAAAUGCUAAGGUUGUGGAAACACAGGGCAUUUUAUAGAAGAUUAUCAUAAGGAGAAGGGUAAGGUAAAGGCUAAGGAGGGAGAUGAGGUAAAUGUGUUAGCAUCUAAUUCCGAUAUAAAUGGUGGUGAGGUCUAUAUGAUUACAAGUCCAGUUGCAUACACUGUUGAAUUAAGUCUAAUUGUUAAUUCCCGCAUCCAUGAGUGGAUACUUAAUUCUGGUGCAUAUUUUCAUGUGACGUUUGAAAAGAAUUGGUUUUAUAAGUUGCAUGAAUCUAACGUUGGACAUGUUGUACUGUGUGAUAACUCUGCCUAUACUAUUGCUGGAAUUGGUGACAUAAACGUAAAAUUUGACAUAGAUUUUGUGUAUAUGUUAAAGGAUACUAGAUAUAUUCCUGAAUUAUCUAGGAAUCUGAUUUCAGUAGGGAGACUUGAGAAGGAUGACUUUACUGGUAAAAUUGGAAAUGGUAUGCUAAAAAUGAUCAAGGGUGCUUUAGUUUCCAUUAAGGGAAUUAAGAAAAUGAUAUAUACAUUACUACUGGGGAAGUGAUCAGAGGUGUGAAUUCCUCUAUCUCCUCUGCAAAGAUUGAUCACACACACACAUGGCAUAAUAGACUUGCUCACGUAGGGGUCAAGGGACUUAAGCUACUUAAUGAAAAGGGUGCUUUUGGUAAUGACCGUGUGUCAGAUUUGCCAUUUUGUGAUCAUUGUGUGCUUGGUAAGCAUCACAAAGCUUCUUUCUCCACGAGUGUUAAUAGAGCUAAAGGCAUGCUCGAAUAUAUGCACUCUGAUCUAUGGGGUCCUGCUAGUAACCCUACAUCGGGUGGUAAUAGGUAUUUCCUGUCUAUUAUUGAUUACACUAGGAAAGUGUGGGUCUAUCUUUUGAAGGAUAAAUCUGAGACCUUCAAUAGUUUUAAUAAUUGGAAGAGACAAGUGGAAAACCAAACUGGCAAGAAAAUCAAAUUUUUAAGGACAGAUAACGGCCUAGAAUUCUGCAAUAAAGAAUUUGAUAGUAUGUGUAAAGAAAGCGGCAUAACUAGACAUAAGACCGUUCCCUACACCCCUCAACAAAAUGGGGUAGCAGAAAGGAUGAAUAGAACCAUAAUUGAUAAAGUACGUUGCAUGAUAAUUAGUUCAGGUGUUCCCAAGUCGUUUUGGGGUGAGGCUGUUAUGACCGCUUGUUAUUUGAUUAAUCUGACUCCUUCUGUUGCAUUGAAUGGUGACACUCCGCAUGAGAGAUGGUCGGGUAAACUGAGUGAUUACUCGAUACUUAGAACUUUUGGCUGUACAGCUUUUUCUCAUCAAAGUGAGGGUAAGCUGGAACCUAGAGCUAGGAAGUGUGUUUUCCUAGGAUACCCCGAGGGUGUUAAAGGUUAUAGGUUAUGGGAUAAAAGCCAAAAAGGGGUUAAAAUCAUCAUAAGUACAGAUGUCACGUUUAACGAAAAUGAGAUGUCGUGUAUUAAAGGGAAAACUGAACCUGAGAGUGAAAUAGAAUCAGGUGAAGAGAGAGUCCAGUUUAAGGUGGAGUUAGAAAAACUCAGUCCACCUGUCCCUACUAUUUCAAAUGAGGUGGAGACUCAAACUCAGGAACCCAAAGUGGAGAAUAGUAACGAAAUAGUGACAGAAGAACACUAUGAGGAAGAAAAUCAUUUAGCUAACUAUAACUUAGUUAGGGAUAGAGAGAGGAGACAGACGAGAGAACCAAGAAGGUUUGGUUUUGAAUCUGAAUUAGCUUCUGCCCAGGCUAGUUAUGAAGAACUAGCUGAUAAAGAGCCAAAGACCUUUGAAGAAGCAAUAGGCAGUGAUCAAUCUAAUGAAUGGCUUAAGACAAUGAAAGAAGAGAUGAGUUCUCUAGAAAAGAAUCAUACUUGGGAGUUAGUACCUAGGCCUAAGAAUAAAUCAAUUGUUGAUUGCAAAUGGGUUUUUAAGGUUAAGGAAAGAACUAGCAACUUGGAACCCCUAAGGUUUAAAGCUAGGUUGGUGGCUAAAGGCUACACACAAAAGGAGGGCGUUGAUUAUAAUGAUAUUUUCUCACCAGUUGUUAAGUACACCACUAUUACGGUCAUGCUCGCAUUAGUUACACAUUUUGACUGGGAACAUAAACAACUUGAUGUAAAAACUGCUUUCUUACAUGGUGAGCUUGAUGAACAAAUUUUCAUGAAUCAACCUAAAGAUUUUAAGGAUAAGUCAAAACCUGAUUAUGUGUUUUUUUAGAAGAUCCUUGUAUGGGUUAAAACAAUCUCCUAGACAGUGGUACAAGAGGUUUGAUUCCUUUGUACUCACUAUAGGGUUCCAAAGAAGUAAAUUUGAUCACUGCUUGUAUUUUCAACAUAAUGAGAUUGAUGAUAAUCAUCUAUUUUUGUUGCUCUAUGUGGACGACAUGCUUUUGAUUGGAUCAUCCUCUAAGUGGAUAAAUAACAUAAAAGCAAAACUAAGUGGUGAAUUUGACAUGAAAGACCUAGGUAAGGCUAAGAGAAUCUUAGGUAUUGAAAUUGAAAGAGAUAGGUUAAAUUCUAUUUUGUUUUUGCAUCAGUCUCCAUACAUAUCCAAAGUACUGAAGAAAUUUAAUAUGAGUGACUGCAAACCUAUCACGUUGCCUCUUGCUAAUCAUUUUGUUUUAUCGAAGGAACAAUCUCCUUGCAAUGAGCGUGAAGUUGAAUACAUGAGUAGAGUACCUUACUCUAAUGUGAUUGGUUCCAUAAUGUAUUUGAUGGUUUGCACUAGACCUGAUUUAGGUUUUGCUGUUAGUACCCUCAGUAGAUAUAUGGCUAAUCCAGGCCCUGAACAUUGGGAAGCACUAAAGUGGCUGUUAAAGUACUUGAAGGGUACUAGUAACGUAGGCUUAAAGUUUAGUGCUAAUAAAGAAGGUACAAAAUUAAAGGGUUUUGUAGAUGCUGACUAUGCGGGAGAUAGGGAUGGUAGGAAAUUUACUUCAUCUUACGUGUUUGCCUUAUCUAAUUCAUGUGUAAGUUAAAAAUCACAGUUACAACAUAUUGUUGCACUAUCCACUAUAGAAUCAGAAUAUAUUGCUACCACUGAAGCUAUUAAAGAAGCUCUAUGGCUUAGAGGUCUACUUCAUGAACUGUGUGUCUUAAAUGAUUAUGUGAUAGUGUAUUCUGAUAGUCAGUCAUCUAUACAUUUAUGUAAGAAUCCUGUUUUUCAUGACCGCACUAAACACAUUGAUGUUAGACUCCACUUCAUUAGAGAUAUAGUACCUCAAGAGGUGGUAAGACUUGAGAAAGUCCAUACCCACUACAACCCAUCUGAUAUGGCGACGAAGGUAUUACCACUGGCAAAGUUUAGGAGUUGCAAGGAACUUCUAAACAUUGGUACAGGUAAAUGAUUUCCAAUUUUAUUGGUUUUCUAUUAGAGGUGUCACUAAUGGUAGACAAUUUUCUUUUGCAGGUCCUUUGACACCAAGGUGAAGGUUGUUAGGCAAUUUGUUGUCAAAUGACCUCCCCAGGCGAUGAUGUAACCUCGAUUUUAUUAUCAAUCGGCCUUGGCCAUAUGAUUGACUAGUACAUCGACACUAUCGAGACAACACAAUCCACAUUUUUAUGGACCGUUCGAAGCAACCUAUUUUAAAUAGUGUUGCUUACGGUUCGCCCCAUUUUCUUGGAAGGCUAUAUUAUUAUUUUUGAAGCCCACUUUAAUUGAGUCGAGCCUUGUUUUGGUCCACAAUUUAACCCUAACCUAACUUACCUAUUUUGGACAUUUACUUCACAUAUAAUCCCACAUUCCUCUCGGCCUCCAUGGUGUGUGCCUAUUUUUCCCUUCUCUUUGUGAGACUCUCUUCUCGGAUUCUUGCUUUACUUCACUGUGACCUUUGUGGACACAUCAUUGGACUUCACUUUCCAACCUAUAGCAACCGGAGUGGGGCGGUGGCAAUGGUGGUUCUUGGAGUUGUCUCAACCUUUGUGGUGUCAAAGAAUUGGUAAACUGAGCUCGGUUUUGUACUUGGAGUUCGGUGGAAAUCAACCCUACACAAACAACGUCCAAACACUUGCUAGUCCUUCCUCAUCUGAUGAUUUCACUCGCAAAAUGUCUGGUAUGUCUCUAUACUUAACUGCAUUUCAUCGUAGGUAGGGAAAUAUUUAUGAAAUUCCAUGGAUUCUUGACACAGGAGCAACAGAUCACAUGAUCUGCUCCACUAUUCUUUUUAUAUCUAUUCAAGCUAAUGUGUACUAUUUUGUGGUCUUACUAAACGGAGAAAACGUCCCUGUCACUCACGUAGGAACUGUCAAAAUCUUAGAAGUAAUUACCUUACAUAAUAUCCUUUGCAUUCCUAGUUUUCACUUUCAAUUUAAUUUCAGUAAAGAAGCUUCUCAAUCUCUAAACUGCUGUCUUGUCUUCUUCUCUAAUCACUGUUAUAUUCAGGACCUUUCGACUUGGAGAACAACUGGAAUGGGUGAAGUGAAAGAUGGAUUGUAUCAUAUGGUACGAAAGGAAGUCUCUCAUUCAGCUUUAUUGUAUGCUUGCAAACAAUUCAAGCGUUUGCCCUCUUUUUUCCCGUCUGCCACCAAUAAUCACAAAGAAUCUGAUCUAUGGCAUUAUAGAUUGGGGCACUCUUCAUAUUCUGAAUUUAGUUUUGAUGGGAACAUCCACAUACCUGCUUCUUCUAGCAUAAAUCAUUGCUUCAUUUGUCCUCUAGCAAAACAACAUAGACUGCCUUUUAAUGUAAGCCAUCACAAAAUUAAAAAAAUGCUUUGAACUAAUACAUUGUGAUAUAUGGGGGCCUUGUAAUGAAUUAAGCAGAGAUGGUUCUAAGUAUUUUCUAUCUAUCGUUGAUGAUUUUAGCAGAUGCACAUGGAUCUAUAUGUUAAGACUCAAAUCCGAUGAUAUCGUUGCUUUACAAAACUUUUAUGCCAUGAUAGAAAGUCAAUUUGAAGCUAUGAUUAAAAUCGUCCGAAUAGAUAAUUGAGGUGAAUUUAACAUGACUGAAUUUUACUUAAAGAAGGGGAUAAUGCACCAAAGAACAUGUGUUGAAACCCCUGAACAAAAUGCCAUUGUGGAAAGAAAGCACCAACACAUCUUAAACGUAGCAAGAGCCUUGAAAUUCCAAAGUGUUUGAAAUAUAGGAAUGAUUUCGUAUUGACGGCUGUAUACCUCAUAAACAAAACACCAUCUCCCCACCUGAACAACAAAAGCCCUUUUGAGAUACUAUUUCAAACCAAACCAAACCACAGUCACUUAAAAGUUUUUGGGUGCCUAGCUUUUGCCACCACUCUUAUCAAUGGUAGGCACAAGUUUGAUCCUAGGUCAAGGAGAUGUGUGUUCAUUGGUUAUCCUUUUGGUACUAAGGGAUACAGAUUACUUGAUUUAAAGAUAAUGAAAAUUUUCACUUCAAGGAAUGUUACCGUCCAUGAGGACAUUUUUCCAUCUAGAGAAAUUGAUCUCAAUAGCAAUACCUCCAUGACUGACUUUGAUCACCUUAGUUUCACACAAAAUCUUAAUGUUUCUAAUGACCCUGCUAUCAUCCCACUUGUUAGUACUAAUAAUGAAAAUACUAAACAUAACAUUUCAAAUACUCCGGCUCAUAUAGAAUCCUCUAAUUUUCAUGUGAACACCAGUCAUGACAUAUCACAGUCUCCUGCUGACACUUUGGAAUCAAAUCUCCUUGCUAUCACUCCUUUACCUCAUAGGUCUAACAAAAUUCGAAGGACUCCUCAUCACUUGCAAGAUUUCAUAUGUCAACAAGUAUCUUUACCUCUUCCAUUCUAGAAGCUCAACAAGGAAAAGGAAGUGAAUAUUACAGGUAGUCCCUAUCCUCUUAGUAAUAGUCUUUCCUAUGAUAAAUUAUCUAUCCGUCACCACACUUUUGCAGUUUCAAUAACAAACCACUUUGAGCCUAAAACCUAUCAAGAAGCCAUAACUUCACCUGAGUGGUGUGAUGCCAUGAAAGCUGAGAUCAAGGCUUUAGAACUUAAUGAUACUUAGGUCUUGACCAAUCUACCACCUAAUAAAGAGGCCAUAGGUUGUAAGGGUAUAUAUGGUUAAAUUCAAUGCCAAUGGUAGUGUUGAAAGAUUCAAGGCACGCUUAGUGGCAAAGGGGUACACUCAACAAGAGGGACUUGACUAUCAUGAAACAUUUUUCCCUGUGGCUAAAUUGGUCACCAUCUGAACUUUACUGGCAAUAGUAGCAAUUAAGGGGUGGAGUUUGUGUCAAUUUGAUGUAAAUAAUGCUCUUCUACAUGGUGACUUGGAUGAAGACGUUUACAUGCAACUGCCCCUUGGUUAUCCCAAUGUAAGUGGUAAUAAAGUUUGCAAAUUAUGCAAGAGUUUGUAUGGAUUGAAGCAAGCCUCGCUUCAAUGGUACUCUAAACUUUCCAAUUUCAUUAUUAAGCAAGGAUACACUCAAUCAAGAUGAGAUUAUAGCUUAUUUACUAAGUCUAUUGAUGGUUCUUUCACAGCUAUUAUAGUUUAUGUGGAUGAUAUAAUAAUGGCGGGAAAUUGUAUUGAUACCAUCAAUAAGCUUAAAGCUUUUCUCAAUGACAAGUUAAAAAAUUAACAACUUGGGCAAGUUGAAAUAUUUUCUAGGCAUCAAAGUCCCAAGGUCUGAAUGCAGCAUUCACAUAUGUCAAAGGAAAUAUGCUUUGGAUAUCUUGGCAGAUUCAGGCACUGUAGGAUCAGCCCCUACUAGGAUUCCCCUUGAUUAGAAUCAAAAGCUUAGUAAGGACGAGGUAGAAUUAAUUGCAGGCCAAUCAAUUUACAGAAGGCUAUUGUACUUGACAAUCACUAGGUCUGAUCUUGCAUAAUCAAUUAAGUUGUUGAGUCAGUUUAUGAGCUGUCCCAGGGUGCUACAUUUACAUGCUACACAUAAAGUAUUGCGGUACAUCAAAAGGGUACCUGGACAAGGGUUAUUUUACCCUGCAAAAUCAAGGCUUCAACUAGAGGGCUAUUGCAAUUUUGAGUGAGGAGCGUGCCUAGACACUAGUAGGUCAGUAUCAAGUUAUUGUGUUUUCAUUGGGUCAACCUUAAUAUCAUGAAAAUUGAAGAAACAACAUGUGGUGUCUCGAUCUUCCACUAAAGCAGAAUACUGAACAAUGGCAAACCUGUGUUGUGAAUUGACUUGGCUUAGGCAUUUGUUUAAGGAACUAUAGAUUGCACACCCUCAAGCUGCAGUCCUAAAUUGUGAUAAUCGAGCUGCAAUCCAUAUAGCUACAAAUUUGGUAUUUCACGAAAGAACCAAACACAUUGAGCUCGACUGCCAUUUGGUUCGUGACAAGAUAUAAGACGGAAUCAUCAUCACCCAACAUGUUCACAGUGCGUCACAAAUUGCUGACAUUCUAACCAAGGCUCUAACUUCCCAAUGUUUUUAUUCUUGCUUGUCCAAGAUGGGAGUAAUGGAUGUUUACUCUCCAUCUUGCGAGGGGCUAUUGAAAAUAGAAUAUUUGAGUCAACUGGCACUAACUCAAAUAAGUUGGUAAUGGCAGGCAAGAAGCAAGAGUUAUGUUAUAUGUACAAAGUUGGUUGACGAAGUAAUAUCGACUCCAAUCAUUUCAAAAAUAGAUUUUUAAAUCAUUGAAAAUCAAUGACGUGAAUUCUGCCAACACUUAUUUGUCAACCAAAUUUGUCUACACUCUUUGUACAUAGCAUAAUACAAGAAGCAAGACACAAAAAGGUCGAUGUUUGAGAAGAAUUGUUCAUUAAGUAGGGACAAAAGGUCUCAUAAGGCUGCAAGUAGAUUUGAAGUAAUAAUGUCUUCAAUAAUGCAAGUAGAUAAUUGCAUUAUGUUUGCAAAAUAAAUGCUAUCAUUCUAGGAUCCACAUAUUCUUCAUUUUGGAUCAAAAAUUAAGUUCCAAAAAAUUUUCAAGCAACAUAACAUUAAUAAAGAUAAUUCAAUACACUACUACAAAUGUUGUCUAUGCAUUUCCAUAAUUUGAAAUCACCGUAUAAUUGCAUUGUUAUCAAUAUUGCAAAUAUAGCAUCCUCAAUGUGCAAAACUGACUAUCAUUCAAUAGUCAAAUAUCCAAUUCAGUUGCAUGGUUCAAACCGUGGUUGAGGUCUUGAGGACUAUGGUGUUGAAGUGGAGAAAAAAUGUGGUUGGUUGUCAGCAUCGAUGUGGAUGAUCUAGGUAGGAAAAUGCAAUUAUAUGGUAAAAAUGGAAAAUCUAGGCAUUGGGGGAAAAUGAGAUUUAAGGCUUAAAAGAAGUUGGGAGGCAGAAAGUGGAUAAAAAAAAAAAAAAAAAAAAAAAAAAAAAAAAAAAAAAAAAAAACCUAUCAAAUGGUAGAAAAGUGAAAAAAAAAACUAAAAUUAAAAAAGAAAAUUCCAAAAUUUUCGUGGGCUGAGCAAACCCCAUAUGACCCCAUGUAAUUCCAACCAUAAAUCAAUCUAAUGUCAUCACUUACUAUCAAAAUACUUACCCAAUUCGUAAUGCGAUAAAUUGACUUGUUAUACGAAAAACAUUAAAUCACGUUUUUUAAGUUGUUUGGGACAAAAAUCUUCAGUGUCUCUUUUUGAGCCCUUUAUAAAUAUGUCCACUUCAACAUAUAAAAUAAGUGUUGUACCGUGGAAAAAAAUAUUACACAUCAUUCUUCUUUACUUCUCUAAAUUUUAUCUGUAAUUCAUGAGAAUAUUUCGAAUGAUCGAUAUAUUUCAAGAGUAUUUUAGAAAUAUCUCUCUAGAUGUAUUGUACAACAAAAUCUUAGUAUCUUGUGGCUAGGCAUGUGCACACAACAAUAAUUCCUAAACAAAGAAAAAUGAAAAAAGUUGAUCAAUUAAUAAAGUUUAAUUUAUAUUUUUCUUUUUUAACUGUUUUGCAUUUUGUGUUUUCACUCCAUGGAUGAGAUUUUUUCAAUAAAAGUAUCACUGCAAAAAUUUAUAUGUGAGAAAAAAGAAGUAUAAAUCGAUAAAUAUAUAAGUGACCCCAACGAAACAAGAUAAAGCAUAUAGACAAAGAAGGAACACCGUAUUAUAAUUAAAUGACAUUAUUUGAAUAUGAACAAUUUGAUUUUAUUAAUAAAGAUGAAUUAUGUGUGACAAAUGUUAUUAAUUAUUACGAGGAAAUGAUACUUGUACAAAUGAUCCUUUAAGAGGAUAAGUUUAUUUUUAUUAAAGUAUAUAUACAAUUAAUUGCAAGAUGGAUGGAAGCCAUCGAAAAUGACCUUUUUAUUUUCACACAACAUCAAUAUGUUGAGGGGGUCAACGCAACGAUCGUAACAUUAGGGACCAUUUCCACACAAGGGCCUUACAUUAAGGACCAUCUAUACCAAUUUCCUUGUUAAUUAAUGCUCCACCUUUGUGUUCGCUUGAAUUUAAAAAAAAAAGUUUUAUUGGCACAAUUCCCUCAACGUAUGGAUCUAUUGUCAAAUAUUCUUACCUUUUUAAAUUGGUGGAAACCCCCGUAUGAACUUUGAAGUGCGAAAUCCAUUUUCUUUCAUUUUCUCAUAAAUCCUUGUGAAAUGACGAUUUGAGGAAAAAAAAUAGUAUAGCCAACAAUUUGGUAUGUUAAAUUAGAUGUAAUAUGCUAUGAAUAAGGGCAGUGAAUAGAAGUACUAUAAUUUCAAAAAUGUGGAGAAACAUAAGUAUAUGGUUUGUGAUCUGAAAUAAAGGUAUAUUAUGCACAUAAAACUUGCAAAGAUUCCAGUCAACGACACACGAUGAGUGGAGGCAUGACGAUAUUGCUAGAAUAUGACCCAAAUUUCUAUUGGGAUUAGGAUAGGGUUGGUAAAUUGAUAAAAGGAAUAAGAGUCUUCUUGGUUUGGAAGUUCGAUUGAAAAAGAGAAUGAAAGUUCAUCAAUGAUUGAAAAUUUGAUUGGUAAAGGAACUUUGGAAAAUUGAAGACUUGGUUUUGAAAUUUUGGUGGAUAAAAAAUCGUCGCAAUUUCGCUAACUAACAGCUAACUUUGGUGUUCAAGCGUUAGAGGUGAAAAAUGGAGCAGAGAGUUGCUGCCUGCCUAGAGUCGCCUCGAACUGAAGUGACAGUGUAAUUCAGAUGGUAAACCUUUUUCGAUUCUAACUACUUUCUUGAGUCGUAUUUGUUGGAAAAUAAGCGGUUGGAGAAGAAAUAACAACAAAAUUAUAGAAACAAAAUGAAUAGAAACCACGAAAUACGUUAAGAAUGAAUUUGAGACUUGAACACGGGAUCGUUAUCCUCAAACUAUAUUUGCCCCCUCUUGGGAUUGAAUGAGAUACUUAAGGGUUGGGUCUUGGCAAACGGUUUGUAGGAUUAUAUUAAGCCUUGUAAAGGAUUUAACACCAAAGCACAAGUGCAAUCCUCCAAAACUUUAAGAGCACAAAGGAAGAUCUUGAAUAUGAAUGUAAAUCAAUAGUGUGAUUCAAUAUGAAAUGAUAUAUGGAUCUCAAGAUAUUUUCAAUGAUUCUAAUAAUGUUUGUAUUGAUCAUUCAUCACCUAUUUAUAGGUCUCAAUCAAUGCAUCACAAAAUGGUGCCAAAACAAGAUGAAAAGUGGCAACUUUUAGUCCAAAACGGCUCCCAAGUUUUAAAUUGAAAAAUCAGUCAACGACUAUUUUUUAAUACUAUGCGUACGCAUAGUAUAAACCGUGCGUACGUAUAGUAGAAGCAAAAUUUAAUUCUGAUUUUGCUAAAACACAUAUCGUGUACGCACAAAAUUAAGCCUAUGCGUAUGCAUAGGCAAAAAAUCAAAUUUUGCAUUUUUCAAUUUCUUUUGAUUCUACCAAUUCCACAAUUGAGCCCAACAAUAAGUCCAUUAUCAUUCCAUUGAUUUUGAACGAAUUUUCAACAGUAUUUCAUCGAAAAUACUUGUAAUGGAUUCUCUAUAUAUAUAUUCCUCGUGGUAUAGGCUCUUAAAAGGAUAAAUUAACAAUAAAAUCAUAGUUAUAUAGAUUAAAAACUUGAGAGAGUUAUUUAAAUUUAGAUUGAGAGUAUCAAAUCUUGUAAAACAAUUUUAGCUUCUUGAUAUAUUUAAAUUCUUCACCUCUUUCAUAUAAAUCUUGUAUUCUUGUGUGAUCCAUUAUUUUUCAUAUUGCUCUAAUUUUCUCAUCUUUAUUAUUUGGCCCAAUUUAUCUUUACAAUUCCAUAUGAUUCAUCAAGAACUAUACAAGUUGAGUUUUGAUGAGAAAAAAUACUGAUACAUGCUUGAACGGAAAAAUAAAAUUAUUCGAAAAUAUAUAUUGUCCAUUGCCUGCUGCUGAAUUUUCUGAACAAUCUUUUUCUUGUUGGAACCAGAAUCUAAAACUAUGGUUUCUAUAAUCCUCUUGGCUGCAUUGUUAAUUUGGGGCAUCUUCAUCUCUGCUACUCUGGGACGUAUAGUCGGGCCAGUUGGUGACCUAUUACUACUGAUAUGUCCAACCGGCAAACUGCUGAUAGAUCGCAUAAUUAUGCGUCAGGUGUGCAUGUCCAUUUUUUGGUUCUUUGGUUCAAAAAUCUCCCUCGAAGUUGUAUCUUCACGAUUUGUCUGCUUCUUGGAGGAACUCUUUCGUGGUUGGCAAUUCGCUAUUUCUAUAACAGCUUGUUUACAGCUCCUACUGUAGUGAAUAGUCGACGGAGCUAUAGAUCUAAGAAUAGGAAGGUGAAGGUAAACACUUCAGAAGAUCUUUUUAUAGAGAUUCAUAGGCACAAAAUGAUUUGUCAAGGCAAGAUUUCAGUGGAUAUUUUGUCAUAAAUACGAAUUUGGAGAGAACAGUAUUCUGGAUGUAAUAUCUUCAGUUACAACGAUUUGGGAGGGUAUUGAAAGAGAGAACUAUCGAUAUAAUUUAGGGUUUCGAUUAUGAGCAAUAGAUCAUGAUUUGGGAGCGGAUGAAUGGAGACGAAGGGACGAGGUACGAGAGAAAUCUGAUUUGGGAAAGAAUUGAUAUAGAGUAAAUUGUAGAUGAAUUUUGGAUUUGAUAAACUUCAUCAUGAUUUAACUGUUGAUAAAGACCCGCUAAUUAAUUGCAUGAUAACAAGGAGUACAACACCAACCAGGUAUAUCUCAAGUGCAUGUUUCAGUGAUGCAUCUUCUUCUAUCAAUGUCAAAAAUGAGUGGAAUAUUGUAAAUGUCAUCAAAGAUUCUUCUGCAGAUUAAAAGGGCCAAAAAGUUUCAUUCCAAGAUAGAACUUCUGACGUUAGCUCAUCUUUAUUAGGAAUGAUAGAAGCUCGCUCUGAUACCAAUUGAUGUAGGAAAAAGCAUAAAAAUAAUGAAACGAACAUGCUAUCGAAGUUUUUUUAUUCUAAUUUUUGUUGAUUCCCAAAAUUACUAGAAAUAUAGGUAUCAAAUAGCAAGAUUAAACGAUUCGACAGCUCCAAAAUCUAUAAUAUUUAUUACAAAAUAACUAAUUAUCAUAAUAGCUUACAACCCUUAUUUAAAGAAAUAACUAAAAUCUAGAUAAUUACUAAAAUCUAGAUAGUUAUUAAAUGUAAAAGAUAAUGACAAAAAGUAAAAACCCUUCAGAAUUAAUUAGAAGUAAAUGAAAUUAAAAUUGAAUUUAUUUAAUAAAAUAAAUAAUAAAAAAACUCAAUUUUCUGCAAAUGGGUUCAAAUAAUAAUGCUAAGAUGCGAUCUUUAGUUUCAUGAUUUUGAAUGCCAUGUCCAUUGACGCCGGGUAGGAUAGUGAUUAUCCUAUUGUCUUGUUGUAACAGAUGAUUCGCAAGAAAAGAAUGACAAAAAAUGCCCAAAAAACCAAAGAAAAUACUCUGAAUUCAAUUCAAUAUUAUUAAUAAUGCAGAAUGAUCAAAAUUAAUCCACAAGCCGGGUUAAAUAGCUGCGAAAUACGAAAUUAUGGGGAAAUUACCAAAAAUGGAAAAAUCCCGAAAUUAUACCAAAAUAAAAUAUUAAGUAAAAGAAGUAAGUUGCCAAAAAUUUGGCUCAAUUCGAGUUUUCUAACAUAUGGAAAAAAGGAAACAAAAAAUUACCAUAAAUAGUAAAAAAUAACUUAAAAUUGAAUUUUGGAAAGGAAAACAGUGGAUUUUGGGCUUGAACUUGAUGUUCACCGAGCAUAGCUUGGUGGCCACGACGUGCGCGCCGAAGAGAGUUUUCCGGAUUGGGGUCAUAAUAGCGAUUCCGAUAACCAUAGUCAAAAUUAUGGUCAAAUUACCAAAAACGCGUCAAAUUCCCCCAAUUAAGGAAAUAAUGGCGAUUCACUUUCCAUCUUUGCGCCGAUCCGCCAUCUCAUAGUAUCUCAGCGCCAUCAUCAUGCUAUCUGACAAAUCAGCAUCACUCGACUCGGAUCCUCCUGCAUCAGUCGCCCUGGGUUGGAAAGAACUCGCCCUCGAGUUCACAGUAACUUCAUCGGACUCCACAAAACAAGGGAUUAGGUGUUUUACAUUGAAAACGUCAGAGGUCUUCAAAUGGCUAGGGAGGCGCAACCUGUAAGCAUUAUCAUUGAUCUUCUGCAGCACUUCACAAGGUCCAAUCUUCCGCUCCUUUAGCUUAUUGUAUUCCCCAGCUGGAAAACAAUCAUGAGUUAAUACUGCCCAAACAAAAUCAACAACAUCAAACAACACCAGGCGUCAAUGACUAUCUGCCCGAACUUUGUACUUAGUAUUACUAUCCUAGAUGGACAGCUUCACAUGCUCAUGGAUACCUCGAAGAUGCUUAGCCAUCUCAUCAGCUUUGUUAUUGAAGUGACCCACACAUGGAAUUGGAGCCAAAUCAAGUACUCCGGAUGGGUUCUGACCAUAGACAAUUUCAAAAGGACUCAGUCCGGUGGUUCUAUUCCUUGACCGGUUAUAAACAAACUUUGCUUGAGGUAAUGCCAAAUCCCACAGCUUCGGUUUAGUCCCGGCUAAGCUUCUCAAAAGAUUUCCCAAACUUUGAUUCACCACCUCAGUCUGACCAUCUGUUUGGGGAUGGUAUGCGCUGCUAAAAUUCAAUUUCGUUCCAAGUUUCUCCCACAAACUCCUCCAAAAAUGACUCAUAAACUUAGUGUCACGGUCAGAAGUAAUUGACUGUGGAACACCAUGUAAACGCACAAUCUCUCUGAAAUAAAGAUGAGCAAUCCAAGUAGCAUCCAUUGUUUUCCGGCAAGCCACAAAAUGAGCCAUCUUUGAGAAUCUGUCAACCACAACAAGAAUGGAAUCCAUCGCCCACUGUGUAUGAGGUAAGCCCAAGACAAAAUCCAUACUGACAUCAAACCAAGGAGCUUCAGGUAUGGGUAAUGGUGUGUACAAUCCAGCAUUAGUAAGAGCCCUUUUAGACCGCUGACAUACAUAACACCGCUCCACAUAAUGCACCACAUCACUGCUCAACUUGGGCCAGUAAUAAUCAGAAGAGACCAAUGCCAAUGUCUUGUCUCGCCCAAAAUGUCCUUCGUUAUGAAGUUCACUAAUAAUCUGCUGCCUUAGUGAACAAUCCGAAAUGAAUAACUGCAAUCCACGAAACAGGUAACCAUUAUGUAAAACAAAAUCAUGUCAGUGACUAUCAAUUACCUCCCGAAUUAUCUUCCCAAAUGAAGGAUCCGCAGCAUACAUAUCAGGAAAUGCCUCAAAUCCGACAAUCUUGGUGCUUAUGGUAAGAAGUAAUGUGUGACGGCUCAAUGCAUCUGCUACUCGAUUCAAACUCCCUGCUUGAUGCCUGAGUGUGAAAGUAAACUCCUGCAAGUAGGCUACCCACUUUGCAUGUCGCCUACUCAGCUUGUGCUGACCAUUAAUGUACUUCAAAGCCUCAUGAUCAGUAACAAGAAUGAAUUCCCUCUGUACCAAGUAAUGGCCCCAAUGCUUCAGAGUCUGAACUACGGCAUAGAACUCCAGGUCAUAAGUGAAAUAAUUUUUCUUCGAUCCCGAUAGCUUCUCACUAAAAAAGGCUACUGGACGUCCCUCCUGACUUAGAACACCACCAAUACCAACUCCAGACGCAUCACAGUUUACCUCGAACACCUUUUCAAAAUUCGGAAGUGACAAGACUGGGGCCUCCAUCAUCUUCUGCUUAACCAACUGAAAGCUAGCCUCUGCCUCCUCAGUCUACUGAAAAUCACGACCUUUAAGGCACUCUGUGAUAGGAGCAAUCAAGGUACUGAAGUUUCUGAUGAAUCGGUGAUAGAAGGAUGCCAAUCCAUGGAAACUUUUGACAUCGUGCAAAGUUUUUGGUUUCGGCCAAUUCAAAACUGCCUCAAUUUUGGAUUGAUCUGCAUGAACACCAUCAGUAGACACAACAAAACCCAAAAAAGUUACAGAAGUUGUGAAGAAAGAACACUUAUUCUGAUUGAUGAAUAAGCGCUCCGUCCUCAUUACAUCAAAGACAGUACGAAGAUGAUUAAAAUGUGACUCCCAUGUCAGACUAUAAAUAAGUAUGUCAUCAAAAUAAACUACCACAAACUUCCCCAUGAAAGACCGUAAAACCUGAUGCAUAAACCUCAUAAAAGUGCUGGGUGCGUUGGAUAGUCCGAAGGACAUGACCAUCCACUCGUACAACCCAUGUUGUGUCUUGAACGCAGUCUUCCACUCAUUUCUAGGCCUGAUUCUGAUAUGGUGGUAUCCAAUUUUAAGGUCAAUUUUUGAGAAGACCUUAGAACCGGACAGUUGAUCCAACAUGUCGUCCAGACGGGGAAUUGGAAACCUGUACUUCACUGUAAUCCUGUUAAUUGCCCUGCUGUCAACACACAUACGCCAUGACCCAUCUUUCUUUGGCACUAGUAGAGCAGGAACUGCACAAGGACUCAUACUCUCAUGAAUGUAGCCCCUUUCCAAUAAUUCUACCACCUGUCGUUGCAACUCUUCAGCUUCUUUGGGACUGAGGCGAUAUGCUGGUCGAUUUGGUAGACUCGACCCUGGAAUGAUGUUGAAUGUCCCUCAUAGGUGGUAGUCCUGGAGGAAGAUCCUCCCGCAUCAAGUCAGAAAACUCCAUCAGUAGUUGCUGCACUUCUGCUGGAAAUUCUGAAUCCACAUUCGUUGUACUAUUUUCAUGAGGCAUUAAAGCAUAAACUAUAUUUUCACGCCCAACCUCAACCAAGAACCUAGACAUAGAAAGUAGAUUGGGGUUAUUAACUACCAGGGCAGGGAUGUUUCCUUCCCUGUGAGGCACCAAAACAAUUCUCUUCCCUUUGAUGCUAAGAGAAUAAGUAUUCUUCCGCCCAUCAUGGAUAACACUGCGAUCAUACUGCUAAGGUCGUCCCAAAAAAACAUGACACGCGUCCAUUGAUACCACAUCACACUAAGCAUUAUCAAAAUAUUUUUUUCCAAUCGAGAAAGACACUAAGCAUUAUUUUUCUACCGUUACCUCACUGCCUUUAUUCAACUAAGACAACUUGUAUGGUUUGGGAUGACGAUCCAUCUUUAGUUGCAGUUUCUCGAUAGCCUCCUCAGACACUAUAUUCUCACAAUUGCUACUAUCAAUUAUCAGCUUACAGACUUUAUCAGCAACUAUGCAGGUUGUGUGGAAAACGUUGGUCCUCAACCAAUCAUCCCCUGAGUCGUCCUUGGGAGUCAGCAGGCUCUUUCAAACGACCAAGGUCUCCUGACCAUCUCCAUAUAGCACGUCCUCAUCUUCACCCUCAUCAUACACGGGUUCCUCAACUUCCUCGAACUCCUCUAUCAUAUCCUCCUCAAUCAGAAGAUUUUUAUUCUUCUGACCAGUAGGCUUCCUACAAUCAGUCGCCCUAUGCCCCUGUUCACCACACCUAAAGCACUUAAUACUUGAGCUGGAACUAUCCUGCUGUGGCUGAUAAGCAGGACGAGAUUCUUGAGGGCGAACUGGCUAACUUCCUUCACCUCUGACUACUGGCCUCCUACUCUGCUGUUUCUCUACUGCAAGUACUCGCUGAUAUGCCUCAGAAAUUGUAUCAGAUAAAUCAUUCUGAGCCACCAACUGAUAGAAUUCUUCAGUAGAAUCAUUGACUGAUCUUGCACCUUGCCUUAGUGAAUGAAGCCUCUGAAACAAGGUUUGAGUAUAGCCAAAAGGAAGGAAGUGCCCUGUCAUCUUCUCCCAGUUAGUAAUUUUGGAUUUCCCCUAUCACUCCCGUGAAUGCUUCAACUGUUCCCACCAUGCAGAUGCCCUACCUUUGAGUUUGAUGGUGACCAGUUUCACUUUGACACGAUCUGGAACCUUCUUAUAUUCAAAAAUCCGCUGCACUUCAUUCAGCCAAUCAAUAAAUCCUUCAGCCUGCAACGUACCAGAAAACUCAGGCAGAUCCACUCUGAAACUGAGAUCCACAUGAUGAUCCUCCCGUCCACGAUGCUCCCAAACUCGAGCAUGAUGGUGAUACGGGUUUCAAAACUGGUAUCAGAAUCGUGACCUUCCACAUCAUGAUUACCGAACUCCUGCUCUGCCAAACGUUGGGUUAACUCCGCAACUUGUCCCUACAAAUCUUCAAUCGUCACAUCCUGAAUAUUACGAUCACGGUGCGGGACUUCCUCAAUUGGAACCUGUCCUCAACGACCACGAUCACGUCCACCAACCAUUAUAACUGAUGGAAUUUAUCUUCCAAGAAGAUGCUGACGCUCUGAUACCAAUUGACACUGGGUAGGAUAGUGAUUAUCCUAUUAGCUUGUUAUAGCAGAUGAUUCGCAAGAAAAGAACGACAGAAAAUGCCCAAAGAGAAAAUACUCUAAAUUCAAUUCAAUAUUAUUAAUAAUGCAGAAUGAUCAAAAUUAAUCCACAAGCCGGGUUAAAUAGCUGCGAAAUACGAAAUUAUGGGGAAAUUACCAAAAAUGGAAAAAUCCCGAAAUUAUACCAAAAUAAAAUAUUAAGUAAAAGAAGUAAGUUGCCAAAAAUUUGGCUCAAUCUGAGUUUUCUAAUAUAUGGAAAAAAGGAAAUGAAAUAUUACCAUAAAUAGUAAAAAAAUAACUUAAAAUUGAAUUUUGAAAAGGAAAACAGUGGAUUUUGGGCUCAAAAUUGACAUCCACCGAGUAUAACUAGGUGGCCAGGACGUGCGUACCGAAGAGAGCUUUCCAGAUUGGGGUCAUAAUAGCGAUUUCGAUAACCGUACCCAAAGUUAUGACCAAAUUACCAAAGACGCGUCAAAUUCCCCCAAUUAAGGAAAUAAUGGCGAUUCACUUUCCAUCUUUGCACCGAUCCGCCAUCUCAUGGUAUCUCAGCACCAUCAUUGUGCUAUCUGACAAAUCAACAUCACUCGACUCGGAUCCUCCUACAUCAUCCAUCCCCAUACUAGUACAUGUAUUGUGCCAUUCUCACAAGAUUCACUGCAAUUUCAAUAAAAAAUUUUGAGAAUGGACAAACUGUUUCUUGAACUUGGUUCAUUUUUUUCCACGUCUCACGUAUCAAAGAUCUAAUGUGUUCACGUGCCUCGUCUUCAGAAGCCCCAGUUUCGUUCAUGUAACAUUGUAUUGUUUUAGGAACAUCACCUCUUUUCAUUUCGUCCUGAGAGAGAAAACGAAAGAAACUGUUAGUUGAAAGGGUUAAUUUUGAAUUGCUAAUGAUUUCUUAAACAAGAAUGAACUUGAAAACAUGAAAUGAAAUAUUAGUCUAUAUGCGCACCAUUGAUGUUGCUAAAUCAUCUGAAAGACGUAAAAUCGUUGCCAACCAACGGAUUAAAUUGGGAUAAUCAAGUAAGUACUGAACAGCUUCCUUCUCUAUAGGACUGGUAACAGCGAAAAACCCAUGGGAUAGUAUGACAUGAGUUGAUAUGGAAAUCCAUGCAGUGUUCAUAUACUCUUCCAUUGUUGUUUUGUAUCCAUUGAAGUACCACCUUGCUUCUUGUAAGUAUGCUUUGCCUAAAUCUGUCCACUGCCAAAUUUGACAAGAUUACUGUAUACGGAUUAAAUAUGGAAGCUGAUACAAGGAUUAUGUAUUGGACUUUUUGAAGCAAAAGUAAUACCGCUUUUCUUAAAUAUGGAAUAAUUAUAAACCCUUUUUCUUUAAGAAUGUCGUAAGCCAUUUCGUUGACGAAGUUAUUGAGUGCUAAAUAGCAAAUUUGCAUGUAAUCUGGAAGUUGAUGGCUUGAACUAACAUCCCAUCUGUAGAGUUCCAAACAAAUAAUAAUUAUAGGAGUUAGAACGGUGAGAAGGGGAAAAAAAUCAAUAUAUAUCACAUAUGGGUAAACUUUAAUAUAAACUACCAAUCUAAUUUUCCAAAAUUUGGUCCUCAACUUUUAAAGAAAAGAAAGUUCGUACCUUACAUUUUAUUAUUGUUUCGCAACUGGUCGCCCACUAAUGAAAACCAUAAUUUUCAUAAAUUAUCGUGUGGCCCUCAUAAAAACAUGCAUCGCUUUAAAUAUCAACGUACCAAUCCAAGUUAGAAAACAAAACCUAAUUUCAUGAAGUUGAUUAUGCAAGGACCACAUUUUGAUUAAUUUAAAAUAGAUUUGAACUGUUUCUUGAGAUAUAAUCUUGCAACUAUAUAUAAAAUUAAUAACCAGCUUGUCCAUUUUUAAAGAUUGAAUAAGUCAAUCAUUCAAUUUUCCCUAUCAUAUAAACCUUUUAAUAUACAAAGUACUUCCGUAUUUUCAAACUAGUGUUUCCUUUAACAAAGGGACUUCGUUUUUAAUUUUUACUUUUUUAUUUGGGUGGGGGUUCUGAAAUGAGGAAUAACGAUGUUUCUAACCUUUCAAUGAUUCUUGUAAAAACUUCAAGCUCUUCUAAUGUACCAUCGACGUCAUAUAUAUCAUCAAUGGUUGCUACUAAAGCAUUGACCUUUGUCAAUAUCUUCCUACAAAAUUCAUAUUGAGGUUCAAAUAUCACCCCAGUAGUCCAAAAGAAACAUUCCACCAGCCUAUCCCUCGCAAAUGACAACUUUUCGGCAAGGCAAGUUCCCUUCCACCACCUAUUCAUAGAAAACGCAGGGGAAAAAAAAAUAUAUAUAAAUAUAUAUAUAUAUUCCUUUGUUACUUCUAAACAUCAAAAUUCAAUAUAUUUGGCCCAUGUAUUUAAAAUGAGAAAAAAGAGAUAGAAAUGUGCACAAAUGUAUUAGUGUAGGAAUUAAUACACAUUUUCUCCAGCCGUAAUAAAAGUAAAUAGUGCUAAAGUGAAAGGCAAAUUUGUUGAGGAGAGACUAUUUCCCUCCAAUCAAAUUCCUUAUUGAGUUGUCUCUGAUUGAAGACAACUUGUGAUGUCGAUUUAUCUUUGAGUGAAUACAGCAUCUUAUCAAUAAAUACCUAGAGACAUGUCUUAGCUCCUGCUGAUAUUUUGCUUGAACAAUGUUGAAAUCCAAUUUAGCAAGCUCAAGCAGAAUCUGAUUCAUGUCUGGCCUGUCCUUGUAUAUGUUUAUGAACCAUCUAGCCUCUGCCCGCAGUAUGGCCCAGUGCAAUGGAAGCUCCAAGCCAUGGUGCACCAAUCGAGAAUGGCACUGAUCAAUACUAGUUUGAUCAUUAAGGUGUUUCAUAGAGAAUUAUGUAGCCAUUUCUAGGGUACUUUCACCUUCCAUUGAAAGGAAUGAAGUUUCAUAUAGUUGUAACAAUCCCUCUGUAUCAUCCCAAAGCCUCGACUUGAACUCACCCUUCUCAUUCUUGAAACGAUCAAAUAUCUCUGUGUUCAACAGGACAUGUAUAAGACGUGUAAGCACAAAAAAUGAAUGAAAAUGAACAGAAGAAACUGAUUUGCACCUUCAGAAACUUUAAAGCCAUGUUGUCUUAGUAGUCUGAAUUCCAAAGCCGUAGCAUAUAAAUCCUUAAUCUUUGACUGUUGAUCAUUUUUGCUAUAUUUUUUGUUAAUGACUGACAAGAUUUGCUUAAUUUCAUUCUCAAAAUGGUAGGAUAUCCCCAGCCUUUGCAAAUUGUCAAUCAAUUCCAACUGAUCCAGUGGCUCUACUGUUUUAUCAAGCGUCAUCUUCACUUGCAUUUUCAGCUCAGAAGACCGUGUAGCGUAUCUCUCUCCCUAGAUCAUGCACGAACAAAAUCUGAUUGCAAGAAAAAAGGAAGAAUUUAUUUUUUAUGUAAAUGAUGAAAAUUACCGCGUAUUCAAUAUCUAAAGACUGAAUAUAUUCGAAGUCCCAUACUGGGGGUUUGUAGUUUCCUGAUCGCCUAAUCACAAUCUGACUGCAAGGCCGCGUCUUGGUUAUAAAACUAUGCUGAUUAGCAUUAGCAGCAGUACUUGUAAAUAAAGCAAAACAGUGUUUUGGAAUCUGUUUUUUUGAAGUGCAUAAAUUGGCUUGAAAAUAUUCAGGUUGAAGAUAGUCAUUGAUCUUUGAGACUUGUCUAAGUAGUUCAUAAAAUAUUAUAUUUGGUAUGGUGGGCAUGACUUAAUUAUCUGGAACUCAAAUAGUAAUUAGAUGAGUUCAUCAAGUAUUGGCACCAACUCAAAUAAAGUAGCCAUAAAAAUAGCACCCGUUUGGCCUCCAUUUUUCAAAUUAAAAUGGAUGAAAUAUAUAUAUAUAUAUUUUGAAGAUUGUGUUAUUGAAAACAGGAUAGAGGAAAAUGAAAUUUGAUUUAGCCCAUGUUUGAGCCACAUUCUAGUAAAAAAAUGCAUUAUUCAUGUCAAAUCAAUGAGAAAUAUGUGAUUAAAAAAUAAAAGUUUUAGAUUUGAAUGUAAUAUUAUUUCAUUGAAAAAUAUUUGGUUGAAAUGAUGUCAAAUCACUGUUGAAAAAUGUAUUUUUUUUUAAAAAUAAUGUGGCUCAAACAAGCCCUUAAUAUGGGUCAAAUGGGGCUAAGUUGGUAAUAGCAGGCAAGUAGUAAUUAAGUAGGGACAAAAGGUCUAAUAAGGCUGCACGUAGAUUGGAAGUAAUAAUGCUUUCAAUAAUGCAAGAAAAUAAUUGCAUUAUGUUUGAAAAAUUAAUGACACGAUCUGUCCCGAAUCAUCAUAGUGGAUCCGAAACGUGACAUGCACCGAUAAUAGAUGCUGACUAGAUGUCAAAUCUAUCACUAAGACUGACUAUGAGUUAUUUCAAAAAAUGCAACAAAAUCAAAUGCUUAUGUAAAACAUAAUGCGAUGGGUCCAAAUUUUUUACUUUGUGCUUCAUCAAUAUGAAAUAUAACACUCAACAUGUCGUAUGGCUCUCAUUUCGAAAUCAUUAUGCUCUUCCAAUUAAAAUGAAUCAAUUGCUACCUGUAGGAAAAAUUACGGGGAAAUAUAUGAGUUGAUAGCUCAAUGGGUGGAGAAGUUCUAAAAUAAAUAUACUUUUUCAAUUUUACAUUUCUAUCGAAAAUCAAAUUCAUAUCAUUUGAUAAUUCACAAGAUAACAUCAUGUAAUUAUAGCCAAGAAGUGAAAUAUUUACAUAAGAUUAUAAAAUAUCAUCUUAAAAUCAUGACAUAAAUAUCAGCUGAUAACCAUACUAUAAUCUCAUCACAUCAAAGAUGCUGAAAAAUUCACAAAAAAUGCACCCUCUGACUGAAAUAUGUAAUCCGCCCCUCAGGUUAAAAACUUUCGCUACGGGCCUUUGGCUACUCUGUGAACGAAAGUCGGUCUCAAAGACCUCUCAUAACCAAUUCUAGAAUAUGGCCAAGGCCCCUUAGUGAACUAUAUGUACACGGUCGAGACCCCUUCAUCCUCCGUCCAAGACCCCUCGAUAUAGUAUAGAACACAGCUUAGCCCCUCAAUGAACUAGAAGAAAUAUAUAAUCACGGGUACUUUUCUGAUCGAUAUCAAAAUUAUAUCUCAUAUUCCAAUUCACAAUGUAACGUAUACAAUAUUUGAAAUCCCACAUGUAUCAUAAUGAAAGAUAUUUCCAUAAUAACCAUGUAAUUCGAACACAUAAUUGCAUAUAAUUGCUAAUACUUUAACAAUAAACAUAAUUUAUAAAUACUUCAAAAAUAUUUAUAUUUUUCCACUUAUAGAACUAUGUUCACAAAAUUUGGUUUGUAAGCUAUCCCGAUGUCAAUAUUGCCGCCAAAAAUAUGAUAUAAUUUUUAAAUCAACAAUUAAUUAUUUUAAAAAAUUUCAAUAAUUAAAUAGGUAAUGCCCAAAUUUAAUCAUUUCACAUUUAAGCGAUUUACGUGGUCUCUUUAAUCACUAAAACAGUUUUUCUUUUAUCUUACUCAAUUUCAUAGUUUAUUACACUUAACCCCUUGAAAAAAAAAAUUGAAUUUAAUCUAACAGCUAUAAAAUCAAACAUAACUUGACAGUAAGAAACUUUUUACUUACCUUUCAAAAUUGAGGAAUUCAAGUCUAAUAACGUAGAUCACUUAUUUUCUAACAACAUAGACGAACUUUCAUAUUUUUUUUCUUCUUUUUCCUUUCUCUUUUCUCUUCCUUUUCUCUCUGGUUCGUUUUCUCUCUCUGUGUGUGUUUUGUGUGUGUCUUUUUGUGUAAUAGAUUUGGAUUACACAUAAAUAUAAAUACAAUGGGAAUGGAUUUGUUUUGGGCAUAACCGCCUACUGUUUCCUUUUUCUUUUCUUUUUUUUCCUUUUUUUAAAAAGUAUUAAAUUAAGGCAUUUCAAAUUUCACCCCAUAACUAUAAUUACAAUACAAGUCCCCAAACUUUAUAUAAUUUAACAUUUAGUCAUCUUAUUUACCAUACUAGAAGCUAAAUCCCAAAAUUUAUUUUUAUAUCAUUUCGGUCCCUCUUAAGUACUAGCAAUUUCAAAUUUAAACCCCAUGAAAAUCAGUCCUCCAACUUAAAUCCUUAUUUGGCUUUAACUUUGACUAUAUAAUUCAUUGACUUUGACUAUAAUUGAGUGAGGUGUAACAAUUAAUGCUAUCAAUUUAAUUAAGUUACAAAAAAUUUUCAAGCAACAUAACAUUAAUGAAAAUAAUUCUCUUUCUCUGUGUGUGUAUAUAUAUGCUCUUGUUUGAGCCCCAUUUUGGGAGGAAGAAUGAAUUUUUGAAUAAUAUAUUGAUGAGAAAUGUUUGAUUAAAAACUAAGAAAAAAUUUUGAAUUUGCGUGUACUAUUAUUUUAUUGAAGAAUGCGUGGUUGAAAUAAUGUCAAAACACUAUUGAAAAAUAUAUUUUUUUCAAAAGAAUGGGAUUCAAACAAGGCUUAUAUAUUGCUUAAACAUUUUCAUAAUUUGAAAUCAUCGUAUAAUUACAUCAUUAUCAAUAUUACUAAUAUAGCAUCCUCAAUAUACACAAUUGAGUAGAAUAUCCAAUUCAAUUGCAUGAUUCAAACAAUGGAUGUGGCCUUUAGGAGUAUGGAGUUGAUGUAGAGAAAAAUGUGGUUGGUCGCCAGCGUCGAUGCGGAAGACUCGAGUAGGAAAAGGCAAUUAUUUGGUAAAAAUAGUAAACCUAGCUAUUUGGAAAAGAAUGUGAUUCGAGACUUGAGAGACAAAUUGGGAGGCGGUAAGUGGAUGAAAAAUGUCAUCACUUACUAUCAAAAUGCUUACAUAAUUAGUGUUGUGUUAAUUGACUUGUUAUAGGUAGAGCUCUAAGAUCUUAUUUGGUAAAAAUAGUAAACCUAGCUAUUUGGAAAAGAAUGUGAUUCGAGACUUGAGAGACAAAUUGGGAGGCGGUAAGUGGAUGAAAAAUGUCAUCACUUACUAUCAAAAUGCUUACAUAAUUAGUGUUGUGUUAAUUGACUUGUUAUAGGUAGAGCUCUAAGAUCGCCUUCAUCCACUAAUAUUUACUUUGAUUAAAUUCUUUUAGACUUUUUACAUUUUUUAAGAAUUUAUGUUUAACUAAAACUCUAAUAUUCAUAAAAUAUUUUCUUCAACUAAAGCUAAAACAAAAAUGAAAGAGACCAUUAGAGUAAAUAUAUAAAGACAUAGCAAUAUAUGAAGAAGAAUUUGAAAAAAGUAAUCAUUGUCGUUUUAUUGUGGGUUUGAUGAAUUUAGUAUGUGAAUGAUUUUUUAUUUGUGUUUAGGUUAUCUGAUAACUUGUCUUUUAAAUUCAAGUGGUAUAAAUAAGAAAUUUCAUUCAGAACUAUUUGAGUUUUUUAUUGGAAUUAUCUUUUCUUUUCUUGAUUUUCUUGAAUUGAAAAUAUUGAUGGCCAUAUUUUUUGGUAGAAUUAUCAAAACAAGAAUUUGAGCUUUUUGUUGGGAUUAUCUUUAUUUUUUUCUUGAUUUUCUUGAAUUCUGUUUCGCGUGGGUUAGUCGCUAACAAUUAAAAAGGGAUCAGACAAUUGUGUAAGGGACAAACCUCUUGAGACAAAGUCCCAAAAAGCGGUGUUUUUAUUGGCGAUGACUUUACAAUUGGAAAAUGAAAAUAGAAUGCCUCCAAGGGGCGCAAGCACACGAGUUAUUGAAAAGAAGUGUUUUAAAUCUAAACUAAGAAAUUUAAAAUUACAUAAUCUCUGUUUGAGAGUGUUUGAUUCGAGGGUCUUUUGCUCUAUGUCUUUUCUUCCUUUUAUACUCCCUGGAUGAUCUCUUCAUGAUCAACCGCUUAAAAACUGCUUGAUCGAUCUAUAACUGCCCACUUUCCUCGUAGUGGCCCAUGGAACUGCCUUCUCUAACUGCUGCCAUUACUUUUUGUCGUUCAAUCGUCUUCAAUUGAAUUCCUUGAAUCGUGGAACUUGUUAGGGCUACUCAAUAAUUGCUUCAUUAACCGCACCUUUGGGUAACCAUAACAUCUUACGUUUGCUAAGAUCCUGGGCGACUCGAAGGUUUGGGCGAGAACAAGGGCACAGUUCUGGGCGACUGCAUGGCAAUCCAUUCGUUCAAAUCUUGGACGAUGGUAUUACCGCGCUCAUGGGCUUCCCUAUUUGGGCCUUUAUCCUGCAUUGCCUGAUUGGGUCGUUCUUUGGGCUAUUUGAUUUUUGGGGAUCUUCCAAUUGGGCUUCAUUCCUUGGGCUAUUAGACUUGGGCUGAACUUUUUGUGUGUCAACAAUUACCCCCCAAUACGGCAGAAUUAAUACCAAUUAUUAAUUUUUGCCAUAUUCACUUUGUGUUUCCCAGCAACAUUCGAAAUUCCCAAGAAUUUCAAUCAUUGUUUUCUUCCAUAGCUUGAAAAGGUGCGACGUUUGCAAACCCUUAUAACCCCCAAAUACGCCAUUUCAUUGCACCACUAAAUCACGCCUCAUUUUUUCGCGCUUCUCUCUCGCAAUAUUACUAUUCAUCUUCUUGCUUUUCUGCUACGUAACUCUGAAAAACUCCAUUUCGUCCCUAAUGGCUGCUUCACAAUCCCAGUCUGGUGACUCCUUCAGCUUCGAAGACUUCCAAAAACUCCUCACUCGGCCAUAUAUAACUCCAAACUUCCUUGCACCAGCCAAUGUCGAACUCAAAGAGUUCUAUCUAGGUCCUUCAUUCAACAACGUCGAGGCCAUCGAACAAGCGGUGGUCAUUCAGCUAUUCCUUUAUACUCAAGGCCCUCCGUUUUUAAACUCUUUGCCGCUGGGGCCACUUCGUGAAAGAGGUAUUCGCACUUGGCCUAAAUCUGAUGUCGUUUUUCGUAGGUGGCACGCUUACCUUGUGGACCAUGGUCCUACUAAGGCAAUUUUUGAUAAUGCUAGGAUUUCUGAUUUGUUAGAAAUCUCUCUUCGACCCCCUAUUUUUGAUUCAGGACUUUUUCCAAUCGCUUUAAGUUUUUGGUCUUCUGAGUAUAAUACUUUUGUUUUUCCUCUUGGCCCCAUGUUCAUUACCUUAAGGAAUGUUGGGGCCCUAGUAAAUCUGUCACCUUUGGGCGAUACCAUUUUCCCUGGUAUUUUGAUUUCUGGUGUCGUCCUAAAAUUUGAAAGAAAACUCACCGAGUCUUAUUCAAGCCUGCAAACCUGUCAUAACCACUCAAGCGCUGAGCCUUCCCAUGCUGAGCGUGUGGCCUUUCUUCUGAUUUGGCUUUGUAAAUACGUUUUGUGUGUGCCAAGCAUAAAGCCCUCUAUGAGUUAUUUACCCAUAGCGCACGAAUUGGCGCGUGGUAGGCCUCUGAAUUUGUGUUCUUUCUUUUUAGCUACCCUCUAUAGAGGCAUGGCGCUUCUCUUCAAUCCCAAUUGAAGAAUGGUGUAUCCCCCAUUUCCAUUUUCUUCUUCAAAAGACCAAUUUGCUGCCAUUGUUUGGCAUUUUGACAAUCAAUCCAACACCUUUGUUUUUUAUGGAAAUGGAUCAUCUGAUCUGCCCAUUUUACCAUCCUUCUUGAUGUCACCUUUGGUAUGGGAGAUAUAGGAAAUAUUCUUUGACCAGCAGCAAAGUUCUUCCCAUCGUCUCCGUUCCUACAAAGAGUUCAAUGAUGGAAGACAAUUUUUGGGGUGCUUGCAGGCCACCUUGCUUGCUGAGAGCGCUUCUCAGCCUCCUUGCCCGUCGUUGUAGCGAUGCAUUUAGGAAGGCGAAGUGAGGAUGCUUCAUCUUCCUUUCUGCUUGCUGAGAGUGCUUCUCGGCCUCUCUGUUUGCUUUUGCAGCAGUGCGAUCAGGAUGGCGAUCAAUGCCAGUACACCCUCUUACUCGGCGAUCGACUGGGAGAUUAGUUUUCUCUUAAUUGUAGUUUAUAGAGCAUUUAGCAUCUUGUAUUUCGCAGCUUUUGUAAUGAACAUUUGAUGAUGAAGGAAUUUAUUUGAACGUAUUUCGCUCUGGCCCUUUUUACUCUACGAUCGUUCAAUGCGAUUUGGUUACACUUUUAUUUGUUCACUUUCCCAUAAGGAAGGAACAUACUUUUUCAAAUAUUUGCCAUUAAUGAACCUCAUGUGCUUGGUGUCGUCUAAAUCUUCUAAAUGAUAGACUCCAUUAGGCAAUACAUUAUUCACUUUAUAUGGUCCUUCCCAAUUGGGAGACCAUUUGCCAUACUUUGGAUCUUUGCUAUCCAAAGGGAGUACUGUUUUCCAAACCAGUUCACCCAGUAUGAAUGACUUGGCUAUAACUUUUUUAUUAUAAAAUUUACCCAUUCUUCGUUGUUGAACUUGCAAUCUAUCUAGGACAUCUAACUUUAAUUCGUCCAACUCUAAUAAGUUUUGAACUAGUGAUUCGGUAUACUCAUCAUCACUUAACUUAUGUUGCAAACACACUCUGAUCGAUUGCACGUUGAUUUCCAUAGGCAAAACGACCUCCUGUCCAUAAGUAAGUUGGAAAGGAGUAAUUUUGGUACUUGACCGAGGCGACGUCCUAUAAGCCCAUAAGGCCUUGUUCAGACAUUCGUGCCAAUUUCUGACAUUUUCAUCUAUCAUUUUCCUUAUGAUAUUUUUUAGAAUCUUAUUAGAAGAUUCUGCUUGCCCGUUGGAUUGAGCGUAAUAUGGUGUGGAGUUUACUAAUUUAACUUCAAACUCGCUCAAGAAUUUAUUCUCUUGAUCCCCAUUUAAAGAUGUCCCGUGAUCUACCAUCAAAGUUUGUGGAAUUCCAAAUCUAUAAAUGAUGUGAUCACGGAUAAAUUCUAUGACAUUCUUCUGGGUGAUCUCCUUUAAAGGUACCGCCUCUACCCACUUAGUGAAAUAAUCGGUUGCAACUAUAACAAAAGCAUGUUGCUUGGACGAUGGGGGAUAAAUCUUCCCUAUCAGGUCUAUCGCCCAACCCUUGAACGGCCAAGGUUUAAUAAUAGGUGCCAUCUCUCGUGCUGGCGCCCUUUGUAUUGGACCAUGCUUUUAGCAUGCUAAACAACUCUUUGCAUACUGAACGCAUAAUUCUCCCAUCUUUGGCCAAAAAUAUCCACUCCUAAUAAUCAACCAUCUCAUCCUUUGGCCAGCUUGAUGAGAUCCACAUAUCCCCUCGUCCACUUCAGCCAUGAUCGUCCUAGCUUCUUGCAAACUUACACAUUUUAGCAGUAUACCAUCAGAGCGUUUCUUGAACAACUCUUCAUCUAUCAGUGCAUAGUUUAGCAAAUGCAACUUCAUUUUUCUACUAUCUUUUUUGUUAGGUUCUUUAAGGAACUCCUUAAUCACUGCCCUCCAAUCCAUUGCACCUCCAUCUUGUAUGCAAUGAAGUUCAAUCCUUCUUACCCUUCUUUGGAUCACAGGCAAUAUUGUUCCAUACUCACAAGUAGACUUCCAAUUAAAAACCUUUGAGUACCCUGAGGCCAUCUGGGCCAACUCAUUUGCCACGUCAUUGUAUAUCCUAUUAACGCAUUGAAGUUCUACUUGGUCAAAUUCUUCUAAUAACUCUUGGGCAAUUUCAUAUUGACUCAUGAUGGAAUCACUUUGGCAUUUAAAAUCACCAAUCAGUUGGUAAAUUACCAAUUGAGAAUAGCCUCUAAUGUUUACAUUUUUUACCCCCAUAUCUAUCAUUUGUUCUAGGCCCACAAUUAAGGCUUCAUAUUCGGCUUGAUUGAUGGUGCACAUCCUAUCCAAAGUGAAUGCGAACUUGUAGCAAAUCCCUAAAGGAUUUAUCAAUGCUACUCCUACUCCUACACCUUUAGAGGUUUUUGACCCAUUGAAAUACAACACCAAAGGUUUUAGCUCGAACGAAUUGAUUUCUAAUUCAAUUUCUUCAGGCAUAGAUGAUCGGCUAGGAAGUUAGCCAAAGCCUAAUUUUUAACUGCCUUUUGGGGUAUUAUUGUAUUUCGAAUUCUGAUAAAGCUAACGUCCAAAGGCCUACCCUUUGGUGUAAAAUAGGGCGAGAGAACAUAUACUUAGUCAAAUUUACUCUAGAAAUCAAAUAAACGGUUAUGGGCCGUAAAUAAGCCCUUAAUUUUGUACAAGUGAAAUACAAUGCAAGACAUAAUUUUUCGAUAGCAGAGUAAUUACAUUCACAUUUUGUUAACCGUCUACUCAAAUAGUAAAUCUCCCUCUCUUCACCAAAUUGGUCUUCUUGCGCGACCAUUCUAGCUAUUGAUUCUUUUUCAGCCGAUACAUGCACUUUCAUUAGCCGUCCUUGGAUUGGUGACACCAACACUAGUGGACUUGAUUAAUAUGUCUUCGGGCUUUCAAAAGCUUUUUGAUGUUCUUCUUUCCAGACAAAUUCAUCCUGAUUUUUUAGCUUUAAAAGUGGCGAAAAGACUUUAAUUCGCCCUGCACAGUUAGAAAUAAAGCGUCUUAAAAAGUUUACUUGGCCCAGAAAUUUUUGUAAUUCUUUUUUGUUGCUAGGUGGUUUGGCCUCUAGAAUGACCUUCGUUUUAUUUUUAUCAAGUUCAAUCCCUCUUUUAUGUACCAAGAAACCAAGAAAGUUUCCUGCAUUAACACCAAAUGCACAUUUCAAGGGAUUCAACUUUAACUUAUAUUGCUUCAUUCGAUCAAAUGAACAUCUUAACUGUUCAAAAUGGUCCUCUUCUUUAAUGGAUUUGACACAAUAUCAUCUACAUACACUUCAACAAACUUUCCUAUCAUAUCAUGAAAAAUUAAAUUCAUUGCCCUUUGAUAAGUUGCUCUUACAUUUUUCAGGCCGAAAGGCAUGACUACCCAUUCGAAACAUCCUAGAGACCCAGGGCAUCUAAAGGCAAUUUUGUGUAUGUCUUCCUCAACUAUAUAAAUUUGAUUGUAUCCUGAAUACCCAUCCAUAAAAGAAUACAUGACGUGUCCGGCAGUUGAGUCUACUAAAGAAUCUACCGUGGGCAUUGGAUACUCAUCUUUGGGUGUGGCUAUGUUUAAAUUCCUAAAGUCUAUGCACACCCUUAGUUUACCAUUCUUUUUUAGUACUGGCACGAUAUUGGACAACCAUUCGACAUACCUGGCUGUUCUAAUAAAGCCUGCUUUUAAUAAUCGCUCUAUCUCUUUCUUAAUCUCAGGGAGUACAUUAGGAGCAAAACGUCUGGGAGGUUACCUAUGAGAUUUAAAAUUAGGCUUAGUUGGUAAUCUAUGUUCCACCAAGUCUCUAUCUAAACCAGGCAUUUGUUCAUAUUCCCAAGCAAAACAAUCUUUAUACUCCUUUAACAAAGCGAUUAAUUUAUCACUAACCUCUUGAUCGAGCAUCUGGCUGAUGAAUGUUGGACGAUCUUCUCCUUCAUUGCCAAUAUUUACUUUAAUCAGAGGGUCUUGUGCUUGAGCGUAUCCAAACUUGAUGAUCCACAUUACUUCAUUGUCCAACUCCCUUGUAAGCACUUCCUCUUUUAAACAAUCCACUUUGUUGACUUCUCGGCCAAUACUUUGUUCCAAUUCGAAUACUGCUAAUUUAACUUUCAACGCUUUCAGGGCUGCAUCUGCUUUCGUCUUGUUCUUGCAUUCUUUAUCGAAAGCCAUUAAUUUGGCUUUGAAGGCCUGAAUAUCGGCCAUUUACUCUUGUUGCUUUGAACUCAUUCAGGACUCCUUGAUUAUUCUUUUGCCAAUUACUGGCUCUUCUAGGGCCACUAUAUUUAGCCUCAUUUGAUUGAACAUUUCAGUGAGUGUGUCCACUAAAAAUGGCUCUUCACUCUGCGUGACAAUCUGAGUUUCUUCCCCAUCUUGGACUACCCUGAUAGGUCCAUAGUUUCCUUCGUACAUGAACCUUUCCAAUGAGUUUGCUUCUACGAUAAAAGGCCUAUGAUCGGCCUACAACACCUCUGCUUCAUCCUUGUUAUUCCAAAAAACCAGGCAUUGAUGGAGCGAUGAGGGUAUACAGCGACUUCCAUGUAUCCAAUCUCUUUCUAGUAAUACAUUGUAACUAGGAGGACCAUCUAUUACAAAGAAUACUAUGGUCCUAGUAGUUGUACCUAUAGUUAUGUCCAAUGGCAUAACUCCCUUAGCUGCAGUUGCUCCUCCAUUGAAACUUGUAAGGAUGACUUCUGUUGGAAUCAUAUCCCCUUCUCUUUUUGCAAACUUCCUCAUCAUCUUAGAUGGAAUGGUGUUUAUAGCUACUCCAUUAUCGACAAGCACUUUUGCCACUGGUAUGUCGUUAACUAGAGCUUUAACGUACAACGACCUCAAGUGUUUAGCUGGCCAUUUAAAAAUAACCUUUUCGACAUCCUCUAUUUCUACUUCCUGCUUGUCCUCUGUCGAGUUAUCCUUUUGUGAUAAGUCAACGUGCAGCAUAUCACACUGAGCAUCUGUCUCCUGAAUUUCCUUUUUACUGUUUUCUGAUGCUUCAUCUUCAGUUACCCAACCUGUGGGAGGAGGCAUUAUUCUUGGAGGUGAUCCAUACUUUUCAGAGUAAGGCACUCUCUUCUUCCUUUUGGGCGUCUCGUACAACACGUAAAAAUCGAAAGAAAGCCCAGAUGGUUCUCCCAAUAAAUCUACUUCACGAACUUCCUCUUGAUGUAGUUGCUUCAACAGAGUAUUGUAUGAUACUCCUCUCUUUCUUCUUUCUACUUCUAGGUCGAUUUCCUCUUCAAUGUCUGUCAUACCAUCAUCUUCCUCACCAUUGUAGGCCUCUCUAGAAGUCUGGCCUUCUUCAUAUUCCAGCACGCAUGCUUCUCCUUCGUUAUCCUCUCUUUCUUCUUCUUCUUUCUCUUUAUUCUUGAACUCAUUGGCUAGUAAAUAGUUAUUAGCCACAACAGAAGGUAAUGUACCGAACUGAAUAGUAAGGAGCUGAUCUGGAUCUUCUCCAUCCCUUCUAUCUCGCUCAAACUUCGAUCUCCCAGAAGAAGUUUCUGGCAACUCUUUCAUUGAUUUAUCUGUAAAAGUCUCUUCACUAUCUUUGAGAACAUUGUGAUUGGCUACCUCGAGUAGUUUAGGCACCUUAGGACGUGGCACUCCCUGUUGUUGCCUCAUCAUUCGUCCAUAAUUUCGUUGGAAAUGCCUUUGUUGGGUUCUAGUCAUCUCGUUGAAGGGUAUCGCCUUUCCUGCAUUAUACUGGAACGAAUGCCAUACAUUUGGUCGACGAGGUUGCGGCUUGAAUGUUCUCCCAUUAUUUACUGGCCUGAACUGCCUCUCAAAAGGCGGUCCCUUAUAGAACGAUGUACCUCGCCCUCUACCAAGCUGAGCGUUUGGGAAGAAAGUAAGGUGACGGGGAUGCUACCAUAUCCCUGGUUUCUCCGUAUUCCCACUCACUUCUCUUUUACAUCUUGUACACGAGACGUCUUUAUCCUUUUUUGGCUCCUUCCCUUUAAUACAUUCAAAGACACUGGGAUGUGGUCCAGGGUCUUCUUCUCCAUCAUCUAUAACUAAUUUGAAUUUUGAUAACUUGUUUUUGAAACCAGACGUUACCAUAUUCACUCCAAGUGGCUGUGGAAAAGGAUUUUCAUCCACUGCCAUCUUCUUCUUAUCAUCGAACGUAAUUCGUCCUGAUUCAAUGGCAUCUUGUAACACAUGGCGAAAAACCAAGCAAUUGUUAGUCAAAUAUGACCAUGUAUUAUGCCACUUACAAUAUUUUUUACCCUUAAUUUGUUCAGGGUUUGGCAAUUUAUGCUUAUCGCUCAGCUUUAUCUGCUUAUCCUUAUAUAAUUUAUCCUUAUAUAAUUUAUCAAAUAUAAGGUCAGCUUUGGUUACAUCGAACGAGAACGUUCUAGCUUUUACGUUUUCAUCUUUCAUAGGCUCAUCCUUGCCCGAUGGUCUAAGCUUAGCCAUUAUAGGACAAGUAUACGUGUCUCCUUUGACUAAUUUGGCCAAACACAUGUCGGUCUAAUCGUAUGACUCGUUAUUGAUGGUAUGAACAUCAAAAUUUGGGUCUCUAUAAUAAGUCCCCUUGCUAUAAUUUUUUAUCUGCUCUUCUUCUCUUAUCAAUCGUUCAUACCUAAUCAUGUUCGCGCUCAAUUGGAAAAGGUUAGGAAAUUCCUUGUUUUGGAAUUUCUUUUUCAAAUCAAAGCUCAAACAACCUUGAGCGAUUUUGACAAACUCUUUUUCGGGCAGAGGUACAAAACAUUUACUUCUUGCUAUCUUGAACCUUUGGAGGAAAUCUUCUACCCAUUCAUUUGGCAUUUGACGUAGGUUCGCCCAAUCGGCCAAAGUAACUUCAAACUCAGUCUUAUAAAAUUGAGCGUGGAAUAAUUGUUCCAAUUGUUGCCAUGUUUGAACAGAGUUCAUUGGCAAAUUGAUGAACCAGGAGAAAGCUACUCCUAUUAAUGAACUAGGGAAAAGCCUCAUUAUAUAAUAAUCAGUUACGUCACCACUUUGCAGUGUGAAUCAUCCUAUGUGUUCUAGAGUAGACACCUCCCCUAAACCGGUAAACAGUGAGAAUUCUGGCACUUUAUACCCUCUAGGCCAUGGAUAUACUUGGUCUACCCAAUCAAGAUAUGGCUUUGUGCAAGUCGGCCUAAUGACAGGACGUACCCCAAAAGCCAUCUGGUCCUGUACGAUUUCUAUAAUCUGAUUCCUCAACAUGACGUUAUUUAGGACAUUGUCUCUUACAUUUGGAUUACCCCCCAAGUUAGGCGUACCACUACCAUUAUUCUGAUUUGGCAUUACACCAUCCCCUUGGUUUGAAGUACAGGGACUGAAAUGUGGUUCUACCCCUUGACUUGGAUUUAGGACUGGGGGAUUAUGUCCCACAAUUGUCCUAGUUUGAAAGUGGUUUGCAAGAGGCAUAACUCGUUGACAAAUUUGGCCUACUAACUUAUUCAUUAUUUCGUUCAAAGUACUAAGUUGUUUGGCCAUGUUGUCAUAAUCUUUCCAUAUUAUGAAUAUUUUGAAGAUUUACCUGUUCACCGACAUCUUGUGUGAGUUCUCCAAGUAGUGCACGCAUAGUUCGAGGACUCAACUCUGCCAUUGAUUCGUAAUGACUGUUACUGCCCUGAUUCUGUCCAUCUGUUCAUGGAGAGCUAUACUGCUCCUCAUAUCGCUCGAUCACAGACUGGACUCCUCCAUGACUAGCUGCUUCCUUAUCGGAUCUCUGAGGCAUAUUAUUUUACCUUUUGUAUCUACAACACCAAACACCACUGUCCCACCGGGCGUGCCAAAUUGUCUCGCGCGGGUUAGUCGCUAACAAUUAAAAAGGGAUCAGACGAUUGUGUAAGAGACAAAACCUCUUGAGACAAAGUCUCAAAAAUGGGUGUUUUUAUUUGUGAUGACUUUACAAUUGAAAAAUGAAAAUAGAAUGCCUCCAAGGGGCGCAAGCACACGAGUUACUGAAAAGAAGUGUUUUAAAUCUAAACUAAGAAAUUUAAAGUUACAUAUUCUCUGUUUGAAAGUGUUUAAUUCAGGGGUCUUUUGCUCUAUGCCUUUUCUUCCUUUUAUACUCCCUGGAUGAUCUCUUCGUGAUCAACCGCUUAAAAACUAUUUGAUCACUCUAUAAGUGCCUACUUUCCUCGUAGUGGCCAACUUGUCAUGGAACUGCCUUCUCUAACUGCUGCCAUUACUUUUUGUCGUUCAACCGCCUUUAAUUGAAUUCCUUGAAUCGUGGAACGUGAUAGGGCUACUCAAUAACUGCUUCAUUAACCGCACAUUUGGGUAACCAUAACAUCUUACGUUUGCUAAGAUCUUGGGCGACUCGAAGGUCUGGGCGAGAACAGGGGCACAGUUCUGGGCGACUGCAUGGUAAUCAAUUCGCUCAAAUCUUGGGCGACUUGUAACCUUGGGCGAUGGUAUUACCGCGUUUAUGGGCUUCCCUAUUUGGGCCUUUAUCCUGCAUUGUUUGAUUAGGUCGUUCUUUGGGCUAUUUGAUUUUUGGAGAUCUUCCAAUUGGACUUCAUUCCUUGGGCUAUUCGACUUGGGCUGAACUUUUUGUGUGUCAACAAAUUCAAACAAUUGUGGCUAAUUUGCUGGGAUCUUCAAAGAAACUUGAUAGUGUGGAUAUAUAAUUUUUAAAUGAAUGGAAUGUGAUGUGGAUGAAAAUGAUAUUUUUUAAAAUUUUUUAAAUUUAACAGGAAUGAAUAUAGAGUAAGAUAGAUAUAUAACAAUGGUGGAUACAAACAACAACUCCCUUUGUUCUUGAUUCCCUGACGUAGGGUAGGAUAGUGAUUAUCCUAUUGGCUUGUUGUAGUAGAUGAUUCACAAGAAAAGAACGACAGAAAAUGCCCAAAAAACCAGAGAAAAGACUUCGAAUUCAACUCAAUAUUAUUAAUAAUGCAGAAUGCUGAAAAUUAACCCACAAGCCGGGUUAAAUAGCUGCGAAAUACGAAAUUAUGGGAAAAUUACCAAAAAUGGAAAAAAUCCGAAAUUAUACCAAAAUAAAAUAUUAAGUAAAAGAAGUAAGUUGCCAAAAAUUUGGCUCAAUUCGAGUUUUUUAACAUAUGGAAAAAAAGGAAACGAAAUAUUACCAUAAAUAGUAAAAAAUAACUUAAAAUUGAAUUUUGGAAAGGAAAACAGUGGAUUUUGGGCUUGAAAUUGAUGUCCACUGAGCAAAGCUAGGUUACCAUGACGUGCGCACUGAAGAGAGCUUUCUGGAUUGGGGUCAUAAUAGCGAUUCUGAUAAUCGUAGCCAAAGUUAUGGCCAAAUUACCAAAGACGUGUCAAAUUCCCCCCAUUAAGGAAAUAAUGGUGAUUUACUUUCCAUCUUUGCGCCGAUCCGCCAUCUCAUGGUAUCUCAGUGCUAUCAUCGUGCUAUCUGACAAAUCAACAUCACUCGACUCGGAUCCUCCUGCAUCAGUCGCCCCGGGUUGGAAAGAACUCGCCCUCGAGUUCACAGUAACUUCAUCGGACUCCAUAAAACAAAGGCUUAGGUGUUUUACAUUGAAGACGUCAGAGGUCUUCAAAUGGCUUGGGAGGCACAAUCUGUAAGCAUUAUCAUUGAUCUUCUGUAGCACUUCACAGGGUCCAAUCUUUCGCUCCUUUAGCUUAUUGUAUUCCCCAGCUGGAAAAUGAUCACGAGUUAAUACUACCCAAACAAAAUCACCACCAUCAAACAACACCUGGCGUCGAUGACUAUCUGCCCGAGCUUUGUACUUAGUAUUACUUUCUUGUAUGGAUAGCUUCACCUGCUCAUGGACACUUCGAAGAUGUUCAGCCAUCUCAUCAUCUUUGUUAUUGAAGCGACCCACACGUGGAAUUGGAGCCAAAUCAAGUACUUCGAAUGGAUUUCGACCAUAGACAAUUUCAAAAGGACUCAGUCCGAUGGUUCUAUUCUUCGACCGGUUAUAAGCAAACUCUGCUUGAGGUAAUGCCAAAUCCCACUGCUUCGGUUUAGUCCCGACUAAGCUUCUCAAAAGAUUUCCCAAACUCCAAUUCACCACCUCAGUCUGACCAUCUGUUUGGGGAUGGUAUGCGCUGCUAAAAUUCAAUUUCGUUCCAAGUUUCUCCCACAAACUCCUCCAGAAAUGACUCAUAAACUUAGUGUCACGAUCAGAAGUAAUUGACUGUGGAACACCAUCUAAACACACAAUCUCUCUGAAAUAAAGAUGAGCAAUCCGAGUAGCAUCCAUUGUCUUUCGGUAAGCCACAAAAUGAGCCAUCUUUGAAAAUCUGUCAACCACAACAAGAAUGGAAUCCAUCGCCCCCUGUGUACGAGGUAAGCCCAAGACAAAAUCCAUACUGACAUCAAACCAAGGAGCUUCAGGUACGGGUAAUAGUGUGUACAAUCCAGCAUUAGUAAGAGCCCUUUUAGACCGCUGACAUACAUAACACCACUCCACAUAAUGCGCCACAUCACUGCUCAACUUGGGCCAAUAAUAAUCAGAAGAGACCAAUGCCAACGUCUUGUCUCGCCCAAAAUGUCCUUCGUUAUGAAGUUCACUAAUAAUCUGCUGCCUUAGUGAACAAUCUGGAAUGCAUAACUGCAAUCCACGAAACAGGUAACCAUUAUAUAAAACAAAAUCAUGUCGGUGAUUAUCAGUUACCUCCCGAAUUAUCUUCCCAAAUGAAGGAUCCGCAGCAACAUAUCAAGAAAUGCCUCAAAUCCGACAAUCUUGGUGCUCAUGGUGGUGAGGAGUAAUAUGCGACGGCUUAAUGCAUCUGCUACUCGAUUCAAACUCCCUGCUUGAUGCCUGAGUGUGAAAGUAAACUCCUGCAAGUACGCCACCCACUUUGCAUGUCGCCUACUCAGCUUGUGCUGACCAUUGAUGUACUUCAAAGCCUCAUGAUCAGUAAUAAGGAUGAACUCCCUCUGUACUAGGUAAUGGCGCCAAUGCUUCAGAGUCUGAACUAUGGCAUAGAACUCCAGGUCAUAAGUGGAAUAAUUUUUCUUCGAACCCGAUAACUUCUCACUAAAAAAGGCUACUGGACGUCCCUCCUGACUCAGAACACCACCAAUACCAACUCCAGACGCAUCACAGUUUACCUCGAACACCUUUUCAAAAUUCGGAAGUGCCAAGACUAGGGCCUCCGUCAUCUUCUGCUUAACCAAUUGAAAGCUAGCCUCUAUCUCCUCAGUCCACUGAAAAUCACGCCCUUUAAGGCACUCUGUGAUAGGAGCAAUCAAGGUACUGAAGUUUCUGAUAAAUCGACGAUAGAAGGAUGCCAAUCCAUGGAAACUCCUGACAUCGUGCAAAGUUUUUGGUUUCGGCCAAUUCAAGACUGCCUCAAUUUUGGAUUGAUCUGCAUGAACACCAUCAGUAGACACAACAAAACCCAAAAAAGUUACAAAAGUUGUGAAGAAAGAACACUUAUUCUAAUUGAUGAAUAAGCGCUCCGUCCUCAUUACAUCAAAGACAGCACGAAGAUGAUUAAAAUGUGACUCCCAUGUCAGACUAUAAAUAAGUAUGUCAUCAAAAUAAACUACCACAAACUUCCCCAUGAAAGGCCGUAAAACCUGAUGCAUAAACCUCAUAAAAGUGCUGGGUGCGUUGGAUAAUCCAAAGGGCAUGACCAUCCACUCGUAAAACCCAUGCUAUGUCUUGAACGCGAUUUUCCACUCAUCUCCAGGUCUGAUUCUGAUAUGGUGGUAUCCACUUUUAAGGUCAACUUUUGAGAAGACCUUAGAACCGGACAAUUGAUCCAACAUGUCGUCCAGACGGGGAAUUGGAAACCUGUACUUCACUGUAAUCCUGUUAAUUGCCCUGCUGUCAACACACAUACGCCAUGACCCAUCUUUCUUCGGCACUAGGAGAGCAGGAACUGCACAAGGACUCAUACUCUCACAAAUGUAGCCCCUUUCCAAUAAUUCUACCACCUGUCGCUACAACUCUUCAGCUUCCUUGGGACUGAGGCGAUAUGCUGGUCGGUUUGGUAGACUCGAUCCUGGAAUGAGGUCGAUCUAAUGUUGAAUGUCCCUCAUAGGUGGUAGUCCUGGAGGAAGAUCCUCUGGCAUCAAGUUAGAAAACUCCAUCAGUAGUUACUGUACUUCUAUUGGAAAUUCUGAAUCCACACUCGCUGUACUAUUUUCACGAGGCAUUAAAGCAUAAACUAUUUUUUCACGCCCAACCUCAACCAAAAAUCUAAACAUAGAAAGUAGAUUGGGGUUUUUAACUACCGGGGCAGGGAUGUUUCCUUCCUUGCGAGGCACCAAAACAACUCUCUUUCCUUUGAUACUAAGAGAAUAAGUAUUCUUCCGCCCAUCAUGGAUAACACUGCAAUCAUACUGUCAAGGUCGUCCCAACAAAACAUGAUAGGUGUCCAUUGAUACCACAUCACACCAAGCAUUAUCAAAAUAUUUUUUUCCAAUUGAGAAAGACACUAAGCAUCGUUUUUCUACCGUUACCUCACUGCCUUUAUUCAGCCAAGACAACUUGUAUUGUUUGGGAUGACGAUCCAUCUUCAGUUGCAGUUUCUCGAUAGCCUCCUGAGACACUACAUUCUCACAACUGCCACUAUCAAUUAUUAGCUUACAGACUUUAUCAGCAACUGUGCAGGUUGUGUGGAAAACGUUGGUCCUCAACCAAUCAUCCCCUGAGUCGCCCUUGGGACUCAGCAGGCUCUUUCGAACGACCAGGGUCUCCUGACCAUCUCCAUAUAGCACGUCCUCAUCUUCACCCUCAUCAUACACGGGUUCUCCAACUUCCCAAACUCCUCUAUCAUAUCCUCCUCAAUCAGAAGAUUUUUAUUCUUCUGACCAGCAGGUUUCCUGCAAUCAGUCGCUUUAUGCCUCUGUUCACCACACCUAAAGCACUUAAUACUUGAGCUGGAACUAUCCCGCUGUGGCUGAUAAGCAGGACGAGAUUCUUGAGGACUAACUGGCUGACUUCCUUCACCUCUGACCACUAGCCUCCUACUUUGCUAUUUCUCUACUGCAAGUGCUCGCUGAUAUGCCUCAGAAACUGUCCAUAAUGAAUGAAGGCUGAGAACAUCCUACAGGGGCUGCCUUAAUCCCCCCAAAUAUCAUACUACCAUAUGCUCCUCCGUCUCAGAUAAAUCAUUUCGAGCCACAACCUGAUAGAAUUCUUCAGUAUAAUCAUUGACUGAUCUUGCGCCUUGCCUUAGUGAAUGAAGCCUCUGAAACAAGGUUUGAGUAUAGCCGAAGGGGAGGAAAUGUCCUUUCAUCUUCUUCUUCAUCUUCUCCUAGUUAGUAAUUUUGGAUUUCCCCUGUCGCUCCCGUGAACGCUUCAACUGUUCCCACCAUGCAGAUGCUCUACCUUUGAGUUUGAUGGCGACCAGUUUCACUUUGACACGAUCUGGAACCUCCUUAUAUUCAAAAAUCCGCUCCACUUCAUUCAGCUAAUCAAUAAAUCCUUCAGCCUGCAACGUACCAGAAAACUCGGGCAGAUCUACUCUGAAACCGAGAUCCACAUGACGAUCCUCCCGUCCACGAUGCUCCCAAACUUGAGCACGAUGGUGAUACGGGUUUUCGAAAUUGGUAUCUAAAUCGUGACUUUCUACAUCAUGAUUACCGAACUCCUGCUGCGCCAAACGUUGGGUUAACUCCUCAACUUAUCUCUGCAAAUCUUCAAUCGUCACAUCCUGAAUAUUACGAUCACGGUGUUGGACUUCCUCAAUCGGAACCUGUCCUCGACGACCACGACCACGUCCACCAACCACUAUAACUGAUGGAAUUUAUCUCCCAAGAAGAUGCUGACGCUCUGAUACCAACUGACGUCGGGUAGGAUAGUGAUUAUCCUAUUGGCUUGUUGGAGCAGACGAUUCGCAAGAAAAGAACGACAGAAAAUGCCCAAAAAACCAGAGAAAAGACUCUGAAUUGAACUCAAUAUUAUUAAUAAUGCAGAAUUCUAAAAACUAACCCACAAGCCGGGUUAAAUAGCUGCGAAAUACGAAAUUAUGGGAAAAUUACCAAAAAUGGCAAAAUCCCAAAAUUAUAGCAAAAUAAAAUAUUAAGUAAAAGAAGUAAGUUGCCAAAAAUUUGGCUUAAUUCGAGUUCUCUAACAUAUAGAAAAAAGGAAACUAAAUAUUACCAUAAAUAGUAAAAAAUAACUUAAAAUUGAAUUUUGGAAAGGAAAACAGUGGAUUUUGGGCUUGAAAUUGAUGUCCAUCGAGCAAAUCCAGGUGGCCACGACGUGCGCGCCGAAGAGAGCUUUCCGGAUUGGGGUCAUAGUAGCGAUUCCGAUAACCGUAGCCAAAGUUAUGGCCAAAUUACCAAAAACGCGUCAAAUUCCCCCAAUUAAGGAAAUAAUGGUGAUUCACUUUCCAUCUUUAUGCUGAUCCGCCAUCUCAUGGUAUCUCAUCACUAUCAUCAUGCUAUCUGACAAAUCAGCAUCACUCGACUCGGAUCCUCCUGCAUCAUUCCCCCACAGUCAAUAAAAGCUAUUGGGUUUGACCCAAAUGUUUUAAUUAUAUUAUGGUUUAGGGGUAGAAUGAGAUACAAAAAGAGAGUCCGAGAAAGAAAAAGAGAUUAUCUGGUUAUGAACAAUAUGAUUUUAUUUAUAAUGAUGAAUUAUGUAUGACGAAUGUUAUUAAUCGUCGCAAGAAAAUGAUACGAUACAAAGAAGUAUGAGACUUAAGAAAUUUGCACAAAUGAUCCUUUAAGGGCAUAAGUUUAUUUUUAUUAAAGUAGAUAUACUUUUAACUAUCGGAAUGGAUAGAAACAAUAGGAAACGGCCCCCCUUUUUUACGAGCAAAAUCAAUAUGUUGAGGGGGUCAAUGCCAUAAUUGUAACAUUAGGGACCAUUUGUGCCAAUUCCUUGUUAAUAAAUAUUCCGCUUUUGGGGUCCUUUGAAAAAAAAAAAAAAGAAAAAAAAAACUACCUAUCUCCCUUAAAGAUAGACUUCAUUUUCUUUUUCGUCAGUCCCAAAUUACUAGCUACUUUCCUUGAUGAAAGUGAAGAUAUAUUUUAAUAUUCUAAUAUGCCAUAUUUUAUGUAUCUUGUUAUCAAUAUAAUAUAAAACAAAUACUAUUUAAACUAUUAUUUAAUAUAGGAGUAUAUAUAGAAAAAUGUAAAAAAAUUUAUAUUUUCAAUUAUAUUAAUUACAUUUUCUUAAUAUGUGUCAAAAUAUAGAGAAGUUUAUUUUUAUGGGACGGAUGUAGUAAAUAAGAUGCACUGUGAAACAAGAAACCAUGAUGCUUGACAAUGACAAUCUGCAGUUACUUAAUAGCCUCCAAGCAUUAAAUAAUCAUAAGUCAUUAAAUGAAAAAUUGGUUUCUUAACUUGAAGACACGCUGAAGCAAUCCACAAGUCGAAAGUUCAAGAAUAGAAUGCAAUAUUUUUAGUAAUUGAUUUCAAAAUAAUGGUAAUCAAUUCACUAUAUGAUACAGAUAAUGAAUAUUUAAACAUGAGUAUAAACACAUCUCUGAAUACAUUAAGGAUCCAAUGAAAUUCAAUCUCCAUUAGUAGAAAACAGCUUAAAACUUGGAAUAUUUGGUUUUAUCAAAGUUAAUGGAACCUGAUUCAAAAUAAAAAUAAAAAGAUUCACAUGGUUAAGCAAAAAUGAAGUCACAAAUAAACAUGUUAAACAUGGACUUAAACUUUAUUGAAAUUACUUAAUUUUGAUUGUAAAUAACUUAAUUAUUUCUACUUGGGGACAACAAAGAAAUAAAUUACCUUGAACCUUAUUUACUUUUAUGUUUACUUUUGAAGAAUUUUAUAUAAGCAAAACUUAUAUUCAGAUUUUAGGGAUCAAUAUUUUCUCAUCCACUUACAAACCAGGCACUCGAUAAUGUUUUUAUAUUGGAUUCCCAGUAUACAAAUUCAGAAGGGUAAAUUGUUUCUGAGCCUUCGAUCAGGAUAUCAUUGAUGUCUAGUGGAUAGACUGAAAGUGUUUAAGAUCGAGUCAAUCUGUUGUUGUAUUUAUGCUUUUAUUGUUGCCACAGACCUCAAAGUCAUCUCAUAGCCCAUGAAUGGUGUUAGUAGGAUGCCGACACUAGAAGAGAAAUAGCAGGACAGGCAAGCACAUGGUUGGAGCCAUGGACCAAUGAGAAAUACCACUGAAAAUUUAUUGUCUGUGGGUUUCCGCCUCAUCCAUAUGUUGCAAUUCAUCCACCAAAACUUCGAAAUUCACUUCAUCGGGAGGAUUGGAGAAGCCUACUACUUCAUGGGGAGAGACUCUGUUGGCAAUAAACAUAUAUUCUGGCAUCCAAAACCUAAUUUUUAAGAAUUGAUUAAUAUAUAGUCAUUAUUUUGAUAAUCAAAUACAAAAAGCAUUGAAAUUAAGAAUUAUUGAAGAUUUCAGAAUUUCUUGGGAUUGAAAAGUUUCAUUCGAUCCUUCUUGCUCUUAGACUAAGAGCGUGUCUUCAAUUGAGAGAUGAAUUUUAAACAUCCUUUCAAGUUCAGGUAUCUUCAAUUGAGAUUUUAAUGAAAUCUAUUAAAAUUUAGAUGUUCUAAAUUGAAAUUUUAAUGAAAUUCAAUGAAAUCUUUUAAAGUUUAGGUAUCUUCAAUAAUUUGUGUAUUUAUAAAGAUUUCAUUAACAAAGGAAUUUUAAAAGAUUUUAAGUCGAUUUCAUACUUAAAAAUAUAUAUAACCAAAUAUUUUGAAAUUUCACCGUAUUUGAUGAAAUUCUUAUUGAAUUUGUGGAAAUCCAUUCAGAUCCACAAAAUUCCUUAGAAUUUAUAAUUUUUUAAAAUACAUCAAAAUCUUAGUUGAGAACAUCCCAGUAAAUGGGCGAUGUCUAUGUCAACUUUUUCUUAUUUUUUAUAUUUUCACUAUGUUUAUUGGCUAGAUUAUUUAUUAGGGCGAAUGAUAUAGGUGACUUCGUUAUAAUUAAUUGAUUUCUAUUCAUAUUUUAAUUAUUUAUUUUGACUAUUUAUUUUGUAAAUUGUAGCAUGAUUGAUUUAUUCUCUUUAUUGAGAAUAAGAGUUGAAUAACAUGAUAUUUGAUUGUAUGUAAGAUCAAAAGAUUGCAUGUUGAACACAUAAUCUUACUAUUCAUAAAUUUGUAGCUUAGCUUUAUUGCCACAAAGAUAAUUUAGUAGUUGCUAACCUACAGACAAGAAGCAAAAUAAAUGGGACAGUACACAUUGAUUGAGAAUUAUUAAUCAUUUAAAUAACACAUAAUCUUACUAUUCAUAAAUUUGUAGCUUAGCUUUAUUGCCACAAAGAUAAUUUAGUAGUUGCUAACCUACAGACAAGAAGCAAAAUAAAUGGGACAGUACACAUUGAUUGAGAAUUAUUAAUCAUUUAAAUAACACAAUCUUACUAUUCAUAAAUUUGUAGCUUAGCUUUAUUGCCACAAAGAUAAUUUAGUAGUUGCUAACCUGCAGACAAGAAGCAAAAUAAAUAGGACAGUACACAUGGAUUAAGAAUUAUUAAUCAUUUAAAUAAUACACUUAAAUAAUUGCAUUAUGAUUCAUUCGUCAUUUUUUAUAAAUAAUCCAAUGUGAUUAGCUAGAAGAGAAGGAUGUAGUCAAAAGAGUAAUGUUUUUCGAUACCAUUGGAAAAAUAUUGUCUUCACAUUAAGCUAUGUAUGGUGCACCAGAUUAGGCCAUAUAAAGAAUUUAGUGUAAAAUUAUAAUGAUACUACUAGGUAAAUGAUAUUAUGGUUAAUUAAGGUGAAUACUAAUCUUUAAUUUUUCAUUCGAAAAAUGGUCAUUUGCGCUAUCAACCGUAUAAUAUAGUACCGAGGUUGGAGGUAAGUUUAGGCCACAUAAAAGAGAGAUGAAAUGAUGGUUCAAAGACUAUUAUCAUUCUUUAUCCCCCAUAAUACCCUUUACCCAGUAAUAUUCAUUAUCAUUUAUACUAAUAUUUUAUUCUGUUUACUCCGGUGCACCUAAUAUGACCAUAAUAUUCCAUAAGGUUUUGUAUUUAUGCUAUGGUUAUGCAUUGUUAUCCACAAUUAUUUUUUUAUGAAAGUUAAUAAUAUAUUGGAUUGUUUUCCAAUUGUUGAUCCUACUCGGUAUUGAUUAUGAUUCAACAAGUUAGUUGAUCUGCGUCAUAGAUUAAAAUGCCCAGUGAAGAAAGAAACCAGGAUGCUUCACAAUGAUAGGGGAAAAAUAUUGUUUUCUCAGCUGGCACUCGACAAACUGAUAACAAAGCCUCCAUUUGGAAAUUUUUUUAAAAUCAUUUAUAAUGGUCAAACUUCAUUUUCAACAAUACAUAUCAAUUGACCUACAAUUAGUAUCUACUCAUUCACUACUAAUUCCUGUCUAUUUAUAAAUUAAACAGUUUAUAAAUUCUUCCAAAAUGAACAAGUUGAAAAAGUUACCCUAGUUGAUAAAUGGUCGAGUUGAUUAAGUUACACAAAAAUUAGUUGGCAGUGAUAAUAAAAUACAUGAAUUGCUUAGGGCCCUCUGGGACAGAUUGUUGUGGAUCCAAUUAAAAAUGAAAAAAGAAGAAAUUACUAUUUGAGUAAGAUACUUGGUUAAUAAUACACAUAAAAACGACUAUUAAAAUAAUCAAACUGGAAAGUUCAAGAAUAGAAGGUUAUGUUUAUUAUAUUUGAGUAUCAAAAUAAUCAUAAUCGGGAUCAUGACCUUUUUAUCAAAAUAAGUGAACUUUUUUACUUAAGGUUUUUCGUCAAAUGAAAACGAGAACCGAAUGAUGUUUAUCAAAGAAAAGAGCGAGAGGGACUGAUUAGAGGGCCAUCAACCAACUCAUAAGAAUAAAUAUAACUUUGUUCAAAAUCUUGGUAAACUUUUCCAUUGAUCUUUUCAAUUUUGUGUAUCAUCUGAAGAAUAAACAACACCAACAACAGGAAUGCCACAAAUUUUGAAAAGAAUAAAGGGGAAGGAGAAAGAAAAAAUAAAAAAACUCUAACAACCAUAGUCCAAAAAACAAUUUCAGCAAAGUUCUUCUCGAUGGAGCUUAAAGCAAAAAUUUAGUGAUUUGCUUCCAAAGCAUCAGAACCAUUUUGAUGGUUUGAUAUCAAUUAUGUGAACUAUUCGAUAAAUAAGGAAGAAAAUGAAGUUAUUAUUCUUCAGCAGCGGCACUUGAAGCACUCAGGUCUACUGACAAAUAGAGAACUUGAACCCAAAAAAAAAAAAAAAAAAAAAAAAAAAAAAAAAAAAAAAAAAAAAGUGAAAUAAAUAUAUAAACAGUAAAUAUCAAAUUUCUCUAAAUUAUAUGCACUUUCUUCAUGUAGAUUUCAUGACUCAUAUAUCCAUCAGUUACCUGUUGGAAAAAUUCCAAAGUAUGGAGACACACACACGCAUAUAUUAAAAUGUGUUGUGCUAGUUUAAAGCUUAGUCAAUAAAGUAAUCCGUUAAAGUCAAUUUCUGGACUAACGGGUAUUAAAUGUCAUGGAAAUGAAGUGUUGAGACCAGAAAAUGUUAUUUUAAAUUAAUGAGAGGUCAAUUUGAAAUAACACAAAAUUAAUAUCUGCUUAAUAUAGUUAUUUAUUCUGGGGUCAUGGUCCCAAUUGUAUGUGAUUUUCCAUAUCUCUCUACAUCCCCAUCAACAAAGAAAAAAAUUCCAAGCAAUUAUGUAACAAUUGGAAGACAUUAACCCAUUCACUCAUUCAGGAUAUUAACAACCGUGGAUCAAGGUACGCUUCCACAUUUUUUACUGUUCUCUUUGAUUUCAACAUGUAGGAUCAUUUAUGUAAUUUUGUGAAAGGAUUUGAUAAAAUUUUGGUUUCUUUCAAUUCAUACAAGUGGUAUUAGAGCACUCAAUUGUUGAAUUUUUGAGAAAUUGCAAGAAUAAAUGCUAUAACAAUUCUGUAUUGUGGGUUGUUUUUGAUCUUUUAUCAUAUGAUUAUGUGAAAUCUAGUUCUUACAGUAUUUUAAGAGUUUUCAAAUUUGACAAAUUGGAAUUUGUUUUUGUUGGAUUUGAAAAUUGUUCGGCAUAUUAUUCAUGGUUAUUUUUUUCAAAACUUGGAUUAAAAUUUUUAAAAUUUCAAUUUUUGAUUUUUCAGAUUUCAUAAAAAAGAAUUUUGAUUAGCCACUGUCGGCACUGCAGUGAUGCUGCAUUUUGCAGCAGCAGCGUCGGUCGCUAGGGAAGGAGAAAGAGAAAGAUUGAGUUGGAUUUUUUGGGAUGGGGGCCUGAGGUGCAAUUUUGGUAAUCUCAUGCCCUUGCUUGAAAUAAAGAUUAGGGUUAGUUAAUUUGUUAAAAUAUAAUUUUGCAUUUCAGUCACUAAAAUUUGAAAUCUAUCCAAGCUGGACCUUUAAAGCUCUAGGUUUAAUAAUUCAGUCCUUAAGUUUGAAUAUUAUUUAAUUUGGGUCAUUAAACUUCUAAAAUUUGUAAUUAAAGCCCUCAAUGUUUAUAAUUAAUUAAAAUUGGCCCCCAAAAUUUUNNNNNNNNNNNNNNNNNNNNNNNNNNNNNNNNNNNNNNNNNNNNNNNNNNNNNNNNNNNNNNNNNNNNNNNNNNNNNNNNNNNNNNNNNNNNNNNNNNNNNNNNNNNNNNNNNNNNNNNNNNNNNNNNNNNNNNNNNNNNNNNNNNNNNNNNNNNNNNNNNNNNNNNNNNNNNNNNNNNNNNNNNNNNNNNNNNNNNNNNNNNNNNNNNNNNNNNNNNNNNNNNNNNNNNNNNNNAUUGAAUUUCAUAUAUUCUAUUGGAAAUCAUUUCUUCCUCAUUUUCUUGUUCUUGAAGUGUUUUGGAAAUUUUCACUUUGCCAACUUAGUUUGAUCUUUGGGCAUUCAUUGGGAAUUGUUUUCCCAACAAUUUGGUAUCAGAGCUCCUUCCAAAAUCAAGGUGGUUAAGCUUCGAUUUUGUGGUGAGUUGCUUGAACUUUGUUGUGCACAAGGUGUUUGUGAAAAUUCCCAAGUGAACUUUUGUGAUUUAUUUUCGGUAAACAAGUGAGUAAAUCAUGUCUACUAAAGGAAUGGUGAAGAUUGGGAAGUAUGAGAUAGAAAAAUUCAAUGGGAAGAAUGAUUUUUCAUAUUGGAGAAUGCAAAUGAAAAUUUUGUCGAUUUCUCAAAAGUUGCACAAGGCAUUGGCGGGAAAGGAGAAGAAGCACGUUGAUAUGUCGGACGAGGAUUGGGAAGAGUUAGAUCUUGAGGCACGAGCGUCUAUCAUUCUUUGCCUUGAAAGAGAUGUUGCUUUCUUGGUUGAUAUCGAUUAUGUGAACUAUUCGAUAAAUAAGGAAGAAAAUGAAGUUAUUAUUCUUCAGCAGCGGCACUUGCAGCACUCAGGUCUACUGACAAAUAGAGAACUUGAACCCAAAAAAAAAAAAAAAAGAAAAAAAAGUGAAAUAAAUAUAUAAACAGUAAAUAUCAAAUUUCUCUAAAUUAUAUACACUUUCUUCAUGUAGAUUUCAUGACUCAUAUAUCCAUCAGUUACCUGUCGGAAAAAUUCCAACGUAUGGAGACACACACACGCAUAUAUUAAAAUGUGUUGUGCUAGUUUAAAGCUUAGUCAAUAAAGUAAUCUGUUAAAGUCAAUUUCUGGACUAACGGAUAUUAAAUGUCAUGGAAAUGAAGUGUUGAGACCAGAAAAUAUUAUUUUAAAUUAAUGAGGGGCCAAUUUGAAAUAACACAAAAUUAAUAUCUACUUAAUAUAGUUAUUUAUUCUGGGGUCAUGGUCCCAAUUGUAUGUGAUUUUCCAUAUCUCUCUACAUCCCCAUCAACAAAGAAAAAAAUUCCAAGCAAUUAUGUAACAAUUGGAAGACAUUAACCCAUUCACUCAUUCAGAAUAUUAACAACCGUGGAUCAAGGUACGCUUCCACAUUUUUUACUGUUCUCUUUGAUUUCAACAUGUAGGAUCAUUUAUGUAAUUUUGUGAAAGGAUUUGAUAAAAUUUUGGUUUCUUUCAAUUCAUACAAGUGGUAUUAGAGCACUCAAUUGUUGAAUUUUUGAGAAAUUGCAAGAAUAAAUGCUAUAACAAUUCUGUAUUGUGGGUUGUUUUUGAUCUUUUAUCAUAUGAUUAUGUGAAAUCUAGUUCUUACAGUAUUUUAAGAGUUUUCAAAUUUGACAAAUUGGAAUUUGUUUUUGUUGGAUUUGAAAAUUGUUCGGCAUAUUAUUCAUGGUUAUUUUUUUCAAAACUUGGAUUAAAAUUUUUAAAAUUUCAAUUUUUGAUUUUUCAGAUUUCAUAAAAAAGAAUUUUGAUUAGCCACUGUCGGCACUGCAGUGAUGCUGCAUUUUGCAGCAGCAGCGUCGGUCGCUAGGGAAGGAGAAAGAGAAAGAUUGAGUUGGAUUUUUUGGGAUGGGGGCCUGAGGUGCAAUUUUGGUAAUCUCAUGCCCUUGCUUGAAAUAAAGAUUAGGGUUAGUUAAUUUGUUAAAAUAUAAUUUUGCAUUUCAGUCACUAAAAUUUGAAAUCUAUCCAAGCUGGACCUUUAAAGCUCUAGGUUUAAUAAUUCAGUCCUUAAGUUUGAAUAUUAUUUAAUUUGGGUCAUUAAACUUCUAAAAUUUGUAAUUAAAGCCCUCAAUGUUUAUAAUUAAUUAAAAUUGGCCCCCAAAAUUUUAAUUUUUUUUUUCAAAAUUUGACCCCUAAAAUUUUGAAUUAUUAACCCUUAGGUCCCUAAAGUUUCAAAAGACAUCUAAUGAUGCAAAAUUAGUGAUUCUCUUUCUCAAAUUUUGGUAUUAAGGACUCUUUUAAGAUGCAUAGUUGAGAUUUAAUUAUGUGGAACAAUCAAAUUCAAAUAUUUUGAUAAAUCAUUUAUGAUAAAUUAAGGUUAUCUAGCAUUUUAAAUAAACUAAUUGAAACAAUAUGUCACCAAAGUGACAUUUUUGUGUAAAUUGGUUAGUUUGGGAUGUUUAGAUAUUGUGUGUGUGUCUGUUCAUACGGGUGUUAGUCGACCAAAGGAAGGUUAAUAUUUGGCCGAAUUACAUACACACUUGUGGUAGUGAAUGUGUAACAAUUAUAAGGUUUCCAUGUGAAUAAUAAAUCAGCCCAAAGAUGGGUUUAUUAUUUGAUAAGAGUUAUUGUCAAUAUUUGAUCACUACACCAAGAAUACCACUUGCAAUUAAUAUUAUUGUCCAAAGACUUGAUCACUACACCUAGAUAGAGCAUACCAUUAUUUGAAUUUAUUUUUCAUUAAAUGUGGAUAUGAGCAUGAUUAUUUGUUUAUUUUUGUUCUUUGUGCAGCUAAUUCAUCUACUACUACAAUAUCUGCCACUACAAUAUCUGCCAAUGUUAAUUCGAUUUACAAAUUUCAAGGAUUGAAAAGAGAACAUAUUGAUUGCUCUUGGCUGCAUGGAUCUUGACUUUGUACUUUGGAUUGAGGAACCCACACUUCUUACGGAAGAAAGUUCACCUGAUGAAAAGAGGAACUUUGAGAAGUGAGAUCGUUAAAAUUGCAUGAGUCUAAUGAUCAUUAAGCGCGACAUUAUGAAAGCCUUUAGAGGUGCAGUAUCCAAAGGGGUAACAAAUGUCAAGGAGUUCCUCGCAGAAAUUGAGAAGCAUUUUGCGAAAAAGUAUAAGGCUAAAACUAGCAUGCUUUUGUAAAGCUUGAUUUCAAUGAAGGAUAAAGGUAAGGAAAACAUAAAGGAGUACAUCAUGGGGAUGUCUCACAUUGCUUUUAAGCUAAAGGGCUAAAGCUUGAGCUAUAUGAUGACUUACUGGUACUUUUGGUAUUGAUCUCGCUUCCUGCAAUGUUCAGUCGAUUUAAGGUCUAUUAUAAUUGUCAAAAAGAGAAAGAGUCUAUAAAUGAGCUCAUUUCAUAUUGUGCACAAGAGGAAGAAAGGUUGAAGCAAGAAAGAACUGAAAGUGCUAACUUGACAAGCACUUCUAAGGAUAAGGGCAAGAAAAUUAAGAAAGAAUAUGAAUCUAUUCCUACAGGUCCAGCACAAAAGAAACAGAAGGAACAUAAAUGAACUUGUUUCUUUUGUAAUGAAACUGGACAUAUGAAGAAAGAUUAUACCAAAUAUCAUGCAUGGCGUGCAAAGGAAAGUACAAAUCUCACUUUGGUCUGUUCUAAAAAUGAUUUUGCUCCAGUACCUAGAAACACUUGGUGGAUAGAUUCUAGUGCUACUACUCACAUAAGUGUUUCUAUGUAGGGCUACCAGAGCUACUGAAAGCCAAGUGAUGGUGAAAAAUACAUCUAUGUCGAUGAUGGCAAAUCGGUUGAAGCUGAUGUAAUAGGCACUUUUGGGUUAUAAUUAGGAACUGGUUAUUAUUCAUAUUUGAAAGACACUUUUGUUGUACAGUCUUUUAGACAGAAUUUGAUUUUUGUUCGUAUGUUGGACAAUCUGGAUGCUGCUCUUCAUUUGGAAACAUUCAGUUUAGUCUUUCAUUAAAUUCUUAUGUUAUUGGUAAUGGUUUGUUAUCUGCAUAUGAUAACCUAUAUUUGCUUGAUAUUAUUGUAUCAUAUAAUGAGAUCUUGCAUGUAGAAUCAAGUGAUACUAAACGCAAAUUAAAUAAAGAGAAUUCAGCAAAAUUAUGACACAAGCGCUUAGGUCACAUCUCAAAAACUAGAGUUGAAUGACUUGUAUCAAAUGGUAUUUUGUUUUUCCUUGACUUCAUGGAUUUUAAUGUAUGUAUUAAUUGUAUCACGGGAAACCAGAUCAAAACAAGGAGAUUAGGUGCUAAUAGAACUUCGAAUGUCUUAGAAUUGAUACAAAUAGAUAUUUGUGGACCAUUUCCUACGACUUCUUGGAAUGGUCAACAAUAUUUUAUAUCAUUCAUAGACGAUUACUCAAGUUAUUGGUACCUAUAUCUCAUCCACGAAAAGUCUGAGUUGUUGGACAUGUUCAACCUUUUAAAACUGAGGUUGAGAAUCAACUCAAUAAAAGGAUAAAGAGCGUUAGGUCUGACCUUGGUGGUGAGUACUAGUUAGACGUGACAGUUCAAAUGAACAAUGUCUAUGACCAUUUGCUAAAAACCUAGAGGAAUGUUGAAUCACCAUGCUAGGAUCGCCUAGAUGAAUGGUGUAGCUAAAAGAUGAAAUAGGACUCUUAAAGAUAUGGUAAGGAGUAUGAUUAAUCAUUCCACCUUACCAAAAUCACUCUGAGAAGAGGUAUUAAAGAUCGUAACUUAUAUCUGAACAGAGUGCCAACUAAGGCUGCUGUUAAAACACCCUAUGAACUUUUGACAAGCAGAAAGCCUAAUCUAAAGCAUUUUCGUAUUUGGUGAUGUCCAGCUAAGGCUAGACAUUAUAGGUCAAAUAAAAAAAAAAUUAGACUCCAAAAUAGUGAGUAGUUAUUUUAUUGACUACUUUGAGUGAUCUAGGAGCUAUAAAUUUUAUGAUCCCACACUUAAGUCAAUUUUUGAAACGGGACUGCAAUACUUUUUAAGGAUGUUGAGUUUGGAAAGAAAAAUAAAGUUAGAGACAUUGUCUUUGAGGAAGAAGUUGAGGAAUGAUUGGUUUCAAUUCGUACUAUUAUCUUUGACAAUAUACAUGUUUCUAUAUCUAUCAUUGAUUAAGAAGUAUAUCCAAAACUCCAAAAAAACAAUGUUGACGAACCUCCCAUCCAAAAUGAGGUAAUUAUUUCAAAAGUACAAACUCAACAACCUCAAAAACCAAUACCAUUAAGGAGAUCCACGUGAGAAAGGAAAAGUUCUAUUUCGAAUGAUUUUAUAGUAUUUCUCCAAAAACAUGAGAAAAAUAAUGGAAUGGUGAAAGAUGAUCCAAUCAAUUUUCAUCAGGCAAUGUAGGGUUACAACUCUCAAAAGUGGAUUGAUACCAUGAAUGAGGAGUACAAGUCUAUGCAAGACAAAAAAGUUUGGGAUCUUGUCCCGUUACCCGAAGGUGUGAAGCCCAUUGGUUGUAAAUGGAUUUUUAAAACCAAUGGGGAUUAGAAAGAUAAUGUGGAAAGAUAUAAGGCUCGUGUUGUGGCUAAAGGCUUUACCGUAAAGGAAGGCAUCGACUUCAAAAAGAAUUUCUCUCCAAUUUCAAAGAACGACUAUUUCAGGCCAAUUAUGGUACUUGUUGCGCACUUUGACCUCGAGUUACAUCAAAUGGAUGUUAAGACAGUGUUUCUCAAUAGCGACAUUAUUGAGACGAUCUAUAUGGUGCAACCAGAAAACUUUGUGUUAAGAGACUCGAAGAAUAUGAUUUGCAAAUUAAAGAAAUCCAACUACGAACUCAAGCAAGCUUCCCGUCAAUGGUACCACAAAUUUCAUCAAGUAUUUAUCUCAUUUUGUUUUGAGAUGAAUGCCGUUGAUGAUUUUUUGUAUCACAAGUUUAUGGGAGUAAGCAUAUUUUUCUGGUUUUGUAUAUUGAUGAUGUACUGUUUACCACUAACGAUAUAGGCAUGUUGCACAGAAUCAAGAGACUUUAUCAAGGAAUUUUGAGAUAAAAGAUCUUAAUGAUGCCUAUUUUGUAUUAGGGAUUCAGAUAUAUCGGGAUUACUCUCGAGGUAUUUUUCGAUUGUCACGAAAGAGCUAUAUUGAUAAAGUACUUGAAAGGUUUGGGAUGCAAGACUGUAAACUAGGUGACACCCUUGUUGCUAAGGGAGGCAAAUUUAGUCUCAAACAAUGCCCAUAAAAUGACCUUGAAGUUAAGAAAAUGCAAAAGAUUUCCUAUACAUCAGCUAUUAGUAGUCUAAUGUAUGCUCAAGUUUGUACACGUCCAUACAUAUCAUUCAUUUUUGAAAUGUUAGGUAGAUAUUUAAACAACCCUAGGAUGGAUCAUUGGAAGGCAACCAAAAGGAUUAUGAGGUAUUUAAAGAGAACAAAGGAUUACAUGUUCACAUAUAGCAAAUUGAAUCAGUUCAAGAUCACAGGGUACCCGGAUUCUAAUUUUGCUGGAUGCCAAGGCAGUAUGAGAUCCACACCAGGCUAUAUCUAUCAACUAGCUAGAGGAGCUAGCGAUCGGAAAAAAAAUGUGUUUUGUUUCGUUUCAAAUAAAAUUCUCUUUUAGGACUCAAAUAUAAUUUGGGUUAUAUUAUUAUGUUGCUAUGACACUUCCUAAUAGUUCAAAUUAAAUUUUGGUCACGAAAGUAAAAUUCCGCAUACUUGAUUUUCUUAAAUUUUACAAGGUGUUAAAAUCGCUUUUAACUGACAAAAUUUUAUGUUAAUUUGGUUACAUUAUUUUUCUUAUGACACACUUUAUUUUAAUACUACCAUUUUUGUUUCCAUUAUGUAAACUAUUUUUUUUUUUUUGAAAUUGGACAAAUUACUUGCAUGUUUCAUCAUCCAUCAUUUAUGCUCCAACUUAUCAUUUUAAUAAACUUCCAUUUUUGUCAAUGCUAAAACCGUCCCCGAUCAUUCAUUUGAAAAUAAAAUUACAACUCCAAUUUUUAUCCAUUGCCCCCACUUUAUUAUCCAUUGUAACCUCCAAUUUUAACCAACCCUAUCUUAGCAUAUUAUUCUCCAUUUUGUUAACUGCCAACAAUUAUCAUUUUAACUCCCCACUAACCAUGUUUUUUUUUAUUUCCCCACAUCAGUUAACUGCCGGCCACAUCAUUUGAAAUAUAUAUAUUUAAAAAAAAAACUGCUGACUUUAUAUUUGAAAAGUAACGUGCACGCCCAUCAUUCAAAAUCCACCAAUUAUCUUCACUUAGCAUUUUAACUCUUAUCUAAACAAUUUCAAUUUCAACCUACCCACUAAGUGCAUUUUAACAUCCACUUUUGCACUGCCAUGAAACCAUCUCUUUUAUUUUAAGUCGUGAGUUCAUUUUCAAAGCUGAAAUCUCAACUUCUUUAGCCACUCUCUCUCUCCCUAUUAUACUUAUGCAUCAAAUUAUUUUGCCUCUUCUUCCAUAGACAAAACGAACUUUGAAUCUGAAAAUUUCUAAAGAAAAGGGCAAGACGUACGCUGCAUUUUAUUCUUUGGACACGAAAGGAUAUUUCAAACUCCAAGCAUUAAGGUAGGGGUGUUUCGGCACUUAUGUAAGUGAUGUAAGAUUUAUAUAUUUUCGUUUGCAUUAAAUGUGUUAUUGUGUUGCUCAUGAUGGAAUCACCGUUUGCUGGUUUAAACAAGAGAUGAAGAGAUGAUUAUGACAAAUGAAAUGGGGUUAUCAAAACCUAAGAGUAAGCGGACUGACUGAUCACCAAUUCGCUUGAAAUUGACGGUGACACAAUUGACCAAAGUUUACACUUCUGAAAAUAUAUAUUUUUACUGUUUACUUAAGUGUUUCCUACUGAGUAUUAUUUUUAGUACUCACCCCUUCUAAAAAUUUUAUAGGUUAAGAUCGAGGCAUGGUAGUGGUUGGUGUGGUGGCAAGUGUUCGGCGAUCUGAAAUGCUUUCACUUCAUAGUAAAGAUUUCCAUUUUGUAAAUAUUUUAUGGAUCUUAGAUGAACUUUUAGAAAUUCUUUUUAAUGUUUAUUUUGUUCCAUUUUUAGACAGUGCAUGUUAACAAGAAUUUAAAAGUGUUGGAUUGAUUUGUAUGAAGUUAUAUUUAUGCUGGGUGGAAAUUUCAGUUUCUGUCCAUCUAGUUGAAAAUAGCAUAACUUGGGCUACAGUGCAUUUUUUAAAGUGAAAUUAGUUGAUUUUGAAAGAUCCAUGAAUCUUCUAAUCGUAGCCUUUGGAAUUUCCUUAAAAUAUUAUCUAAAGAAAAAGUUAUGCUCAUUUUAGUAAACUGCAUCAUUACAAAUCCGAGUUUUCUGUCCAGCAUUUUAGAGCAACAUUUUCUUGCUUCAAACUUUAUCGUUGAGACCCCAAAUUUUUAUAUGUGGCACAUAUAUGAAUGCUUUAGUCCCUGUAAAAAUUUCAUAAAUUUUAAUAGACAUUCAGUAGGUCAAAUAUAUUAUCCUUCCGCUAUUGUUAAAUCCGUAAUUGUCGAUUUGCCUUCAAAUCUUUUAAAAGAAUCAAAUUUUGCUACAUUUGCCUAAGUUAUAUAGAUAACUACCUUCCAUUAUAUUUUUAUAUAUUUUAAAAAAAAAUGGAUUUAUAAAAUACUUUGGCUAGCGUCAAAGGGGUCGAACCAAAGAAAGAAACGAAUAUUAUUUUAAUGCUCCGGUUUCCGAGAAUUUGUGUAUUUUGAUAUUUUCCUAUAUAGAAAUGAAGUAUUCAGUUCAUUCCACUCUAUUAUUAUGUUCAGUAUUGAUGUCACUUAAGAAAUAAUGUUGGACUAGUUGGAAAUAGACAUGUUCGGGUCACAUAAUAUGUAGUUUCCAUGCUAGACUCCCAUGAUUGAUCUAUUCAUUUGGUUGUAUGGGUGUACGUGACCAUUGAUGGAUUUAAUCACACUAAAUGAGACGAAAAUCGCUUUGAUCCUACAUUAAUAUAACCGAUGGACGAAAUUGUUUGGAAAUACCCUUAAUAAUGAUAGCAGAAUGUUGAGCUCAUAAAUCUAAGCACAUUUGUAAUAUUACAUGUAUGAUCCAAUGAGAGAUUGUUGGAAAAAUUUCCAACGUAUAAGGCCACACAUGUGUGUAUAUAUAUAUAUAUUAAAAUAUGCGGUGCUAUUUUAAGGCUUAUUCAAUAAAGUGAUCCGUUAAAGUCAAUUUUUGGACUAACGUGUAUUAAAUGUCAUGGGAAUAGAGUAUAGAGAUCGAAUGAUGUUAUUUUAAAUUAAUGAGGGGCCAAAUUGAAAUAAAAUAAAAUUAAUAAUUGCUUAAUGUAUUUAUUUAUCAUGGGGUCAUGGUCCCCAAUUGUAUGUGAUUUUUCAUAUCUCUCUGCAUCCCCAUCAACAGAGAAGAAAAUUCCAAGAAAUUACGUAACAAUUGAAGGAUCUUAACCCUUUUAGAAUACUAACAACUAUGGAUCAAGGUACGUUUCCGCUUUUUUAAUGUUCUCUUUGAUUUCAAUAUGGAGUAUUUAUGUGAUUUUGUGAAAGGAUUUGAUAAAAUUUUGGUUCCUUUCAAUUCCUACAUUGCCUUUCCAGUUAUCUUGGUGUACAUGGCUAGAAUAUAUGUUACAGUGGACUAGAAGUGUGUCAUUGCAUCAUAACUCUGCAACAAAUGAUAAAAACCAUAAAGCGAUUGGUGCAAAACAAUGUCAAAGGUAUAAUGAAGAUGAAUAUUACAAGUUUUUCUUCCACACAUCCAUCUGUCUUAUCUCAGAAAAUGCUAGGGCGGCCUAAUACAUAGAUAUGAAUUCCCAAUAUAACCCUAUCAUAAAGUCGAUCUGUAGUUCAAGAGAUAAGUGAAUAAUAUAAUUAGGCUUCACAGAGUCAAUAUAUCCCUAUGAUUAAAGGUUGAUAAGCAAUUCAAGAGAUAAGUAAACAAUAUAAUUAGACUCUACAGAGUCCAACAAUUACUAUAUUUAUCCUAUAAGAGUAGCACAAAUGAACAACAUCCAGUUCUCACUUGCAAAGAUUCAUAUGUUAAUAUAGACAUAAGUUGAACACUUACUCUUGAAAUGAAACAAUUGUCACCAUCACUAUUAUUAGAGGGUACAAAUCUGUCAUAAGUCUCGUAAAAAAAUCUCGUCAAUUAGUCCAAGGAGGUCUACUCCAGGCUUCAUUUCAACUUUGGGAUUGUGUGUCUCUAUUUCUACUGAAACAAAUGCAAUAUAUUUUCCUUUUGGUGCCACAUUGUGUGCGUAAGAGCAGCUGACCAUAAACCUUUUGUAAAUAAACAAUUAUGUCUUUGAGGAUAUCUUGACUAAUUAUCUGAAAAUGGUCUCUUGUGGUCCAAAUGAAAAAUAUAUGCUCAAAUAUUAGAAAUAUUCAUCAUGGUAGCAAUACAUAAUAACUUGCUACAAAGGUCUUGAGAUAGACAGGCAUAGGAGGUCCACAUGAUGAUACUACAAAACACAAAUAAAUGCCCUUAGUCUAGAUCAUCUUCGUCAAUUUAAAAUUUCUGCUUCACGAAUUUUACUUUUUUUUAUUGUUUCUAUAGGGUUUUUAUGUACUCUCCCCUCGCAUGCGGGGAGGGGCCCACGCCCAAUUAAUGCGAUCCCCUGUGAGGGGGCUGUACACUGAGCUCAGUGUACAUGUAGCACUCUCCAGUGAAUAUUAUUUUGUAUACAUCUUUACAAACAUGUAUCUACGCUAUUGUACAAAGAGCGCAGCCAUAGUAUAUGUAAGAAUUUUAAAAUGCACAUCUGAUAUAUACAUUCUCCGUAAUAAAAAGGAAAGAAAUGAUAUAUAAGGUAAUAAAAUGUGCACAUUAUUUAUCACCAACCAAGCCUCAUCUAGUAUGCACAUAUCAGGAGAAAAUCCCCCCAUUGGUCACUGAAUCUUGCAAAAAAUCCCCUAGGUGGUCACCGAAUUUGAAUACGUCCCUAAAUAGUCACUAAACGUUUUUGAAGUUCCCCCCAAGUGGUUACCGAACUUCAAAAUGUCCCCGAAUGGUCACUAAACUUUGCAAAAAGUCCAUAGGAGGUCACUAAACUAGUAAUGUAUGGGGUCCCAAUUCGCAAUGUUAAGUGACCUCUCUGGAGGACUUCGUCAAAGUUCAGUGACCAUUUUGAGAUGUUUUGAAGUUCAGUGACCUCUUGGGGAGAUUUCGGCAAAGUUUAGUGACUAUUUAGGGAUGUGUUGAAAUUUGGUGACCUUCUAGGAGAUUUCCUACAAAGUUCAGUGACCAUUGGGGAAAUUUCCUCCGCAUAUCAACAUAUAACCAUACAUAUUACAAGUAGCACUAAAAGGUUCGGUUAUGCAUAUGUCUAACAUUAAGACAAAAAGUGGUAAAUAUUGUUGAGCGGAAGAUGAUGACCACCAAGGUUUGAACUGGGCUUAGUUUUUUCCCAAUCAACACCACAAGCAAAACAACCAUAAACCUCCUUCACAGCCUCUCCCACUUACGGUUGCUAUAGUUACCCACUUAGAGAGCCACAAAGGGGAAUGAAAUCACAAUGAGAACAACCACAGAGGUAGCAAAAUGAGUGAAUAGAAUCGAGGUAGAGAGAUCACAAAAGAGGUAGCCGAUUUUUCUCGCACAAAGAGAGACCGUGACAAGGGAAAUAUAACCAAAGCAAUGGGACAAUCAAGGUAAGUAGGGAUAGGGUAUGGUAAUGGGUCAAAAGGAGACCUAACACAUGGUUAAAUGGACCACUAAGUGUGUUACCCUUUAUUUAGCCAUUUAGGUAAGUGAGAUGGGCCAUGAGUGGCACUAAUUUAAAUUAGGCUACUUCUAAUGGCCCAAAACAAUUUUGGGGUUGGGUCAUUUCGUUUGAGGCGUUGGUAUAACGUUCAGUCAUUUGAUCAAUGUUGACUGAAAAAAUAAACCGAGAUCACAUAUCGUUUGACAACAAUUUGCCUAAGAAAUAUAAAGAAAUUGUGAUACCAUCUAGUUAGACAUAUGUGUCAGUUAGCCUUCAUUUUAUCACUUAACAAAUUACCAAAAAUUCACAUUUGAGCUUAAGAUUGUUGGAAAACAAGUUCAAUUAUCUUAGCAUUCUUAGUUGCCUCCACAAUCUAACAAAAAAGGCACUUUAACAAUUGACAACUUUUUAUUAUAGGGAACAUUCAUUGAUCAAGCAAUGACAGUGCUAGAAUAAAGGACUUAAAUUUACCUAGAAAUAGUAAUGUCUAAUGGACAAAUUUCUGGUUACUCCAUUUCAAUUAUUAUCAGACACAAAACGGUAUUUUACAAAAGAAGAAAAGAAUAUACGAUUGGCCGACUAAUAGUCUAAGUGUCUAAUUGAAAAUUCUAGAGAUACCAAUAUUAACCAAGAUUCUAAAAAACAUAAUCAUAAACUAAAAAUAAAGUACAGGAAAUAAAAAUGAACCCAAGGAUUGUUUCGGCCGAAGCCCCAGAGAUUCGGCGACCACUUCUAAUGUCUAAUCCUCUGUUGAGCAUCCAUUAAAAUGGGUAAAGCUCGGUUGCACUAUAAAGCCCCAAAAUCAGGCACUAAAAAUUACAAGAAUAUUCUAGCUUUACAAGAAAUAAAGUCACCAACACUUAUCUUUAAAAUGAAGCACCAAUCAAGCCUCACUCCACUAAGGAAUCAAGAAACUCGGAUCACACAGGUCACAAAAACAAACUGCCCUCUUCGAACCACAGAAGAAUGAAUGCUAAUACACAGUGUAUCACUUUCUACUGAGAGACUAUACACAAAAUCACAAAGAUUUCACAGAAAUUUGAACUUCCAACAUGAAUCACGCAGAUUCAUACACCAUACCAAAAAACCCAGUAUAUUAACACAAGUAAAUGGAGUAGAACUUCAUCAUUCCUCAAGACUACACUAGAGAAUCACUCAAAAUUGGCUUGAAUAUAUGAAGAAGAGGGAUUUCAUAACAGAGAAGAAAAGAGAUGAAGAGGCGAUCCCAAACCCUAGAGAAAAUCUCUCAAAUCUAAAAAUGUAAGAAUAAAGUCUCUCUCUCCAAUCUGUAAAAUCACGUUCCCAGUAGGGAGUCACAAGAUUUCAUAAUUGGAAGUCUGUAGAAUCUGAUCGGAUGGUCAUCAUGAUGCCAUGUGUCGAAAUCUUGUUAAUUGCCACAUCUAAUAGAGUUGUCAUUUUGAAAACACGUUUUUCUCCACAGAUUUUUGGAAACAUACUUGACAAAAUAAAAAUCAGUAGUUUGAAUUCUCAACAAUCUCUACCUUGUUUCCAAAAUUUAAGCCUAUAGUGCAACCAGGAGCUUCACCAACAUUUAUAAUUUCAUUUGCUCUAUUGUACCUGUACAAUCAAUGAAAAGAAUCAAUAGAUAACAUCUUUAAACAAUUUUGAAACUUAUUGAAAGGUAUCACCUUAGUUCCCAUAUCGGAUGGAUUAUACAAAGUCGGUAUUUUAUUAAUUUUCAGCAAACAUUUUGAAAUAAUAUCUCUUAUAAAAUGGUAUUUUACAUCAACAUGUUUUGUUCUAUCAUAAAACAUGGGAUUCUUACUCAAAUGGAUUGCACUUUGAUUGUCAAAAUAUAGCGUUGGAGUAGUAUCUACAAAACCAAGUUCAUUCAACAAACCAUAAAGCCUUAUGUCUUCUUUAAUGGCAUCAGUUGCAGCAAUAUAUUCAGUCUCAGUGGCAGAUAGAGCAACAAUUUUUCGUAACUAAGAUUUCCAAAUUAUCAUAGUACCACACAAAGUGUAAAAAUAAGAUGAAGUUGAUUUUCUAUUGUCUCUAUUUCCACCAAAAUCAGAAUCUGUAUAACCCUUUAAAAUGACCCCCUCUUUGUCCAUUUUAAACAUCAAACCCAAGUUGUAUGAACCCUUUAAAUAUCUUAAUAACCACUUCAAGGCUUCCUAAUGAGUUUCACUAGGAUUUCUCAUAAAUCUACUUAAAACGCUAAUAGUAAAAGCCAAAUCAGGUAUGGUACAAAUCAUUAAGUACAUGACUGAACCAAUAGCAUUAGCAUAAGGUAUUUUAGACAUUCUCUCAAAUUCAUCUUCAGUUUUUCGACACGAAUCAAAUUUUAAAAUAAAGUGAUUGGCAAGGGGUAAAGUCACAGGUUUACAAUCAAACAUAUUAAACUUCUUAAGGAUCUUAUUCAUAUACUCUUCUUGAUAUAAAAACAACCAAUCAGAUUUUUUCAUCUCUUAUAAUAUGCAUGUCAAGUAUUUUCUUAGCGGAACCAAGAUCCUUCAUAUCAAAUUCUGAUUUUAAUUUGUGUUUGAUAUCAUCAAUUUCAGAUUUAUUGACACUAGCAAGAAGCAUAUCAUCAACAUAAAGCACAAGAUACAAAGAAUCUUUACCUCCAUUUCCUUUACAAUAAAGACAUGUAUCAUAAUUGCUUCUACUAAACCCAAGCUUCAAGACAAAUGAAUCGAAUCUUUUAUACCAUUGUCUUGGAGCUUGUUUUAGGCCAUACAAAUAUUUUUUCAACAAACACACUAUUUUUUCAGGAUUUUCUUUAAUAAAUCCUAUAGUUUGUCUCAUGUAAAUCACUUCAUCCAAUUCACCAUAUAAAAAUGCAGUUUUUACAUCUAGUUGAUCAAGUUUCCACUUAAAUUGUACAACCAAAGAAUACAUCUUAUAGUUGUGUAUUUAACAACGGGGAAAAAAAUCUCACAUAGUCCACACCCUCUUUUUGUGUAAAACCCUUGGCAACAAGCCUAGCUUUGUAUCUAACAUUGUUAGUGCCACCUUCCCCUUCUUUUAUCUUAUAAAUCCACUUGCAAUCAACUAGCUUCUUAUUCUUAGGUCUAUCAACCAAUUUCCAAGUUUUAUUUUUGUAUAGGGAAGAUAUAUCUUCUUCCAUAGCACUCAACCACCGCUUAGAAUCUUUAGAUUUUAAGGCUUCAUGAUAAGAACUAGAUUUAGUCAUAGAUUCAUCUUGAUAAGUGAACAAAGACACAAAGUCUUCACUAUUAAACCUAGCUGGUGGUCUAAUUUGUCUCCUAUCCCUGUCUCUAGUGAAUUGGUAUUCAUCUAGAGGUGUGUUAUCAUCAUUAUACUGCUCAGGUUCAGACAAAUCAGGCUCUUUUUCACUCUGAUUAGCCUCCUUAGUUGCUAUUUCUAAGGGGACAGAACUGGUAUUACUAAUUUUAAUAGGCUCACCUCAAUUUGGACAUCAUUUUCAGUCAAAUUUCCCUCUUUUCCUUCCAAACAUGGCAUACAUGACUCAUUAAAGACCACAUCCCUUCUUAUAAUAACCUUGUAACCUUUUUCCCCAUAAACCCAAAGCCUAUAUCCUUUAACGUUUUCAGCAUAACCCAAAAACACACAUUUAAGGGAUCUAGGUUCAAGUUUCCCUAUGUUUUGUUGAUCAUAUGCAGUACAACUAAAUGUUUUCAAGUAAGAAUAGUUCACAGGCUUUUGUACAGGCUUUUGUGUCCACACAGAUUCAGGCAUAUCAAAAUUUAAAGUACUUGUAGGACUUCUAUUAAUCAAAUAUGCAGCAGUUUUAACAGCUUCACCCCAAAAUAAUUUGGGCAAACUGGAACUCAAAAGCAUACAUUAACUUUAUUCAACAAAGUCCUAUUCAUUCUUUCUGCAAUGCCAUUUUGCUGGGGUGUGUAGGUCACAGGUCUAUGUCUUAAAAUGCCAUUCAACUUGCAAAAAUCAUUAAACUCAUAACUACAAAAUUCUAGACCAUUGUUGGUUCUCAAAGUUUUGAUUUUCAAAUCAUUUUGAUUUUUAAUUUGGGUUUUCCAAUCUUUAAAUGUGGCAAAUGUUUCAUCUUUAGUUUUCAAAAGAAAUAUCCAAAUUUUUCUAGAGAAAUCAUCAAUUAUAAACAAGUAAUACUUGUAACCAGACAAUGUAGGGGUGAAUGCAGGGCCCUACAAAUUAGCAUGUAAGUAUUUUGGAAUUCGCUUUGAUUUAUGAGUACUAGUGGGAAAAGGUAACUUAACUUGCUUCCAAUUAAACAUUGUUUACAUUUAGACAAAUCACCAAUAUUUGAUUUUCCAAAUGCAUCUUUAUUUUGUAAAGCCUUUAAACCUUUUUCACCAAUGUGAUCAAGUCUACAAUGCCACAAUUUUACAAGAUUAAAGUUAUCAUCUAAAACUGCUGCUGAAAGGUCCAACAAAGGUUUUGCAUUUAAAAAGUAUAAACCAUGUCUCUUUGGGAUAGAAGUGAUCAAAUCACUACCCCUAAAAAAUUUCAUGUGUCCUUGACCCAAUUUUAUGUCAAACUCCAUGUCAUUCAACAUUUCUAGAGACACAAGGUUUCUUUCUAAUUCAAGAACAAAUCUAGCAUCUUUUAAUGAUAAAAUUCUGCCAUUUUCUAAGAGCAAUUUUAUGGUUCCAAUACCUUUCACUUUGUAGGUCAUAUUGUUUUCCAUGAUAACUUGGUCCCCUUUAAUUUGUUCAAAGUCCAAAAAAUAGUUUUUAUUAGGGCACAUGUGGAAAGAGCAACCUGAAUCAAGAAUCCAUUCUUGAUUUAGGUUCCUUUCCACAUUUACAAGAACUAGGCCAUUAUCAAAUUUUUGCUUAUCAUAGGACAAAACAACAUUAUCCUCAUUUAACUUCUUUCCUUUCAAAUCAUUUUGCUUUUUGUAGCAAUCUUUUGCAAAGUGACCCAACUUACCACAAUAAUAACAUUUCUUUCCCUUUGCCUUAGUUUUGGAUUUCAUUUUGUCAUUGUUUAUUCUCUUAGGGUCAUUUUGAAAUUUUGAAUGAAAAUUAGAUUUACCAACAUUUUUGCCUUUUAUCAAAAGAUUUUCUCCACUUUGUUGGUUGAUAAAAUCUAAUUUUAAUUCUAGAACUCUAUUUCUUAAGGCAUUUAUAAUGAUAUAUGUGGUAAGCUUGUCUUUACCAUAUUUCAAGGCAUUCUUUAGCUUUUUAUGCCUAUCACUAAUGGAGUUUAACAAGACCACAACUAGCUGAUCUUCUAAUAAUUUCUCAUCACAGUCGGCAAGGUCCUGGGUCAAUUUUGUAAAUCUGUCCAAGUUCUCAUCUAAGUCAAUAGAAGGAUCCAUUUUGAAUGAAAAGAAUUGUUUUAGCAAAAAAUAUUUGUUUGGACCGUUUUUGGAUCAUAUUGGGCUUUCAAUUUAGCCCACAAUUCUUCAACAGUUUUAGUUUCACCUAUAGGUUUGAUCACAUUGUCUGAAAGGUACAAGAAAAUAGUACUCCAUGCUAUUUCUUCUAGCUCAGAUCUUUUUGUAGCAAACAUUUCAGCAGGCCGAGAAUUAUCUAAGGCUUUAGCACAUUUCAUUUGCAUCAAGAUAGCCCUCAUUUUCUGGCUCUACAUAUUAAAGUCCCCCCCUCCCAUCAUACAUGCUCACUUCAAGCUUAGUAGUAGCCAUGACAAGAUUUACCAAGACAGUUCACAGAACACAAGUUUGAAUUCAAGAACACACACAGGGAUACACAAUAAGAGUACUGCAGGCAGAACAGGGGAUUUGGGAUCAGUGACCAAUGCACUUAUAUUAUUUUCACAAAACAGUAAACACUUAACACUAAGUAUAGAAAGCAGAAUCACAAAGAACAGAGAUGACAAUCCUAUGCCUCAACUAACUUCUCCAGCAAGACCUUCCAAUUGCACUCCUACUAGUGUUGUUAUCUCAGAUUCCUAAGACUUCUUGAGUCUUUGGACAAAGACCAGCCAUAGUAGGUUUUGUUAGUGCAAGGUAAAUCAAGGGAAAAAUUAGGAGACCCUACUACAAAGAUUAAUUACAGAAUGCAGGAAAGAUCUCACCAAUGAGUUUGAUAAAACUCAAUUUCCACCUGCCAAUGUUUACUGCAGGUUUCAGGAAUAAGGUUUAAUCAAGAAAUCAAAAAGCACUAGUAGUUCAGGUUGUUUUGAUACCACUGAAAAGUCGAGAGAUAUCAAUAUUAACCAAGAUUCCAAAAAACACAAUCAUAAACUGAAAGGAAAGUGUAGGAAAUAAAAAUGAACACAAGGAUUUUUUCGGCCGAAGCCCUAGAGGUUCGGCAACCACUUCUAAUGCCUAAUCCCCUGUUGAGCUUUCAUUAAAAUAGAUAAAGAUCAGUUACACUAUAAAGCCCCAAAAUCAAGCACCAAAAAUUACAAGAAUGUUCCAGGAAUUACAAGAAAUAAAGUCACCAAGACUUAUCUUUAAAAUAAAGCACAAAUCAAGCCUCACUCCACUGAGGAAUCAAGAAACCCGGAUCACACAGGUCACAAAAACAAACUGCCCUCUUCGAACCACAGAAGAAUGAGUGCUAAUACACAGUGUAUCACUUUCUACCGAGAGACUAUACACAAAAUCACAAAGAUUUCAUAGAAAUUUGAACUUCUAACAUGAAUCAUACAGAUUCAUACACCAUACCAAAAAAACCAGUGUAUUAACACAAGUAAAUAGAGUAGAACUUCAUCAUCCCUCAAGUAUACACCUGAGAAUCACUCAAAAUUGGCUUGAAUAUGUGAAGAAGAGGGAUUUUAUACAUAGAGAAGAAGAGAGACGAAGAGGCGACCCCAAACCUUAGAGAAAAUCUCUCAAAUCUAAAAAUGUAAGAAUAAAGUCUCUCUCUCCAAUCUGAAAAAUCAUGUUCCCAGUAGAGAGUCACAAGAUUUCAUAAUUGGAAGUUUCCAGAAUCUAAUCGGAUGGUCAUCAUGAUGCUAGGUGUCGAAAUCUUGUUAAUUGCCACAAGUAAUAGAGUUGCCAUUUUGAAAACACGUUUUUCUCCACAGAUUUUUUGAAGCACACUUGACAAAAUAAAAAUCAGAAGUUUGAAUUCUCAACACCAACUUUACGUGGAAGCGUUCAAAUAAUUUUGUUAAUCUUGAUUCAAAGAGAGAAAUUUCUUCCUUUCAUAACGGUGGUUUUAGAGAAAUUCAAAAUUUCCGUAAUGGGAUAAAAACUCUUUUGGUCACCAAACUUUAAUAUGUACUUCAGUCAUCGUAAUUAUUUUAGCAUAAAUGGUCAGUGAACUUAUAAAGUUGUUCCAAUUAAGUCACUGGCUAUGAAUCCAUUAGUUAAAUUUAACACAUUUGGGGAUGUGCCUACAAAUUCAAUCUCGCUACGGUGAUAUUAAAUUUGACAGUUUUUUUUACAGUGUGUGAAGUGGCACACUUUUUUACCCUUGAUUUCAACAACACUUAAAAUAAUUCGUGGCACAUAUUUUUACGUCUUAUAAAAUGUCAACCUUAAUGUAUACAUAGAAUGUACUAAUAGCAUUUUCCCUACAAAUUUUUGCAAGAAUUAUGUGAGAAAAGAAAUGACAAUAAACUCAAGUCAAAUUAAUAUCCACUUCAAUAAUAAGUGUCUGAGUUUAAACAUUUAAGCGAGUGCUAUGAAAUCAAAAUCACAUGUGAUGCAAAACAUAAUUGUAAUGUUGUGUUGCUCAUUGGACUGUUUUCAUCCAAAAUAGACACAAAAUUCCUUGAAAAAUUACUUCUUUAAAUCCUAGUCUAAUGAGCAAAACACAACGGCUUUACCCCCUAUUUACGGUCCAUUUUAGUCAAAUUUCAUCGUUUAGGGUUUCGAAAAUGAUUUUUUUUCACGUUUUUAAUUGAUUUUGUUAAUUUUAAUUAAAUUAGGAUUUUAAUUCCUUUUAGGAUUAUAUUAUCUUUAAUUCUUAUCAUUGUCUGAAGUAAGUCAUUAUCUAGAAGUUUAGUUAUUAUCCAUAUUUUAAUUAUUGCUUUAAAUAUAAGUUGGAAGCCUUAAUGGUCUUAAUUGAAUUUAAUUAUAAUAAAGAGCUUUGAGAAGUUUCUCAAAAUUAUUCCAUCUUUCUUGACAUUCGUGAGCGAAUCAACAAGUUUGAAUCUUUUGCGAGUUUUUGUUCUUCCCUAUAAGCUUCCGCUACGUCAACAUGUCAAACACUAGCUUAUUAAUGCCAUCUCAUAAUUCUUAUAACUACCGUCAAUGACAUAAACAACAACACCUAAACAAAACCAUAAACUUUAGUAAUUGAUAUGGAAGGAUUGUCUUAACUGAAAUAUCUUUGUAAGUUUACCGACAAUCUAUGCUAAAAGGGAGUCACUAAAAUGUCACAUUUUGAGAGUUUGAUGACCAGAAAAGUUUGUUAACCUGUUCAGAAAUUAUAUAAAUAUAAAAAUGAUGAAUACUAACUUCACGUAUCAAUGUUACAUACUAGUCAUUCUCAUCCAAGACACAUGAGAGCGUAGUUGAGAUUGAAGACCAAGAGUUGAGGCAUCACAUGGAAUUGACCCAUAAUCUCCAUUGCCUCCUCCUCCUCGUCCUUCUUCCAAUUGUCUCUCAUGUCUCUCCCCUCUCUAUUUCUUGAUAUCGUUUUUUUGUGACAUUAUUUUGUAUUUAAGAUCUGUUUGCCAAGCUAAAUGGUUAAUCUCCUUUUACAAGAUAAAUAAAGUUAUAAAAUUUGAGAAAUUGUCGCAAAUGGUCACUAACCUUAGUCUACCUUGUGGAAAUGGUUUAUAAUAUGUUUCUUGGCACAAACCUCACCGACCAAUGUGUUUUAGUGCUAUUUUGGUCCUUUUUAUGAAAAAGACCAAAAUGCUCUUAAAUUUUUGUUAGAAAAAAUUGCAGUUGGGUUCCUAAACUUUGCAAAAAGGUGCAAAUGGCUACUUUACCGUAUCUUCUUAUAAAAUAAAUUGAAGGAAACUAACAAGAUCAUUUUUGUUCCGAUUUAAAACUUUAUUGAUCAAAUUGAUUAUAUGCGUGAACAUUUUUUAUUUUUUAUUUUUUUGUGUAUAUUUUACAAAUCUAUUAUGAACUAAUUUAAGUUUAAACUUGUACUUAAUUAACAAUAGCAUGUUAAAGAAAAUUAUUGGUUGUAUUAUUAAGUAAUUACGCUGUUUUAGAAUUUAAACUUUUAUUUUAUAUUUAUAACAAAAAGAUAAUAGAAAACAAUAUUUUAUCACGAAGACAAAUCUGUGAGUAUUAAGCAGGUAGAUGCUCUCAAAAUAAAGCAGUCGGCUUGGAUACAACAGUUGGGUGAUUAUAAAAAAUAGACUUGUGUUAUAUCACCAAAUUACAAGGUAGUGAACUACAUGUUCAAAUAAAUGAAUUUCGUAUCUUAACAUUUAAUCUAGCCAAUGAUUAAAUGUUAUUUAUUGUCAUGUGUACAAGUUAAUUAACAUCAAUAUUGUUACACAGAAUUAUUCUUUCAAAUUAGGCGAAACUGUUUUUAGCAAUUGUUAGGCUUUAUUUAUUAUUUUUGUUGAAGGGUCAAAUAACUGGAGUCAUGGUUGCGAGGGUAGGGUUUGUAUUUAAAAGUCCAUUGGUUCCUCGAAUUAGGUGUAUAUUAAAAGGUUUGAAUUCGCUCCAAUCAUCACAAUUAUUUUUGUAACAAACAUGGAUUACAUGAUAUGUUUGGCCACGACAUCAUAGUUAAUAUACAGUGCAACUUGCAAGUGUGAAAACAACAUUCCUACCACAAAUGAAUUUCGAACUCUACUUGAGGGGAAUGGGCUCAAAUAGUAAAGCUAAAAUGCGAUCUUUAGUUUCAUGAUUUUGAAUUCCAUGUCCAUCUCCAUACUGGUACAUGUAUUGUGCCAUUCGAGCAAGAUUCACUGCAAUUUCAAUGAAUGUUUGUGAGAAUGGACAAUUUGCAUCUCGACCUUUGUUAAUCUUUUUCCAGGUCUCGCAUAUCAAAAACCUUAUGUGUUUGCGUGACUCAUCUUCGGAAGCACCAGUCUCAUUCAUGUAACAUUGUAUUGAUUUAGGAACGUCGCCUCUUUCCAAUUCAUCCUGAAUUAAUAAAGCAUAAAAAACACCUUUAGUUGAAAGGGUUAAUUUCGAAUUCCUAUUGUCUCGUUGAUUUCAUUAACCAAAAAUCUCGUAAACAUGAAAUGAAAUGGCUUGCUGCAUACGUACCGAUGAUGUUGCUAAAUCAUCUGCAAGCCUUAAAAUCGUAGCCGACCAACGAACUAUAUCAGGAUAUUUCUCUAAGCACUGAAUGGCUUCUUUCUCUAUUGGAUUGGUAACAGAGAAAAAAGAGUGUGACAAUAUUACAUGAGCUGAUAUUGAAAUCAAUGCGUUUUCCAUAUACUCUUCCAUUGUUGGGGUGUAUCCAGUCAAGCACCAUUUUGCCUCUUGAAAGUAUGCUUUGCAUAAAUCUGUCCACUGUGACAUUGAUUUGACAUGCUUAUUUUAAAUAUCUUAGAUCAGAAAAUUUUAAAGAUAUUUAAAACAUAUAGAGAAAUUUCUGUUGGUUGUACUAAAUGAUAAAAUACGAGAUCGCUAUAGAAACAAUACUCAAUAUAAGGGCUCGUGCAAUUGUGCUACUCCUCUUAACUUUGUUAAUAUUUUAAGAUAGAAGUCUACGACCCAGAAGGCGUAUCAUACGAGAUUUGACAAUAAAACGAACAAUAUUUUCUUUUUCUUCUUUAAUAUUAUUUGAUGUUAUCUAGCGUGUGUUUGAGCCACAGAAUUUUGAAAGAAUGUAUGGUUAAAAAAUAAGAAAAUGUUUUGGAUUUAUGUGUAAUAUUAUUUUAUUAAAAAAUGUAUAGUUGAAAUGAUGUCAAAUUACUUUUAGGAAUAUAUAUAUAUAAUUUUUUUUUUUUGAAAGAAUGCGAUUCAAACAGACCUGAUAUUCAUCAUAAUACACAUGCUAAUAAGGAUAUAUUCUUGAAGGAAACUAAUAGUACCACUUUUCUUAAAUAUGGAAUAAUUACGAUCCCUUUUUCUCUGAGAACAUCGUAAGCCAUUUCAUUGACGAAGUUGUUGAGUGCUAGAUAGAAAAUUUGCAUGUAAUCUGGAAGUUGCUCGAUUGCAUUGACAUCCCAUCUGUAAAGUUCCAAGAAGAAAUAAUUGUAAGAGCCACAAAGAGAAAGGAGGCUUAAAAAGAAACAUUUGGAGGACGUUGCUAACCUUUCAAUGAUGAAUGUAAAAAGUUCCAGUUCUUCCAAGGUACCAUACACAUCAUAUAUAUCAUCCAUAAUUGUAAUAAAAACAUUUACUUUGGUUGCAUCUAUUCGUGAAAAUCCAUAUUGUGGUUCAAAUAGCACUCCUAUAUUCCAAAAGAAACAUUCCACCAGCCUAUCCCUGGCAAAUGACAACAUCUUGGCAAGGCAUGUUCUUUCCCACCACCUAUUCAUAUACAGAAACAAAGGAUGGUAAGGUUAGGAGCUUAAAAUACGAUAUAUUUAGCGCACUUGGCAAUACCUGGAGACAUAUUUUAGUUCCUCAAGAUAUGUUGCUUGAACAAUGUUGAAAUCCAGUUUUGCGAGUUGGAGAAGAAUUGGAUUCUUGUCUGGUCUCUUCUCAUAUUUGUUUAUGAACCGCCUGUUGAAUGAAUUAAAUAAAUGAGUACUCUCCUAAUAGAUUAAACUUUUUGACGAAAUAGUUCAACACUACCUUGCUUCAGCCCGAGGUAUGGGGAGUACGUGCCAGUUGUUAUUAAAAAUUGGCCUUCAGUGGAUGACAGUAAAAAAAUUGAACUUUGGAAUUUUAUACAGGUACAUUUAUUUAAUAUGAUACUUUUUUAUUACUGGUUAUAUACAUUUUUCCUUCAAAGUUUGAUUGCCAUUUUCGAUCAUAUAUCGACCAUUUUUUAUAUUUGUGAUAAUUGUAGCAAAGAUUCAAUGUCAAUGACUGCCAUCAAAAAAUGGCAUUUCAAUGUAUGGGAACAUAUUGGAGGACAUUCAAAUCGAGAUUGAGAAGAGAUAUCAAACGUCAAGUACCAUCUGCCAUGAAUAGAAAACGCGCUAUUGCCCUUCUUAGACCGAAGAAUAUAACCUCAGAAGAAGCAUGGGAGAAGUUUGUAGAAGAUACUCUUUCCACUGAUUUUCAAGUAAGUUAUAUUUUCGUAUGAACUUUAAACUUUGUAGUCAAUUAUUGUUGGUUUAUAUUGUUUUCCUUAACAGGAAAAAAGUUCUAAGUUCAGCAAAAUGAGAAGUAGUCAGAAGCUUCUCCACACUAUGGGUCGGAAGGGUUAUUCACGUAUGGCUCACGAUUUGGUACAAGAACUAUCUUUCUUUAUUUUUGAUAUGUGUCUUUAUUGAUUUCAUAUACGUGUCUAUGAUUGAGUUGAAUAUUGUUAUUGUAGAAAAGAAAGAAUCCAAAUAUAACAGGAUUGAGAACGACAGUAUGGACUCAUGGACAUCUUCGAAAGGAUGGGAAUCCAAUAAAUGAGGCGGUUGCUGAAACUUUGGUACGUGUAUUGUGUAUAUAUAUAUAUACACACACACUAGAGAGAGAGAGAUGAUCUAUCAAACGGGCAAAAUGUAACCCUGUGGCGCUUUAGUAUUUUGAAUAAUUCUAAACGAACAUAGCCGACGAUAUAGAGGAUGACAUAGCACUCACAUAAAAUGCGUGCGCCCCGGGGUGAAUAAAAAAUUGCCGACCCCCCAUGUGUGAGGGCUAUGUCAUCCUCUAUUUUCAUCUAGCAAGGUUCAUGGAAUAAAGUUGUCGGUUGUGGCACUAUAGUAUUUUUCACAUGGAAUAAUACGAAGUCACCGUGUUAAGUGUUAAAAUUGGCACCGACAACGGAAAGAAAGUUGAUAUUUGCAGGAAUUUCUCUGCUUGUACAGAGCAGUGCUGCCAGACUUAAUACACAUGUUGCCAUGCUGCUGUGACAGCAUCUGUUUGGUCUGUCAUUUUUCUUUUUUUUCCAACAGAAAUUGCCAAGUGUUUUCUGUAAAAAUUUUGGCAGCAUAUUUUCUGCACGAAUAGCGGAUCUCUAUUUGCAGUAAAAAAGAAGAAAUUUAUGUAGGGACAGGAGACCAAAUAGGGAAGAUGGAUGAGUAUUUUUUUGGCAAUUCCAUGUGAGUAGUUGGAGGGGUAUUGUGCACCCAGCAAAAUUCUUGGAAGUAAUUCCUUCAAAAAUGCACAGUACACGUGUGCAUUCUCUUUGAUUUUCAACAUUUUGAACCAAAAAUCUAUGUAUCAGAAUUCACUGUAUAGAUGAGAAUUUGGUGAGUUAGAUUGAUUCUGAGUCCACGUAUCAUUACUUACUUUUCGUUCUAAAAACAAAAAUUUCUAACGAGCUUUGAAUGUCGGAGACCCAACACAUGAGUGAUUCACUUCUUAUUGCUCUUCUUAUUAAACCAAACAAAUAGAUGGAGAUACAUCUUAAUUCGUUUAUUUAUUUUAUCAUCUAAUUAAAUACUUUUAAUUAGGAGCUAUUUUGUCAUUCAUAGUUAGGAUUCGUCACUUUUUAAACUCUUUUAAGAGCGUGUUGUUUUCUUUGUUGUUUCUUAUGAUCUAAAUAAAAUUGGAGUUUUUCCCAAUUGUUCAAUCUUAUUUAGCCAAAAUCAACGAAAUUCGACUUGUGUAUAUUCGUUCUCACUGCUUCACUAUCUAGAGUUGGUAGAGUUAGAGACAAUCUUUGGAAAAGAUGCAUAUCAAGUAUAUCAAUUACUAUUUUAUUAUUAUUAUUAUUAUUUUUUAAAAUUUGUCUGUGUCUUCGUCGUCGAUUUCGGAAAUAUUGACAUAUUGAAUUUUUAGGACAAAUUGCACAGAACAUGCCUAUAAUUUACAAGUUUUGAAUCUGUUAAUGUAUUUGCCAAACUAUUGUAGUGGAUUGUAAUUUUGAUUUCCACGACUUAAGCACAAACGAAAUUGAACAUGAGAGAAAUCUUCUGUCAUUAAUAUAGUGGUGGCAAGUUUUGGGCCAGACUCGAUUUCUCAUGACGACCAUUAUUCUAAAUGUGAACCAUUAUUCUUGUCUAGAUCUUUAGAUGAGCCAUUGUAUAAUUUGCCUAAUCAUUGGGGUGGUAGGAAAAUUUUGACUUUGUUAGAAUUAAGGUGUGACUCGAAUUCUAUUUGAAAGAUAAGUGAAAAUUUUAAUUAAAGCUGACUUAAGGAAAAUUUUAUUUGGAAUGCUAUUUUGAAAUCCUAUUUGAAGUUUGUUAGGUAAAUUCUAGUUGAAAUUCUAUUUGGAAGUCAACUGAGAGUUGAAAUUUGUCUUGGAUUUGAAGAGAUCAAGAUAUAGAUUAGGAAGGACUUUUGGCGCAAUCGUGCUCGCUUGGCGCUUGACUUGAGCUCGAGCGUCCAAAGCAGUGAAGCCAGCGACCGCCUAAUGCUCGAGUGCCAUAUUCAUCCUACCUGGGCCCAUUUUCGCGUUUUACAAGCUUUUUCAACAUUCUAUUUCUUCUACGAUAUCAAGACCAGGGUUAUGGAUGUCUUCUAUUUGUUUCCUAUUUAUAUUUGGUUAUUCUUUACAAAUUAAUCAGGUUGUUAAACCUCAUUAUAAGUUAGACAAAUUAUAAACACAAAAUCAUUAUAUUCUUUCUCCAUAUUCUAGUGAAAUAUCAUUUCCUCUACAAAUUAUCUGGUUCUUGGGUUUGUGUUCAAUUACUUCAUAUUGUGCCAUAAAUAUAUUAUUCGUUUCUCGUCCAUUAUUACAACGAACUGUUAUCAGAGCAAUUCGAUAUCUUACAGACUUUGUCGAAAUAAGCAAAAAAGAAAUUGAACAUAACAAGUGUCAUUAAUUUAGUGGUUGAGUGACCAUUUUUUCUCUGUUGCUGCCUUAAGAUUUGGGUUUAGUAGAGGUGGGUUUAAGUGCAAGUUGACGUAGCCAUCGAGUUCACAUUUUUUAUUAUUUUAUUUUUUUGAAUAAUUAUUUUACGCAACAGUAUAAUUGGCGUGGAUGAUUUGAGAUCUUUAUAUAGAUCAUAUUUGGCUAGCCUGAAAGGUACCUUCCAACAAAUUUUGCGGUUGACUGUGUUUACAAGUUUAUUCAACAAAAUAACUAUUUUAUCCUCAACUAUUUCAUUUAUCAAAGCUAAAGAAAUAUCCCUUAUUCACACGAAAUUUGUAGUAUGUAAAAAAUUAUAUAUAUCAUAUACAUUUCAUGCUCAACGAGUGACAAAGUGACAAAUGUCACAAUAUUUUAGUAAGUUUAGUGAUAACUUGAAUAACCUUUGAAGUUCAAUGACGUCUAAGAAAAAUUUGAGAAAAUUUAAUAGUAACUCGCUUAAAGUUGAAAGGCAAUUGAGAAACAUUAAUGUUCAAUAGCAAUAGAAAUCUUUAACUCUAUAUAAGACCCUGUUUGACAUCCAUUAAAAGGAAUUUUUUGAGAAAAAUGUGUUUUGGAAUAAAGAUUUUUUGGAGAAUUAGUUGUUAAAAAGUAGGAAAAAGUUUUAAAUUUGCGUACAGAAUAUUUUAUUUUAAGAAUGUGAUUAAAAACGUGCACUACUCAAAAUUAAUUCGAGUUAUGCUAUUAUUAGAAAAUAAAAUACAAAUUCAAAAUUUUAAAAUCCAAAGUAAAUAAUACUCAAACAUUUUUUUUUUUUAAAGGGGGCGAACUCCAGUCUGGCCCCAUUUGAGACGUGACGGGACGAAUUUUUUUGCCAUCUCUUAUUUUUUCAUGCAAUCAAAUUUUGAUUAUGGAUAAUGUAGGAACUAGAGAAAGAGAGAGACGCGAUGGGGGCUUCUGAGAUGAAGAUUCAAGUGAAGAUGAUGCUUGAUAAAACAAUAGAGCCACUUGAAGUAUCAGCACCAACUCAAAUAAGUUGGUAAUGGCAUGCAAGAAGCAAUACAUAAACAGGGCCCAUGUGGCCCUGUAUGAGAAGAGCCGUUCAUUAUGUGGGGACAAAAGGUGUGAUUAGACUGCAAGUAGAUUGAAAGUAAUAAUGCUUUCAAUAAUGCAAGCAAAUAAUUGCAUUAUGUUUGCAAAAUAAAUGCUAUCACUCUCUUGACAGGAUCUAGAUAUUCUUCAUUUUGGAUAAAAAAAUUAAGUUGCAAAAAAUUUUCAAUCAACAUAACAUUAAUGGGAAUAAUUCAAUACAUUACUACGAAUGUUGUCUAUGCAUUUCCAUAAUUUGAAAUCAUUGUAUAAUUACAUUAUUAUCAAUAUUGCAAAUAUAGCGUCCUCAAUGUACAAAACUGACUAUCAUUCAAUAGUCGAAUAUCCAAUUCAAUUGCAUGGUUCAAACCGUGGUUGAGGUCUUGAGGAGUUUGAUGUUGAUGUGGAGAAAAACUAUGGUCGGUCGUCGACGUUGAUGUUGAUGACCUAGGUAGGAAAACGCAAUUAUAUGGUAAAAAUGACAAAUCUAGGUAUUGGGGGAAGAAUGAGGUUCAAGGCUUAAAAGAAGUUGGUAGGCAGAAAGUGGAUGAAAAAAAAAAAAAAAAGUGUUCAAACUUCAAAUAGUAGAAAAGGGAAAAAAAAAAAAAAAAAAAGUGUUCAAACUUCAAAUAGUAGAAAAGUGAAAAAAAAAAAAAACUAAAAUUUAAAAAGAAAAUUCCAAAAUUUUCAUGGGCUCAGCAAGCCCCAUAUGAUCCCCACGUAACUCCAAUCAUAAAUCAAUCCAAUGUCAUCACUUACUAUCAAAAUACUUACCCAAUUCGUAAUGCAUUAAUUGACUUAUACGUAAAACAUUAAGAUCACGUUUUUUAAGCUGUUUGGGACAAAAAUCUUCAAUGUCUCUUUUUGAGCCCUUUACAAAUAUGUCCACUUCAACAUAUAAAAUAAGUGUUGUACCUUGGAAAAAAAAAUAUUACACAUCAUUCUUCUUUACUUCUGUAAAUUUUAUCUGUAAUUCAUGAGAAUAUUUCGAAUGAUUGAUAUAUUUCAAGAGUAUUCUAGAAAUAUCUCUCUAGAUGUAUUGUACAACAAAAUCUUGGUAUCUUGUGGCUAGGCAUGUCCACACAACAAUAAUUCCCAAACAAAGAAAAAUGAAAAAAAAAUGAUCAUUUAAUAAAGUUUAAUUUAUAUUUUUCUUUUUUAGCUCGUUUUGCAUUUUGUGUUUUCACUCCAUGGAUGAGAUUUUUUUUCAAUAAAAGUAUCACUGCAAAAAUUUAUAUGUGAGAAAAAAAAGUAUAAAUCGAUAUAUAUAUAUAAGUGACCCCAACAAAACAAGAUAAAGCAUAUAGACAAAGAGGGAACACCAUAUUAUAAUUAAAUGACAUUAUUUGAAUAUGAACAAUUUUAUUUUAUUAAUAAAGAUGAAUUAUGUGUGACAGAUGUUAUUAAUCAUCACAAGGAAAUGAUACUUGUACAAAUGAUCGUUUAAGAGGAUAAGCUUAUUUUUAUUAAAGUAUAUAUACAAUUAAUUGCAAAAUGGAUGGAAGCCAUCGAAAAUGACCUUUUUAUUUUCACACAACAUCAAUAUGUUGAGCGGGUCAACGCAACGAUAGUAACAUUAGGGACCAUUUCCACACAACGACCUUACAUUAAGGACCAUCUAUACCAAUUUUCUUGUUAAUUAGUGCUCCACCUUUGUGUUCUCUUGAAUUAAAAAAAAAAAAAAAAAAAAAAAAAAAAAAAAAAAAAGGCCCUCAACGUAUGGAUCUAUUGUCAAAUACCUUCACCUGUUUAAAUUGGUGGAAACCAUUUAGAAGUGCGGAACCCAUUUUCUUUCAUUUUCUCAUAAAUCCCUGUGAAAUGACGAUUUGAGGAAAAAAAAGUGUAGAGACGACAAUUUGAUAUGUUAAAUUAGAUGUAAUAUGCUAUGAAUAAGGGUAGUGAACAAAAGCACUAUAAUUUCAAAAAUGUGGAGAAACACAACUAUUUGGUUUGUGAUCUGAAAUGAAGGUUAUUAUGCACAUAAAAAUUGCAAAGAUUCAAAUCAACAGGACACGAUGAGUGGGGGCAUGACAAUAUUGCUAGAAUAUGACCCAAAUUUCUAUUGGGAUUAGGAUUGGAUUGGUAAAUUGAUAAAAGGAACAAGAGUCUUCUUGGAUUGGAAGUUCAAUUGAAAAGGAGGAUUAAAGUUCAUCAAUGAUUGAAAUUUGAUUGGUAAAAGAACAUUGGAAAAUUGAAGACUUGGUUUUGAAAUUUUGGUGGAGAAAAAAUCGUCGCAAUUUUUCUAACUGGCAACUAACUUUGGUGUUCAAGCAUUAGAAGUGAAAAACUGAGCAAAGAGUUGCUGUCCGCCUAGCAUCGCCUGGCACUGGUGUGACACUAUUAUUCAGACGGGAAUCCUUUUUUGAUUCUGACUACUUUCUUGAGUCGUAUUUUAUCCAAAAUACUUGUAAUGGAUUCUAUAUAUAUAGCAAAAAUCUCUCAAUAAAUUUUGGUUCCAGGUUCAGAAAAUAAUCAAACGAACACCGAUUUACCUUGACUAGACCCAAGACUUUUGCCUUCACUUUGGACUGCUUUCUUUCUCUCUAACCCCACAAAGGAGAAGGGUGGUGGUGUUAUCAAUCCACAAAGGUAUGGAGAGAAAGAAGGAGAUAUCACAAUGGUUGAAUCUUACUCACAACCUCACUUGGCUUCCCUCUUUCUCGGCUGUCUCUCUUCUCUCAACUCUCCUCUCUAUUGUUACAACACACACACACACCAAACGGGUGGGAGAUAGAUACAUAUAUAUAGGUUAGUUUAGGUCAUCAAAUAUGGGCUAAGAGAUCUCUAAGUGGGCUGCCAUAUAACCUAAAUAAUGGGUCAAUUUCCAACUCCAUAUUAAUCUCUAAAUAGUCCAACUAACCAAAUAAUCCUUCAACCCAAACUCGAGCCAUCCAAAAGUGUAGUUCCUCUCCGAGCCGAGCUAAGUCCAUGGUGUCGAUAAAUAAUCCGACAACUGAUUUAAAUCAUCGCCCAGAUUAUUGGGUAUCAAAAAACCUAACAAUCUCCACCUUGAUGCCCAAUAAUCUGCAAGUAUCCAAAACACACAGUUUAUACUUACACAAUCAAGGUAAUCCAAUAAAAUUGGAAUAAUAGACCUUACCUCGUGUUUCGAACCGAAACAUAUACCAUACUUGCUCCAUGUAUACCAGGGCUAAGAUCAAGAACACCCAAGUAGAAACAAGUAUUCACAGUGAACAAACAAUCAUGCGAUGAAGAUAUAAAGGAUAAUAUACACAGAGAUCUUUCCAAAUCACAUUCACACAGAACCACAAAUUAACACCUAGUUAAUCAACACACGGUCAUGCACAUAUGAAACAAAUGCAUAAAUGACCCAUGAAAGAUCUCACCACACUUAUCCUAUCCCAUUUCGUGUUACUCCCACCUCCAGAACACAUAUCUCCUCUCAUCGCCCACCAUGCUCACUAUACUAAUCACUCAACUCAUGUCUAAUUGACAUGUCACAAUAGAUCCUAAAUUCAGGGAUAAUCCUCUAUCACCACAUCACUUCUUCCAACUUACGUGGAUAAUGGGACUCCACCUUACAGAAGUGAUAGAAGUGCCUCUCUCGCACUCCACCUGUACAGGGUCUCUUUCACUAAUAAAGGAUUCUACACAUUUGAUCACAUCUCCACUCGUAAUCCAAAUGUCACACUCUACAUCCCCCGGUACAAAACACUGUGUACCCUUAGGCAUCUAUACUCCACCUUACCAAAAGACAUCCAACUUACUACUAAUGCAUCUCAAACUUACUUUGGUAAAUCAAAACCUUUCGAUGACCACAAAGGUUACUCCAAUCACCAAAGCUUCAAAAAUCAACAAAGAAAAUGGUGAGGGUGGCACUCACAAAGAAAACUCGAAGAAAGAGUUGAUUACUUCACAACACUCACAAAGGAGGCUUACAAAGAUAAAGGAGAGAAACGGCUGCUCAACUUUCUUUUCACUACCACACUCUCACACCACUCACAGAGGAAACAGAGUACGCCACAAAACUCAACCCACUAUGCAUGUAAAUAUAUUACACAAAGUAAUAAGUCACUCUAAUUCAUGCAAUUACACACAUUAAAUACAUUGAAAGUGUAACAUCAACAUUGCAACAGAAUUAAGUGACCACAUACAUGCAGAAAGGAUUACACACAGAUGCAAUGUAAGAACCCAGUUUAUUCUCUCAAUAAACCUCACUAGGAUCACUACUCGACCCUAAAGUCACAUUCGCCUCGUCUCUAUUGUCAUCUUUCCUUUUAUUAUCAUCUUAGAACAAUCUCUUUCAAUUAUGUCUACCACAAUUAAAACAUAUUUUAUUUUUCGUACUUGUCUUAGACCUAUACAUACUAAUUAUACCAAAUAAUAACCACAAGAAAAGUAUUGACAUAUAAUUCACACAGAAUAGUCAAGUAAACUUUCCUAAGGUCACAUGCAAUUCUAUCGGUAUAGAAAAAAUUGGUGACAAAUUCGCAUUAAAUUUAAGACAAUUAAUUAACAUGUAAUUCCUAGGUCUACCAACAGGCAAUGGUUUCUCCAAACCUAAUGUCACCCCAUACUAUCACUUCUAAUGUGAAAAAUAAAUAAUUAACCUACACAUUAAUUUUAACUGCAAUAAUAAAAAGCAAAGAAUACGAUACCGAGCAGACCAUGUUUGAAGGUCCGUAAAUAUUGAGACAUGAGAAUUCACCACUUUAGGAAUUCACCAUUCAUCCUAAAGUCAACAGCAACCACAACAACACGAAAACAGCACCCGGUACUCGAACAUCCAAGGGCAAAAUCGUCCAACUUUCACUGUAUUACUCCAAACUGAAAUUCGACAACACUGCAGGGUCCGUCUCAUCUCCAGCAACAUUCUGUCUAAAAACACCAUCACUGGAUUCCGACCGAUGCGCCCUCACGCGCCACGUCGAAAUUCCCACGUGCCAGCGACCGUCGGCCACGCGCUGGCGAUGCCCCAACCUUUCUGAACUAUCUCCACCUACACAGUCCAAUGGUGGUAUCCGUUUCUCCAAAUUUUUUUUUGGUUUCACCAUAAAACACCAAAACAGAUCCGGCAGAAAAUUGAAAAACUGGACAGUUUCUGCCACUGAUUUCCAGAUCCGUUUCUGACCACUUCCAGCCCGUUUUAGCCCCAAAAAUCACAGAUUUAUCAACAACACAAGCUUUGAUACCAUUUGUAGCGGAAAUCCCUCGAUAAAUUUUGAUUCCGGGCUCAGAAAAUAAUCAAACGAACACUGGUUUACCUUGACUCGACCCGAGACUUUUGCCUUCACUUUGGACUGCUCUCUUUCUCUCUAACCCUACAAAGGAGAAGGGUGGUGGUGUUAGCAAUUCAGAAAGGUAUGGAGAGGAAGAAGGAGAUACCACAAUGGUUGAAUCUUACUCACAACUUCACAUGACUUCCCUCUCUCUCGGCUGUCUCUCUUCUCUCAACUCUUCUCUCCAUUGCUACAACACACACACCAAAUGGCUGGGAGAUAGAUACAUAUAUAUAGGUUAGUUUAGAUCACCAAAUAUGGGCCAAGAGAUCUCUAAGUGGGCUGCCAUAUAACCUAAACUAAUGGGCCAAUUUCCAACUCCAUAUUAAUCACUAAAUGGUCCUACUAACCAAAUAAUCAUUCAACCCAAACCCGAGCCAUCCAAAAGUGUAGUUCGUCUCUGAGCCGAGCCAAGUCCAUGGUGCCGAUAAAUAAUCCGACAACUGCUUUGGAUUAUUGGAUAUCAAAAAACCCAACAAUAUAUACUAUAUUCCUCGUGGAAUAGGCUCUUAAAAGGAUAAAUUAACAAUAAAAUCAUAGUUAUAUAGAUUAAAAACUUGAGAGAGUUAUUUAAAUUUAGAUUGAGAGUAUCAUAUCUCGUAAAACAAUUUUAGUUUCUUGAUAUAUUUAAAUUCUUCUCCUCUUUCAUAUAAAUCUUGGUGUUCUUGCGUGAUCCAUUAUUUUUCAUAUUGCUCUUAUUUUCUCGUCUUUAUUAUUUGACCCGAUUUAUCUUUGCAAUUUCAUAUGAUUCAUCAAGAACUAUGCAAGUUGAGUUUUGAUGAGAAAAAAUACUGAUACAUGAUUGAAUGGAAAAAUAAAAUUAUAUGAAAAUAUGUAUUGUCUAUUGCCUACUGUUGAAUUUUCUGAACAAUCUUUUUCUUGUUGGAACCAGAAUCUAAAACUAUGGUUUCUAUAAUCCUCUUGGCCGCAUUGUUAAUUUGGGGCAUCUUCAUCUCUGCUACUCUGGGACGUGGAGUCGGGCCAGUCGGCGACCCAUUACCACGGUUAUGUCGAACCGGCAAACUGUUGACAGAUCGUGUAAUUAUGCGUCGGGUGUGCAUGUCCAUUUUUUGGUUCUUUGGUUCAAAAAUCUCCCUCGAAGUUGUAUCGUCACGAUUCGUCUGCUUCUUGGAGGAACUCUUUCGUGGUUGGCAAUUCGCUGUUUCUAUAACAGCUUAUUUACAGCUCCUACUGUAGUGAAUAGUCGACGGAGUUGUAGAUCUAAGAAUAGGAAGGUGAAGGUAAACACUUCAGAAGAUCUUUUUAUAGAGAUUCAUAGGCACAAAAUGAUUUGUCAAGGCAAGAUUUCAGUGGAUAUUUUGUCAUAAAUACGAAUUUGGAGAGAACGGUGUUCUGGAUGUAAUAUCUUCAGUUACAAUGAUUUGGGAGGGUAUUGAAAGAGAGAACUAUCGAUAUAAUUUAGGGUUUCGAUUAUGAGCGAUAGACCAUGAUUUGGGAGUGGAUGAACGGAGACGAAGGGACGAGGUAAGAGAGAAAUCUGAUUUGGGAAAGAAAUGAUAUAGAGUUACUUGUACAUGAAUUUGGGAUUUGAUAAAAUUCAUCAUGAUUUAAUUGUUGAUAAAGUAAGACGCUAAUUAAUUGCAUGAUAACAAGGAGUACAACACCAACCAGGUAUAUCUCAAAUGCAUGUUUCAUUGAUGCAUCUUCUUUUGUCAAUGUCAAAAAUGAGUGGAAUAUUGUAAAUGUCACCAAAGAUUCUUCUGCAGAUUAAAAGGGCCAAAAAGUUUCAUUCCAAAACAGAACUUCUGACAUUGGAUUCCACGAACAUUAGCUUGUCUAUAUUAGGAGUGAUAGAAGCUCGCUCUAAUAUCAACUGAUGUAGGCAAAAGCAUAAAAAAUAAUGUAAAGAACAUGCUAUUUGUAAGUGUUAUGCCCUAGAUCCAAUCGAUUUAGGUUGUAAAUGCUUUUAAUAUAUUUAAUGCAUUUGAUUUUGGCGAGAUCUAUUAUUUAUUUAAAUUAAUUUUGUAAUAAAUAAUAUUAAAUAAUAGAAUCCGAAGAUCCAAUUUUUAGAUAAUCUGUUAAUCACAAGGAGUUGUGAUUGUGAGAUACAAAUUACAUAUAAUUGGAUCUUGAAUAAACCAUGGUCGUAAGUAGUAACGAGAUACGAAUAUCGUUAAUACAGUUAGACCAUCACGUGUGGCAUUUCUUACUUGUGAAGUAAGUAGCUGAUCUCACGAGCUAAAGUAUAGUGACACUUAAAUGAACACGUGGGUGUUUUGUUAUAGAACAAAACAUUGGAGACCUGCUAAGAGAUUCCACAUAGAUAACUAUCUGAGUGUCAGUGGCUAAUCUCUAACGUUCGGUAGUGGAAUUGGUCCUUUGACUUGAGGUCAUCAUGAUACCUUAUAUGAGGACAGUCAUACUUUGGCGGUGUUGGAUGUUGCUCUGAAAGGGGCUGUUAAUACGACAUCGUUUGGGUACGUCAAGAAUCGUAUGAAGGUUGUGAUUGAUCAAUAAAGGAUUCGUCACUCUUAGAUAGUAGGAGAUUAUGAUCUGCGUUUCAUUCAAUUAAGUCGAUGAUGAAAUCCUUGUCCAAGGUGUACUCAUAAGUCGAAAAGGAGUUUUCAAUUUAUAUUGACUUAAUAGUGGAGUGAAAGAUAUGAUCAAUGAUCGAGAUUGACACAAUUCCAUAUCUCGUAAUUGAUCGGAUCGUAUUGACGAAGGGAUAAUAGUUUCACGGUAAACGAACGAAUUUGGUUUUGUCAUACCACGUGACAUUUCCCGUCACAUGUAUUGCCUUGACACAUUGCUAGAUGUCAAUCAUGGACAGCGAGUGUGAAUUGACGAUAAAUUAAAAGGGUGUAUUGAUUUAUCAAUUUUUGAUUAGAUCAAAAAAAAUAUAUUUCACGACGUUAGGCAUCGUGGUCGGGAACCUAAUGGGUCGCACACAAAAGAGAAUUGGAAGAUUGCAAAUUGUCAAUUGGUUAAUUUAACAAUCGUUGAAUAAAUUAAUUAAUUGAAUUUGUUAUUUAUAAUCCCGAAUUAAUUAAUUGGAUUAAUUAAUUCACGGACCGGGUUUAAUUAAUUGGAUUAAUUAAAUAUUGGACCGGACCGGGCCGGGUCCGUUUGGGUUUAUAUAUAUACACAGCUAGGGUUUGAGGUCCAUAAGGUAUUCAUUAUUCUUGCUGGCACAAGAGAGAAACCCUAGUAGUUGCAGUCUAUUCUCUGUAUGGAUUUCAUUGGAGGCUGGACAAUUGGACAGCUGUGGGAGGUAGAUUCAAGCUGCUGGAAAGGAAUAACGCGAAGGAGUUUGCAAAUUACAAGUAAAGGUAUAUUUCUUAUCACAGUUUUUAUCUAAAUACAAAGCUGAAUCCUAAAUGGGAAUUGAAAUUUGUUAAAUUCCGCUGUGCAUGUUUAAGUAAAUUCCCUACAGUGGUAUCAGAGCCAACUUUGUAUUUGUUAGGAAUUGUUUAACGUGUUGAUUAAAUUAAAUGUUAUUUUAAUCACGUUCAUUCCUAAAUCUAGCAAAUAUAGUUUUAAUUUUUUUUUGGGGUCUUUUUGGAUCUGUUCUUGAAAAACAAAAAAAUAAAAUAAAUUUUUGGGGUCGUGAGGCGGGCGGUGCCGCAGCGCGGCGCGGCAGGNNNNNNNNNNNNNNNNNNNNNNNNNNNNNNNNNNNNNNNNNNNNNNNNNNNNNNNNNNNNNGAGGGCGCUGCACGCGCUGCCGAUUUGCAGCGCGACCGCCCCAGAAAAGAGAAAAGAAAUAAAAUUUUAGGUUUAGGGUUUUGGUGGAGACGGGGGCCUCUGUUGCAAUUAAUGUAAUUAGGGGCCCCUGGUUGCAAUUACAAAAAGAGGGUCAGUUUGCAAAUUUUAAAUCAGGGACCUGUUCUAUAAAUUUCAAUUUUGGAAGGGUCUGCUGUUAAUUUCAAUUUGGGUAAAUUUUGUAAAAUUUCAAAAAGGGUUUUGAUUUUGAAUUUUGAAUUAUUUUAAAAAUGAGUUUUAAACUAGGUUUGACCCAUACCCUAUUUUUGACCCAGAAUUAAAAAUUUUAUUUAAAAAUUUGACGACUUUUAUAUUUUUGUUAAAAUUAGAUUUUGACUUAAAUAUUUAGUUUGACCCUUAAUUGAAUUUUUAUUCUGUUUGGGAAUUUUGUCCUAAAUUAAUAUAUUAAUUCAAUUUUAUUAGAGUUGGACUCUAAUAUUAAAUUAAUUAAAUUUUGUUUUGAAUUAGCACCACUUUCCUAUGCAAAUUAGUACUUAGAGUAUGACUCUAAUUUAAUAAUCAAUUAAAACUCGAUUUUGAUUAAAUUUCCUUACCCAAUAGUUAUGGAUUUAGAGUUGGACUCUAAUUCGAUAUUUAGUUAAAAUUAGAUUUUAAUUAAAUUGGCCCAUCAAUUAAAUUGAUUAAUUAAUAUGAUUAAUUAAUUGUUUAAUUAUCUCGAUCCCAAAAUUUUGAUUUAAUUUUGACGACUAUAAUUGCUAGAUUUAUGAGACAUUGCAUAUAAUAUUAGAUAUUGUACAUAGGAAACAUUUAUGUGAUGAAUGUUUGUGGAUGAUUAUGGACUCGACCAUAUAGAUGUGUUGAAUGGUUGAUUUACUUCUUAUUGUUGUUGUGGGCCUGCGAGCUCCUUAUUAAAUAUUGGACCUGCGAGUCCGUUGUUAUUAUUAUUAUUAUGGGCUGCGAGUCCGAUUUCUUUUAGGCCUGCGUACCAACUAGUAUAGGAUACAUGAUGCAAGUUCGGCUAAUUGGAGGCGCAAGAAGAGGUGGACACCAUGGAGAUGGUGUAUUAGUAUUGGUCCAAUACUGUACCCCUUAAGAAUUGACCAACUAGUUUUCCUCAUGGCUCGGGAAAACUAGAUAGAACAAGUCCAUAAUCAUCCAUACUAUUAUAUAUAUAUAUAUAUAUAUAUGUAUUAUUCGCAUAGUAGAUGUAUGUUUAAAUAUAUGUGUAUAUAUAUAAUUGCUUGAUGAGACCAUUGCACAUUAAAUCCGUCAUUAAAAAUUAUUAAGUUAGUAUUAUUUGCCUUCCAUCAUUAUAGUAAAAAACGAGAAUCCUAAAUCGACCUUAUCUUGUUGAGUACACUCAAGGUUGGUCUAUUAGGGAUAUGUUUGACACUAUGAAAUAUUUGAUAUUUCUGAAUGAUGGGUUUAACUUAACUUAAAUUUAUCUUUUGUUGAGUACACUCAAGGAGAUAAGUUUUAGAGGCAUGUUAAACUAACACAUAAGAUGUGUGAAGACAAAGGAGUUGUCGGCUUAAUGAUCUGGGAGUUGUAUGGAGAUACAAUUGAUAAUAAAAUCUACCCAAAUGUUUUAUUAGGAUUUGUUGAGUACACUCAAGAUCUCAAUACAACGAAUGGGAUCCCAGCCCACUGUGAAUCUAGUGUGGAUUCAAAUAAUUUAUGUAUGAGGGUCAUGAAUUUAUUUUGGACAGUGGGAGCACGUUUAAUUAAAGUCCAUAUUGAAUUUAUGCACAUGCAUUAUAAUACAUAUUAAUUCUAUUUUUUUCGUCAUUUACAGUUUUUGAAUCAUGAGUAAUCAUAUGAAUUUGAGAGGCAUACUGGAUGCCAACAAACUGACCGGACCAAAUUUUCUCGAUUGGCACCGCAAUUUGAGAAUCGUUCUCAAGCAUGAGAAAAUUGGAUAUGUCCUUGAGCAGUCCUUUCCAGUGGUGCCUACUGAAAAUUCCACUCAGGAAGAGGUGGCUGCUUACAAUAAACACAGUGAUCACGAUAACACUGCAGCAUGUGUGAUGCUCGUAGCUAUGUCUCCUGAGUUGCAGAAGCAACAUGAGGGUAUGGAUGCUUACACUAUGAUUUUUCAUCUCAAGGAGUUGUAUGAUGAACAAUCUCGUGUGGAGAGGUAUGAGUCCUCUAAAGAACUAUACUGGUGCAAAAUGGCAGAAGGGUCAUCAGUCAGUGCUCACGUACUGAAGAUGAUUGGUUUUAUUGAAAAAGUCAGUUCACUGGGUUUUAUCAUGGAUCAUGAACUAAGUAUUGACUUGGUUCUACAAUCUCUGCCAGAUAGUUAUUCACAGUUCAUUAUGAAUUUUAACAUGAAUAAGAUCGAAUGCGCACUCCCUGAGUUGCUUAAUAUGCUUAAAACUGUGGAGCCCAAUGUCAAGGCUAGCACUGGGCAUGUCUUAGCUAUUCAUUCCUCCAAGGGAACUAAGAGGAAAAUUAAAGGAAGUUUUAAGAAAACAUCCAAAAAGGCUAAGGGCAAUAAUAAAGCAGUCAAAGCAGGCAAGGACAAUACCAAAUCUGAUGACCCAUGUUAUCACUGUGGAGUGAAAGGUCAUUGGAAGAGGAACUGCAAGGCUUACCUCGCAAGCUUGAAGGGAAAGAAGUCUUCUGAAGCUUCUACUUCAGGUACUUUUGUUAUCGAGGUUAAUAUGUCUACUUCAUUAGCUUCUUGGGUAUUAGAUACCGGAUGUGAAUCUCAUAUUUGUAUAAAUAUGCAGGGACUAAAGAAAAGUAGAGCACUACAGAAAAGAGAAGUUGACCUGCGCGUGGGAAAUGGAGCAAGAGUUGCUGCAUUAGCUGUAGGAACAUAUUUCUUACCACUGCCUUCAGGCUUAGUAUUAGAACUAGAGAAUUGCUAUUUUGUUCCCGCCAUUACUAAAAACAUUAUUUCUAUUUCGUAUUUAGAUAUGAGUGGUUUUUCAAUUAAUGUUAAGAACAAUCGUUGUUCGUUUUAUAAAGAUGAGAUCUCUUAUAGUUGUGGUGUGUUGCAGAAUGGAAUUUAUAUUCUUGAUACUGAGUCGUCUAUUAUGAAUAUAAAAAUAAAAGGCAUAAAAAUGAUAAUCUAAAUAAUACAUACCUUUGGCAUUGCAGAUUAGGUCAUAUUAACGAAAAACGCAUUUCCAAGUUACAUAAAGAUGGAUACUUAGGGUCAACUAAUUUUGAAUCAUUUGACAGAUGCGAGUCGUGCUUGUUAGGCAAAAUGACCAAGUUCCCUUUUACUGGAAAAGGAGAAAGAACCACAGAACUGCUGGGACUAAUACAUACUGAUGUAUGUGGACCCAUGUCAAUAACUGCCAGAGGUGGUUUCUCUUACUUCAUCACAUUCACUGAUGAUCAUUCUAGAUAUGGUUAUGUGUAUCUGAUGAAAUUCAAAUAUGAAGCACUUGAAAAGUUCAAGAAAUUCAAACUUGAAGUAGAGAAACAAACUAGUAAAAAUAUACUCACGCUAAGAUCAGAUCGAGGUGGAGAAUAUUUAAAGGGAGAAUUUUUAGAUUAUCUUAAAGAGAACGGGAUUCUCUCGCAGUGGACUCCGCCAUAUACACCGCAACAUAAUGGUGUAUCUGAACGGAGGAAUCGCACUUUGUUAGAUAUGGUGCGAUCUAUGAUGAGCCAUGCAAACAUCCCAAAAUCAUUUUGGGGUCAUGCACUAAUUGCUGCGUGCUACACACUUAAUCGUGUCCCAUCUAAAUCGGUCGACAAAACUCAAUACGAGCUAUGGAGAAGAAAAAGACCAAACUUAUCUCAUAUGAAAGUUUGGGGCUGUGACGCUUAUGUAAAGCGAAAUGAAUCAGAUAAGCUUGAAGCUAAAUCUGAUAAAUGUGUAUUUGUGGGAUACCCAAAGGAGACAAUUGGAUAUCAAUUCUAUAAUCCCGUUGAGAAGAAAGUGUUCAUCUCAAGUCAUGCCAUAUUCCUAGAGAAAGAGUUUAUUCUAGGAGAGGGUAGUGGGAGCAAACUAGAACUUGAAGAAGUUCAAGAAUCCACAGACACUAUUGACCAAUUAGAUGAACUUGAGUCUGAUCCUACACCUGUUGGUGGACAGACUCUUGAUCAGGAUGUAGAGAACCCUAAGGACACUCCAGCUCAGCGUAAAUCAAACAGGAUCAUUCGACCUCCCAGAAGGUACGAAUUCAUGAUUACUAAUCAAGUAUUAUUAAUCGAGGAUGAUGAACCUACAAAUUACGCAGAAGCAAAGUCAAGUGUUAAUUCGAAUAGAUGGCAAGAUGCCAUGGAAUCCGAAAUGGACUCAAUGUAUGAGAACAAGGUUUGGACCUUGGUCGACCUUCCAGGAGGGAUAAAACCGAUAGGUUAUAAAUGGGUUUACAAGAAAAGGGUCGAUGUGGAUGGAAACGUCCACAUAUACAAAGCAAGGCUAGUAGCGAAGGGUUACACACAAAGACAAGGUAUUGACUUUGAUGAAACUUUUUCGCCUGUAGCCAUGCUGAAGUCCAUUCGAAUUUUGCUUGCAAUAGCUGCAUGCCAUGAUUAUGAGAUAUGGCAAAUGGAUGUCAAAACUGCUUUCCUUAAUGGAAACCUGCAAGAGGAGGUGUACAUGACACAGCCUGAAGGUUUUGAAUCCAGAGGAGCCAACAAAGUAUGCAAGCUAAAUCGAUCCAUUUAUGGAUUAAAGCAAGCCUCUAGGAGCUAGAAUCUUCGUUUUGAUGAAAUAAUCAAAAGGUUUGAUUUUAUAAAAAAUGAAGAUGAACCAUGUGUUUAUAAGAAAACAAGUGGGAGCGAAGUCGUAUUCCUGAUAUUAUAUAUCGAUGACAUAUUAUUAAUGGGAAACGACGUCCCAAUGCUUCAAUCGGUAAAAUUAUGGUUGUCAAAGAAUUUCUCCAUGAAAGAUAUGGGAGAAGCAGCGUAUAUCUUGGGAAUCAAGAUCUAUAGAGAUAGAUCUAAAAGAUUACUAGGCUUAUCCCAAUCUUCGUACAUAGAUAAAAUCUUGAGAAGAUUUAAUAUGGAAGAGUCUAAAAGAGGAUUAUGCCCCAUGUCACAUGGGAUUUACCUCUCAAGAGAUAUGUGUCCUAAAAUACAGGAUGAAAGGAAUCGCAUGGACAAGAUUCCUUAUACUUCGGCGAUAGGAUCUAUCAUGUAUGCGAUGCUAUGUACGAGACAAGAUGUUUCAUAUGCUCCAAGUGUUACGAGCAGGUUUCAAGCAAACCCUGGUGAGAAACACUGGAUAGUAGUUAAGAACAUUCUUAAGUACUUAAGAAGGACUAAAGAUGUGUUCUUGAUCUAUGGAGGAAAUGAACUGAAAAUUCAGGGGUACACUGAUGCUAGUUUUCAAACUGAUAAAGAUGAUAGCAAGUCUCAGUCAGGAUAUAUGUUUACUCUCAACAAUAGAGCAGUUAGUUGGAAAAGUUCCAAACAGGAAACAACCGCUGAUUCAACAAUAAAAGCCGAGUACAUAGCUGCUUCUGAAGCAGCAAAGGAAGUUGUAUGGAUCAAGAAGUUCAUUAAUGAACUUGGAGUCGUUUCUAGCAUUAUUGAUUCCAUACCUUUGUAUUGUGAUAACAAUGGAGCCAUCGCGCAAGCGAAGGAACCGAGGUCUCAUCAACGAUCCAAACAUGUGCUAAGGCGAUAUCAUCUCAUCAGGGAGAUUAUACAAAGAAAUGACGUAACGAUAGAGNNNNNNNNNNNNNNNNNNNNNNNNNNNNNNNNNNNNNNNNNNNNNNNNNNNNNNNNNNNNNNNNNNNNNNNNNNNNNNNNNNNNNNNNNNNNNNNNNNNNNNNNNNNNNNNNNNNNNNNNNNNNNNNNNNNNNNNNNNNNNNNNNNNNNNNNNNNNNNNNNNNNNNNNNNNNNNNNNNNNNNNNNNNNNNNNNNNNNNNNNNNNNNNNNNNNNNNNNNNNNNNNNNNNNNNNNNNNNNNNNNNNNNNNNNNNNNNNNNNNNNNNNNNNNNNNNNNNNNNNNNNNNNNNNNNNNNNNNNNNNNNNNNNNNNNNNNNNNNNNNNNNNNNNNNNNNNNNNNNNNNNNNNNNNNNNNNNNNNNNNNNNNNNNNNNNNNNNNNNNNNNNNNNNNNNNNNNNNNNNNNNNNNNNNNNNNNNNNNNNNNNNNNNNNNNNNNNNNNNNNNNNNNNNNNNNNNNNNNNNNNNNNNNNNNNNNNNNNNNNNNNNNNNNNNNNNNNNNNNNNNNNNNNNNNNNNNNNNNNNNNNNNNNNNNNNNNNNNNNNNNNNNNNNNNNNNNNNNNNNNNNNNNNNNNNNNNNNNNNNNNNNNNNNNNNNNNNNNNNNNNNNNNNNNNNNNNNNNNNNNNNNNNNNNNNNNNNNNNNNNNNNNNNNNNNNNNNNNNNNNNNNNNNNNNNNNNNNNNNNNNNNNNNNNNNNNNNNNNNNNNNNNNNNNNNNNNNNNNNNNNNNNNNNNNNNNNNNNNNNNNNNNNNNNNNNNNNNNNNNNNNNNNNNNNNNNNNNNNNNNNNNNNUUUGGUUUUGUCAUACCACGUGACAUUUCCCGUCACAUGUAUUGCUCUGACACAUUGCUAGAUGUCAAUCAGGGACAGCGAGUGUGAAUUGACGAUAAAUUAAAAGGGUGUAUUGAUUUAUCAAUUUUUGAUUAGAUCAAAAAAAAAAAUUUCACGACGUUAGGCAUCGUGGUCGGGAACCUAAUGGAUCGCACACAAAAGAGAAUUGGAAGAUUGCAAAUUGUCAAUUGGUUAAUUUGACAAUCGUUGAAUAAAUUAAUUAAUUGAAUUUGUUAUUUAUAAUCCCGAAUUAAUUAAUUGGAUUAAUUAAUUCACGGACCGGGUUUAAUUAAUUGGAUUAAUUAAAUAUUGGACCGGACCGGGCCGGGUCCGUUUGGGUUUAUAUAUAUACACAGCUAGGGUUUGAGGUCUAUAAGGUAUUCAUUAUUCUUGCUGGCACAAGAGAGAAACCCUAGCAGUUGCAUUCUAUUUUCUGUGUGGAUUUCAUUGGAAGCUGGACAAUUGGAGAGCUGUGGGAGUUAGAUUCAAGCUGCUGGAAAGGAAUAACGCGAAAGAGUUUGCAAAUUACAAGUAAAGGUAUAUUUCUUAUCACAGUUUUUAUCUAAAUACAAAGCUGAAUCCUGAAUGGGAAUUGAAAUUUGUUAAAUUCCGCUGUGCAUGUUUAAGUAAAUUCCCUACAGUAUUGAAGUUUUUUUAUUCUAAUUUUUGUUGAUUCCCAAAAAUAUCAGAAAUAUGGGUAUCAAAUAGCGAGAUUAAAAGAUUCGACAGCUCCAAAAUCUAUAAUAUUUAUUACAAAACAACUAAUUUUCAUGAUAGCUUACCACCCUUAUUUAAAGAAAUAACUAAACUCUAUAUAGUUAUUAAAUGUAAGAGAUAAUGACAAAAAUUUAAAACCCUAAUAUUCAGAAUUAAUUAGAAAUAAACGAAAUGAAAAUUGAAUUUAUUUAAUAAAAUAAAUAAUACAAAACUCAAUUUUCUUCAAACAGGUUCAAAUAAUAAUGCUAAGAUGCGAUCUUUAGUUUCAUGAUUUUGAAUGCCAUGCCCAUCCCAUACUGGUACAUGUAUUGUGCCAUUCUCGCAAGAUUCAUUGCAAUUUCAAUAAAAGUUUUUGAGAGUGGACAAAUUGUUUCUUGAACUUGGUUCAUUUUUUUCCAUGUCUCACGUAUCAAAGAUCUAAUGUGUUCACCUGCCUCGUCUUCAGAAGGCCCAGUUUCGUUCAUGUAACAUUGUAUUGUUUUAGGAACAUCACCUCUUUUCAUUUCAUCCUGAGAGAGAAAAUGAAAUAAACUGUUAGUUGAAAGGGUUAAUUUUGAAUUGUUAAUGAUUUCAUAAACAAGAAUGAACUUGAAAACAUGAAAUGAAAUUUUAGUCUAUAUGCGCACCACUGAUGUUGCUAAAUCAUCUGAAAGACGUAAAAUCGUUGCCGACCAACGGAUUAAAUUGGGAUAAUCAAGUAAGUACUGAACAGCUUCCUUCUCUAAAGGACUGGUAACAGUGAAAAACGCAUGGGAUAGUAUGACAUGAGUUGAUAUUGAAAUCCAUGCAAUGUUCAUAUACUCUUCCAUUGUUGGUUUGUAUCCAUUGAAGUACCACCUUGCCUCUUGUAAGUAUGCUUUGCAUAAAUCUGUCCACUGCCCAAUUUGACAAGAUUACUGUAUAUGGAUUAUGGAAACUGAUAUAAGGAUUAUGUAUUAGAGACUUUCUGAAGCAAAAGUGAUACCGCUUUCCUUAAAUAUGGAAUUAUUAUAAACCCUUUUUCUUUAAGAAUGUCUUAAGCCAUUUCAUUGACGAAAUUAUUGAGGGCUAGAUAGCAAAUUUGCAUGUAAUCUGGAAGUUGAUGGAUUGAAUUGACAUCCCAUCUGUGGAGUUUCAAACAAAUAAUAAUUAUAGGAGUUAGAACGGCGAGAAGGAAAAAAAAUAAAAAUCAAUAUAUAACAGAUAUGGGAAAAUUUUAUUAUAAACUACCAAUCUAAUUUUCCAAAAUUUGUUCCUCAACUUUAAAGAAAAGCAAGUUUGUACAUUACAUUUUAUUAUUGUUUCGCAACUGGUCGCCCACUAAUGAAAACCAUACUUUUCAUUAAAUUGUCGUGUGGCCCUCAUAAAAACAUGCAUCGCUUUAAAUAUCAACGUACCAAUCCAAGUUAGAAAACAAAACCUAAUUUCAUGAAGUUGAUUAUGCAAGGACCACACGUAUUGAAGUUUGGUGACCUUCUAGGAGAUUUUCUACAAUGUUCAGUGACCAUUGGGGGGAUUUCCUCCACAUAUCAACAUAUAACCAUAUGUAUUACAAGUAGCACUGGAAGGUUUGGUUAUGUAUAUGUCUAACACUAAGAGAAAAAGUGGGAAAUAUUGUUGAGCGGAAGAUGAUGACCACCAAGGCUUGAACUGGGCUUAGUUUUUUUCUCAGUCAACAUCACAAGCAAAACAACCAUAAACCUCGUUCACAGCCUCUCCCACUUACAGUUGCUACAGUUACCCACUUUGAGAACCACAAAGGGGAAUGAAAUCACAAUGAGAACAACAACAGAGGUAGCAAAAUGAGUGAACAGAAUCGAGGUAGAGAGAUCACAAAAGAGGCAGUCGGUUUUUCUCUCACACAGAGAGACCGCGACAAGGGAAAUAUAACCAAAGCAAUGGGACAAUUAAGGUAAGUAGGGAUAGGGUAUGGUAAUGGGUCAAAAGAAGACCUAACACAUAGUUAAAUGGACCACUAAGUGUGUUGCCCUUUAUUUAGUCGUCCAGGUAAGUGAGAUGGGCCAUGAGUAGCACUAAUUUAAAUUAGACUGCUUCUAAUGGCCCAAAACAAUUUUGGGGCUGGGUCAUUUUGUUUGAGGCGUCGGUAUAACGUUCAGUCAUUUGGUCAAUGUUGACUAAAAAAAUAAACCGAGAUCACGUCGUUUGACAACAAUUUGCCCAAGAAAUAUAAGGAAAUUAUGAUACCAUCUAGUUAGACAAAUGUAUCGGUUAACCUUCAUUUUAUCACUUAACAAAUUACCAAAAACUCACAUUUGAGCAUAAGAUUGUUGGAAAACAAGUUCAAUUAUCUUAGCAUUCUUAGUUUUCUCCACAAUCUAACAAAAAAGGUACUUUAACAAUUGACAACUUUUUAUUAUAGGGAACAUUCAUUGAUCAAGCAAUGACGGUGCUAGAAUAAAGGACUUAAAUUUACCUAGAAAUAGUAAUGUCUAAUGGACAAUUUCCUGGUUACUCCAUUUCAAUUAUUAUCAGACACAAAAUGGUAUUUUACAAAAGAAGAAAAGAAUAUACCGUUGGCCGACUAAUAGUCUAAGUGUCUAAUUGAAAAGUCGAGAGAUACCAAUAUUAACCAAGAUUCUAAAAAACACAAUCAUAAAUUGAAAAUAAAGUGUAGGAAAUAAAAAUGAACACAAUGAUUUUUUCGGCUGAAGCCGCAGAGGUUCGUCGACCACUUCUAACACCUAAUCCCCUGUUGAGUAUCCAUUAAAAUGGAUAAAGCUUAGUUGCACUAUAAAGCCCCAAAAUUAGGCACCAAAAAUUACAAGAAUGUUCCAGUAAUUACAAGAAAUAAAGUCACCAAGACUUAUCUUUAAAAUGAAGCACAAAUCAAGCCUCAUUCCACUAAGGAAUCAAGAAACCCGGAUCACACAGGUCACAAAAACAAACUGCCCUCUUCGAACCACAGAAGAAUGAGUGCUAAUACACAAUGUAUCACUUUCUACCGAGAGAUUAUACACAAAAUCACAAAGAUUUCAUAGAAAUUUGAACUUCCAACAUGAAUCAAGCAGAUUUGUACACCAUACCAAAAAACCCAGUAUAUUAACACAAGUAAAUGGAGAAUAACUUCAUCAUCCCUCAAGUAUACACCUGAGAAUCACUCAAAAUUGGCUUGAAUAUGUGAGGAAGAGGGAUUUCAUACACAGAGAUGAAGAGGCAAACCCAAACCCUAGAGAAAAUCUCUUAAAUCUGAAAAUGUAAGAAUAAAGUCUCUCUCUAAUCUGAAAAAUCACGUUCCCAGUAGAGAGUCACAAGAUUUCAUAUUUGGAAGUCUCUAGAAUCUGAUCAGAUGGUCAUCAUGAUGCCAGGUGUUGAAAUCUUGUUAAUUGACACAACUAAUAGAGUUAUCAUUUUGAAAACACGUUUUUUCUCCAAAGAUUUUUGGAAGCACACUUGACAAAAUAAAAAUCGGCAGUUUGAAUUCUCAGCAAUCUCCACCUUGCUUCCAAAAUUUAAGCUUAUAGUCCAACCAGGAGCUUCACCAACAUUUAUAAUUUCAUUUGCUCUAUUGUACCUGUACAAUCAAUGAAAAGAAUUAGUAAAUAACAUCUUUAAACAGUUUUGAAACUUAUUUAAAGGUAUCACCUUAGUUCUCAUAUCGGAUGGAUUAUACAAAGUAGGUAUUUUAUUAAUUUCCAGCAAACCUUUUGAAAUAAUAUCCCUUAUGAAAUGGUAUUUUACAUCAAAAUAUUUUGUCCUCUCAUGAAACAUGGAAUUCUUACUCAAAUGGAUUGCACUUUGAUUUUCAUAAUAUAGUGUUGGAUUAGUAUCUACAAAUCCAAGUUCAUUCAACAAACCAUGAAGCCUUAUGCCUUCUUUAAUGGCAUCAGUGGUAAUAAUAUAUUCAGCCUCGGUGGAAGAUAGAGCAACAAUUUCAAUUGAGAUUUCCAACUUAUCACAGUACCACACAAAGUGUAAAAAUAAGAUGAAGUUGAUUUUCUAUUAUCUCUAUUUCCACCAAAAUCAGAAUCUGUAUAACCCUUUAAAAUUACCCCCUCUUUGUCCAUUUUAAACAUCAAACCCAAGUUGUAUGAACCCUUUAAAUAUCUCAAUAACCACUUCAAGGCUUCCCAAUGAGUUUCACCAGGAUUUCCUAUAAAUCUACUCAAAACACUAAUACUAAAAGCCAAAUCAGGUCUGGUACAAAUCAUUAAGUAUAUGACUGAACCAAUAGCAUUAGCAUAAGGUAUUUUAGACAUUCUUUCAAGUUCAGUUUCAAUUUUUGGACACGAAUCAGAUGUUAAAAUAAAGUGAUUGGCAAGGGGUAAAGUCACAAGUUUACUAUCAAACAUAUUAAACUUCUUAAGGAUCUUAUUACAUACUCUUUUUGACAGAAAAACAAGCAAUCAGAUUUUUCAUCUCUUAUAAUAUACAUGCCAAGUAUUUUCUUAGCGGAACCAAGUUCUUUCAUAUCAAAUUCUGAUUUUAAUUUGUGUUUGAUAUCAUCAAUUUUAGGUUUAUUGGAAUUAGCAAGAAGCAUAUCAUCAACAUAAAGCACAAGAUACAAAGAAUAUUUACCUCCAUUUCCUUUACAAUAAAGACAUGUAUCAUAAUUGCUUCUACUAAACUCAAGCUUCAAGGCAAAUGAAUCGAAUCUUUUAUAUCAUUGUCUUGGAGCUUGUUUUAGGCCAUACAAAGAUUUUUUCAACAAACACAAUUUUUUUCAAGAUUUUCUUUAAUAAAUCCUAAAGGUUGUUUCAUGUAGAUCACUUCAUUCAAUUCACCAUAUAAAAAUGCAGUUUUUGCAUCUAGUUGAUCAAGUUUCCACUUAAAUUGCACAACCAAAUCAAGAAUACAUCUUAUAGUUGUAUAUUUAACAACGAGGGAAAAAAUCUCAUCAUAAUCCAUACCCUCUUUUGUGUGAAACCCUUGGCAACAAGCCUAGCUUUGUAUCUAACAUUGUUAGUGCCACCUUCCCCUUCCUUUAUCUUAUAAUCCACUUGCAAUCAACUAGCUUCUUAUCCUUAGGUCUAUCAACCAAUUCUUGAGUUUUAUUUUUGUAUAGGAAAGACAUUUCUUCUUCCAUAGCUCUCAACCACCGCUUAGAAUCUUUAGAUUUUAAGGCUUCAUGAUAAGAACUAGGUUCAGUUUCAGAUUCAUCUUGAUAAGUGAACAAAGACACAAAUUUAUCACUAUUAAACCUAGCUAGUGGUCUAAUUUAUCUCCUAUCCCUGUCUCUAGUGAGCGGAUAUUAAUCUAGAGGUGUGUUAUCAUCAUUAUACUGCUCAGGUUCAGCUAAAUUGGGCUCAUUUUCACUCUGAUUAGCCUCAUUAGUUGCUAUUUUUUAGGGUAUAGAACUCGUAUUAUUAAUUUUAAUAGGCUUCACCUCAAUUUGGACAUCAUUUUCAGUCAAAUGUCCCUCUUUCCCUUUCAAACAUGGCAUACAUGACUCAUUAAAGACCACGUCCCUUCUUAUAAUAACCCUGUAACCUUUUCCCCAUAAACCCAAAGCCUAUAUCCUUUAACAUUUUCAGGAUAACCCAAAAACACACAUUCAAGGAUCUAGGUUCAAGUUUCCCUAUGUUUUGAUGAGCAUAUGCAGUACAACCAAAUGUUUUCAAGUAAGAAUACUUCACAGGCUUUUGUGUCCACACAGAUUCAGACACAUCAAAAUUUAAAGCACUUGUGAGACUUCUAUUAAUCAAAUAUGCAGCAGUUUUAACAGCUUUACCCCAAAAUAAUUUGUCAAAGCGGAACUCAAAAGCAUGCAUCUAACUUUAUUCAACAAAGUCCUAUUGAUUCUUUCUGCAAUACCAUUUUGCUGGGGUGUGUAGGUCACAGUUCUACGUCUUAAAAUGCCAUUCAACUUGUAAAAAUCAUUAAACUCAUAAUUGCAAAAUUCUAGACCAUUGUCGGUUCUCAAAGUUUUGAUUUUCAAAUCAGUUUGAUUUUCAAUUUGGGUUUUCCAAUCUUUAAAUGUGGCAAAUAUUUCAUCUUUAGUUUUUAAAAGAUGUACCCAAAUUUUUUCUAUAGAAAUCAUUAAUUAUAAGCAAGUAAUACUUGUAACCAGACAAUGUAGGGUUGGAUGCAGGGCCCCACAAAUCAGCAUGUACGUAUUCUAGAAAUCGCUUUUAUUUAUGAGUACUAGUGGGAAAAGGUAAUUUAACUUGCUUUCCAAUCAAACAUUGUUCACAUUUAGACAAAUCACCAAUAUUUGAUUUUCUAAAUACACCUUUAUUCUGUAAAGUCUUUAAACCUUUUCACCAAUGUGACCAAGUCUACAAUGCCAUAAAUUUGCAAUAUUAAAGUUAUCAUCUAAAACUGCUGCUGCAAGGCCCAACAAACAUUUUACAUUUAAAAAGUAUAAACCAUGUCUCUAUGGGAUAGAAGUGAUCAAAUCACUACCCCUAAAGAUUUUUAUGUGUCCUUGAUCCAAUUUUAUGUCAAACUCUAUGUCAUCCAACAUUCCUAGAGACACAAGGUUUCUUUCUAAUUCAGGAACAAAUCUGGCAUCUUUUAACAAUAAAAUUCUGCCAUUUUCUAAGAGCAAUUUUAUGGUUCCAAUACCUUUCACUUUGCAAGUCAUGUUGUUUUCCAUGAUAACUUGGUCCCUUUAGUUUGUUCAAAGUCCAAAAAAUAGUUUUUAUUAGGGUAUAUGUGGAAAGAGCAACCUGAAUCAAGAAUCCAUUCUUGAUUUAGGUUCUUUUCAACAUUUACAAGAACCAGGCCGCUAUCAAUUUUUUGCUUAUCAUAGGACAAAACAGCAUUACCCUCAUUUAACUUCUUUCCUUUCAAAUUAUUUUGCUUUUUGUAGCAAUCUUUUGCAAAGUGACCCAACUUACCACAAUAAUAACACUUCUUUCCCUUUGCCUUAGUUUUAGAUUUCAUUUUGUCAUUGUUUCUUCUCUUAGGGUCAUUUUGAAAUGUUGAAUGAAAAUUAGAUUUACCAACAUUUUUGCCUUUUAUCAAAAGAUUUUCUACACUUUAUUGGUUGAUAAAAUCUGAUUUUAAUUCAAGAACCAUAUUUCUUAAGGCAUUUAUAAUGAUAUAUGUGGUAAGCUUGUCUCUACCAUAUUCUAAGGCAUUCUUUAGGUCUUUAUGCCUAUCACUAAUGGAGUUUAACAAGACCACAGCCAGCUGAUCUUCUGAUAAUUUCUCAUCACAAUUGGCAAGGUCCUGGGUCAAUUUGGUAAAUCUGUCCAAGUUCUCAUCUAAGUCAACAGAAGGAUCCAUUUUGAAAGAAAAGAAUUGUUUUAGCAAAAAAAUUUGUUUGGAGCAGCUUUUGGCUCAUAUUGGGCUUUCAAUUUAGUCCACAAUUCUUCAUGAGUUUUAGUUUCACCUAUAUACCUGAUCACAUUGUGUGAAGGGUACAAGAAAAUAGUACUCCAUGCUAUUUCUUCUAACUCAGUUCUUUUUGUAGCAAACAUUUCAACAGGUCAAGAAUUAUCUAAGGCUUUAGCACAUUUCAUUUGCAUCAAGAUAGCCCUCAUUUUCUGGCUCCACAUAUUAAAGUCUCCCUCCCAUCAUACAUGCUCACUUCAAACUUAGCAGUAGCCAUGACAAGAUUCACUAAGACAGUUCACAGAACACAAGUUUGAAUUCAAGAACACACAGGGAUACACAAUAAGAGUACUGCAAGCAGAACAGGGGAUUUGGGGUCAGUGACCAAUGCACUUAUAUUAUUUUCACAAAAUGGUAAAAACUUAACACUAAGUAGAGAAGGCAGAAUCACAAAGAAUAGAGAUGACAAUCCUAUGCCUUUACUAACUUCUCCAGCAAGACCUUCCAAUUGCACUCUUGCUAGUGUUGUUAUCUCAGAUUCCCAAGACUUCUUGAUUCUUCGGACAAAGACCAGCCAUAGUAGGUUUUGUUAGUGCAAGGUAAAUCAAGGGAAAAAUUAGGAGACCCUACUGUAAAGAUUAAUUACAGAAUGCCGGAAAGAUCUCACCAAUGAGUUUGAUAAAACUCAAUUUCCACCGGCCAAUGUUUACUGCAGGUUUCAGGAAUCAGGUUUAAUCAAGAAAUCACAAAGUUCCAGUAGUCCAGGUUACUCUGAUACCACUGAAAAGUCGAGAGAUAUCAAUAUUAACCAAGAUUCCAAAAAACACAAUCAUAAACUGAAAAUAAAGUGCAGGAAAUAAAAAUGAACACAAGGAUUUUUUUGGCCAAAGCCCCAGAGGUUCGGCGAUCACUUCUAACGCCUAAUCCCCUGUUGAGCAUCCAUUAAAAUGGAUAAAGUUCAGUUGUACUAUAAAACCCCAAAAUCAGGCACCAAAAAUUACAAGAAUGUUCCAGCAAUUACAAGAAAUAAAGUCACCAAGACUUAUCUUUAAAAUGAAGCACGAAUCAAGCCUCACUCCACUAAGGAAUCAAGAAACCCGGAUCACACAGGUCACAAAAACAAACUGCCCUCUUCGAACCACAGAAGAAUGAGUGCUAAUACACAGUGUAUCACUUUCUACCGAGAGACUAUAUACAAAAUCACAAAGAUUUCAUAGAAAUUUGAACUUCCAACAUGAAUCAUGCAGAUUCGUACACCAUACCAUAAAACCCAGUAUAUUAACACAAGUAAAUGGAGUAGAACUUCAUCAUCCCUCAAGUAUACACCUGAGAAUCACUCAAAAUUGGCUUGAAUAUGUGAAGAAGAGGGAUUUCAUGCACAGAGAAGAAGAGAGACGAAGAGGCGACCCCAAACCCUAGAGAAAAUCUCUCAAAUCUGAAAAUGUAAGAAUAAAGUCUCUCUCUCCAAUUUGAAAAAUCACGUUCCCAGUAGAGAGUCACAAGAUUUCAUAAUUUGAAGUCUCUAGAAUCUGAUCGGAUGGUCAUCAUGAUGCUAGGUGUCGAAAUCUUGUUAAUUGCCACAACUAAUAGAGUUGUCAUUUUGAAAACACGUUUUUCUCCACAGAUUUUUUGAAGCACACUUGACAAAAUAAAAAUCAACAGUUUGAAUUCUCAACACUAAUUUUACGUGGAAGCAUUCAAAUAAUUUUGUUAAUCUUGAUUCAACAAAGAGAAAGUUCUUCCUUUCAUAACGGUGGUUUCAGAGAAAUUCAAGAUUUCCGUAAUGGGAUAAAAACUCUUUUAGUCACCAAACUUUAAUAUGUACUUCAGUCAUUGUACUUAUUUUAGCAUAAAUUGUCAGUGAACUUAUAAAGUUGUUCCAAUUAAGUCACUUGCUAAGAAUCCAUUAGUUAAAUUUAACACAUUUGGGGAUGUGCCUACAAAUUCGAUCUCGCUACAUUGAUAUUAAAUUUGACAGUUUUUUACGGUGUGUGAAGUGGCACACUUUUUUACCCUUGAUUUCAACAACACUUAAAAUAAUUCGUGGCACAUAUUUUUACGUCUUAUAAAAUUUCAACCUUAAUGUAUACAUAGAAUGUACUAAUAGAAUUUUCCCUACAAAUUUUUGCAAGAAUUAUGUGACAAAAGAAAUGACAAUAAACUCAAGUCAAAUUACUAUCCACUUCAAUAAUAAGUGUCUGAGUUUAAACAUUUAAACGAGUGCUAUGAAAUCAAAAUCACAUGUGAUGCAAAACAUAAUUGUAAUGUUGUGUUGCUCAUUGGACUGUUUUCAUCCAAAAUAGACACAAAAUUCCUUGAAAAAUUACUUCUUUAAAUCCUAGUCUAAUGAGCAAAACACAACGGCUUUGCCCCCGACGUACGGUCCAUUUUAGUCAAAUUUCAUCGUUUAGGGUUUCGAAAAUGAUUUUUUUCACGUUUUUUUAAAUGAUUUUGUUAAUUUUAAUUAAAUUAGGAUUUUAAUUCCUUUUAGGAUUAUAUUAUCUUUAAUUCUUAUCAUUAUCUGAAGUAAGUCAUUAUCUAGAAGUUUAGUUAUUAUCCAUAUUUUAAUUAUUGCUUUAAAUAUAAGUUGGAAGCCUUAAUAAUCUUAAUUGAAUUUAAUUAUAAUAAAGAGCUUUGAGAAGUUUCUCAAAAUUAUUCCAUCUUUCUUGACAUUCGUGAGCGAAUCAACAAGUUUGAAUUUUUUGCGAGUUUUUGUUCUUCCCUAUAAGCUUCCGCUACGUCAACAUGUCAAACACUAGCUUAUUAAUGCCAUCUCAUUAUUCUUAUAACUACCGUCAAUGACAUAAACAACAACACCUAAACAAAACCAUAAACUUUAGUAAUUGAUAUGGAAGGAUUGUCUUAACUGAAAUAUCUUUGUAAGUUUACCGACAAUCUAUGCUAAAAGGGAGUUACUAAAAUGUCACAUUUUGAGAGUUUGAUGACCAGAAAAGUUUGUUAACCUGUUCAGAAAUUAUAUAAAUAUAAAAAUGAUGAAUACUAACUUCACGUAUCAAUGUUACAUACUAGUCAUUCUCAUCCAAGACACAUGAGAGCGUAGUUGAGAUUGAAGACCAAGAGUUGAGGCAUCACAUGGAAUUGACCCAUAAUCUCCAUUGCCUCCUCCUCCUCGUCCUUCCAAUUGUCUCCCAUGUCUCUCCCCUCUCUAUUUCUUGAUAUCGUUUUUUUGUGACAUUAUUUUGUAUUUAAGAUCUGUUUGCCAAGCUAAAUGGUUAAUCUCCUUUUACAAGAUAAAUAAAGUUAUAAAAUUUGAGAAAUUGUCGCAAAUGGUCACUAACCUUAGUCUACCUUGUGGAAAUGGUUUAUAAUAUGUUUCUUGGCACAAACGUCACCGACCAAUGUGUUUUAGUGCUAUUUUGGUCCUUUUUAUGAAAAAGACCAAAAUGCUCUUAAAUUUUUAUUAGAAAAAAUUGCAGUUGGGUUCCUAAACUUUGCAAAAAGGUGCAAAUGGCUACUUUACCGUAUCUUCUUAUAAAAUAAAUUGAAGGAAACUAACAAGAUCAUUUUUGUUCCGAUUUAAAACUUUAUUGAUCAAAUUGAUUAUAUGCGUGAACAUUUUUUAUUUUUCGUGAGGAUUAAGCGGGUAGAUGCUCUCAAAAUAAAGCAAUCGGCUUGGAUACAAUGGUUGGGUGAUUAUAAAAAAUAGACUUGUGUUAUAUCACUAAAUUACAAUGUAGUGAACUACAUGUUCAAAUAAAUGAAUUCCGUAUCUUAACAUUUAAUCUAGCCAAUGAUUAAAUGUUAUUUAUUGUCAUGUGUACAAGUUAAUUAACAUCAAUAUUGUUACACAGAAUUAUUCUUUCAAAUUAGACGAACCUGUUUUUAGCAAUUGUUAGACUUUAUUUAUUAUUUUUGUUGAAGGUUCAAAUAACCGGAGUCAUGGUUAUAUUGUUUGCUAUUUAUUUGGCAUUAUUACAUAUGUUAGUGGGUUGGUGCAAUUAGUGGAAAUUAUCUUGUAUAUUUUAUCUAUAUCUAUAUUUAAAGAGUGUCAAAUUGAUGAAGAAAGGUUCGAAGAAUUAAUUAUUUUUGCAAGGGUAGGGUUUGUAUUUGAAAGUCCAUUGGUUCCUCGAAUUCAGUAUAUAUUAAGAGGUGUAUAUUAAAAGGUCUGAAUUCGCAAUUUUUUUGUAACAAACAUGGAUUACAUGUUAUGUUUGGCCACGACAUCAUAAUUAAUAUACAGAGUGCAACUUGCAAGUGUGAAAACAACAUUCCUACCACAAAUGAAUUUCGAACUCUACUUGAGGGGAAUGGGCUCAAAUAGUAAAGCUAAAAUGCGAUCUUUAGUUUCAUGAUUUUGAAUUCCAUGUCCAUCUCCAUACUGGUACAUGUAUUGUGCCAUUCGAGCAAGAUUCACUGCAAUUUCAAUGAAUGUUUGUGAGAAUGGACAAUUUGCAUCUCGACCUUUGUUAAUCUUUUUCCAGGUCUCGCAUAUCAAAAACCUUAUGUAUUUGCGGGACUCAUCUUCGGAAGCACCAGUUUCGUUCAUGUAACAUUGUAUUGAUUUAGGAACAUCGCCUCUUCCCAAUUCAUCCUGAAUUAAUAAAGCAUAAAAAACACCUUUAGUUGAAAGGGUUAAUUUCGAAUUCCUAUUGUCUCAUUGAUUUCAUUAACCAAAAAUGUCAUAAACAUGAAAUGAAAUGGCUUGCUGCAUACAUACCGAUGAUGUUGCUAAAUCAUCUGCAAGCCUUAAAAUCGUAGCCGACCAGCGAACUAUAUCAGGAUAUUUCUCUAAGCACUGAAUGGCUUCUUUCUCUAUUGGAUUGGUAACAGAGAAAAAAGAAUGUGACAGUAUUACAUGAGCUGAUAUUGAAAUCAAUGCAUUUUCCAUAUACUCUUCCAUUGUUGGGGUGUAUCCAGUAAAGCACCAUUUUGCCUCUUGUAAGUCUGCUUUGCAUAAAUCUAUCCACUGUGACAUUGAUUUGAAAUGCUUAUUGUAAAUAUCUUAGAUAGGAAAAUUUUAAGGAUAUUUAAAACAUAAAGAAAAAGUUCGACUGGUUGUUGUUAAAGGAUAAAACUUGAGAUUGCUUAGCAUAGAAACAACACUACUCAAUAUAAGGCUCGUGCAUUUAAGCUACUCCUCUUAAUUGUUAUUGAUCUUUUAAGAUAGAAGCCUAGGAUCCAGAAGGUUAUUAUACAAGAUUUUUUACAAUAGAAUGAACAAGAUUUUUUUUUCUUCUUUAAUAUUAUUUGGUGUUAUCUAAUGUCCGUGAUAAUAUACAUGCUAAUAAGGAUAUAGUCUUGAAGAAAACUAUUAGUACCACUUUUCUUAAAUAUGGAAUAAUUACAAUUCCUUUUUCUUUGAGAACAUCGUAAGCCAUUUCAUUGACGAUGUUGUUGAGUGCUAGAUAGAAAAUUUGCAUAUAAUCUGGAAGUUGCUCGAUUGCAUUGACAUCCCAUCUGUAAAGUUCCAAGAAGAAAUAAUUGUAAGAGCCACAAAGAGAAAGGAGGCUUAAAAAGAAACAUUUGGAGGACGUUGCUAACCUUUCAAUGAUGAAUGUAAAAAGUUCCAGUUCUUCCAAGGUACCAUACACAUCAUAUAUAUCAUCCAUAACUGUAAUAAAAACAUUUACUUUGGUUGCAUCUAUUCGAGAAAAUCCAUAUUGUGGUUCAAAGAGUAUUCCAAUAUUCCAGAAGAAACUUUCCACCAGCCUAUCCCUGGCAAAUGGCAACUUUUCGGCAAGGCAUGUUCUCUUCCACCACCUAUUCAUAUAUAGAAACAAAGGAUGGUAAGGUUAGGAGCUUAAAAUACGAUAUAUUUAGCGCACUUGGCAAUACCUGGAGACAUAUUUUAGUUCCUCAAGAUAUUUUUUCUUGAACAGUAUUGAAAUCCAGUUUUGCAAGUUGGAGAAGAAUUGGAUUCAUGUCUGGGCUCUUCUCAUAUUUGUUUAUGAACCGCCUGUUGAAUGAGUUAAAUAAAUGUGUACUCUCCUAAUAGAUCAAACUUUUAGAUGAAAUUGUUCAAAACUACCUUGCUUCAGCCCCGAGGUAUGGUCCAGUGCAGUAGAAUCCCCAAGGCAUGGUGCACCAAUGGAUCACAAUGAAUGUCGUCAACACUUUUAUCCUCAAG
rnacentral:lncRNA from 1 species